rnacentral:lncRNA from 1 species
UGACAUUUAUUUUGAAACGGAGGGAGUACCAUUUUAAUUCCCGUACACUACCCAUAAGCAAGAGCUGCCCUUGAGCUUUCUUGCUUGCGGACAUACCAUAAGGAGUAAUUUUUGCCUUAUGGCUAUUUCUUUCUUUAAGCACUAAGUGUUGAUCAGUUGUGUUCAUUCCAAUCAUUCAGGUGUGGCCGAUUGAGGGCAUCAAGAAGUUCGAGACCCUGUCUUACUUGCCACCCCUCUCCACUGAGGCCCUCCUGAAGCAGGUCGACUACCUGAUCCGCUCCAAGUGGGUGCCCUGCCUGGAGUUCAGCAAGGUUGGCUUCGUCUUCCGUGAGCACAACAGCUCCCCCGGGUACUACGACGGCCGAUACUGGACAAUGUGGAAGCUGCCUAUGUUCGGGUGCACCGACGCCACACAGGUGCUCAAUGAGGUGGAGGAGGUCAAAAAGGAGUACCCUGACGCCUACGUCCGUAUCAUCGGCUUCGACAACCUGCGGCAGGUGCAGUGCGUCAGCUUCAUCGCCUUCAGGCCACCGGGUUGCGAGGAGUCCGGCAAGGCAUAAAGUGCAAGUUGAAGUAACCGAUAUACAUGCCAUGUUAGUUCACAUUGGUCGGUCGGUAGCUCUGCUUUCUCAAUUUUACUUCUUGUUCCAAUCAUAUGUGAAUAUACGAGCAUAUGUAUGUAAGCACCUACCAACGUAGGUCGAGGAAGAUGCAUAUGAGAAUCAUAGUACCGGCUAUACAUACUUUGUUUGCAGCUGGAAAUGCCUAUGUCUUGUAUUGUUUUCUUCUCAUGCAUUUUUUGCUCAAUCAUAUGUUGUGUAUUAUCUAAUGCAAAAAUUGUUAUGGAAUACCAAAGUACUUCAAAAUACUAUGGAGAAACACAUAACAAGUGGUGAGAUCCCCUUGAAAACUACUCCCUUCGUUCCUAAAUAUAAGUCUUUUAAGAUAUUUCACUAGGAGUCUACAUACGAAGCAAAUGAAUGAAUCCACACUCUAAAGUAUGUCUAUAUACAUCCGUAUGUAGUCCAUUAAUGAAACCUCUUUAAAGACUUAUAUUUAGAAACGGAGGGAGUACUGGCAAAACAGUAGGGAAUUGACGAGAAACAUACAAUAACAAAAAACUAAAAACCAAAUUAGAAAACUAGAAAAAAGUACAAACAAAGGUUUCAAAACAAGACAAGGACAAACCUACCGUACCGCACUUGUCAUGUGAGCCGUAUUCCUGCAUCGAUGCAUCAAUAACAUGCCACUUUUUCUAACCAUUUUACACCACAAUUAGAUAUUCUUUUUAUAGUAUUACAGAAGGAUGAACUAUAUGCACCUCUUCUGGUGAUGAUUCAGUCCGGUCCAUGAUCGUUACAUCAGUGCGUAUGUCGAAACCCAUCACUUUCUAUCUCUGAUGAAAUAUAAAUAUAUUUUAUAUCGCAUCAUAUAAAAUUUACAGAAGACAUAAUAAAAGUGAAACUAAAACAACUAUUUUAUUUUGUAAAAACAAAAAACAUUUUUUUUUCAUAUUAUUGAAAAACGUGUUGCAUUUAUAUUGGAGCAAACAACCAAAUAUAAUGUUUAUAUUUAAAUAAGCAGUAUUCUCAAAUUUCUUAAAUCAUUUUAAUAUAUUUAUAUAGCCUAAGAAAAAUUGUCCGAGAAAAGUUAAAAACAUGCACGCGAUCCAACAUAAACCAAGUAUAUUCAGUUUUUUGUUUCAAAAUUGUGAAUUUUUAUGAUACUCUGAAUAUAUCAAAUAAGUAUAAAAAAUAUUUAUAUGUAUGAUCCAUGUUUUAUUAAUAUAUACUUUAAUAUAUAUAUAUAUAUAUAUGUGUGUGUUUUAAGACAACUUUUAAUAUAUAUGUUUCUUCGCAGGGAUUCUUUUUAGGCAUUUUUCAUGUGUGAAAUGUUGGUGAUUGAAGGCCCAAAUUGGCUAUUCGGGCACCGCCGAGCCAACACCCAAUAAACCUCUAAAAAAAUAAAAAAAUAAAUAUCACCAACCCUACUUCACCGGACGACCCAACCAGCCCUGUCUCCAUCACCCUCUCUCUCUCCGCUCCCUGUCUCACUCUCUCCACUCCUCGUCUCACUCCCUUGCACAGAAAAUCCUAUAUGUGGAAGACUGACCCACUCCACUCCCUCUGCUCUCGCCCCACAGCCAGCGACCUCGUCUUCCACCACACAUCCACCUCUCAUCCCUUUCCCUUCAACCAUCCACCGGCGACCAGUUGCGCGCACACACUAUAAGAAAUAUGUCAACUUUUGACCUUUCAUAUUGGUCAAUGAAUGGUCGUUGUUUUCCAUUUAUGACCUUUUUAUGACCGAAAACAAUUGGUAAAAAGAGGACCGUCUCUAGUGAACUAUAACAACCUUUCUUCUGGAAUGGUCGUAGCAGGCAAUGAUCAAAACGAAAAGGUCGUUGGUUCUACGACCAAUUGUUUUGGUCACUGGUUGUGUGCCCAGGCCACGUCAAAUCCAACGUGGCAAGCUGGCGUGGAAAAAUUACGUCCAAUUCGGUGUCCAUAUGGGCCGAGCCCAACAAUUCAGCCCAUUUAAUUAUCAUUUUUUGUUGUCAUUCUGGUCGGCUACAUGGGUCUCACCCGAUAUUUCAGCCUUUUUUUGGUCGUGGCCUUUCUGGCUCAAUGGUUCCAGUUUUUUUUCUUCAGAAGAUGGGUCCAAUAGACAAAUGGGUUCCGAUUGUCAGCUUCUAGUAUGAGGAUUCAUGUUUUCAAUUCACCAACAAAUAAAUAACCAAUAUUUAAUUCAAAACAGACAAAAAGAACACAUAAUACUUCAAAUAACAGCCACAAUAAGUCUAUUACAACAUAUAACUUAGAUACAAUGGUGAUCACAACCACAAGCUCUACAAGUGUAAACACAACCACAAGCUCUACAAAUGUAAUCACAGCCGCAAGCUCUAUAAGUGCCCUUUGAUAGCUUCGAGUGGACCUUUCAAGGGUCUUCUCCAUAGUGCCGACCAAGAUCUCACCCUUCAUGGGCAUCAGAGCAAUGCAACUAAACGUGGCAGGGAAAAGGACUACCUGCCAAAAGCCAAAUCUAUACAAGAUAUCAGCCUUUCAGUGGUGUAGAAUAUCAUAGAUAGAGACGUGCUUCAGCAUUACAUGGCAUGGAAACGUAGAAUGCAUUUUUUACAAAGGGCAUACAAUUGCAAAUUUACUAUCCACAAAACAAAUUAGAAAAAACAAAUAAAACAGUGAAGUGUAAAAAAUAUAAGCCAUAGUGUUUCUACUUCCCACAAAUGACUGACACCAUGGUGUUUCAACUACAUGGCAAUCUAGUCACUCAAGAUGCGUCACCAAUCUAGUCACUCAAGAUGCAUCUUGUAGAACACUAUUCUAUAAUAGUAUAUAUCGAGCAUGAUACAACAGAAGCUUGAAUUUAUGGUUUUUAUAAUUCGACAUUAUACAUCCCCGGUUAUAUAGACAUGUUUAUCACAUACUGUACACGACAAUAGAAGAAAAAUUCUAAUAAAUUCGUUAGAGGCUUUCCAAUAAAAAUGAUAAGUUACCUGCAUACCAGGAAACAUAAACUUGAGAGGUUCAGAUCAAGGCCAAUGGAGCAAUGCAUCAUAAUUAACAGUUUUAAAUACUAUAGGACCAGGAAGUAGGUGUCGCUUCAAAUUUAAAAACUCAACCAUUCAUCAUUAAGAGUAGCAAUUUAAUCUAAUAGUAAAACAAUGCUCCUAAAAUAGUUUUCACACUGGAACUAUGAGGCAGCUAAAUUACAAGAUAUGGUUUGCCCUUUUUUCACAACAUCGAUGAGCUAAAGGGUUCUGCAGGGUUAGGCAGCUCAUCUAAAACUAUGUAUUUACUCUAUGCCAUCAUGUAUUCACAAAGUGGUCGAUCAUUCUCACAUAUUUUAAUAUAAAGAAGGGAUCCUAGACAGCUACUUGUGUAGUAUACAUGGCAAUCUAGUCACUCAAGAUGCGUCACUGCUAUCCGCUAGAGCACACAACAUACAAACCACCACUAAAAUUGACGCGGGGCGCAAGGGUAGGGCGAAAUAUCACACCUUUCAGUUUGGACGGAGUGUAGAACUCGACGACAUCGAGCAGCCUCACCUCCAGCUCCACGUGCGAUUGCUCCUGGACCUGCCAUAUAAGGAAAAGACAUCAGGCCACGAGACCACGAGACCUGCAAUACGAGGAUUUUAUUAGCUCACUGGAUGGUGUGUACUUCACAUCAUAACCAAUUUGAAUACUAUGGUUUCUGAAAAAACUUUGGUACUAAAUACUUUGAGAUGUUUGGUUUAAAAAAUUAUUGUGGUUUAAGAUAUUGCGAUAUCUCUCAUACUGCAGUUUUUCUAUAUUACUUAAAAAAGUGCCCCCCAUCAUUUUUAAACAGAAACAUCCUAUUGAUUCUCUUUGCACUUGAAGCCACUACAAGAAAACCCAUGACUGAAAUCAUAACACCACCACUAAGAUCCCCGGUUGUAACAAGGAUCACACGGGUAGGAUACACUAUGCUUUGCUGGACAAGAAAGACAACAGUUUGCAGAAGGGGUGGAGAAGGGGCAUGGGGACGAACCAGUUCUAGAGGCCAAUGCGGAAGAAGUUGGACUUGCGGUAGGUGUAGCAGGGGAGCGCAUCAAUGCGCCAUUGUGUGAGCCACAACGCCGCCUCGACCGAGGACCCCACGACAUCGCAUCGAUCAUGGCCCCCCACGCCGCCGCCGCCGCCACCACCUCAUCGACGCAGCCCAGCAGCCCCAGCGCCCCCUUCCGCAGGCUCCCUGUGACCGCUCCUCAUGAACUGCCGCGAUCCCGCGCGCGCACGACCAAACCCCAAACGCCAACCACUCAGCACGACGACGACGUGGACAUGGAUAGAUCGCUGCGACGGAUGACUCACGGUCACAGCGGUAUGCAGGAGGUGUGCGCGCAGCCAAAGCGUCGCAGAGGGCUGUCCGUCCCGGUUAUUGGCGAGCGGCGCGCGCGUAAGAGCAUCUCUAGCAGAACCCUCAAACCCUUAAAUCUAAAACCAGUUUUAAGGGUUGAGAAUUGGCCAUUUUUGACACUUUUAAGGGUUGAAAAACAAGGGCAAAGACUAGAACCCUCAAACCCAACCCUUAUAACGGAAUAACCCUCAAACCCAACCCUUAUAACGGAAUAUUCCGUUAUAAGGGUUGGGUUUGAGGGUUCUAGUCUUUGUCCCAACCCCAACCCUUAAAACUGUCAUUUCAUAUAUCACACGUUUCAUCACAUUUCAUCAUAUGACAUAUCACAAAUUCAAUCACAUUUGACAUAAAACAAUAAUCAUUCUAGUUAUUAUUACACCACCGAAUAAAACAAUAAUCAUUCAAAUUAUUACAACAAUGUUUGAGCAAAUUAAAACAAUAAUACAUCAUAAUUCAUGAGUAAACAUUUGACAAUGGAGAUAAAAUGUAAAGUGAAAUAAUAGCAACUUUGGAAGAUCAUGAUAAUCUGAAGCAAAAUACAAGGUAAGCAUAUCAUGAAAAUUUGAAACCAAAUUAUUACAUGCUAACUUAUUUCUUAGCAGCAAUCUGAAGAAAAAUACAAGGUAAGCAUAUCAUGCAAAAUCUAUUUACUAGCCUGUAUUUGUAACUGAUUUCUUAGCAGCAAAAUCUGCCAUGAAAUCGGUAUCAAUUGCACAGGGCAAAACCUGAAACAACUAAUUGCACAGGGCAUGUAUCAAUUGCACACGGCAAAAUCUGUCAUGAAACCUGAAACCAUGAAACCUGAAGCAAAAUCUGUUAUGACUUGCCUGAAAAAAAUUCAGUUGGCUAGAAACUCACAUACACAGAGCAUGUAUCAAUUGCCUCUGUGCCAAUAAUUUUGUUCUACUUAUCUAGCAAAACCAGGAAGAGUAUGUACACUAGAGCUCGCGAGGGCACCAUGGUAGAAGUAUGGAGGUGGAGAAGGAUUGGAACAGGAGCUCAUCGGGGCGUCGGGGAACUGCUGCAGCGGCGAGGUGGGCGGCUCAGGCCGGGGCUGGCGCAGGGGCGGGCGCGGGGCCGGCCGGGGCUGGCACGGCGGCCGANNNNNNNNNNNNNNNNNNNNNNNNNNNNNNNNNNNNNNNNNNNNNNNNNNNNNNNNNNNNNNNNNNNNNNNNNNNNNNNNNNNNNNNNNNNNNNNNNNNNGAAUCCCACUUAUGAUUAACCCCUCUCGCAAGCAUCCGUAACUACGAAAGAAGAAUUAUGACAAAGUCAAACCAUAGCAUUAAACUAGUGGAUCCAAAUCAGCCCCUUACGAAGUAACACAUAAACUAGCGUUUAAGCUUCUGUCACUCUAGCAACCCAUCAUCUACUUACUACUUCCCAAUGCCUUCCUCUAGGCCCAAAUAAUGGUGAAGUGUUAUGUAGUCAACGUUCGCAUAACACCACUAGAGGAAAAACAACAUACAACAUAUCAAAAUACCGANNNNNNNNNNNNNNNNNNNNNNNNNNNNNNNNNNNNNNNNNNNNNNNNNNNNNNNNNNNNNNNNNNNNNNNNNNNNNNNNNNNNNNNNNNNNNNNNNNNNNNNNNNNNNNNNNNNNNNNNNNNNNNNNNNNNNNNNNNNNNNNNNNNNNNNNNNNNNNNNNNNNNNNNNNNNNNNNNNNNNNNNNNNNNNNNAGUAAUCCAACUAGCAUCAACUACAAAGAGUAGUCAACACUACUAGCAACCUUACAAGUACCAAUCGGAGUCGCGAGAUGGAGAUUGGUUACAAGAGAUGAACUAGGGUUUGGAGAUGAGAUGGUGGUGAUGAAGAUGUUGAUGGAGAUGAGUCCCCUCCGAUGAGAGGAAUGUUGGUGAUGACGAUGACGACGAUUUCCCCCUCCGGGAGGGAAGUUUCCCCGGCAGGAUCGUCCUGCCGGAGCUCUUGAUUGGUUCUGCUCAAGUUCCGCCUCGUGGCGGCGGCGAAACCAUGAUAAAGCUCCCUUCUGAUUUUUUCCUGGACGAAAUCCUCCAUAUAGAAAAAUAGGGGGGCAAGUGGGCCAGUAGGGUGACCACAAGCCCCCAUGGCGCGGCCUGGGGGGNNNNNNNNNNNNNNNNNNNNNNNNNNNNNNNNNNNNNNNNNNNNNNNNNNNNNNNNNNNNNNNNNNNNNNNNNNNNNNNNNNNNNNNNNNNNNNNNNNNNAUGCAUGUAGUACAUCCAAUCUGCAAAAUGGGAAUAAGAAAGUCAAAAAAAGAACAACAACAACAACAUAUAUAUGACAAAUGAGCUAAAUUGAAGAAGAAAGAGAAGAAGCAAGAAGGGAACAAGGAGAAGAAAAACAAGUAGGAGGAGGAGGAGGAGGGGAAGGAGAAGGAGAAAGAGGAGGAGAAGAACAAAAAAGAAGAAGAGAAGAAGAAGGAGAAGAAGGAGGAGAGAAGAAGAAGGAGAAGAAGGAGGGCUCCUUUUCCUUCUUCUCCUCCUUCUCCUUCUUCUUCUCUUCUUCUCCUCCUCCUCCUUCUUCUUCUCAUUCUCCUUCUCCUUCUCUUCUUCUUCUCUUCUUCUUCUUCUUCUUCUUCUUCUUCNNNNNNNNNNNNNNNNNNNNNNNNNNNNNNNNNNNNNNNNNNNNNNNNNNNNNNNNNNNNNNNNNNNNNNNNNNNNNNNNNNNNNNNNNNNNNNNNNNNNNNNNNNNNNNNNNNNNNNNNNNNNNNNNNNNNNNNNNNNNNNNNNNNNNNNNNNNNNNNNNNNNNNNNNNNNNNNNNNNNNNNNNNNNNNNNNNNNNNUAUGUCUUUUAGGAGCUUAAUUAGUCAUUUUAUUAUGUCUUCUUGUUCUCCUCCUCCUUCUUCUCCUUCUCCUUCUCUUCUCUUUCUCUUCUUCUUUUUGUUCUUCCUUUUCAUUUCUCAUCUUCUCCUCUUCUUGGAGCUAAAUUAGCUAACUAUGUAUUUUUGGAUCUAAAUGGUCUAAUUAUGUCAUUAUAGAGGAAAACAAGCUAAGUAUAUAAUAUUAAUGAGCUAACCAAGGUUCUUAUGCCAUUUUGAGCUUAUAAUGUCUUUUUGGAGCUAAAUUGGCUAAUUAUGUCAUUGGUGGGGAAAUUAAGGCAAGGAGAAUAUGAAAGAGGAGAAGAAAGAGGAGGAGGAGGAGGAGAAGAAGAAGAAAUAAAGAAGAAGGAGGAGAAGCAGGAGGAGGAGGAGAAGGACUAGAAGGUCCUUGGCCUUCUCCUCCUUCUCCUCUUCCUCCUUCUCCUUCUUCUGUUCUUCUUCUUCUUCUUUCUUUUCAUUUUUCCUAUUUCUUCUCAUGUUCUCCUCUUCUUGGAGCUAAAUUAGCUAACUAUGUCUUUUUGGAGCUAAAUGGGCUAAUUUUCCCAUUUUAUAGGAACACACGCUAAGUAUAUAAUAUUAAUGAGCUAACCAAGGUUCUUAUGCCAUUUUGAGGUUAUUAUGGCAGUUUGGAGCUAAAUGGGCUAAUUAUGUCAUUGUUGGGGAAAUUAAGGCAAGAAGAAUAUGAAAGAGGAGAAGAAAGAGGAGGAGGAGGAGAAUAAGAAGAAAUAAAGAAGAAGCAGGCGAAGGAGGAGGAGGAGAAGGACUAGAAGGUCCUUGGCCUUCUCCUCCUCCUUCUCCUCCUCCUCCUCCUCCUCCUCCUUCUUCUUCUUCUCCUCCUCCUUCUUCUCCUUCUCCUUCUCUUCUCUUUCUCUNNNNNNNNNNCUCUUCUUCCUUUUCAUUUCUCCUCUUAUCCUCUUCUUGGAGCUAAAUUAGCUAACUAUGUAUUUUUGGAGCUAAAUGGGCUAAUUAUGUCAUUGUAGAGGAAAACAAGCUAAGUAUAUAAUAUUAAUGAGCUAACCAAGGUUCUUAUGCCAUUUUGAGCUUACAAUGUCUUUUUGGAGCUAAAUGUGCUAAUUAUGUCAUUGUUGGGGAAAUUAAGGCAAGGAGAAUAUGAAAGAGGAGAAGAAAGAGGAGGAGGAGGAGAAGAAGAAGAAAUAAAGAAGAAGAAGGAGAAGGAGGAGGAGGAGGAGGAGGAGAAGGACUAGAUGGUCCUUGGCCUUCUCCUCCUCCUCCUUCUCCUUCUUCUCUUCUUCUUCUUCUUCUUCUUCUUUCUUUUCAUUUUCCCUAUUUCUUCUCCUCUUCUCCUCUUCUUGGAGCUAUAUUAGCUAACUAUGUCUUUUUGGAGCUAAAUGGGCUAAUUAUCCCAUUUUAGAGGAAAACAAGCUAAGUAUAUAAUAUUAAUGAGAUAACCAAGGUUCUUAUGCCAUUUUGAGGUUAUUAUGACAUUUUGGAGCUAAAUGGGCUAAUUAUGUCAUUGUUGGGGAAAUUAAGGCAAGGAGAAUAUGAAAGAGGAGAAGAAAGAGGAGGAGGAGGAGAAGAAGAAGAAAUAAAGAAGAAGGAGGAGGAGGAGGAGGAGGAGGAGGAGGAGAAGGACUAGAAGGUCCUUGGCCUUCUCCUCAUUCUCCUCCUCCUCCUCCUCCUUCUCCUUCUUCUCCUCCUCCUUCUUCUCCUUCUCCUUCUCUUCUCUUUCUCUNNNNNNNNNNAUUUUUGUUCUUCCUUUUCAUUUCUCCNNNNNNNNNNNNNNNNNNNNNNNNNNNNNNNNNNNNNNNNNNNNNNNNNNNNNNNNNNNNNNNNNNNNNNNNNNNNNNNNNNNNNNNNNNNNNNNNNNNNGGGUCUUCUGCAUCCUCUCAGUUGCAUAGCACCAACGAUCUUGCACCGGCCCACCCAAUCUUGCCUCGGUUGGUAGAUGUAAAAUCAAAUGCUGCAUUGGAUUAAAGAAGCCCGGUGGAAAGAUCUUCUCUAACUUGCACAACAACUCCGGUGCAAACUCCUCCAUGUCUUCUACCACGCCAGGCGACAAUUAUUUCGCACAAAGAACACGGAAGAAAUAGCUCAGCUCCGCCAGUACUAGCCAUUCAUCCUCAGGAAUAAAGCCACGUAACAUCACCGGCAUUACCCGCUCUAGCCAUAUGUGCCAAUCAUGACUCUUGAGACCAAAGAUUUUUUAUUUUUCAAGACUCGCUCCCCUCUUUAGAUUCGCUGCAUACCCAUCGGGGAACAUCAAGUGCAUUUUGACCCACAAGAUAAUUUCCCUCAUAGGUGGCCUUCCAAGAUUGAACCAGGCCUUUGGCUUCGACCACUUCUGCUUUCCUUUGCCUUCUCGCAUGUUUUGUAAUGGUCUAUGACAUACUGUCUCUUGAUCGACUAUAGCCUUAGUAUUAUCCUUUGUCUUCCCAUCUAUGUGAAACAAUGUACCAAAAUAGCCUCUCCGAUAUUCUUUUCAGUGUGCAUCAUGUCGAUAUUGUGUGGAAGAAGGAGGUCUUUGAAGUAAGGCGGAUCCCAGAAGCAUGGCUUGUGAGUCCAGGCGUGUUUUGAAUUAUACCCCUUGAAAUACCCUGGACGCUCUAGAUCAGGCUCGAGGGCAUUUAACUGAUCCAGGAUCUGUUGGCCUGUCAACACAGGUGGUGCCAAGUUCUUGACAACUUUACAUUUGGUAAAGUUCUUCUUGUCUUUUCUGAACUGAUGGUCAGGAUCCAGGAACUGUCUAUGCAAAUCAAAGCAAGAAUACUUCCGACCCUCCUGCAACCAAUGAAACUGAAGAGCUGCCUUGCAUUGGGGGCACGGGAACCUUCCAUGCACACACCAUCCAGAGAAUAGUGCAUAUGCCGGCAAGUCAUGCAUAGAGUACACGUACCACACAUGCAUUUUGAAGUUUUGUUUUCUAGCCGCAUCGUAUGUCUUGACCCCAUUAUCCCAAGCGUCUUCCAAUUCAUCCUUAAGCGGAUGCAGGUACACAUUCAUAUUCUUCCCCGGAUAAUUGGACCCUGGAAUUAUCAACGUCAGAAAUAUGUUCUUUCUUUGCAUAAUCUGCCCGGGGGGGGGAGAUUCAGUGGAAUGACAAAUACAGGCCAACAACUGUAUUGGGUUGCCGUCAUGCCGAAGGGAUUAAAACCAUCCGUGGCGGCGCAGACUCGAGGAUUUCUUGGAUCUGCCGCUUUAUCCUGAUGCAAUCCAUCGAAAUGUUUCCACNNNNNNNNNNAGAUUGAGUGGAAUGAAAAAUACAUGCCAACAACUAUAUUUGGUUGUCGUCAUGCCGAAGGGAUUAAAACCAUCCGUGGUGAUGCAGACUCGACGAUUCCUUGGAUCUGCCGCUUUAUCCUGAUGCAAUCCAUCGAAAUGUUUCCACGCUUCCCGAUCCGAUGUGUGUACCACCAUAUUAUUCCCAUCCGCAUCUAGUUCGGUUCUUUUGCCCAAUUUGUGCCAUGUCAUCUGUCUGGCUGUCUCUUCGACCAUGAAAAUACGUUGAAGUCUUGGUACGAUUGGCAUAUACCGAAGAACACUAACUGCGAUUUUGGUCUGCCUCUCGCACCCAUACCGUUGUCUACCACAAGAUACCUGCAAGACUCGCAAUUGGGACAAUAGUCCAAGUGUGCAUACUCCUUCCUAAAUAAGACACAUCCUUUCUCACAUGCAUCUAUCUUCUCAUAGGGCAUCUUAAGUACGCGAAGUAUUUUGUCCGACUGGUACAGGUUUGCAGGAAUGACAUGGCCUUUGGGUAGGAAACGUCCAAAUAGUGUCAUCAUCGCGUCGUAGCAUUCUCUUCCCAAGUUGAACUGAGCCUUCAGAGCCAUUACUUGUGCAAUUGCAUCCAGCUGACAGAGCUCGGUGUGCUCAUGGAGAGGUCGUUUUGAAGACUCCAACAUUUCAUAAAAGGCCUUUGCAGAUUCCUCCNNNNNNNNNNAUCGUAGCAUUCUCUUCCCAAGUUGAACAGAGCCUUCAGAACCAUUACUUGUGCAAUUGCAUCCAGCUGAUAGAGCUCAGUGUGCUCAUGGAGAGGACGUUUUGAAGACUCCAACAUUUCAUAAAAGGCCUUUGCAGAUUCCUCCAUCUCAUCUUCCGAAUCCCGAGCAUCAUCAAAGUCUUGCACCAUGUCUUCGAUCCCAGUACCAUGCUCGUCCGUGUGACGACGGACCACCUCAGCUCUUGUGCGUUGUAUAGACUCACCAUGAAAUGUCCACACCAUAUAAUUAGGCUUAAAACCCCUCCUCUGCAGGUGUUUAAUCAUUACAGCCUCUGUUGUCUUUUUAUAGUUGUCGCAUCCAGGACAGGGGCAAUAGUUUCUUUCCUCGCCAUUUGCGAAUGCGGCUUUCACAAAUUCCUUUGUUUUUAAAAACCAUUCUUUCGUCAUCUCUUUAUGACUAGGGUGACCGGUAUACAUCCACGCACGAUCACUCAUCUUGCGUAGCUACUAAAGACAGAAGAAAUAUAUUUAUAUAUAAUUCAUCAUCUAUAUUCAUCGGUUAAUCAUGUUCGCCAUUUUUAUUACGUCCAGGCAACCUACACGCUAAUAGGUAAAGAUAGGUCCUAAUCCCACUCGAGUAUGUGUAGACUGGGUUCGUUUUCCCAUGCUCUGCUCCGGAUCCAACGCAAAAUUUCGGCAGCACCUCCCCGCUGUUCUCUUGAUACACGUCUCCGCAAUAAACAGAGAGGAUGUGCAUCCGGAGAACAACAGGGAGGCAAUGACGAAAUUCCGCAUCGGAUCCAGAGCACAGCAUACGGGAAAACGAACCCAGUCUACACAUACUCGGGCUGUCCAUGGAUAAUGUUGGACAAUUCGAAAGGAUGGCGGUUAUAAAUAUGCAAAGACAUGCAUAUUUAUAGAUGUCGCCCUUUCGAAUGGGAGACGCAUACUGGUCACGCAUACUCAUGAUUGAAGAAACCUAUAGCUAGCAAGUUUCAUCGGCACGAAGACCGGGACAGAGCAAAUUAAGGGGGUAGGAGGAGAAGUCAUUUGUGCUCACCAACAAACGCAAGGGCGGAGCUCGUCCAACGCACGUGGAGGUCGUCGAACAACUGCACAUUGAAAUUCACCUGAUCAACACAAAUAUGAUGUUUUUAUAAUUAACAUAACUAUAUGACCUAACUCAUAACUAUGUGGGUCAGUGUCAUCGGGGGUCGAAGGUCACUGGCGUCGGGGAUUGGGGUCUUUUCGGUCAACAAGAGGCGGAAGAGGUGUCGGGGCUCGGGGGUUGGGGGUCAGUGGCGUCGGGGGNNNNNNNNNNNNNNNNNNNNNNNNNNNNNNNNNNNNNNNNNNNNNNNNNNNNNNNNNNNNNNNNNNNNNNNNNNNNNNNNNNNNNNNNNNNNNNNNNNNNAAGAAGAAGAGAUGAAGAAGAAGAGAAGGAGGAGGAGGAGGAGGAGGAGGAGAAGGCCUAUCCUUCUCCUCCUCCUCCUCCUCCUCCUCCUUCUUCUUCUUGAUUUCUUCUUCUUCUCCUCUUCCUCCUCUUUCUUCUUCUUCUCCUCCUCCUCUUUCUCCUCCUCCUCCUCUUUCUUCUUAUUCUCUUCCUCCUCUUUCUUCUCCUCCUCUUUCUUCUUCUUCUCUUCCUCCUCUUUCUUCUCCUCCUCUUUCUUCUUCUUCUCUUCCUCCUCUUUCUUCUUCUUCUCCUCCUCCUCUUUCUUCUUCUUCUUCUCCUCCUCUUUCUCCUCCUCCUCUUUCUUCUUCUCCUCUUCCUCCUCUUUCUUCUUCUUCUCCUCCUCCUCCUCUUUCUUCUCCUCUUUCAUAUUAUCCUUGCUUUAAUUAACCCAACAAUGACAUAAUUAGCCCAUUUAGCUCCAAAAUACCAUAAUAAGCUCAAAAUGGCAUAAGAACCUUGGUUAGCUCAUGAAUAUUAUAUACUUAGCUUGUUUUCCUCUAAAAUGACAUAAUUGGAAUAUUUAGCUCAAAAAGAAGGAGAAGGAAGAAUAAGAAGAAGAAGAGAAGAAGAAUAGAAGGAGAAGGAGAAGAAUAAGGAGGAGGAGGAGAAGAAGAAGAAGGAGGAGGAGAAGAAGAGAAGGAGGAGAAGGAGAAGGAGCCCUCCUUCUUCUCCUUCUUCUUCUCCCCUUCUUCUCCUCCUUCUUCUCCUUCUUCUUCUCUUCUUUUUUCUUCUUCUCCUUCUCCUUCUCCUUCCCCUUCCCCUCCUCCUCCUCCUCCUUGUUUUUCUUCUCCUUGUUCUCUUAUUGCUUCUUCUCUUUCUUCUUCAAUUUAGCUUAUUUGUCAUAUAUAUGUUGUUGUUGUUCUUCUACUUACUUUCUUAUUCCCAUUUUGUAGAUUGGAUGUACUACAUGCAUGGAAGCUGGCGUUGGAGUGCUUUAGUUUCCGUUUUUAUUUGAGUUGAUGAACAAUGUGUUGGUUCUUUGUAUGUGUUGAUGAACAAUAUAUGUGCAACUAUAUGUAUGUAUAUAUGGAUGAAACUUCGUAUGUGUUGGUUCUUUUGAUAUAUGGGAUGUACGUUGAUGAACAAAUGGCAUUGAUGAGCUUUAUAUGUAUAUAAUAUAUGUGUUGUGAUCUAUUUAUGAUAUAUGUGCUCUGAAUUAUAUGUAUAUGUAAUGUGAAAUAGAAAAAAUAANNNNNNNNNNNNNNNNNNNNNNNNNNNNNNNNNNNNNNNNNNNNNNNNNNNNNNNNNNNNNNNNNNNNNNNNNNNNNNNNNNNNNNNNNNNNNNNNNNNNAAUAACUUCUUUAAGCAUCCUGAUAGAGGUGUUGUGAUCAGCAUUACUAGUUGGGAUAGCUUCUACCCACUUAGUAACAUAAUCAACAACAACUAGGAUAUGAGUAUACCCGUUGGAUUUUGGAAAAGGUCCCAUAUAACCAAAGCCCAAACAUCAAAUGGUUUAAUGACAAGUGAAUAGUUCAUAGGCAUUUCCUGACGUUUACCGAUAUUACCUAUUCUUUGACAUUCGUCACAAGACAAGACAAACUUACGGGCGUCCUUGAAGAGAGUGGGCCAAUAGAAAGCUGAUUGCAAUACCGUGUGUGCAGUUCUGUCUCCCGCAUGGUGUCCUCCAUAAGCAUCGGAGUGACACUUCUGUAGGAUCUGUCCCUGUUCAUGUUCAGGUACACAACGUCUAAUAACACCAUCUACUCCUUCCUUAUAAAGGUGAGGAUCAUCCCAAAAGUAAUGUCUCAAAUCAAAGAAGAAUUUCUUCUUUUGCUGGUAUGUGAAACUAGGUGGUAUAUAUUUGGCAACGAUAUAAUUUGCAUAAUCAGCAUACCACGGUGCACUACGUGAAGUAUUGAUGACAUUCAAUUGCUCAUCAGGAAAGCUAUCAUCAAUAGGUUGUGGGUCAUCAAGAACAUUCUCCAACCUAGACAAGUUAUCUGCUACGGGGUUCUCAACACCCUUCGUGUCGAUAACAUGCAAAUCAAAUUCUUGCAGCAAGAGAACCCAUCUGAUAAGUCUAGGUUUAGCGUCUUUCUUUUCCAUGAGGUAUUUAAUAGCAGCGUGUUUAGUGUGAAUAGUGCCUUUGGAAUCAACUAUGUAAGGUCUUAACUUUUCACAGGCAAACACGACUGCUAAAAAUUCCUUUUCAUUAGUAGCAUAGUUCCUUUGGGAACUGUCUAGAUUUUUACUAGCAUAGUGAAUAACAUUCAAUUUCUUAUCAACUCUUUGUCCUAGGACAGCACCAACAGCAUAAUCACUAGCAUCACACAUGAUUUCAAAAGGUAAGUUCCAAUCAGGUGGUUGAACAAUAGGCGCAGUUAGCAAGGCCUUUUAAAGUAUUUCGAAGGCUUCCUCACAAUCGUCAUCAAAGCCAAAAGGAAUAUCCUUUUGCAAGAGAUUGGUAAGAGGCCUAGAAAUCGUAGAAAAGUCCUUAAUGAACCUUCUAUAGAAACCAGCAUGACCAAGGAAACUUNNNNNNNNNNACCUUUGAUAUCUGUAGGGCAUGGCAUUUUUUCGAUCGCAUCAACCUUAGCCUUAUCGACUUCAAUACCUCUUUCAGAAAUUUUAUGUCCUAAGACGAUGCCUUCAUUAACCAUAAAGUGGCACUUCUCCCAAUUCAAGACAAGGUAGGUAUCUUUACAUCUCUGCAAGACUCGAUCAAGGUUGCUGAGGCAAUCAUCAAAAGAAGACCCGUAAACGGAGAAGUCAUCCAUGAAAACCUCAACAAUCUUUUCACAAAAGUCAAAGAAUAUAGCCAUCAUACAUCUUUGAAAGGUAGCAGGUGCAUUACAUANNNNNNNNNNNNNNNNNNNNNNNNNNNNNNNNNNNNNNNNNNNNNNNNNNNNNNNNNNNNNNNNNNNNNNNNNNNNNNNNNNNNNNNNNNNNNNNNNNNNUAAAUCGGCAAGAGACAUCAUAGAACGCACCAUAUCCAGUAAAGUACGAUUACGACGUUCGAACACACCAUUACGCUAUGGUGUUCCAGGCGGUGUCAAUUGUGAAACAAUUCCACAUUGUCUUAAGUGAGUGCCAAACUCAUAACUCAAAUACUCUCCUCCUCGAUCAGGUCAUUGGAAUUUAAUCUUCUUUUUACGAAGAUUCUCAACUUCACUCUGAAAUUGACUAAACUUUUCAAACGUUUCAGACUUGUGUUUCAUUAAGUAAAUAUACCAGUAUCUACUUAAGUCAUUAGUGAAGGUGAGAAAAUUACAAUAUCCAAAGUGGGUCUCAAUGCUCAUCGGACCACACACAUCAGUUUGUAUGAUUUCCAUCAAGUCACUUGCCCGCUCCAUUAUUCUGGAAAAUAGGGUCUUAGUCAUCUUGCCCAUGAGGCAUGGUUCACAUGUGUCAAGUGAUUCAAAAUCAAGUGACUCCUAAAGUCCAUCAGCAUGGAGCUUCUUCAUGCAUUUUACACCAAUAUGACCUAAGCAGCAGUGCCACAAGAAAGUGGUACUAUUAUUAUUACUUUACAUAUUUUGGCAUCAAUUUUAUGAACAUGUGUGCUAUCACUUUCAAGAUUCUAUAAGAAUAAACCCCUCACAUUGGGUGCAUGCCCAUAAAAGAUAUNNNNNNNNNNAAAAGUCCAUCAGCAUGGAGCUUCUUCUUGCAUUUUACACCAAUAAGACCUAAGAAGCAGUGCCACAAGAAAGUGGUACUAUUAUUAUUAACUUUACAUAUUUUGGCAUCAAUUUUUGAACAUGUGUGCUAUCACUUUCAAGAGUCUAUAAGAAUAAACCCCUCACAUUGGGUGCAUGCCCAUAAAAGAUAUUACUCAUAUAAAUAGAACAACCGUUAUCCUAUGAUUUAAAAGAGUAACCGUCUCGCAAUAAACAAGAUCCAGAUAUGAUGUUCAUGCUCAACGCAUGCACUAAAUAACAAUUAUUCAGGUUUAUCACUAAUCCCGAUGGUAAUUAUAGUGAGAGCAUGCCAACGGCGAUCACAUCAACCUUGGAACCAUUUCGCAUGUGCAUCGUCACUUCGUCCAUCACCAACCUCCGUCUAUUCCGUAGUUCCUACUUUGAGUUGCAAAUGUGAGCAACUGAAUCAGUAUCAGAUACCCAGGCACUACAACGAGAGUUGGUGAGGUACACAUAAAUAACAUGUAUAUCAUAUAUACCUUGUUUGAUAUUGGCCGCCUUCUUGUCGGCCAGAUACUUGGGGUAGUUCCGCUGCCAGUGACCAGUCCCUUUGCAAUGAAAGCACUCAGUCUCUGGCUUGGAUCCAGCCUUGGGUUUCUUCACGGGAGGGGCAACUUCUUUUCCACUCUUCUUGGAGUUACUCUUCUUUCCCUUGCCAUUUUUCUUAAAACUUGUGGUUUUAUUGACCAUCAACACUUGAUGUUUCUUCCGAAUUUCUGACUCAGUGACUUUCAGCAUCGCAAGCAGCUCGGCAACUNNNNNNNNNNNNNNNNNNNNNNNNNNNNNNNNNNNNNNNNNNNNNNNNNNNNNNNNNNNNNNNNNNNNNNNNNNNNNNNNNNNNNNNNNNNNNNNNNNNNCUUCUAUCCUUCUCCUCCUCGUCCUCCUCCUCCUCCUUCUCCUCCUCCUCCUCCUCCUUCUUGAUUUCUUCUUCUUCUCCUACUCCUCCUAUUUCUUCUCCUCUUUCAUAUUAUCCUUGCUUUAAUUAACCCAACAAUGACAUAAUUAGCCCAUUUAGCUCCAAAAUACCAUAAUAAGCACAAAAUGGCAUAAGAACCUUGGUUAGCUCAUGAAUAUUAUAUACUUACCUUGUUUUCCUCUAAAAUGACAUAAUUGGAAUAUUUAGCUCAAAAAAGACAUAAUUAGGUAAUUUAGCUCCAACAAGAGGAGAAGAGGAGAAGAAAUAGGCAAAAUGAAAAGAAAGAAGAAGAAGAGAUGAAGAAGAAGAGAAGGAGGAGGAGGAGGAGGUGGAGAAGGCCCAGGACCUUCUAUCCUUCUCCUCCUCCUCCUCCUCCUUCUCCUCCUCCUCCUCCUUCUUCUUGAUNNNNNNNNNNNNNNCCUUCUAUCCUUCUCCUCCUCCUCCUCCUCCUCCUCCUUCUCCUCCUCCUCCUCCUUCUUCUUGAUUUCUUCUUCUUCUCCUCCUCCUCCUCUUUCUUNNNNNNNNNNNNNNNNNNNNNNNNNNNNNNNNNNNNNNNNNNNNNNNNNNNNNNNNNNNNNNNNNNNNNNNNNNNNNNNNNNNNNNNNNNNNNNNNNNNNGGCCCCCCCCAGAAAAAUGGGAUAUGAAUUUUUCGUCCAAAGAAAAUAAAAACUUCCUUAGACAACAAUGUUUGCAAUUCCAAGAUGCACCCUUGUACGCAAUAUUACAUCAUUUGAACAAACUAUGCCAUGAAUAUGGCCAUAAGAUUGAUCAUUUGGCUUGAAAGCCAUGAACCUUCACACCUGAUAACUCAUGUGUGAGAACACCAUUUUAAAAUAAUUUUCGUAUUAAAAGUUUAUUAUUUUUUCUGAUAACAUGGUCACAUAUAAUGACACAAUGCAAAGGUUUUCCAAUUUUGUGAUUUUUUUAAUAAAUUUCAUGCCCAUUUCAAUAGGCGGUCAAAACGACACGAAUGACCGUUCAUCGGUAGGGGUUCUAUCUUGAAAAAAAUUGGUGUUUUUCUGAUUAAAUAGAUACUUUUGUACAUAGAAAUAAUUUUUUGAAAAAAUAAAGUACAAAGUAUGAGGCAAUUGUAGUUCAAAUUUGACAAGCUUCCAUGUGAAUUGGCGGAAAUUUGUCUUUUUCGCGAGAGGUGGAUAAAAUCUUUUGACACCCAACCAUUUGGUCAAUUAUACAUUAAAUAUUGCCUAAUAGUUUUGAAAAUUGAUUUGGUCCAAUUUUACAACAAAUAUAUGGUAGGUCCUUCACAAAAAGAAUUGAUUUUGGGCACUCAAAAAAUGAAAAAUGAAUUAUUUCAUCCAAAGAAAAUGAAAACUUCCUUAGUCAACAUCGCGACACUAAAAAUGUGGUAUAAUUUUUUAAAAAUGGUGUAGUCCAAUUUUGCAAAAAAUAUUUAAUAUUUUCUGUAAUUUUUCCACCGAUUUGGGUAGAAAAAUCGUGUUUCGAGUUGGCCAAUGAGAGGCGAGAAAACUACCUUCAAGCGGAUCACCCAGUUGGACGCGAUCUGAGCCAUCGAUCAAAAUCCAUCCAAUGGCGAAGCCUCUCCUAAGAAAGCACAACCUAACCACCCACGCACCCACCCACCCUUCCUUAGUUUCCAGAUCCCAUCGAGCCGCCUCUUCAGAUCCCAUCGAUCCAUCGGCUCCUUCCUCCCCCUCCCUACCACCACCACCUCCGGCUACCACUCCACCCCAGCCCACCCCAUCUCACCUCCUUAGAGCAAGUCUAGUAGAACCCUCAAACCCUCAAAUCCUUAAAAAUAACCGUUUUUUUACAGUUUUCGUCGAAAAAACGGCGUAGACUAGAACCCUUAAACCCUUAAACCCGUAAAAAAAAUUAAAGGUCCAACCCGCAAACGCCAUCGCAGCCUGUAGAAGUGAGGGUUGGGAGGAGAAACUCCUCCCAACCCGCACUCCACUUCCUCUCCAGCGCGGGAGGGAUUUUCAUCCCGCUUCCGUCUCCAGCCGUCGCCUCCUCGCGCCCGCCUCGCCGCCAUGGAGACCNNNNNNNNNNNNNNNNNNNNNNNNNNNNNNNNNNNNNNNNNNNNNNNNNNNNNNNNNNNNNNNNNNNNNNNNNNNNNNNNNNNNNNNNNNNNNNNNNNNNNNNNNNNNNUCCUGUUCCAAUCCUUCUCCACCUCCAUACUUCUACCAUGGUGCCCUCGCGAGCUCUAGUGUACAUACUCUUCCUGGUUUUGCUAGAUAAGUAGAACAAAAUUAUUGGCACAGAGGCAAUUGAUACAUGCUCUGUGUAUGUGAGUUUCUAGCCAACUGAAUUUUUUUCAGGCAAGUCAUAACAGAUUUUGCUUCAGGUUUCAUGGUUUCAGGUUUCAUGACAGAUUUUGCCGUGUGCAAUUGAUACAUGCCCUGUGCAAUUAGUUGUUUCAGGUUUUGCCCUGUGCAAUUGAUACCGAUUUCAUGGCAGAUUUUGCUGCUAAGAAAUCAGUUACAAAUACAGGCUAGUAAAUAGAUUUUGCAUGAUAUGCUUACCUUGUAUUUUUCUUCAGAUUGCUGCUAAGAAAUAAGUUAGCAUGUAAUAAUUUGGUUUCAAAUUUUCAUGAUAUGCUUACCUUGUAUUUUGCUUCAGAUUAUCAUGAUCUUCCAAAGUUGCUAUUAUUUCACUUUACAUUUUAUCUCCAUUGUCAAAUGUUUACUCAUGAAUUAUGAUGUAUUAUUGUUUUAAUUUGCUCAAACAUUGUUGUAAUAAUUUGAAUGAUUAUUGUUUUAUUCGGUGGUGUAAUAAUAACUAGAAUGAUUAUUGUUUUAUGUCAAAUGUGAUUGAAUUUGUGAUAUGUCAUAUGAUGAAAUGUGAUGAAACGUGUGAUAUAUGAAAUGACAGUUUUAAGGGUUGGGGUUGGGACAAAGACUAGAACCCUCAAACCCAACCCUUAUAACGGAAUAUUCCGUUAUAAGGGUUGGGUUUGAGGGUUAUUCCGUUAUAAGGGUUGGGUUUGAGGGUUCUAGUCUUUGCCCUUGUUUUUCAACCCUUAAAAGUGUCAAAAAUGGCCAAUUCUCAACCCUUAAAACUGGUUUUAGAUUUAAGGGUUUGAGGGUUCUGCUAGAGAUGCUCUUACGCGCGCGCCGCUCGGCAAUAACCGGGANAAUAACCGGGACGGACAGCCCUCUGCGACGCUUUGGCUGCGCGCACACCUCCUGCAUACCGCUGUGACCGUGAGUCAUCCGUCGCAGCGAUCUAUCCAUGUCCACGUCGUCGUCGUGCUGAGUGGUUGGCGUUUGGGGUUUGGUCGUGCGCGCGCGGGAUCGCGGCAGUUCAUGAGGAGCGGUCACAGGGAGCCUGCGGAAGGGGGCGCUGGGGCUGCUGGGCUGCGUCGAUGAGGUGGUGGCGCCCCCCCCCCCCCGUCGUGGGGUCCUCGGUCGAGGCGGCGUUGUGGCUCACACAAUGGCGCAUUGAUGCGCUCCCCUGCUACACCUACCGCAAGUCCAACUUCUUCCGCAUUGGCCUCUAGAACUGGUUCGUCCCCAUGCCCCUUCUCCACCCCUUCUGCAAACUGUUGUCUUUCUUGUCCAGCAAAGCAUAGUGUAUCCUACCCGUGUGAUCCUUGUUACAACCGGGGAUCUUAGUGGUGGUGUUAUGAUUUCAGUCAUGGGUUUUCUUGUAGUGGCUUCAAGUGCAAAGAGAAUCAAUAGGAUGUUUCUGUUUAAAAAUGAUGGGGGGCACUUUUUUAAGUAAUAUAGAAAAACUGCAGUAUGAGAGAUAUCGCAAUAUCUUAAACCACAAUAAUUUUUUAAACCAAACAUCUCAAAGUAUUUAGUACCAAAGUUUUUUCAGAAACCAUAGUAUUCAAAUUGGUUAUGAUGUGAAGUACACACCAUCCAGUGAGCUAAUAAAAUCCUCGUAUUGCAGGUCUCGUGGUCUCGUGGCCUGAUGUCUUUUCCUUAUAUGGCAGGUCCAGGAGCAAUCGCACGUGGAGCUGGAGGUGAGGCUGCUCGAUGUCGUCGAGUUCUACACUCCGUCCAAACUGAAAGGUGUGAUAUUUCGCCCUACCCUUGCGCCCCGCGUCAAUUUUAGUGGUGGUUUGUAUGUUGUGUGCUCUAGCGGAUAGCAGUGACGCAUCUUGAGUGACUAGAUUGCCAUGUAUACUACACAAGUAGCUGUCUAGGAUCCCUUCUUUAUAUUAAAAUAUGUGAGAAUGAUCGACCACUUUGUGAAUACAUGAUGGCAUAGAGUAAAUACAUAGUUUUAGAUGAGCUGCCUAACCCUGCAGAACCCUUUAGCUCAUCGAUGUUGUGAAAAAAGGGCAAACCAUAUCUUGUAAUUUAGCUGCCUCAUAGUUCCAGUGUGAAAACUAUUUUAGGAGCAUUGUUUUACUAUUAGAUUAAAUUGCUACUCUUAAUGAUGAAUGGUUGAGUUUUUAAAUUUGAAGCGACACCUACUUCCUGGUCCUAUAGUAUUUAAAACUGUUAAUUAUGAUGCAUUGCUCCAUUGGCCUUGAUCUGAACCUCUCAAGUUUAUGUUUCCUGGUAUGCAGGUAACUUAUCAUUUUUAUUGGAAAGCCUCUAACGAAUUUAUUAGAAUUUUUCUUCUAUUGUCGUGUACAGUAUGUGAUAAACAUGUCUAUAUAACCGGGGAUGUAUAAUGUCGAAUUAUAAAAACCAUAAAUUCAAGCUUCUGUUGUAUCAUGCUCGAUAUAUACUAUUAUAGAAUAGUGUUCUACAAGAUGCAUCUUGAGUGACUAGAUUGGUGACGCAUCUUGAGUGACUAGAUUGCCAUGUAGUUGAAACACCAUGGUGUCAGUCAUUUGUGGGAAGUAGAAACACUAUGGCUUAUAUUUUUUACACUUCACUGUUUUAUUUGUUUUUUCUAAUUUGUUUUGUGGAUAGUAAAUUUGCAAUUGUAUGCCCUUUGUAAAAAAUGCAUUCUACGUUUCCAUGCCAUGUAAUGCUGAAGCACGUCUCUAUCUAUGAUAUUCUACACCACUGAAAGGCUGAUAUCUUGUAUAGAUUUGGCUUUUGGCAGGUAGUCCUUUUCCCUGCCACGUUUAGUUGCAUUGCUCUGAUGCCCAUGAAGGGUGAGAUCUUGGUCGGCACUAUGGAGAAGACCCUUGAAAGGUCCACUCGAAGCUAUCAAAGGGCACUUAUAGAGCUUGCGGCUGUGAUUACAUUUGUAGAGCUUGUGGUUGUGUUUACACUUGUAGAGCUUGUGGUUGUGAUCACCAUUGUAUCUAAGUUAUAUGUUGUAAUAGACUUAUUGUGGCUGUUAUUUGAAGUAUUAUGUGUUCUUUUUGUCUGUUUUGAAUUAAAUAUUGGUUAUUUAUUUGUUGGUGAAUUGAAAACAUGAAUCCUCAUACUAGAAGCUGACAAUCGGAACCCAUUUGUCUAUUGGACCCAUCUUCUGAAGAAAAAAAACUGGAACCAUUGAGCCAGAAAGGCCACGACCAAAAAAAGGCUGAAAUAUCGGGUGAGACCCAUGUAGCCGACCAGAAUGACAACAAAAAAUGAUAAUUAAAUGGGCUGAAUUGUUGGGCUCGGCCCAUAUGGACACCGAAUUGGACGUAAUUUUUCCACGCCAGCUUGCCACGUUGGAUUUGACGUGGCCUGGGCACACAACCAGUGACCAAAACAAUUGGUCGUAGAACCAACGACCUUUUCGUUUUGAUCAUUGCCUGCUACGACCAUUCCAGAAGAAAGGUUGUUAUAGUUCACUAGAGACGGUCCUCUUUUUACCAAUUGUUUUCGGUCAUAAAAAGGUCAUAAAUGGAAAACAACGACCAUUCAUUGACCAAUAUGAAAGGUCAAAAGUUGACAUAUUUCUUAUAGUGUGUGCGCGCAACUGGUCGCCGGUGGAUGGUUGAAGGGAAAGGGAUGAGAGGUGGAUGUGUGGUGGAAGACGAGGUCGCUGGCUGUGGGGCGAGAGCAGAGGGAGUGGAGUGGGUCAGUCUUCCACAUAUAGGAUUUUCUGUGCAAGGGAGUGAGACGAGGAGUGGAGAGAGUGAGACAGGGAGCGGNNNNNNNNNNNNNNNNNNNNNNNNNNNNNNNNNNNNNNNNNNNNNNNNNNNNNNNNNNNNNNNNNNNNNNNNNNNNNNNNNNNNNNNNNNNNNNNNNNNNGAGAGUUGCUAUGCACGUAUGAUUUCAUGUGGCACCCUCUAUUUUUUUUCAUUAGCAUGCAUGCAUCCAUGCCAUCUCAUUCCUUGGCUUACCUUUGAUUCUAUGUCAUGUUAUGUUUGCUUGUCAUGAUCAUGUGGGCAUAUGUGAUUACUAGGAGUUAGUGCUUGUGGUGUUAUGAUUGCAUGUGACCUUGCUAGGGUUUUUUUGUGGUAUUGCACUAGCUUGUGAUGCAUGUGUGUUUGGUGGUAUGUGGGUAGGAGUGAGUGCUAGAAUUUCAAAGGCUCUUAGCUAUUUUAAAUCCUUUUCCCUCCUAUUAUCUCAUGUCAAAAUUCCUUCUUCCCAAAAAUGAUUCAAAAAUGUCUAGNAGGUUAGAUUAAAUUGUGUUUAUGAGGUGGGGUAUUUUUGCGGACUUGUUAUUUGAAUUUUAAAGGUGCAAAUAAACCCAAAACGGUAAAUUAAUUUCUGUUUUGCAUUUAUUUCUAUGGCGCCAAAUAUUGCUUUUCUAUUUUUUUUCUAAUGGGCCAUAAUUCCUUAUGACCAGGGGAUUUUUCCUUUUAAGUUUAUACCCACCAGCUUAUUCGUUUUAUNNNNNNNNNNNNNNNNNNNNNNNNNNNNNNNNNNNNNNNNNNNNNNNNNNNNNNNNNNNNNNNNNNNNNNNNNNNNNNNNNNNNNNNNNNNNNNNNNNNNGCAAAAAUAGAAUCAGGGGCUGCUGGGAUUCGAACCCAGACCCCUGGUGUCCAGCAACAGCAACACUCCACUGCGCUGCUGCACUAGUUGUUGACAAGAGAAGAGAAAAAUGGCAAGGUAAGGUGACUGCAGGCCCAUUGAUACGAAUAAAUCACCCAAAACAACAAAAGGCGCCGAGGGGGGACUCGAACCCACGCCCUCCUACAGGCGCAAGCAUAUGACAGAGCAACACUACCAUCGGGCUACGGAUCGAAGACUGGCUAAGACAAGGAGGUAAAAUAGAAAACCCACCCCACUCACGAGAAGAACUCCGCCGGCGGCCGGACCCGAGGGAGCUGGCGGCGCCACUCCCGGCCACCACCGGUAGGGGAAGCUAUCGGCGGGGGCCGCGGGAACCUCAGGGGCUCCAUUCCCGCCCUGAGCACGGGAAAAGGCCUCCCCUUGGCUGCCCGGAACUGCAUCGGCGUUCCCUGCCGCCACCACUGCUAAGACUGCGCCGGUGAUAGAGAGCUCUGGCGCGCCACCCUGCUGACCCUGCUACGCUGCUAGGCUACACGUCGAUCUGCUACCAACACCCUGCUACACCACUACGCCUCGCCUCUCCACUCGACAACGCACGCACGAGCUCGGCACAGAAGAGCCGCUACUACUGCUCCUCUAUCAUGCUGCUGCUAACGAACAGAGGAAGCACGCGCCCGACGGGACCGAGCCGAUCCGCGGCGGAGGAAGGACGGGGGAGGACGCGGCCUCACCUUGGGAGAAGAUGGGGCGCCGAACGGGGAGGAGGAGCGCCGAACCGGGGAAGAAGACGUCGAAGAAGCUCCUCCGACGUAGACCGAAGCAGGGAAGGAGUUCGCCCGGUUCGCCCCGUUGACGAGGACGAGCUCGACGGGGGGGGGGUCUCUCCUCGGGGUCCUAACGCCGGGAAUGGGACGCGGGGAGCCGCCCCGAGCCCCCGGACAUGGCGGCCGUGCCGCCCGACGAUGCCCGCGGGUAGACGCCGGCGACUCUCUCUCUCUGCACCCUCUGCUAGCUACAGGAAGCUCACCUGGGAGGAAAGGAAUAGAUGGAGAUGGGGUUGGGAGAGGUGGCGGCGGCGGCUGAGGGGAGAAGAGGAACCCUAGGCUACGGGCACGGACGCCAACGCAUCUUAUAGGGGGUCCUCCACGUGCUGCUCACGGCGCCGUCAGGUCUCUCUCUCUCACACGUGCUGACGGAAAGAAGAAAGCGAGGGAGGAGAGGUAGCGCCGUCAGGAAGGAGGGGGUCGCUCGCCUGGGCUCUCGCUGGAGGGAGAUACAUGGGCCAGCAAGUGGAGGGAAGCCCACUGGCGGCCACUAUAAGAAAGGCCCCAGCAGCCUCUCCCAAAUAAAAGAAACACAAAGAAGNNNNNNNNNNNNNNNNNNNNNNNNNNNNNNNNNNNNNNNNNNNNNNNNNNNNNNNNNNNNNNNNNNNNNNNNNNNNNNNNNNNNNNNNNNNNNNNNNNNNGAUUUUCCAAACCUCAAUCAAGCGUCUGUGGAAGAUAGCCCUAUAAGAUACUACCAGAUAUCCCACCUAUGAAUUCCCGAAAUAACUGGUCAUGCAAUCAGGCACCCGGAUACAAGGAGUAUUUCACACAACUCCUAAACUAACCCGUCACCUGUAUCACACCCUUCAACACACGACCAGCAUCUCGGACCUUCGUCUACCACAGAUCCUCGUGAUCACCACGAUACAAAGUGUGGUAGUACCCGCGAACAAUCUACACCAGUACUGGGGACGUCGGGGUUAUCUCACCACUACCCGUAUUGAAGCAAUAACGAACACCCUCUGUUCUUAGGUACUCAGAAAUCUGAAUGAUGGCGAUGUGCGCGAUAAUCCCUGGAGCUCAACUCCCCUGAAACUUAGAGCAGAUAGGAGGCACCAGGACAUGAUUCCGUCACAUCGAAAUCAUAUAGAUUUCGCAAACACCCGCGUGAUCCUAAAAAAAUUUUGAGCGAGAAAAGGAGUAGAGUUAAAGGUUUCCUAAGACGGAAGCCUCACGAGAGCAAAGAAGAGGAGAAAAAUGAAACCUACUCUCCGAUAUAACUAAGACUCAAAACACUUACUAGACUCGACUCGGCCAAAUACGAUCACACAAAGGCUCCUAUGGUCGUAAGGCUCUGAUGACCAACUUGUAACGACCAAGAUGCGGUCCUUUCCGAUCUGGGGGUCGAGGCCCCCGAAUAGGAAAGAAGCGCAUCUAAGUGUUUUGCAAACAAGUAAACAUAGCACAUAAUAAUAAAUAUAGUAGACAAUCUGGGAUUCACUGUCUUCUUAUUAAUAAUACAGAGUACAACGCAGAUACAAACAAGGUAGUUACGGUACGGACUACAAAACAAGGAAAAUGCUAUGCUACCCGCUGCAGGUCCACGAUCACGACCACGGCUCAGUCCUCUGGAUAGUUCACGUAAAGGCGAUCUGUCUCCUCGUCGUACUGCCACGCCAGCUGGGUGCCAUCGGGAUCAUCGGUCUCUGGGGUACCUGUACCUGUUGGAAGUUUCGGAGGAAUCCGUGAGCCACGGGGACUCAGCAAUCUAAGACCUUGGUGCCAGAACUAGUCAUGUUAUUGGGUAAGGAAGGGAUGAAGUGUUUCAGGCUGCUGCAACCUAUGAUUGAAUAAGUGGCUAACUUACUCGAGAAGGAAGUGAAAGUGGUCUACGCUAACGAUCGAGAAUACUUGAUCAGAAAGUGAUCCUGAACACCUACCUACGGCAUUCAUAACCCCACCGUGUUCCGGAUCGAAGAGAGGUCUUCGAGGGGACAGUCACGGUUACUCACACAGUUGGCAUUUUUAUUAGUUUAGGUUUAAGUUCUCUAAUACCGGAUGUUGACAAAAUAUUCCAAGUUGCCACAUAACCACGGGCACGGCUUUCCGAAAGAUUAAACCCUGUAGGGGUGCUCCAACUAGUCCAUCACAAACGAACACAGGCCGCAAAGGCAUCCUCUAUCACGAAUCUCGUGAUCUCGUCGGAUUCCUUAGAAGAAAAUCUCAACUCUGGGGAAAACCAAAGCUUCACCGGGAUUCCUAUACGCAAGAUAUACCGCUAAGGCAAGACAAGACUAGCAGGACCUCCCGACGUGUCGACGACCCCGAUAAGAGCCGCGUAUCUCAGUCUCAGGACACGCCGGAUGGAACUAGCUACAGGUGCAAAACCUCAAGUUUCCUUGUGGUGGCCCCGCAGGCAGACCAGUUUGGACCAACACUCAUGAGGAGCACUGGCCCGGGUUGUUGAUUAGAAUCCUCGGGGUAGCUAUUCCCUAUGCAGUUUAUUAUUAAGUGAUUAGCAAAUAGUACCAAUGUUGGGUCCUGCUGGACAAGCCUUAACACUACGCGAUUUAUCAAGGGGGUCCCCAUAACAAUCCCGAACAUGUUAGGAGCGAUCAUUAUGGAAUCAAACACCGGUAACCGGUAACUAAGGCGGCAAUAACGGAACAAGACACCCGGGAAAAGGCUAGGCCUCCCGUCAUUUACCAAGUAUAUAGAUACAUUAAUUAAAUAACAGAAAUUAAAAUAAUGAUAUCAAGCUCAUGUCAUCACAUGAGUUAAGGCACCUGCAGCUAACAACGCUAACAUUAGUAGCUGAGCAAGCCUACCUAGCCAUGCAAGGUUGCUAGGAAAGAGUAAGGUGUUUAGGCUCAUGGCAUAUGAAGAGGCAAUAUAUUUUCAGUGGUAGGCAGCGAGCAAUAUGACGUGGGAUCGAAACUAACAUAACAAGUCUAGAUAUGGGAUCAAGGUCAUGUCAUCUUGCGUGUGAUAUUCUCAGCUUGGAAUGGUUCUUGAUCGUCCUGCACGUACUCUCCUGACUCCACGUAUUCGUUCUCCGGUUCUAACCAACACAAGAAUAACAGCCAAUGAAAAGAGGCACCACAAAAGGCAACAAUCACAUGAUGCAUGAGAUGAAAGUUGAGCAUGCACUACUAUUUCCAUCACUAGCACAAGCACAAUAAACUACAACAAGUUCCUGGGCAGAACUUUGCACUACCUUAUCUGGACAUGCAUGGGAAUGAUAUGAACAGUUGCAUCUCGUAAGAACGGUGCAAAACCAUAUAAAGAACUUUGCAAACGGAGCUACGGAUCAACGGGAAUCAACGUAACACGAUAUGAAGCUCUACGUGAAAGAUUCAACACCUCACACACAUUUGGCACAAAUCUGGUGUUCCCGGGUUGCCAAGACAUAUAUUAACCCAACAUGAAUGAAAUGAAGCAAGUUAGAACACCCCAACAACAAUUAAACACAAACUUUGAACAAAAAGGCAAAACUACGUAAUCUGCCAGUUUCUGCAUCUUAGCUGUUUGUGAGCAACAUGCAACAUAGCUACAGGUCUUCAAAUAUGACAAAUAAUAUAUGUGGCUGUUGCCAACCAAGAACACUACAAGCUCCAACAAGAAUCACAGAAAAAGGAAUUAACCUCUAGAAGAUACAAGGCCACAAACUUUCCCAAAACCAUCAGUUCUCAGGGACUUUGUGAAAAUUCCUGUACCUGAGAUUCUGUUUCUGUUCUGAAGCUUUUUUACAGGAAUCUAAACACAAGCUACUGGACUCCAAAUGACUUGAAAAUUGACAGGAAGCUUCACCAUCAUACCAGGUUCAAAACACUAGCACUGAACUAAGUCCAGUUCUCAACAGAAUGACCAGCACCUCCUUAUCUACAGGGGAAGAAAAUGUUUCCAGCAUUCCAGACUUAGUGAAAUUUUCAGAGUUCAAAAAUCUGGAAUUUUCCAGCCACAUGCCCACUUUGUCUAGGCAUAGUUUGCACACACAUGUUCCCAAGAGGUGAUUGACACCACUAUGGUGUUGGGCACAAACCCCUACUACUAACACACAAAGAUCCAUACCCUUGGGCUCCAUCUAUACCAUGGGAACAAAGCCCAAACUUUCAACAAAAUGUAAAUGCAAAUCCAAAAGGUAUUCUACUAAGAUGACAAUUACCUAGGAGGGUUUCAUGUGCACAAUGACAAAGUGACAUGGGGGUUUGAACCCCAUGUUUGUGUCAUGCACAUCAACAACACCCACACCCAUAUCCCAAAGUUAUUAGACCAAACACAUCACAAUGGGACCCUAGGCUAUCAAGAGAGUAUGCACACCUCCACAUAUAGGCAUGUGAUGGUGCACACUCUCACAUGCAUUACUAGGCUCACCCUAGUAAUCAUGUCAUACUCAAGGAGCAACCCCCACAACAUUCUACUCUAGCUUAUCUAGUAAGCUCCACCUUCACAUGCUAUCUUAGUUGGCCAACUAGAACAUCACUCCACACCAAAACAUGUGAUGAGGGGGAGGCACCCACACCCCACUAAAUCAAUGCAAACAAAUAAAACUACAAGAUCACUUAGCCCACACCAAAGUUCAAAAGUUGGGGCUAUACAAGAGUAGCUAGUGCCUCUUAUCACCUCAAAGCACAACACACACAAUUGUCAAGGCAUCUAACAUCAUCCACCUAUCAAGGUUAACUCCACUUCACUAAGGUGCACCCACCAUAGACAUCACAAGUAUAGCAAGAUCAUACAUCACCUCUUAGUGUGCAAAACACACACAUAACUAAAUCUACCCUAACUAUAUUAGCAGGAACAAAAAUACAACACCACUGUGUAAAGAGUUAGUUAACAGUAGAAAUAACAAAACUAACAAACCACUUUGUAUAGGAGUUAGGGGAACAGAAAUUAAAUAGGCAGGAAAAGAAAAGAAAGCAAAAAUAGAAUCAGGGGCUGCUGGGAUUCGAACCCAGACCCCUGGUGUCCAGCAACAGCAACACUCCACUGCGCUGCUGCACUAGUUGUUGACAAGAGAAGAGAAAAAUGGCAAGGUAAGGUGACUGCAGGCCCAUUGAUACGAAUAAAUCACCCAAAACAACAAAAGGCGCCGAGGGGGGACUCGAACCCACGCCCUCCUACAGGCGCAAGCAUAUGACAGAGCAACACUACCAUCGGGCUACGGAUCGAAGACUGGCUAAGACAAGGAGGUAAAAUAGAAAACCCACCCCACUCACGAGAAGAACUCCGCCGGCGGCCGGACCCGAGGGAGCUGGCGGCGCCACUCCCGGCCACCACCGGCAGGGGAAACUAUCAGCGGGGGCCCCGGGAUCCUCAGGGGCUCCAUUCCCGCCCUGAGCACGGGAAAAGGCAUCCCCUUGGCUGCCCGGAACUGCAUCGGCGUUCCCUGCCGCCACCGCUGCUAAGACUGCGCGGCGACAGAGAGCUCUGGCGCGCCCCUGCUGACCCUGCUACGCUGCUAGGCUACACGUCGAUUUGCUACCAACACCCUGCUACACCACUACGCCUCGCCUCUCCACUCGACAACGCACGCACGAGCUCGGCACAGAAGAGCCGCUACUACUGCUCCUCUAUCAUGCUGCUGCUAACGAACAGAGGAAGCACGCGCCCGACGGGACCGAGCCGAUCCGCGGCGGAGGAAGGACGGGGGAGGACGCGGCCUCACCUUGGGAGAAGAUGGGGCGCCGAACGGGGAGGAGGAGCGCCGAACCGGGGAAGAAGACGUCGAAGAAGCUCCUCCGACGUAGACCGAAGCAGGGAAGGAGUUCGCCCGGUUCGCCCCGUUGACGAGGACGAGCUCGACAGGGGGGGGUCGCUCCUCGGGGUCCUAACGCCGGGAAUGGGACGCGGGGAGCCGCCCCGAGCCCCCGGACAUGGCGGCCGUGCCGCCCGACGAUGCCCGCGGGUAGACGCCGGCGACUCUCUCUCUCUGCACCCUCUGCUAGCUACAGGAAGCUCACCUGGGAGGAAAGGAAUAGAUGGAGAUGGGGUUGGGAGAGGUGGCGGCGGCGGCUGAGGGGAGAAGAGGAACCCUAGGCUACGGGCACGGACGCCAACGCAUCUUAUAGGGGGUCCUCAACGUGCUGCUCACGGCGCCGUCAGGUCUCUCUCUCUCACACGUGCUGACGGAAAGAAGAAAGCGAGGGAGGAGAGGUAGCGCCGUCAGGAAGGAGGGGGUCGCUCGCCUGGGCUCUCGCUGGAGGGAGAUACAUGGGCCAGCAAGUGGAGGGAAGCCCACUGGCGGCCACUAUAAGAAAGGCCCCAGCAGCCUCUCCCAAAUAAAAGAAACACAAAGAAGGAAAAGAAAUAAAACGAAUAAGCUGGUGGGUAUAAACUUAAAAGGAAAACUCCCCUGGUCAUAAGGAAUUAUGGCCCAUUAGAAAAAAUAGAAAAGCAAUAUUUGGCGCCAUAGAAAUAAAUGCAAAACAGAAAUUAAUUUACUGUUUUGGGUUUAUUUGCACCUUUAAAAUUCAAAUAACAAGUCCGCAAAAAUACCCCACCUCAUAAACACAAUUUAAUCUAACCUCCAGACAUUUUUGAAUCAUUUUUGGGAAGAAGGAAUUUUGACAUGAGAUAAUAGGAGGGAAAAGGAUUUAAAAUAGCUAAGAGCCUUUGAAAUUCUAGCACUCACUCCUACCCACAUACCACCAAACACACAUGCAUCACAAGCUAGUGCAAUACCACAAAAAAACCCUAGCAAGGUCACAUGCAAUCAUAACACCACAAGCACUAACUCCUAGUAAUCACAUAUGCCCACAUGAUCAUGACAAGCAAACAUAACAUGACAUAGAAUCAAAGGUAAGCCAAGGAAUGAGAUGGCAUGGAUGCAUGCAUGCUAAUGAAAAAAAAUAGAGGGUGCCACAUGAAAUCAUACGUGCAUAGCAACUCUCGUGGCAAAGUCAAGGUGGUCCCACAUGUAAGGUUACAAAAAGGGAAAAACCUACACUUGGGGCAUUACAAUGGGCCUGUUGUCUGCACGAAGGGGCAGCAGCCGGACAGAUAUCGGAACAAAUCUGACCGGCCAACUGGGCUUCAAAUAAAUCUGGCCGGCCUGCAUCUACAUUGUACUAAACAGCCUGAGGAAGCUGUCGACACAGUUUAUUACGACCUAGUGGCCAACCCUUUGGUUUAAUUAACAGAACCAAUCCAGUUUGUGGAACAGAAAUCCUUCUUUACACCAAAAUCUUCUAUUCUGUGUUGUUUCAGAAAUGAACUCUGAAUUCUGCAAGAGAUUGACACGGGUGUUUGCGCUGCUAAUACUAAUGCAGCUUUUUUGUUUUGCUCUCUUUAUUCAAUCUGAUACUGAAAGCCAGCUCCUGACCGUGCCAUCCCCCCCCCCCAAAUAGUUAUGACAUAUAGUUUGUGUUUAUAUUAAGUCUAUGAUCAAACUUUAACUCCAGGAUGUCUUAUCUGUACCACUAUAUAGUGUAUCAGUUUUGAAUGGAUCCAAAUCAUGAAUCCUGAUCGUUGAUAUCCUCAAUCUCCCACUUGCCUAUUUCAUCAUCGCAGGAUCAGUAGAGUUGGGCCAAUGGACUUAAGUCAAAAUUCUAUAUUGAACGUUGGGUACCUCCAUGGCAAGAGAAGGAUAUAGAGAAGAGACAGCAGAGCCGACCUGCUCAGCCAACUUUAAGUUUUAUUCUACAUCAUUACAUUGAGAAAGAACACCGAUUUACAACUAUGUUGACUAGCUAGCUACUAGCUUAUAGUCCAUAAGAUUUACAUGUAAGUAUUGAGAGCUUCGAUACGUGCCAUCCCUCCAUGCGCUCAAACUUGCAAGUGGCAUGUAUUCCAAUAACUAUCUGCCUAUGUAUGAAUCCUGGUAGGGAUGUGACAUUGACAUAGUGCAUAAUAUUAGAAAUUUUCAAUCAUAUGCAUGAAUAUAUGCAUUAUAUUCAUCUACGUGUCAUCUCUCUAAUGACUCCAUCGUAAGGAGCUAGCCCAUACAUGGCGUAACAAAGCAGUAUCAUGAGUAGUGGUAUGGUCAUGGAAUUUUUUGUUUUGCGGGGUCGUGGAAAUUUCUGGUGCGCUCCAGAGAGAAAUCACCCCCGUAGGACCAAAAUAAUAGCACUACCUUCGGUCUUGAGUUUCUGGAGAUGCAAUGGGCACUUGAUCCAACCUGCUCCAUAGUCAAAAUCAAUCAGGUUAGUUGUUGCAUCUCUUUUAACGAUUUACUUCAGUUUGUACUAACCCCUGCUUCAACAUGGAUAGUGGGACGUCAGCCGGGGAGGGAACUGGCGGUGCUGGAGGGAGGCCCGACCUGUGGUUCGACCUACACUCCCGCUUGGUGGCGAACGGAGACAGGCAGGGAGGGAGGCCUACCCUCCCGCCAUGUCACGCAGACGGACGACGGCGGCGUCAGCCGGGAGGGCACUGGCGGGAGGCCCGACCGGAGGUGUGGUGGAGGGAAGCCCGAUCGGAGGUGGCCUACCCUCCCGCCAUGUCGCGCAGACGGAAGAGGGCUGCCGGGGAGGGCACCGGCGACGGCGGCUGUGAACCCUAGAUAUUUUCACCAGAGGGAGGGAACCACCAGUCGGGAGAGCGAGGGGCUGGUGCACUCGUUGGUUUUUUUUAUCCGGUGUGUUCUUUUUCCACUCGCGGGAGGUAGGCCACCUGUGUUUUUAGUCUUUGACGUCUUCAUAACGACGUAUCUCACGGCAAAGAUUAAUUUUUGCCGCCUUCUCUUGCUAAUCCAAGACGGCAAAACUGCCUGCCGUUUGGGUGAGUUAACAGGAACGUGGACAUCUUUGUUUGCAGUCAUCCAUAGGAUAAGUGUUGGAAUUAUGCCCUAGAGGCAAUAAUAAAUAUAGUUAUUAUUAUAAUUCCUGUAUCAAGAUAAUCGUUUAUUAUCCAUGCUAUAAUUGUACUGAAUGAAGACUCAUUUACAUGCGUGCAUACAUAGACAAAACACUGUCCCUAGCAAGCCUCUAGUUGGGUAGCCAGUUGAUCAACGAUAGUCAGUGUCUUCUGAUUAUGAACAAGGUGUUGUUGCUUGAUAACUGGAUCACGUCAUUAGGAGAAUCACGUGAUGGACUAGACCCAAAUUAAUAGACGUAGCAUGUUGAUCGUGUCAUUUUAUUGCUACUGUUUUCUGCGUGUCAAGUAUUUAUUCCUAUGACCAUGAGAUCAUAUAACUUACUAACACCGGAGGAAUACUUUGUGUGUAUCAAACGUCGCAACAUAACUGGGUGACUAUAAAGAUGCUCUACAGGUAUCUCCGAAGGUGUUCGUUAAGUUAGUAUGGAUCGAGACUGGGAUUUGUCACUCCGUGUGACGGAGAGGUAUCUCGGGGCCCACUCGGUAAUACAACAUCAGACACAAGCCUUGCAAGCAAUGUGACUUAAUGUAAGUUGCGGGAUCUUGUAUUACGGAACGAGUAAAGAGACUUGCCGGUAAACGAGAUUGAAAUAGGUAUACGGAUACUGACGAUCGAAUCUCGGGCAAGUAACAUACCGAAGGACAAAGGGAAUGACAUACGGGAUUAUAUGAAUCCUUGACACUGAGGUUCAAACGAUAAUAUCUUCGUAGAAUAUGUAGGAUCCAAUAUGGGCAUCCAGGUCCCGCUAUUGGAUAUUGACCGAGGAGUCUCUCGGGUCAUGUCUACAUAGUUCUCGAACCCGUAGGGUCUGCACACUUAAGGUUCGACGUUAUUUUAUGCGUAUUUGAGUUAUAUGGUUGGUUACCGAAUGUUGUUCGGAGUCCCGGAUGAGAUCACGGACGUCACGAGGGUUUCCGGAAUGGUCCGGAAACGAAGAUUUAUAUAUAGGAUGAUCUCAUUUGAUUACCGGAAGGUUUUCGGAGUUACCGGGAAUGUAUCGGGAAUGACGAAUGGGUUCCGGGAGUUCACCGGGGGGGGGGGGCAAGCCACCCCGGGGAAGCCCAUAGGCCUUGGGGUUGGCGCACCAGCCCUUAGUGGGCUGGUGGGACAGCCCAAGAAGGCCAUAUGCGCAUUGGAAAGAAAAUCAAAGAGGAAAGGGAAAAAAAAGGAGGUGGGAAAGGGAAGAAGGACUCCACCUUCCAAACCAAGUAGAAUUCGGUUUGGGAGGGGGAGGCCUUCCCCCUUGGCUCGGCCGACCCCCUUGGGAGUCCGUGGACCCCAAGGCAGGUCUUCCCCCUCCUCCUCCUAUAUAUAGUGGGGUUUUAGGGCUGAUUUGACACAACUUUGCCACGGCAGCCCGACCACAUAUCUCCACGGUUUCACCUCUAGAUCGCGUUUCUGCGGAGCUCGGGCGGAGCCCUGCUGAGACAAGAUCAUCACCAACCUCGGAGUGCCAUCACGCUGCCGGAGAACUCUUCUACCUCUCCGUCUCUCUUGCUGGAUCAAGAAGGCCGAGAUCAUCGUCGAGCUGUACGUGUGCUGAACGCGGAGGUGCCGUCCGUUCGGCACUAGACCAUGGGACUGUUCGCGGGGCGGAUCGAGGGACGUGAAGACGUUCCACUACAUCAACCGCGUUCACUAAACGCUUCUGCUGUACGGUCUACAAGGGUACGUAGAUCACACAUCCCCUCUCGUAGAUGGACAUCACCAUGAUAGGUCUUCAUGCGCGUAGGAAAUUUUUUGUUUCCCAUGCGACGUUCCCCAACAAUAAGUAGACAGCAAAAAUCCUGCCUUUGCCGUCAUCUACCCAUAUAGUUAAAGGCAAAACUAUUUUUUGCCGUGUGGUUUUUUUGCCGUCUGCUUUUCAUGAUUUUUGGUGAUAGUAGCUCUUUGCCAUCUUCCCAUGACGGCAAAUUUCCCAUUUGCCGUCUGCCCCGACGAUUUGCUGACGGCAAAGAUUGUACCUAUCAUCAAAAUAGCUGAUUCCUGUAGUGUACGUGUAAGGUCGGUCCGGGCCGCUUCAUCCCACUAUACCGCCGGAAAAUAAUAAGACUAGUAGUGGCAAGAAAUUGACAAAUCAUUGCCCACAACCUUUUGUGUUCUACUCGUGCAUAGAAUCUACGCAUAGAAAACCUGGCUCGGAUGCCACUGUAGGGAAACGUAGCAUAAAUUAAAAAAAGUUCCUACGCAUAUUCAGAUCUUCCUAUGGAGAGACGAGCAACGAGAGAGGGGUGAGUGCAUCUUCGUACCUUUGAAGAUCGCUAAGCGGAAGCGUUGCUAGAACGCGGUUGAUGGAGUCGUACUCACGGCGAUUGAGAUCACGGUGUGAUUUCGAUCUAGUGCCGAACCACGGCACCUCCGCGUUCAACACACGUGCAGCCCGGUGACGUCUCCUGCACCUUGAUCCAGCAAGGAGGAGGGAGAGGUUGGGGAAGAUCUCCGGCAGCACGACAACAUGGUGUCGAUGGAGAGACGAGGUCUCCCGGCAGGGCUUCGCCAAGCACCGUGGGAGAGGAGGAAGAAGGGGGGCAGGGCUGCGCCGAGGGAGAUGGAAAACCGUGUGCAAAACAGCCCCAAAACCCCCACUAUAUAUAGGAGGAGGGGAGGGGGGUGCCACCCCUAAGUUCCCACCCCAGAUGGGAGGUGCGGCGGCCAAGGCAGGGGGAGGGGGUGGCGCACCCCUAGGUGGGCCUUAGGACCACCAGCGCCUAGGGUUUCCCCCCCUCUCCACCUCCUGCGCCUUGGGCCUCCUUGUGGGAGGCGCACCAGCCUACUUUAGGCUGGUUUCCCUCCCUCUUUUGGCCCAUGCUACCUCUUGGCGCUGGUGGCCCCUCCCAGUGGACCCCCGGGACCAUUUCCGGUUGUCCCGAUGGUCCCGGUACAUUACCGGUGACGCCCGAAACAUUUCUGGUGUCCAAAACCAUCCAUCCUAUAUAUCAAUAUUUACCUCCGGACCAUUCCGGAGCUCCUCGUGACGUCCGGGAUCUCAUCCGUGACUCCGAACAACUUUCGGUAACCUCGUAUAACAAUUCCCUAUAACCCUAGCGUCAUCGAACCUUAAGUGUGUAGACCCUACGGGUUUGGGAGACAGGCAGACAUGACCGAGACACCUCUCCGGCCAAUAACCAUUAGCGGGGUCUGGAUAUCCAUGGCGGCUCCUACUUUCUCCACGAUGAUCUCAUCGGAUGAACCACGAUGUCAAGGAUUCAAUCAAUCCCGUAUACAAUUCCCUUUGUGUGUCUGUAUAGAACUUGCCCGAGAUUCGAUCAUCGGUAUACCUAUACCUUGUUCAAUCUUGUUACCGGUAAGUCUCUUUAGUCGUUCCGUAGCACGUCAUCGUGUGACUAACUCCUUAGUCACAUUGAGCUCAUGAUGAUGUGCUACCGAGUGGGCCCAGAGAUACUUGUCCGUCACGCGGAGUGACAAAUCCCAAUCUCGAUUCGUACCAACCCAACAGACACUUUCAGAGGUACCCGUAGUGCACCUUUAUAGUCACCCACUUACGUUGUGAUGUUUGAUACACCCAAAGCACUCCUACGGUAUCCGGGAGUUGCACAAUCUCACGGUCGAAGGAAAAUACACUUGACAUUAGAAAAGCUUUAGCAUACGAACAAAACGAUCUAGUUCUAUGCUUAGGAUUGGGUCUUGUCCAUCAGAUCAUUCUCCCAAUGAUGUGAUCCCGUUAUCAAUGACAUCUAAUGCCCAUGACCAGGAAACCAUGAUCAUCUAUUGACUAAUGAGCUAGCCAACUAGAGGCUUGCUAGGGACACAUUGUGAUCUAUUUAUUCACACAUGUAUUACUGUUUCCUGUUAAUACAAUUAUAGCAUGAACAAUAGACGAUUAUCAUGAACAAGGAAAUAUGAUAAUAACCAUUUUAUUAUUGCCUCUAGGGCAUAUUUCCAACACAAAGAUCCACCGGAGGGGAUGGGCCGGUGGGCCACAAGCCCUGUAGCCGCCACCUCCUGGUGGCGGCUAGCAAGCUUGUGGGGCCCAUGUGGCUCUGCCGCCCCCAAUCUCAGCUCUAUAAAUUCACUUUCGUCCCAGAAAAAAAUAAAAAGAGAAGAUUUCAUCGCGGUUGCAAUACGAAGGCGCCGGCACAUCCUGUUCUUCAUCUGGAGGGCAGAUCUGGAGUCCGUUUUGGGCUCUAGAGAGGGGAAAUCAUUGCCAUCGUCAUCAUCAACCUUCUUCCCUCUCCAAUUCCAUGAAGCUCUUCGUCGUUCGUAAGUAAUCUAUUUGUAGGCUCGCAGGGCGGUGAUGAGUAGGAUGAGAUCUAUCAUGUAAUCGAGUUAGUUUUGAUGGGGAUUGAUCCCUAGUAUCCACUAUGUUCUGAGAUUGAUGUUGCUACUACUUUGCCAUGCUUAAUGCUUGUCACUAGGGCCCGAGUGCCAUGAUUUUAGAUCUGAAAUUAUGAUGUUGUCACCAAUAUAUGUGUGUUUUAGAUCCGAUCUUGCAAGUUGUAGUUACCUACUAUGUGUUAUGAUCCGGCAACCCCGGAGUGACAAUAACCGGAACCACUCCCGGUGAUGACCAUAGUUUGAGGAGUUCAUGUGUUCACCAAGUGCUAAUGCGUUGGUCCGGUUCUUUAUUAAAAGGAGAACCUUAAUAUCCCGUAGUUUCCUUUUGGACCCCGCUGCCACAGGAGGGAUGGACAAUAGAUGUCAUGCGAGUUCGUUUCCCUAAGCACGUAUGUCGACACAGGGAAUGCAUGCCUACAUCACAUUGACGAACGGGAGCUAGCCACAUAUCUCUCCGUGUUAUAACUGUUGCAUGAUGAAUAUCAUCCAAACAAAUCACCGACCCAUUGCCUACAAGUUUGUCCCACUGCUGCUGUUACUUGUUUUCCACUGCUGCUGUUACUUGUUUUGCUCUGCUGUUACUUGCUACUGUUGCUACUUGCUACUGCUAUUACUUGCUACUGUUGCCGCUGCUGUUACUUGCUCUGUUGCUACUUUGUUGUUGAUACUUUGCUUGCAGAUACUAAUCUUUCAGGUGUGGUUGAAUAUGACACAUUCAGCUGCUAAUACUUGAGAGUAUCCUCUCACUUCCUAUUGGCGAACCAACAAAUUUGGGUUGAAUACUCUACCCUCGAAAACUGCCUCGAUCCCACGCGCUCGUGGGUUAUUGCAAGACAAUUUCUAAUUGAUGAGCAAUCGAGAAUAGCAGUCGUCUAGCCAUUGCCAGAGACUGUGAGUCAGUGACGUACGAACUUAUUUCGAUGACCAACACAAAACUUUCCAUAUAUCUAUCUUUACCUUCGGACCAUUCCGUAGCUCCUUGUGAUGUCCAUGAUCUCAUACGAGACUCCGAACAACCUUCACUCACCAACAUACAUAACUCAAUAAUACCAAAAGGUCACCGAACCUUAAGUGUGCAGAACUGAUACGUCUCCAACGUAUCUAUAAUUUUUGAUGGUUCCAUGCUAUUAUCUUGUCAACUUUGGGUGUUUUGUAUGCAUGAAUAUGCUAUUUUAUAUCUUUUUUGGGACUAACCUAUUAACUCAGUGCCAAGUGCCAGUUCCUAUUUUUUCCGUGUUUUUGACCUUUUUCAGAGGAGAAUAUUAAAUGGAGUCCAAACGGAAUGAAACCUGCGGAAUGAUUUUUUCCAUAACAGAAGACACGCAGGAGACUUGAGAACCAAGGCACGGGACCUCAGAGGAGGUCACAAGCCACCCAGGCCCGGCCUAGGGGGCGUGGCGGGCCUCGCAGGCUUGUGGCCCCCCUGUGGCUCCCCUGCCCUAGUUCUUCCGCCUAUAAAUUCCCUAAAAAUCUGAAAACACGGAAGAGAGCCACGAAAAUACUUUUCCGCCGCCGCAAGCUUCUGUCUCCGCAAGAUCCCAUCUAGGGCACGCUCUGGUGCCCUGCCGGAGGGGGGAUUCAGACACGUAGGGCUUCUUCAUCAACACCAAUGCCUCACUGAUGAUGCGUGAGUAGUUCACCAUAGACCUUCGGGUACAUAGCUAGUAGCUAGAUGGCUUCUUCUCUCUCUUGGAUCUUCAAUACAAAGUUCUCCAUGAUCUUCAUGGAGAUCUAUCCGAUGCAAUCUUUUUUUGCGGUGUGUUGGUCGAGAUCCGAUGAAUUGUGGAUUUAUGAUCAGAUUACCUAUGAAUGUUAUUUGAGUCUCCUCUGAUCUCUUAUAUGCAUGAUUUCGUAUCCUUGUAAUUCUCUUCGAGUUGUGGGUUUCGUUUGGCCAACUUGAUCUAUAAUUCUUGCAAUGGGAGAAAUGCUUGCUUUUGGGUUCAUACCGUGCAGUGACCUCUCCCAGUGGCAGAAGGGGUAGCGAGGCACGUAUCGUGUUGUUGCCAUCAAGGGUAAAAAGAUGGGGUUUAUAUCUAUUGCAUGAGUUUAUCCCUCUACAUCAUGUCAUCUUUCUUAAGGCGUUACUCCAUUUGUCAUGAACUUAAUACACUAGAUGCAUGCUGGAUAGCGGCCGAUGUGUGGAGUAAUAGUAGUAGAUGCAGAAAGUAUCGGUCUACUUCUCUCGGAUGUUGUCGUGGGUAUAAGUCUGACAGUAGAUCUAUAGGGUCCGAAAGGAUGGGCACAACCUUAGCUACGGCGAGGUUGUAUGAGUUCAGGCCCCUCUACGGUGGAGGUAAAAGCCCUACGUCUCAGUGCUCUUGGGAGCUUGAUGUCGAGUGGAAUAUGGAUUACAGUGAAUUCCCAACCCCUGCACCAGUACGGAAGGGCGGCUUAUAUAGAGUGCGCUGCCCUCCAUAACGGUUCGAUGCACAGGGGUGGAGUAGUGGCGAAUAAAUGCCUACGUUACAGGUAACGUAUGCCCUAAAUGCUAAUAAAGGUACAUGAAAACGUAUGACCGUUGUCCUCCACGGGGGUUACGAUAUACAUAGUGGAAUCCAGUCGGUAAGCUUGAUACUCUCCGAAUGCACGUCUCCGACUGGAUGAUGGAGGGAUCGUCACCGACCGGAUGAUGGGAAGUCUUUAAUUCAGUCGAAACUGACUAAGGUCCUUGUCCCUUAUGAAGGGUAGUCCUGGGGUAGGACCUAUAGGGCAGGCCUAUGACCCUACCCUGGGACUAUAACCCCAUCAUUAGUCCCCGAAUGGAUCGGGGUUGGAACGACGAGGCGAUGCUUGGGGUACGGAUCCGACUGGUAUGGAUGCAGCUUUGGCGUUGCUUGCCUCGAUCGAUUUUAUCCUCUUGACCAGUGAUCCGAGUGGAUCUGUCUGUGAAACGAACCGUUAGAGACCGAGUGCUUCCGCCGAAUCUUCGGACGUGACCGGUCAACUAACAGCGGCGGAUUUUCUGGGAUCCUCAAAUUUCGGUUGCCGCGCGCUCAGCGGGGAUGACGACAUCGUCAUCGAGUAGUUUCUGCCACGUCGAUUACCGCGCCUUCAUCUCCUCCACUAAUAUCGCAGCAACCGGUCGGGGGAUAAGAUUUUGGGGCCACCUGCUAGUGACCCAGUUGGUACCUUAUUUAAACCUCCCCAGUGAGGGUUUCUCAUUGCGCUCGCCUGAUAACUCGCACUCGCCCCGCUUCUCCCGUUGCUCCCUGUGCACUCCACGCCUCCUCCUUCCUCUCCUCCCCUGCGGAUCUGCAGCCUCCACCAUGACGAAGGGGCAGACGAGCAAGCUCGAGUCGUAGAAGAAGAAGAAGAAGGUGGCGGCUCCUGCUCAGCGGCGACAGCGUGCUCUGCCGGCGGGUUGGAUCCAGGGGGAUUUUCUCCCCUCCACGGUGACGAAGGAUGACCUGCUGGAGCUGGUGGAGCAAGGUUUGAUCAAAAACAAGUCGUGGAGGCUACCGGCGGAGGGCGAGACGGAGCCAGUGCCCCAGGAGGGGGAGCGCGUCUUGCUGCUCAGUCACGUGUACCGAGGCUUCUCUGUGCCUCCUCACCCCUUCUUCAGAGGUAUCAUGAACCACUUCGGGGCACAGCUCCACCAUUUUCCUCCCAACGCAAUAGCUCAUCUUUCUGCCUUCGUCGUGCUUUGCGAGUGCUUUAUCGGUUGUCCUCCCCAUUGGGGGCUCUUUAAGUACAUCUUCUCUGCUAGAUCCCAAACUGUCAAAAGACUUAGCCAGUCGGAUGAUAAAACCCAUCUCCUCCAGCUCUGCGGGGGCUUAGGCUUCCAAAAGAAAACGAAGAGUAGCUAUCCCGCUCUCCAGUUGUCCGAGUCUGUUAGGAACUGGCAGUCGACUUGGUUCUAUUGCCAGGACGUUGCUUGCCCGAAUGCCGCGACUGGACUGCCAGCUUUAAGCCUAGACCGACCGGCUCCGCCCAGGCAGCUUGCACUCACGAAGAUGGAGAAGAUCCAGAUUCAGCCUCUGGUCGAAGCACUGAUAGAUGUCAUCCGCAAGGGAGUCACCGACAUGGAUCUGCUGGAGAUUUUUCUGGGUCGGCGCAUCCAGCCUUUGCAAGCUCAACACCAUGCCAUGUGGCACUGCACGGGGCCUGCGGACUCCACUCGGACUCACCCCGAAUGCAUGACCGGGGAGGUCAUGACAUCGUGGGUCCGCAGCAUCACAGGCGCCUGUGAUAACCCCAGAGGAGCCCGACGAGUGAAGCCCUUCCGCGCUGACAACCCUCCUCCGAAUGAGGUGAGCAUAUGUUGCCGAGUGCUUACAAUUCCCUUAGAUUUGCCGCUUUUUUCUUGCAUCACUGUCUGACGUCUGAUGUUGUCAACUGUAUCUAGUGCAGGCGUGGACCAACUGGUAUUCUCCCGUCUCGAAUGGGAAUCCGGCUGAGGAAGAGGAAGGCAGCCAGGAGGGCAGCAUGGAGAGCGCCGAGUACGUCUCCCACAGUGGGGAGACGGAGGAGGAGUCCGAAGAGGAGGAGGGGGAAGAUGGGGAGCAGGGCUGGCCCCCCCCCCACCACUAGAGCCUCGAACCAAGCGUUGCCACGAACCCGUGACUGCGUCGGCUUCUCUAGCGGCCCUGAGUGCCCCGCCAGCGCCCGUGACUCCGUCGGCUCCUCCAGCGGCCCCGAGUGCCCCGCCAGCUCGUCCCGUGGUUCCGAGCGCCUUGGCAGAAACUCCCGUGGUUCCGAGUGCUCGGAGCACUAAGAGGAACAGGGACGCUGCUGCUGAGUCCGCGGGCCAACCUUCCAAGGUGGCCAAACCGAGUGGAUCCAAGCCUCGGAAGGCUUUGCCUCGGAUGAGGAUCGCCGUUCCUGUUGCCUCAGCGUAAGUGUCUUGUUCUCCUAUCUUCUUUCAGUAUUUGAUUGAACUCAUGUUUAUUGGUCCAGUGGAUUUUACUCGACAGAGCUGCUACCUCCGCCACUUCUCUGCCACGCCAGGAAGACUAUCCCAUGGAUACGGACAACGUUGCCACAUCCCAGCAAGGUACGUCGUGAUGACUCCGAGAGCUUAAAUUAUUGUUUCGAGAAUUCUGUCUUUGAUAUUGCCAUUUUUCUGUGGUCUCACGUUGUUCAGUCGGGCUCCCUUCAGAGGUGAUUCAUCUGGAGGAAGACGACCAGAAGGGGUCUGGGCAAGCUUUGGUGCAUGUCCUUGAGGUCGUUCCGUCUGCUACCGCUCCUGCCAUGGACGCGCCGCCAACCGAGACGAUGCCGUCGACUGAAACGGUGCUCAUCGCUGCUGAACCGACUAGAGCAGGACUUGGGAUGCCCAAGGAGUCUCCCGUGGUGCCGGGCCCGUCGACUAUCCAGUACGACGCCCAACAUCUCCCGGAGGAUCAAGUGGGAGCUGCCAAGGAGGCUAUGGUGCGGGUGGAGUUGAUGGCGGGUGAUGCGAAGGGGGCAUACGACUCCAUCACAUCUUUAUACAAGAGAAGCUUGGAGCUCCGUGACGAUAUCCGAGUAAGUGCGCUAGUAAGUAUUUGCUUUUCUCUUGUAACCCACUGGGGGUUAAGAAAUAUACUCGGAGAUAGUAGAAUUAUUUUGCAGUGGGUUCACUCUGAGUGAACCGAGUGGGUGUAGUCCCCGAGACUUCUGUCGAGUGCUUGCACCGGUAGUUGUCUUUAUAUACAUUGUCUUUGACUUGAUAUGAUGAAGACUAAGCUGUCCGAAUGGUGCCAGUGGGUGCACUCUCAGUGCACGUACUGGAAGUAGUCCCCGAGAGUAAGUUUACUCAGGUCGGGUAGUAGUAGCCUCAUAGGCUUGUUUUUUGUUAUGUAGCUGAAUAGGGUAGACCUGUUUGAGCGUCAUGCCAGUGGGGUCACUCUUAGUGAACCCACUAGGUGUAGUCCCCGAGACCGCUGUCGACUGCUUGCGUCGCCAGGGGUCUGAAGAACUUUGAGGUUUUAUUCUUUUUCCUUGUUGAAUUUGUCUGAUCUUCUCUUCACGCUUAUUUGUAGAAGACUUGCAAGAUGGGAUCAGCGUACAACGCUUUGAAGGUUGAAAAGACUCAGGCAGCUGUGCAUGACUUAGCUGGCGUGAUGGGUGCUCUUGCUGAAGGAGAGAAGUCCUUGGAGGAGUCCCGUGAGGCAAAUAAGGCAUUGGUGGCCGAAAUUGAGAGAAUGGGCAAACAAAGAACCGAGCUGAUGGGACAGAUGAAGGUGAUGAACAGUCGGUGCAUAUCACAGGAGAAGUACGUCAGUGACUGGGCAAGGAAGAUGAUUGCGCUUCUCGGUGGUAAGUUUUGUUUUUCCGAUUGCUCCUUGACUUUGUAUUUCGUGAUGCACUUACUCUCUGCUCGUCUUCUCUUUGCAGAUUUUUGUAUGGACGCUGAGGCUGAAGCAGCUGACAUUGAGCGGUCAGUUAUUCCGAACGUUCCACUCGGCAACGACGCCAAUCGAGACAUGCUCCGAGCGCACAUUCACCUUGGCAAAGUGGGACCGUUCAUCAGCCGCCUGAGAGAAGUCGUCGGCCGAAUCGACAAGGAGCUGUGGCCCGAAGACGAGUCCCGGUGGGAGAUAGAAGGGUUGAUGACUCGGCUGGAGGACGUCCCGAACCGAGUGCAGGCGUGGAAGAAGUCUGCUGCUCGCUGUGGGGUGGACGUGGCGCUGUCGCUGGUCUGAGUGCACUGCAAGGAAGCUCGCGAAGAGAAGCUGAAGGCGUUGCAGGUCGCCAACACCAAGAAGCUUCGAUUGGAAGAUUUCAUGGAGACCUUCCUUGAGACCGCUACUCGCAUCGCAGACGGGAUCGACCUCGACACUUUCGUGGAGCCUGCCAGUCCCAGUGUCAGUCCUGACGACACUUGAAAAACUUAACCUCGGUAUACCGAGUGGAUUUGUAUCAAACUUUGGCCACUGCAGUUGGCCGUCACAUUCGUGGUUCGGUGUGGAUAAGCUUGAUCUACACUGAACCGACUAUCGUUGAACCAACUUUGAAUUGGAAUCGAAUAUUCUGCUCUUCCUUCGCCAAAAAAAUCUUGACACAAUUUUGGCUCGUGAUUUCUGUUUGGCGUUUCUUGGUGAAGCCAGUGGCAAACAUGCGAAGCAUGUAGUUGUCAUUUGUCUUGACAUCUGCAUGAGCCUCAAUGAGGGUCUGCUAAGCCUCCGAGUGGAUCUGGAGGAUACACUCGAAGGAAUCUUUUUACUUAGGCGAUUCUGGAUCGCAGCUAGGUCUCCGAGUGCGGCGUCUCGUGCGCACUCGUAGCGAGUUGAUACUCAUGUAGUUGUCAGUUGUCUUGACAUCCACAUGAGUCUCAAUGAGGGUCUGCUAAGCCUCUGAGUGGAUCUCGAGGAUACACUCGAAGGAAGCUUUUUACUUAGGCGAUUCUGUAUCGCAGCUAAGUCUCCGAGUGCGGCAUCUCGUGCGCACUCGGAGGGAGUUGGUACUCAUGUAGUUGUCAGUUGUCUUGACAUCCACAUGAGCCUUGAUGAGGGUUUGCUAAACCUCCGAGUGGAUAUCGAGGAUACACUCGAAGGAAGCUUUUUUACUUAGGCGAUUCUGGAUUGCAGCUAAGUCCCCGAGUGCGGCAUCUCGUGCGCACUCCGAGCGAGUUGAUACUCGUGUAGUUGUCAGUUGUCUUAACAUCCACAUGAUCCUCGAUGAGGGUCUGCUAAGCCUUCGAGUGGAUCUCUAGGAUACACUCGAAGGAAUCUUUUUUACUUAGGCGAUUCUGGAUCGCAGCUAAGUCCCCGAGUGCGGCAUUUAGUGCACACUCGGAGAAAGUUAGUACCUAGGCGAUUCUGGAUCGCAGCUAAGUCUCCGAGUGUGACGUUUAGUGCACACUCGGAGAAAGUUUUUUUUAGAUCGGGGUCUGCCCACGCGAAAGAAUUUUGAAUCUGCAAAAAAUCAAUCUGCUUUGUAUUACUUCAGCGAUACUUGUUCUUUACAUUGCUUCAGUCGACGGUCACGUGUAGAAGCGCUUCAGGAGAUCUCCGUUCCAUGCUCGUGGCUCGUCCGUUUCCCUGUCGAGGUUGUAGAGUCGAUAUGCACCGUUGUUCAGCACCUUGGAGAUGAUGAAGGGUCCUUCCCACGCGAGAGCCAGCUUGUGAGGUCUCUGCUGAUCCACUCGGAGCACCAGGUCGCCUGCUUGGAAUGUACGACUCCUGACGUCCCGCGUGUGAAAACGCCGCAGAUCUUGUUGAUAAAUGGUUGAGCGAGUCAGUGCCAUCUCGCGCUCCUCUUCUAGAAGAUCCACUCCGUCUUGCCUCGCUUGCUCUGCUUCGGCUUCGGAGAAGAGUUUGACUCGUGGAGCGUUGUGAAGCAAGUCACUCGGAAGGACUGCCUCUGCUCCGUAAACGAGGAAGAACGGGAUCGCCCUGUAGAUCUAUUUGGGGUUGUGCGGAGACCCCACAACACUGAAGGCGGCUCGGUGACCCAUGCGUCGGCAGCAUGUCCCACUUCUCGCAAGAGUCGAGGCUUCAACCCUUGAAGAAUAAGUCCAUUCGCUCGCUCUACUUGCCCGUUUGUUUGGGGAUGCGCCACAGAUGCAAAAUCCACUCGGAUACCUUGGCUUGUACAGAAACCUUUGAAUCUGUCCGAGUCAAAGUUUGUGCCGUUAUCAGUGAUUAUGCUGUGCGGUACCCCGAAUCUGGAUAUGAUGUCCCUGACAACCUUGAUGGCCGUAAGGGCGUCGAGCUUCUUGAUGGGUUUGGCUUCAAUCCACUUGGUGAACUUGUCGACUACCACCAACAGAUGAGUGAAACCUCCUUGGCCUAUCCUAAAUGGACCGACUGUAUCUAAACCCCACACUGCAAACGGCCAAACAAGAGGGAUUGUCUUCAACGCAGAUGUUGGCUUGUGGGACUUGUUCGAGUAGAACUGACAGCUUUCACAUCGGUCGACCAUAUCCUUCGCCAUUUCGUUCGCGUGCAACCAGAAGAAGCCAGCCCUGAAUGCUUUGGCGACGAUUGCCCUUGAGGAGGCAUGAUGACCGCAGGUUCCUGAGUGAAUUUCUUCCAGGAUUAACUGUCCCUUCUCAGGGGAGAUGCAUCGUUGAAGGAUGCCAGAAACACUUUCUUUGUACAGCUGGCCAUCAAUGACGGUGAACGACUUCGACCUGCGGACGAUCUGUCUGGCUUGGAUUUCGUCUUCUGGUAAUUCUUGCCUCAGGAUGUACGCAAUGAACGGCACAGUCCAAUCGGGGAUGAUAGCAAGAAUCUCCAUGAUCAAAUCAACCACAGCAGGGACUUCGACUUCAGUCAGAUCUAUCGAGCUCUUUGGUUGUACUGGUUCCUCUGUGAAAGGAUCUUCUUUAACCGAGGGAAGGUGACGGUGCUCGAGGCAGACGUCACUCGGGACUGGCUCCGAGUGGAUCCAAGUUUCGCCAAUUCGUCAGCUGCUUGGUUUUUCAGUCACGGAACAUGGUGGAGUUCUAGACCUUCAAACUUUUUCUCGAGCUUCCUCACCGCGUUGCAGUAUGUGGUCAUGGUGGGUUUCCUUACGUCCCACUCCUUCAUCACUUGAUUAACCACCAAAUCUGAAUCGCCAUAGACCAUGAGGCGACGGACGCCGAGUGCGAUGGCCAUGCGCAAUCCAUAAAGGAGAGGUUCAUAUUCUGUCUCGUUGUUGGAGGAAUCGAAGUGUAUUUGCAACACAUACUUGAGUUUGUCUCCUUUUGGCGAUAUGAUCACAACGCCAGCGCCGGAGCCGUUUAACAUCUUGGACCCAUCGAAGAACAUUGUCCAAUGAGCCGAGUAGAUGUGAGUCGGUUGUUGUUGUUCUACCCAUUCUGCUAUGAAGUCAGCCAAAGCUUGAGACUUUAUAGCUUUCUUGGCAUCAACUUGAUGUCGCAGUACAACAUCUCCAUUGCCCAAUUCACCACUCGGCCCGAUGCGUCCCGAUUGUGGAGGAUUUCCGACAAUGGAGCAUCAGAAAUGACGGACACCGAGUGGUCUUGGAAAUAAUGAGCCACCUUCUUCGCAGUCAUGUAAAUCCCGUAAAUGAGUUUUUGAUGAUGGGGAUACCUCUGCUUGGAAGGAGUCAGGACUUCGGAGACAUGGUACAUUGGCCGUUGAACCAUGUAUGCUUUGCCUUCUUCUUCGCGUUCGACUGGGAGAACAGUGCUGACGACUUGAUUUGUAGCCGCGAUGUACAGAAGAAGGGGUUCUUUACUGAGCGGAGCAGUAAGAACCGGGUGGGUGGAAAGUAGGACUUUGAGGUCGUCGAAUGCGAUAUGAGCUUCCUCUGUCCACUCGAAAGUAUCUGAUUUCUUCAUGAGUCGGUACAAAGGUAGCGCCUUCUCGCCGAGUCGACUGAUAAACCUUCUCAAAGCCGCUAGGCAACCUGUGAGCCUUUGAACAUCGUGUAUUCUGACCGGCCGCUCCAUUCGGACGAUGGUCCCGAUCUUUUCGGGGUUGACAUCGAUCCCUCGUUCGAAAACGAAGAAACCGAGUAACUUUCCGCUAGGAACACCGAAUGAACACUUGGCCGGGUUGAGCUUGAUAUCGUACCUACGAAGGGUGGCGAAUGUUUCUGCCAAGUCAGUCAGCAGGUCGGAACCUUUGCGUGACUUGACUACGAUAUCAUCCAUAUACGCUUCCACAUUUCGACCGAUCUGGUCAAGGAGGCAUUUUUGGAUCAUGCGCAUAAAGGUUGCUCCUGCAUUCUUCAAACCGAAUGGCAUAGUGAUGUAGCAAAAGCACCCGAAUGGGGUGAUGAAGGCUGUUUUUAAUUCAUCGGGGCCAUACAGACGGAUCUGAUGAUAGCCCGAGUAGGCAUCUAGAAAUGACAAACGCUCGCUACCCGCAGUCGAAUCGACAAUUUGAUCGAUGCGGGGGAGCGGGAAAUGGUCUUUCGGGCAGACCUUAUUGAGAUGCUUGAAGUCGAUGCACAUUCGGAGAGACUUGUCCUUCUUGGGUACCAUGACAACAUGGGCGAGCCACUCGGAGUGGUGUACCUCGCGAGUGAAGUUGGCUGCCAAAAUCUUAGCCACCUCCUCUCCGAUGGCCUUCCUCAUAUGCGCGGCGGACCGACGCAGGCGUUCUCGGACAGGCUGAGCAGCAGGAUCCACGUGCAGUCGGUGCUCAGCCAACUCCCUGGGUACACCUGGCAUGUCAGCGGGCUUCCAUGCGAAAAUGUCUGAGUUCUCACGGAGGAAUUGGAUGAGCUCGACUUCCUAUUUUGGAUCGAGGGUGGUGGAGAUGUUCCUCGGGGCAGCGGCUUCGUCCGUCGGGUGAAUGCUGACCUUCUUCGUUUCUCCCGCCGACUGGAAUGCGGAAUCCGAAGCUGGCUUCUUCGAACGCAUCAAGUCAGCGGGGUCGAUUAACUUCUUGUAGUCGUCAAGCUCGAGGACAGCCAUCUGCUGAUUGGCGAUCCUCGAUCCCUGCUGGAGACACUCCUCGGCCCGCUACCGAUUGCCUGUGAUAGUGAUCACGCCUUUUGGGCCUGGCAUCUUCAGCUUUAGGUACACGUAACAUGGACGGGCCGUGAAACGCGCAUACGCCGGGCGGCCCAGAAUCGCGUGGUAUGCACUCUGGAAGUCCACCACCUCGAAUGUCAGCUUUUCCUUGCGGAAGUUCUUGUCGGAGCCGAAGACGACGUCCAACGCAAUCUCACCGAGUGACUUGGCCGUUCGUCCAGGGACGACUCCAUGGAACUGCAUGCUGCUCUCACUAAGUUUGGACAUCGGAAUGCCCAUCCCCUUGAGAGUGUCGGCGUACAUGAUGUUCAAGCCGCUGCCGCCGUCCAUGAGGACUUUGCGCAGUCGGACUCCUUCCACCACCGGGUCGAUGACCAGCGCCUACCUCCCUGGGGUGGGUACGGGCGCUGGAUGAUCCGACUGGUCAAAGGUGAUCGCAGUCUGAGACCAUUGGAGGAACGUGGGGUUGGUUGGGUGGCCAUGUUCACCUCCCUGUUCACCAGCUUCAGUCGACUCUUGCUUUCCACGUCAGCAAAAAUCAUCAGUGUUGCAUGGACUUGGGGGAACGGAUCCUCCUUGUCCUCCUCAUCUUGCUCAUUGUCCUUUUCACUCGGUUGCCCUUCCCCGAUCCCCUGGAUCAGGAGGCGACAUUGCCGAGUGGUAUGCUUCGGAAAUAUGGCGUUGCCUUCUUCAUCCAUCUUCAUGUGGAUUGGACAUGGCUGGUCCAGGAUGUGGUUUCCGAACUGCUUCUUCUUGGGGGUGAACUGAGCCUUCCCCUUGCCCUUGAACUUGGCAUUGGUAACGGCUGCGGCCUCUGCCUACGGAGUGGACGGAGCUUUCUGCUUCUGCUUCCGAGUGUUGUUCCCAUCUCCAUCGGCGACUGCCUUGUGCUUGCUGCUGCGAAUGCGGUCCUCUUCUUCGCCAUUAGCACAGCGUGCCGCUAUCUCCAUCAUCUUGCUCAUGGAGAUGUCGCCUGUCCGACCGAACUUCAGGUACAGAUCUCCGUACCGCACGCCUGCCUUGAAGGCGCAGACUGCUUGGUGCUCUGUGACGUUCUCCACCGUGUGGUAGAGGGUUGUCCAACGCUGGAUGAAAUCGCGCAGGGGCUCAUUCUGCUUCUCGACACAGUGCUGGAGCUCCACAAGAUCAGCAGGGCGUUUGCACGUCCCCUCGAAGGUCCUGAAGAAGACUCGGGCCAGAUCUGCCCAACUAUAGAUGCUUGAAGGAGCCAGCUGGUUCAGCCACGCUCGUGCCGAGCCAUCGAGCAUCAGGGGGAGAUGUUUCAUGGCGACAUGGUCGUCUCCACCUCCGAUCUGGACUGCCACUCGGUAGUCGUCCGGCCACGUUUCUGGCUUGGAUUCUCCUAUAAACUUGCUGGUCCCCGUCGCCAAUCGGAAGUUGGGAGGGAUGUCAGCUGAACGGAUGGCCCAACUGAAACACUCGGGGCCAGAGAAGAUGGUCCUGCUUCCACUCGGAUGGUCUCCAUCGUGACCAUCACGGUGGGCUCGGCCCCUGUCGACCCUCCUCUGGGCGAUGUAUCCUCUUGCGUCGGGCCUUGGAUCAUAAGUGUGACCGACCGAACGCCGAUCAUCAAGAUGUCGGGGCCCGUAGGGCCCACCCCAUGGAGGGGUGCGUGAACGGCGACGAUCUUCGGGACUCAUGGAACAGCUGCCUCCCCUGUGUCGUUGAUGAGAACCGGGGCUGAAUACUGACCGAUGCAUGUUCGCGUGAACAGAACUGUUGUGGAUUCUGUUGUGCGACUGGGAGACCGCCGAAUUCUGCUGCUGCGCCGUGUGCAACAGGGCACGAAUCUGCUCGAUCCCUCUGCGAGCCUCUGAAUCAGUCGGCUGGAGGGAGUCGGCUAUCUUGGAGGCGGCGUCCAGGUUGAGGACGGGUGUGCGGAACACCUCCACGUUGCUUUGACGAGUGCGCCGACUGGCAGAACGGCGGGGCUGACGGCGAGCGCCAGAUAUUUCGCCGACCUCGUGCUCGUUCCGGCCGGUUUGGCGGGGACUUUCAUGGGAGUUGGCCAUGUGCACUUCGGCUGCAGGCCCGCGAUCCAAGUACUCGGAAUGCAACUAAGUCAGAACUGAGUCCGAGCGCUGGGACGGCGGCGCAACUACAACCGAUUUGAGGACCGCCACGUGUGUAGACGCGUUCUGGCGCGCCUGGGCGUGUUGCACCCAACGCUGGAGCCGCGGACGGCGAGACCGCUUGUUGCGGUGCGUGACGGGGGCGAAGAUCGACACCCGAGCCGACUGCGGGAGAAGAAGGAUGCCGUGGGCGCCGGCACAGAAGUGCGUAGCCCCGCGACUGGGGAGCGCCUCGACGUCGAGAGGUGCAUCCCGAAGCCAUGCCGAAUCGUCGACAAUGAAGGAGAGUGCGCCGAAGAGGAUCUCACAACCCAUGCACGAAUCUCCACCGGACGACAUGCCGAAAGGAUGUAGUCGCAAACUCACCGGAAGUCGCAUAGACGCCUGCCCCACGGUGGGCGCCAACUGUCGUGGGUAUAAGUCUGACAGUAGAUGUAUAGGGUACGAAAGGAUGGGCGGAGUCUUAGCUAUGGCGAGGUUGUAUGAGUUCAGGCCCCUCUACGGUGGAGGUAAAAGCCCUACGUCUCAGUGCUCUUGGGAGCUUGAUGUCGAGUGGAAUAUGGAUUACAGUGAAUUGCCAACCCCUGCACCAGUACGGAAGGGCGGCUUAUAUAGAGUGUGCUGCCCUCCAUAACGGUUCGAUGCACAGGGGUGGAGUAGUGGCGAAUAAAUGCCUACGUUACAGGUAACGUAUGCCCUAAAUGCUAAUAAAGGUACAUGAAAAUGUAUGACCAUUCUCCUCCAGGGGGGUUACGAUAUACAGAGUGGAAUCCAGUCGGUAAGCUUGAUACCCUCCGAAUGCACGUCUCCGACUGGAUGAUGGAGGGAUCGUCACCGACCGGAUGAUGGGAAGUCCUUAAUUCAGUCGAAACUAACUAAGGGCCUUGUCCCUUAUGAAGGGUAGUCCUGGGGUAGGACCUAUAGGGCAGGCCUAUGACCCUACACUGGGACUAUAACCCCAUCAGACGUGAUGCCUAUAUGUAUGAUCAUUGCCUUAGAUAUCGUCAUUACUUUGCGCGGUUCUAUCAAUUGCUCGACAGUAAUUCGUUCACCCACUGUAAUAUUUGCUAUCAUGAGAGAAGCCUCUAGUGAACACUAUGGCCCCCGGGUCUACAUCACAUCAUAUUUUCAGCCUUACACUUUUACUUUGUUGCACUUUACGCCUUCAGUUCUCACCUUGCAAUCAAUCGUGAAGGGAUUGACAACCCCUUUGUAGCGUUGGGUGCAAGUUUGCUGUUUUUGCGCAGGUACUUUGGAGACUUGCCUUGAUACUCCUACUUGAUUGAUACCUCGGUUCUCAAACUGAGGGAAAUACUUACCGCUACUGUGCUGCAUCACCCUUUCCUCUUCAAGGGAAAAACCAACGCAAGCUCAAGAGGUAGCAAGAAGAAUUUCUGGCGCCGUUGCCAGGGAGGAUCAACUCAAGAAUAGUCUCCCGUCAACGUGCCAAUUUCUGGCGCCGUUGCCGGGGAGUAUCAAGUCAAGAAUAGUCUUCCUCCAACGUGUCAAUUUCUGGCACCGGGGACUAUUCUAAGUGAAGCUUAUCCAAGUAACUGUCACAAACUCAUCUCUUGCAUUUACCUUUUUUUUCCUUUUGCCUCUCGUUUUCCUCUCCCCCACUUCUGAAAAACAAAAAUUACAAAAAUAUUUGCCUUUUUCGUUUGCCUUUCCUUUGCUUGUGUGCAAUGUGCCUUCAAUAUGCUUGCAUCUUCGCUUGCUGAAAAUCUAUUGAUAUGGAUCUUCAUUCACUUGCUAAUCUCUUUAAGAGAUCCAAUUAUGUUGAACCAUUUGCUAGUGAAUUGAGUGCACUUGACUUUCUCUAUGGAGUUUUCUUGAGAUGUGUGAAUUUGAAAACCGUGAUGAAGAAAUUUGUGAAGUGAUUCAUGAGGGCUCCUUUAAUGAAAAGCAUGAUUGCAAUGGUUUCAUUAUAAAUUCUAUUCAUGACAAUCAUGCUAAAAAUAUGCAAAACCCUAAAGUUGGGGAUUCUAGUUUUGCUUUGUCCACUACUUGUUGCAAUGAUCAAGAUUGGGGUAAUGAUUUUUCUUAUGAUCUUAAAAAAUUUGUUUAAGCCUCAUGAUGAAUAUGAUAUUUGCAAUAAUAUUGAAGGUGGGUUUGGAGAAGUCAUGACUUUAGUUGAUGAUAAUCCCACUAUUUUUGAUGAGCGUCAACUUUGCAUGUAUGUGGAUCAUGAAAAGAAUAUCCUAUGUGAUAGCUAUAUUGUUGAAUUUGAAUAUGAUCCCACAUGUAAUUAUUGUGAGAGAGGAAAAUAUGGUGGUAGAAAUUUUCAUACCACUAAAUCACCUCUUGUUUUGUUGAGAUUGAUAUUGUCUCUUUCUUCUUCCUUGCAUAUGGUAACUAUUGGUUGUCUUGACAAUUUAUUUUCCUAUAAAAUGCCUAUGCAUAGGAAGUAUGUUAGACUUAGAUGUUAUUUUCACAUGCUUUAUGAUGCUCUCGUUGUGCUUCAAUUCUUGUGUUUUGUGUGAGCAUCAUUGAAUUAUCAAUGCCUAGCUAAGGGCGUUAAACAAUAGCGCUUGUUGGGAGGCAACCCAAUGUAUUUAUCUUUGCUUUUUUUCNNNNNNNNNNNNNNNNNNNNUUUUUUUUUGUGUCCACACCGUCAUAAUUUUGUUAUGAUUGUGUUUUUUUUGUUUCUUUUUGUGUUUGAGCCAAGUAAAACCUUUAUGACUGGUUUUGGUGAUGUUGUUUGAUCUUGCUGGAAAAGAGAGAAACUUUGCGCUCACGAAAUUAUUUUUAAUUCCUAUCCAGAAAGAGCUUUUGAGUUGAUUCAUUUUUCUGCUGGUUGAUAUGCCAAUUUCCCUAAUUGUCAUAAUUUUACAGAAGUUUUGAGAUAACAUAAGUAUAUGAAGUAUACAGAUUGCUACAGAUUGGUCUGUUUUUGACAAAUUAUGUUUGUGUUGUGUUGAUUGCUUAUUUUGAUGAAACUAUGGAUAGUAUCGGGGGGUACUAGCUAUGGAAAAGUGAGAAUACAGUAAUCUAACACCAAUAUAAAUAGAAAUCAGGUUUGCUAGAGUACCUAAAGAUUUGGUAGUUUGUUUUCUUGUGCUAAUGAUAUCACGAGUUUAUGUUUAAGUUUUGUGUUGUGAAGUUUUCAAGUUUUGGGUGAUGUUCUCGUGGACAAUGGGAUAAAGAGUGGAAAGAGCUCAAGCUUGGGGAUGCCCAAGGCAUCCCAAGCCAAAUUCAAGGACACCAAAAAGCCUAAGCUUGGGGAUGCCCCGGGAAGGCAUUCCCUCUUUCGUCUUCAAUACAUCGGUAACGUUACUUGGAGCUAUAUUUUUAUUCACCACAUGAUAUGUGUUUUGCUUGGAGCAUCGUGUAUUAUAGGAUUCUUUUCUUUUUGUUGUGUGACAAUCAUCCUUGCUCCACACCUUUCGAGAGAGACAUGCACUCAUCGUAAUUUUGCUAGAAUACUCUUUGAGCUUCGCUUAUAUCUUUUGAGUUAGGCAAUUUACCUCGCAUGUGCUUUACUUAUAUCUUUUUGAGCUAGAUAAAUUUGCUCUAGUGCUUCACUUAGAUCUUUUUAGAGCACAGCGGUGUCAUAUUUUGGAGAAAUAAGAACUCUCGAUCUUCACUUAUAUCUUUUUGAGAGUGCUCUCUUUGAGUAACUUGGUAGUUAGCUUGUGCUAUGAAAGUAGUCCUAAAGAUGGUAGGCAUCCAAAGAGGAUGUAAUAAAAACUUGCAUAUUCUUGUGCAUUGAUUAGUGAAGAGAAGUUUGAUUCAUCUCAAUUAGUUUUGAGACAUGGAUAUGGUAAUAUUAAAGUUGUGUUAGUAGGGUGUUGUGAAUCUAGAAAUACUUGUGUUGCAGUUAGUGAUUCCCGUAGCAUGCACGUAUGGUGAACCGCUAUGUUAGAAAGUCGGAGCAUAAUUGAUUUAUUGAUUGUCAUCCUUUGUGUUGCGGUUGGGAUCGCACGAUGGUUAAACACCUACCAACCCUUCCCCUAGGAUUAUGCAUUUAGCACUUUGUUUCGAUUACUAAUAAAAACUUUCGCAAUAAGUAUAUGAGUUCUACAUGACUAAUGUGAGUCCAUGGUAUAGAUGCACUUUCACGUUCCACCAUUGCUAGCCUCUAUAGUGCCGUGCAAUUUUCGCCGGUGCACAAACCCACCAUAUACCCUCCUCAAAACAGCCACCAUACCUACCUAUUAUGGCAUUUUCAUAGCCAUUCCGAGAUAUAUUGCCAUGCAACUCCCACCGUUCCGUCUCAUGACAUGUGUCGUCACUUUCAUAUUGCCAUUGCAUGAUCGUAAGAUAGCUAGCGAGAUGUUUCAACGUCAUACACUAAGCUAGAUCGUUGCACAUCCCAGUACACUUCCGGAGGCAUUUCCUAUAGAGUCAUCAUUGUUCUAGGUAUUGAGUUGUGAGUAAAUAAAAGUGUGAUGAUCGUCAUUAUUAGAGAAUUGUCCCAUGUGACGAAAUAAAAAAAAGAGGCCAAAGAUGCCCACAAAAAAAAUGAGAAAAAAAGAGGCCAAAGUGCCCAAACAAAAAAAAUGAGAGAAAAAAGAGAGAAGGGACAAUGCUACUAUCUUUUUCAACACUUGUGCUUCCAAAUAGCACCAUGUUCUUCAUGAUAGAGAGUCUCUUGGUUUGACACUUCCAUAUACUAGUGGGAAUUUUCGUUAUAUAACUUGGCUUGUAUAUUCCAAUGAUGGGCUUCCUCAAAAUUGCCCUAGGUCUUCAUGAGCAAGCAAGUUGGAUGCACACCCACUAGUUCUUCUUUUGAGCUUUCACAUACUUAUAGGUCUCGUGCAUCCGUUGCAUGGUAAUCCCUACUCAUUCACAUUGAUAUCUAUUGAUGGGCAUCUCCAUAGCCCUUUGAUACGCCGAGUUGAUGUGACCAUCUCUUCCUUUUUGCCUCACAACCUCCACUACACUCUAUUCCACCUAUAGUGCUAUAUCCAUGGCUCAUGCUAAUGUAUUGCGUGAGAGUAGAAAAAGUUUGAGAAAGUAAGAGUGCGAAAACAAUUACUUGGCCAAUUCCGGGGUUGUGCAUGAUUUAAAUUCAUUAUGUGGGGAUGAUGGAGCAUAGCCAGACUAUAUGAUUUUGUAGGGAUAACUUUCUUUAGCCUUGUUAUUUCGAAAGUUCAUGAUUACCUUGCUAGUUUGCUUGAAGUAUUAUUGUUUUCAUGUCAAUAGAAAACUAUUGUUUUGAAUCUCAUGGAUCUGAACAUUCAUGUCACAUGAAAGAAGUUACAAAGGACAAGUAUGUUAGGUAGCAUUCCACAUCAAAAAUUCGGUCUUUAUCACUUCCCUACUCGAGGACGAGCAGGAGUUAAGCUUGGGGAUGCUUGAUAUGUCUCCAACGUAUCAAUAUUUUUUUAUGGUUCCAUGCUAUUAUCUUGUCAACAUUGGAUGUUUUGUAUGCAUGAAUAUGCUAUUUUAUAUCUUCUUGGGACUAACCUAUUAACUCAGUGCCAAGUGCCAGUUCCUGUUUUUUCCGUGUUUUUGACCUUUUUGAGAGGAGACUAUUAAACGGAGUCCAAACGGAAUAAAACCUGCGGAAUGAUUUUUUCCAUAACAGAAGACACGCAGGAGACUUGAGAACCAGGGAAGGGGACCUCGGAGGAGGUCACAAGCCACCUAGGACCGACCUAGGGGGAGGGCGGGCCUAGCAGGCUUGUGGGCCCCCUGUGGUUCCCCUGCCCUAGUUCUUCCGCCUAUAAAUUCCAUAAAAAUCUGAAAACACGAAAGAGAGCCACGAAAAUACUUUUCCACCGCCGCAAGCUUCUCUCUCCGCAAGAUCCCAUCUGGGGAACGUUCUGGUGCCCUGCCGGAGGGGGAUUCGCACACUGAGGGCUUCUUCAUGAAAACCAUUGCCUCUCCGAUGAUGCGUGAGUAGUUCACCAUAGACCUUCCGGUCCUUAGCUAGUAGCUAGAUGGCUUCUUCUCUCUCUUGGAUCUUCAAUACAAAGUUCUCCAUGAUCUUCAUGGAGUUCUAUCCGAUGUAAUCUUCUUUUGCGGUGUGUUUGUCGAGAUCCGAUGAAUUGUGGAUUUAUGAUCAGAUUAUCUAUGAAUGUUAUUUGAGUCUCUGCUGCGGCAACAGACAAGAGUGCCAGAGAUUGACACGUCGAAGGAGGCUGGGCUUGCGUUGGUUUUUCCCUUGAAGAGGAAAGGGUGGUGCAGCACAGGAGCAGUAAGUAUUUCCCUCAGUUUGAGAACCAAGGUAUCAAUCCAGUAUGAGAAUCUCGUCAAGUCCAGAGUACCUGCGCAAACACAAACGAGCUUGCACCCAACGCUAUAAAGGGGUUGUCCAUCCCUUCAAGAUUGAUUGCAAAGUGAGAUCUGAAGGCGGAAAGUGCAACGAAGUAAAAGAGUAAGGCUAAAAAUAUGGUGUGGAGUAGACCCGGGGGCCAUAGUGUUCACUAGAGGCUUCUCUCAAAAUAGCAAAUAUUAUGGUGGAUGAACAAAUUACUGUCGAGCAAUUGAUAGAACUGCGCAAAGUCAUGACGAUAUCUAAGGCAAUGAUCCUACAUAUAGGCAUCACGUCCGAGACAAGUAGACCGAUACUUUCUGCAUCUACUACUAUUACUCCACACAUCGACCGCUAUCCAGCAUGAAUCUUGUGUAUUGAGUUCAGGACGAACAGAGUAACGCCUUAAGCAAGAUGACCUGAUGUAGAGGGAUAAACUCAAACCAAUGAUGAAACCCCAUCUUUUUACCCUUGAUGGCAACAACACGAUGCGUAACUCGCUACCCCUUCUGUCACUGGGUGAGGUCACCGCACGGUAUGAACCCAAAACCAAGCACAUCUCCCAUUGCAAGAAUCAUAGAUCUAGUUGGCCAAACAAAACCCACAACUCGAAGAGAAUUACAAGGAUAUGAAAUCAUGCAUAUAAGAGAUCAGAAGAAACUCAAAUAAGAUUCAUAGAUAAUAUGAUCAUAAAUCCACAAUUCAUCGAAUCUCGACAAACACACCGCAAAAGAAUAUUACAUUGGAUAGAUCUCCAUGAAGAUCAUGGAGAACUUUGUAUUGAAUAUCUAAGAGAGAGAAGAAGCCAUCUAGCUACUAGCUAUGGACCCGUAGGUCUAUGGUGAACUACUCCUGCAUCAUUAGAGAGGUCAUGGUGUUGAUGAAGAAGCCCUCCGUAUCCGAAUCCCCCCUCCGGCAGGGCACCAGAACGUGCCCCAAAUGGGAUCUUGCGGAGAAAGAAGCUUGCGGCGGCGGAAAAGUACUUUCGGUGAUCUCUUGAUUUUUUUCUGGAAUUUAUGGGAAUAUAUAGGCGAAAGACCUAGUGCAGGGGAGGCCCAGGGAGCCCACAAGCCUCGGAGGCGCGGCCCCCCUGGUCGCGGCUAGGCGGCUUAUGGGGUCCCUGGAGAUCCCCUGCCUUGGUUCUCAAGCUUCCGGAUCUUCUUCUGUUUCGGAAAAAAUCUUUUUGGAAGUUUCGUUCCAUUUGGACUCCGUUUAAAAUCGUCCUCUGAAAAGGGUCAAAAACAUGGACAAAACAGGAACUAGCACUUGGCACUGAGUUAAUAAGUUAGUCCCAAAAAAGAUACAAAAGGCAUACAAAACAUCCAAAUUUUGACAAGAUAAUAGCAUGAAACCAUCAAAAAUUAUAGAUACGUUGGAGAUGUAUCAAGCAUCCCCAAGCUUAACUCCUGCUCGUCCUCGAGUAGGGAAGUGAUAAAGACUGAAUUUUUGAUGUGGAAUGCUACCUAGCAUAGUUGUCCUUUGCAACUUCUUUCAUGUGACAUGAAUGUUCAGAUCCGUAAGAUUCAAAACAAUAGUUUGCUAUUGACAUGAAAACAAUAAUACUUCAAGCAAACUAUCAAGGUAACCAUGAACUUUCAAAAUAACAAGGCCAAAGAAAGUCACCCUACAAAAUCAUAUAGUCUGGCUAUGCUCCAUAAUCCUCACACAACUAAUGUAAAUCAUGCACAACCCCGGUAUUGGCCAAGUAAUUGUUUUCGCACUCUUUACUUUCUCAAACUUUUUAUAACUAUCACGCAAUACAUCAGCGUGAGCCAUGGAUAUUGUACUAUAGGUGGAAUAGAGUGUGGUGGUGGUUGUGAGAGAAAAAGGAGGAGAUGGUCACAUUGACUCGGCGUAUCAAAGGGCUAUGGAGAUGCCCAUUAAUAGAUAUCAAUGUGAAUGAGUAGGGAUUUCCAUACAAAGGAUGCACUAGAGCAAUAAGUAUGUGAAAGCUCAAAAGGAGAACUAGUGGGUGUGCAUCCAACUUGCUUGCUCUCGAAGACGUAGGGCAAUUUUGAGGAAGCCCAUCAUUGGAAUAUAUAAGCCAAGUUAUAUAAUAAAGAUUCCCACUAGUAUAUGGUGGUGACGAAGCGAGAGGCUUUUAAUCAUGAAGAACAUGGUGCUAUUAUGAAGCACAAGUGUGGAAAAAGAUAGUAGCAUUGUCCCUUCUCUCUUUUUCUCUCUUUUUUUAAUUUUAAUUUGGGCACUUGGGACUCUUUUUCUCCCCUUUUUUUAUUUGGGAUCUUUGGCCUUUUUUUUAUUUCCUAACAUGGGGCAAUGCUCUAAUAAUGAUGAUCAUCACACUUUUAUUUACUCACAGCUCAAAGCUCAGAACGAUGAUGACUCUAAAGUAAAUGCCUUCGGCAGUGUACCGGGAUGUGCAACGAUCUAGCUUGGCGUAUGACGUUUAAACAUCUCGCUAGCUAUAUUAUGAUCAUGAAAUGGCAAUAUGAGAGUGACGGCACAAGUCAUGAGACGGAACGGUGGGAGUUGCAUGGCAAUAUAUCUUGGAAUGGCUAUGAAAAUGCCAUAGUAGGUAGGUAUGGUGGCUGUUUGAGGAAGGCAUAUGGUGGGUUUGUGUACCGGCAAAAAAUGCGCGACACUAGAGAGGCUAGCAAUGGUGGAUGGUGAAAGUGCAUCUAUACCAUGGACUCACAUUAGUCAUGAAGAACUCACAUACUUGUUGCGAAAGUUUUUAUUAUUAAUCGAAACAAAGUGCUAAACGCAUACUCCUAGGGGAAGGGUUGGUAGGUGUUAACCAUCGCGCGAUCCCGACCUCAACACAAAGGAUGACAAUCAAUAGAUCAAUUAUGCUCCGACUUCCUAACAUAGCGGUUCACCAUACGUGCAUGCUAUGGGAAUCACUAACUUCAACACAAGUAUUUCUAGAUUCACAACACCCUACUAACAUAACUCUUAAUAUUACCAAAUCCACGUCUCAAAACUAAUUGAGAGGAAUCAAGAAUUCUGUUUCUACUCAAUGCACAUGAAGAUGUAGAUUUUUGUAUCCCCUUUGGGUACCUAUCACCUUUGGGACUACUUUCAUAGCAUAAGCCAAUUACCAAGUCACGCGCCGACGUGCUCUAAAAUAUCUAAGUGAAGCACACAGAGAAAAAUUAUCUAGCUCAAAAGAUAUAAGUGAAGCACGAUGAGCAUUCUAGCAAAAUCAUGAUGAGUGCAUGUCUCUCUCUAUCAAAAAGGUGUCCAGCAAGGAUCAUUGUGACACAACAAAAAGAAAACACUCCUACGAUACAAGAUGCUCCAAGCAAAACACAUAUCAUGUGGUGAAUAAAAAUAUAGCUGCAAGUAAUGUUACCGAUGGAUUGAAGACGAAAGAGGGGAUGCCUUCCCGGGGCAUCCCCAAGCUUAGGCUUUUUGGUAUCCUUGAAUUUGGCUUGGGAUGCCUUGGGCAUCCCCAAGCUUGAGCUCUUUCCACUCCUUAUCUCUUUGUCCAUGUGAACAUCACCCAAAACUUGAAAACUUCACAACACAAAACUUAAACAGAAACUCAUGAUAUCAUUAGCACAAGAAAACAAACUACCACCCCUUUAGGUACUGUAGCAAUCUUGAUUUCUAUUUAUAUUGGUUUUGGGGUACUUUAUUCUCACUUUUCCAUGGCUAGUACCCCCAAUACUAUCCAUAGUUUCAUCAAAACAAGCAACCAACUCAACAAAAACAGAAUCUGUCAAAAACAGACCAGUCUGUAGCAAUCUGUAUACUUCGUAUACUUCUGGUACCUCCAAAAUUCUGAAAACUUACGACUGCCUGGGAAAAAGGAAUAUCAACCAGCAGAAAAAAGAAUCAACUCAUAAUCUUUUUCUGAAUAAAAAUGAAAAAUCAUCUCGUGAGCGAAAAGUUUCUAUCUUUUUUCCAGCAGGAUCAAACAACCAUCACCGAGACUAGUCAUAAAGGUUUUGCUUGGAUCAAACACAAAAAUAAACACAAAAGACACAAUCAUAACAGAUAUAUGAUGGUGUGGACGCAACAAAACAGAAAGAAAAAGAUAAAUUCAUUGGGUUGCCUCCCAACAAGCGCUAUUGUUUAACGCCCUUAGCUAGGCAUAAGGAUAAAUCACAUCUAAGUCUAACAUACUUCCUAUGCAUAGGAAUUUUAUAGGAGAAAAAAUUGGCAAGACAACAAAUAGUUACCAAAUGCAAGGAAGAAGAAAGAGACAAUAGCAAUCUCAACAAAACGACAGGUAAUUUGGUAACAUGAAAGUUUCUACCACAAUAUUUUACUCUCUCAUAGCAAUUACAUGCGGGAUCAUAUUCGAAUUCAACAAUGUAACUAUCACAUAGGAUAUUCUUUUCAUGAUCCACAUGCAUGCAAAGUUGACGCUCUUCAAAAAUAGUGAGAUUAUCAUCAACUAAAGGCAUGACUUCUCCAAACCCACUUUCAAUAAUAUUGCAAAUAUCAUAUUCAUCAUGAGGCCUAAACAAAUUUUCAAGAUCAUAAGAAAAAUCAUCUCCCCACUCAUGAUCAUUGCAACAAGUAGUGGACAUAGCAAAACUAGCAUCCCCAAGCUUAGGGUUUUGCAUAUUUUUAGCAUGAUUGUCACUAAUAGAAUUUAUAGUGAAACCAUUGCAAUCAUGCUUUUCAUCCAAGGAGCCCUCGUGAAUCACUUCAUAAAUUUCUUCCUCACAAUUUUCAGAUUCACGCAUCUCAAGCAAAACUCCAUAAAGAUAGUCAAGUGCACUCAACUCACUAGCAAUUGGAUCAACAUAAUUGGAUCUCUUAAAGAGAUUACCAAGUGGAUGAGGAUCCAUAUAUCUAGAUUUUCUGCAAGCGAAGAUGCAAGCAUAUGGAAGGCACAUGGCACACAAGCGAACAGAAAGCAAGCGAGAGAGAAGGGCGAACGAAAAAGGCAAACAAAAAAGGAAAAUAUUUUUGUAAUUAUUUUGUUUUUGCAGAAGUGGGGGAGAGCAAAACGAGAGGCAAUAAAGUAAAUGCAGGAUAUGAGUUUGUGACACUUACUUGGAUGAGUUCUUGACUUGAUCCUCUCCGGCAACAGCGCCAGAAAUUCUUCUGCUGCGGCAACAGACAACAGUGCCAGAGAUUGACACGUUGACGGAGGUUGGGCUUGCGUUGGUUUUUCCCUUGAAGAGAAAAGGUGGUGCAGCACAGGAGCAGUAAGUAUUUCCCUCAGUUUGAGAACCAAGGUAUCAAUCCAGUAGGAGAAUCUCGUCAAGUCCAGAGUACAUGCGCAAACACAGACGAGCUUGCACCCAACGCUAUAAAGGGGUUGUCAAUCCCUUCAAGAUUGAUUGCAAAGUGAGAUCUGAAGGCGGAAAGUGCAACGAAGUAAAAGAGUAAGGUUGAAAUUAUGGUGUGGAGUAGACCCGGGGGCCAUAGUGUUCACUAGAGGCUUCUCUCAAAAUAGAAAAUAGUACGAUGGGUGAACAAAUUACUGUCGAGCAAUUGAUAGAACCGAGCAAAGUCAUGACAAGGCAAUGAUCAUACAUAUAGGCAUCACGUCCGAGACAAGUAGACCGAUAGUUUCUGCAUCUACUACUAUUACUCCACACAUCGACCGUUAUCCAGCAUGUAUCUAGUGUAUUGAGUUCAUGACGAACAAAGUAACGCCUUAAGCAAGAUGACAUGAUGUAGAGGGAUAAACUCAAACCAAUGAUGAAAACCCCAUCUUUUUACCCUUGAUGGCAAGAACACGAUGCGUGCCUUGCUACCCCGUCUGUCACUUUGUGAGGUCACCGCUCGGUAUGAACCGAAAACCAAGCACUUCUCCCAUUGCAAGAAUCAUAGAUCUAUUUGGCCAAACAAAACCCACAACUCGAAGAGAAUUACAAGGAUAUGAAAUCAUGCAUAUAAGAGAUGAGAAGAAACUCAAAUAAGAUUCAUAGAUAAUCUGAUCAUAAAUCCACAAUUCAUCAGAUCUCGACAAACACACCGCAAAAGAAGAUUACAUGGGAUAGAUCUUCAUGAAGACCAUGGAGAACUUUGUAUUGAAGAUCCAAGAGAGAGAAGAAGCCAUCUAGCUACUAGCUAUGGACCCGUAGGUCUAUGGUGAACUACUCACGCAUCAUCGGAGAGGUCAUGGUGUUGAUGAAGAAGCCCUCCGUAUCCGAAUCCCCCUCCGGCAGGGCACCAGAAAGUGCCCCAGAUGGGAUCUUGCGGAGACAGAAGCUUGCGGCGGCGAAAAAGUACUUUCGAUGGUCUCUUGAUUUUUUUAGAAUUUAUGGGAAUAUAUAGGCGAAAGACCAAGGGCAUGGGAGGCCCAGGGAGCCAACAAGCCUGGGAGGUACGGGCCCCCUGGCCGCGGCUAGGGGGCUUGUGGGGGUACCUGGAGACCCCCUGCCUUGGUUCUCAAGCUUCCCGAACUUCUUCUGUUUCGGAAAAAAUCUUUUUGGAGUUUCGUUCCGUUUGGACUCCGUUUAAAAUCCUCCUGUGAAAAGGGUCAAAAACAUGGAAAAAACAGGAACACGCACUUGGCACUGAGUUAAUAAGUAAGUCCCAAAAAAGAUAUAAAAGGCAUACAAAACAUCCAAAGUUUGACAAGAUAAUAGCAUGAAACCAUCAAAAAUUAUAGAUACUUUGGAGACAUAUCAGUCUCCUCUGAUCUCUUAUAUGCAUGAUUUCUUAUCCUUGUAAUUCUCUUCGAGUUGUGGGUUUCGUUUAACCAACUUGAUCUAUAAUUCUUGCAAUGGGAGAAGUGCUUGGUUUUGAGUUCAUACCGUGCGGUGACCUCACCCAGCGACAGAAGGGGUAGCGAGGCACGUAUCGUGUUGUUGCCAUCAAGGGUAAAGAUGGGGUUUAUAUCUAUUGCAUGAAUUUAUCCCUCUACAUCAUGUCAUCUUGCUUAAGGCGUUAUUCCGCUUUUCAUGAACUUAGUACACUAGAUGCAUGCUGGAUAGCGGUCGAUGUGUGGAGUAAUAGUAGUAGAUGCAGAAAGUAUCGGUCUACUUGUCUCGAACGUGAUGCCUAUAUGCAUGAUCAUUGCCUUAGAUAUCAUCAUGACUUUGCGCGGUUAAAUCAAUUGCUUGACAGUAAUUCGUUCACCCACCGUAAUAUUUGCUAUCAUUGGAGAAGCCUCUAGUGAACACUAUGGCCCCCGGGUCUACUUCACAUCAUAUUUUCAGCCUUACACUUUUACUUUGUUGCACUUUCCGCCUUCAGAUCUCACCUUGCAAUCAAUCUUGAAGGUAUUGACAACCCCUUUGUAGCGUUGGGUGCAAGUUUGCUGUUUUUGCGCAGGUACUUUGGAGACUUUCCUUGAUACUCCUACUGGAUUGAUACCUUGGUUCUCAAACUGAGGGAAAUACUUACUGCUACUGUGCUGCAUCACCCUUUCCUCUUCAAGGGAAAAACCAACGCAAACUCAAGAGGUAGCAAGACCCUGCGGGUUCGAGAACUAUGUAGACAUGACCGAGACACUCUCUGGUCAGUAACCAAUAGUGAGACCUGGAUGCCCAUAUUGGUUUCUACAUAUUUUACGAAGAUCUUUAUUGAUUGAACUUCUAUAUCAAGGAUUUAGAUAAUCCCGUAUGCUAUUCCCUUUGUCCAUCGGUAUGUUACUUGCCCAGGAUUGAUUGUCGGUAUCUGCAUACCUAGUUCAAUCUCGUUACCGGCAAGUCUCUUUACUCGUUCCGUAAUACAAGAUCAUGUGGCUAACUCUUUAGUCACAUUGCUUGCAAGCUUGUUGUGAUGUUGUAUUACCGAGUGGGCCCCGAGAUACCUCUCCAUCAGAUGGAGUGACAAAUCCUUGUCUUGAUCCAUGCCAACCCAACAAACACCCUCGGAGAUACCAGUAGAGCAUCUUUAUAGUCACCCAGUUAUGUUGCGACGUUUCAUACACACAAGGUAUUCCUCCAGUUUCAUUGAGUUGCAUGAUCUCCUGGUCAUAGGAACAAAUACUUGACAUGCAAAAAAUAAUAGCAAUAAACUGAUGCGAUCAUAUGGUACGUGUUGGAAAUAUGCCCUAGAGGCAAUAUACUAAAUUUCUUAUUAUUAUAUUUCCUUGUUCAUGAUAAUCGUUUAUUAUCCAUGCUAGAAUUGUAUUGAUUGGAAGCUCAAAUACAUGUGUGGAUACGUAGACAACACACUGUCCCUAAUGAGCCUUUAAGUACUAGCUCGUUGAUCGAAGAUGGUCAAGGAUUCCUGACCAUAGACACGAGUUAUCAUUUGAUAAGAGGAUCACAUCAUUAGGAGAAUGAUGUGAUGGACAAGAUACAAACUAUAAACUUAACAUACGAUCGUGUUAGUUUAUUGCUACUGUUUUCUGCAUGUCAACUAUCUGUUUCUAUGACCAUGAGAUCAUGCAACUAUCAGGCACCGGAGGAAUGCCUUGUGUGUAUCAAACGUAACAACGUAAUUGGGUGACUAUAAAAGUGCUCUAAUGGUAUCUCUGAAGGUGUAUGUUGGGUUGGCAUGAAUUGAGACUUUGAUUUGUCACUCCGUAUGACGAAGAGGUAUCUCUAGAGCCUACUCGGUAAUGAAAAAUCACAAUGAGCUUGCAAGUAAUGUGACUAAAGAGUUAGUCACGGCAUCUUGUAUUACGGAAUGAGUAAAGACACUUGCCGAUAACGAGAUUGAACUAGGUAUGGAGAUACCGACGAUCGAAUCUCGGGAAAGUAACAUACCGAUGGACAAAGGGAACAAUAUACGAGAUUGAUUGAAUCCUUGACAUCGUGGUUCGACCGAUAAGGAUCUUUGUACAAUAUGUAGGAGCCAAUAUGGGCAUCCAUGUCCCGCUAUUGGUUAUUUACCAGCGAGUGUCUCAGGUCAUGUGUGCAUAGUUCUUGAACAUGCAGGACCUGCACACUUAAAGUUUGGCGACGUUUUAGUAUAGUUGAGUUAUGUAUGUUGGUGACCGAAGGUUGUUCGGAGUCCCGGAUGAGAUCCCGGACGUCACCAGGAGCUCUUGAAUGGUCCGGAUGUAAAGAUUGAUACAUGGGAAGUUCUGUGUUGGUCACUAGAGAAAGUUCGAGCGUCAUCGAUGGCGUACCGGGGGUGCCGGAAGGUUUCCGGGGGUCCACCAGCCCGGAGGGUCCACACGGGCUGUGAGGGAUGCACACCAGCCCCUGCUGGACUUGGUGCACAUCCCCGCCUAAGGCCCAUGUGGCUGGGCUGGUGGAGGGCCAACCCUAUAGGGGCGCGCCACCCUAACUUGGGGGGGGGGGGGGGGGGCCAACCCUAUAGGGGGGGGCCCCCCAAAGUGGGGGGGGGGGGGGGCAAGCCACCCCUAGGGCAGAUGCCCCUUCCUCCUUUGGCCGCUGCCCCUCCCUCCUUUGGCCGCCGCCCCCUAGGGUUGAAUCCCUAGGGCGGAGCCCCUCUCCCCUUCCCCCUAUAUAUAUAGAUGGGGAGAGAGAGGGCUCCAACACACCAAGGCCACGACGCAGCCCUGUCUCUCCCACAUAUCAGUUUUCUCCUCUAGAUUGGUUCCGGUAUUGCUUGGCGAAGCCUUGUCGGAGCAGCUCCACCAACACCGCCACCAUGCCGUCGUGCUGACGGAGAACUCAUCUACCUCUCCACCCUCUCGCUUCCAGGAUCAAGGAGCCGGAGAUCGUCAUCGAGCUGUAUGUGUGCUGAACGCGGAGGUGCCGUUCGUUUGGCACUAGAUCUAAAUGGAUCGUGAUGGGAUUGUCGAACGGAUCAUGAUGGGAUCGUGGGACGAAUCGUGAUUGGAUCUCGGGACGGAUUGUGAUUGGAUCACAAAGACGUUCGACUAUAACAACCGCGUUAUAUACACUUCCGCUUAGCGAUCUACAAGGGUAUGUAGAUGCACUCCCCCUCUCGUAGAUGAUAGUCUGCAUAUAUUGAUCUUGGUGAGUGUAGGGAAUUUUUUGUUUCCCAUGAAAUGUUCCCCAACACUACGUUCAUAGUUUCGGUAUUGUCCAUCACAUUAUUCUCCUAAUGAUGUCAUCCCGUUAUUAAAUGACAACUCAUGUCUAUGGCCAGGAAACCUUUAGAUGCUCACCUGGGACAGUGUGUUGUCUACGUAUCCACACAAGUAUUUGAGUUUCCAAUCAAUACAAUUCUAGCAUGGAUAAUAAACGUUUAUCAUGAACAAAGAAAUAUAAUAAUAACCAUUUUAUUAUUGCCUCUAGGGCAUAUUUCCAACAGUUACUUGCAAACUAGCAGGUGGUUGAUGCUUUCAUUUAUGAUUCUUGCUACCUACAAAAACUCAAACUAAUCAAUUGCAAUCUCCACUAAUGAAUUUUACAUAUCAAAUUUUAAAUCUGUGGCUGGGACUGAUGCCUCAACUACUUUACAAAUAUUCUCCCACUACUAUCUUGUCGAAUAUAAAGUAGGGUUGCAAUACUUCCCAAUGAGGAUACUGUCGUGGGAUGAUUUCGACACUAAGAGAGAGGGGUAGGGAUGGAGCUAGAUCUAGCAGGGUGCCAGUGUGAGAUAAGGAGGUUUUAUCAGUUCAGACCCCUCUCGGAAGAGCUAAUGACCCGCGGUGGGAGCUUUUCUUUCUCUUUGUGUUUUGGUGAUUACAAAUGAUGCGAACCCCUGUUACAAAAGUAGGGAGCCGCUUAUAUAGAGUGCACUAUGUCCCAUGACAAUUGCCAUUACAAGGGUUUAAAUAUGUCUAAUUAUUAAAUCGAGUAAAAAAGGUAACUGAAAGAUGUCUAAUUAUUAGAUCGACUACAAAAGGUAACUGAAGCAAUAAAGGUAGUAAUACUAGUUCUAUUAAAGUCCAUGAGGCUCAUGUGCAUUCUCCGCUUGUUCUACAUCAUGCCUCCGAGUAAUUCGUGUAUUUUAACACUGAUGAACUCCGUCCAAAUGACCUGGUGUACUUGACCCGCCCGGGUGUGUUGGUAUCGUCCGAGUGAUUUUUCACGUCAACUGUGUUUGGUAGGUGAUCAUCUUGCUUUACGAUUCCCAUGGAUUGUAGUUUGUUCAGUGCUGAUGAGCCUACCAUUAGUAGCUGACCUCAUAGACAUCAGACUAUUAUGACCCCCUAUACUAUCAGAGUGCGACCAUUAUGUGUAACUCGGUGUUUAACCGCAUGUGUAUCCAUGUAUUAGGAGCCAGGUGGAUGGGCACAUCAUCAGAUAGUGCGUAGUGAUUCAUGUGGCUACAAACAGAAUAAAUCAAAAUUAAUGGGAGCCUUUACAACCACACCUACUUUUUUUUUCUGUUGUGCCUUGACAGGUGGGACCUGAUUGUCAUACAGAGUAUACUUUGCAAGUGAGCCUUUCCCAUCAUUGUAAGUGAGCCUCACACCGUGCUGGCAUACCUAGACAUCAACAUAUACGCAUCUGAACGUUGUUGAAACCAUAUUUGAACAAAGAGUGCCAAGUAUUUGAAUCAGUUCGACGUUUUUUUCUAAGUUCAGACACGAAAGUGGACAUGGAUGGCAAGUUCAAGCACCACUGGUGCAAUUACCUCAAUGCAAAUAUUUAAGGGGUAAUUUUCGGGAGCAGUAACUUUCCGGAAAUAAAAUAAAUAAAAACUAGUGGGUGGCUUAGAUGAAAAACUACGGUAGAUGAGGAGAGAGGCGCAGGUGGUAAUCUAACGAUGGAUAUAUUUGCCCAUGCAGCAGCAUUCAGACGCAAUGCAUUGGAGGGCCACCCCUCUUCCGCUGAUCCAGAGGGAUAAGACAUCCUUCAACAAGCAAACGACGACCACCCCUUCGCAAUCUUGUUGGAAAGGAGCGGCGCUGCGCAUACGGUGAUAUAUACUGGGGCGGCAUGAGGGGGCCUCAAGUCAAGUGUAGCCUGCCAAGCUAGCUAUCGGCUCCCGACCUAGCAAUUUACGUACCACCAUGGCCCCAGCCGUGAUGGCUUCUUCAGCCACCACCGUCGCCCCCUUCCAGGGGCUCAAGUCCACCGCGGGCCUCCCCGUCAGCCGCCGCUCCGGCAGCGCCGGCCUCAGCAGCGUCAGCAAUGGCGGAAGGAUCAGAUGCAUGCAGGUAUGGAAACCAAUUAUUAUUUUUGCCAAGGAUGGUAUGGUCAAGGUGCAUCUUCGCACAAUCAUAUAUUUAUAAAUGUAGCGACUUUGUUUGUUUGGAUGGUGGCUUUGAAUUGGUCUUUGUAUUUAUUUUGUUAGAUUUACUGAAUAAACAUAAUAAAAAUGAUAAUCUGCAUUGCUUGAUGCAGAUGCCGCCGGUGUUAUCCUCCUUUUUGAUUUUCUUUUCUAAAGGAUGACAAACACUAAGCUAACAUGAAUGUUCUUGUCGGGACAAUUGGUUAAUUUAUCGGGUAUUUCCACUGCACAUAGCCAAAGCUAUCCUUAGCAUGUGUAACCCAUAUACCAGGCCAAAACUAAACCAAGAUAGUGCACCACAAUGUAUGUAGAAGCACGUUCACAAGUGUAAGAAUACUUAACUCAUAAACUUUGUGAACAGAUUUUUUUUUUUUGCAAUGGGUACUAGAUCCCUUCGUCUCAAAAUAAAUGUCGUAAAUCAAUAACUAAACUAGUACAAAUUUUAUACUAAGUCAGUGACAUUUAUUUUGAGACGGAGGGAGUACUAUUUUAAUUCCCGUACACUACCCAUAAGCAAGAGCUGCCCUGGAGCUUUCUUGCUUGCGGACAUACCAUAAGGAGUAAUUUUUGCCUUAUGGCUAUGUCUUUCUUUAGGCACUAAGUGUUGAUCAGUUGUGUUCAUUCCAAUCAUUCAGGUGUGGCCCAUUGAGGGCAUCAAGAAGUUCGAGACCCUGUCUUACUUGCCACCCCUCUCCACGGAGGCCCUCCUGAAGCAGGUCGACUACCUGAUCCGCUCCAAGUGGGUGCCCUGCCUCGAGUUCAGCAAGGUUGGCUUCGUCUUCCGUGAGCACAACAGCUCCCCUGGAUAUUACGACGGCCGAUACUGGACAAUGUGGAAGCUGCCUAUGUUUGGGUGCACCGACGCCACACAGGUGCUCAACGAGGUGGAAGAGGUCAAGAAGGAGUACCCUGACGCCUACGUCCGCAUCAUCGGCUUUGACAACCUGCGGCAGGUGCAGUGCGUCAGCUUCAUCGCCUUCAGGCCACCGGGUUGCGAGGAGUCCGGCAAGGCAUAAAGUGCAAGUUGAAGUAACCGAUAUACAUGCUAUGUUAGUUCACAUUGGUUGGUCGGCAGCUCUGCUUUCUCAAUUUUACUUCUCGUUCCAAUCAUAUGUGAAUAUACGAGCAUAUGUAUUUAAGCACCUACCAACGUAGGCCGAGAAGGAUGCAUAUGAGAAUCAUAGCACCGGCUAUACAUACUUUGUUUGCAGCUGGAAAUGCCUAUGUCUUGCAUUCUUUUCUUCUCAUGCAUUUUUUGCUCAAUCAUAUGUUGCGUAUUAUCUAAUGCAAAAAUUGUUAUGGAAUACCAAAGUACUUCGAAUUUCUGUGGAGAAACAGAUAACAAGUGGUGAGAACCCCCUGAAAACUAGUGGCAAAACAGUAGGGAAUUGACGAGAAACAUACAAUAACAAAAAACUAAAAACGAAAUUAAAAAACUACAAAAAAGUACAAACAAAGGUGUCAAAACAAGACAAGGACAAACCUACCGUACUGCACUUGUCAUGUGAGCCAUAUUCCAGCGUCGAUUCAUCAAUAACAUGCCACUUUUCCUAACCAUUUUACACCACAAUUAGAUAUUUUUUGUAGUAUUCACUAGUAGAAAAUGACCCAUUUGUCCCGGUUCCAGAUGCCCAUUAGCCCCGGUUCUGAAACCGGGACUAAAGGGUCCAUACUAAAGGCCCAAAUCUUUAGUCCCGGUUGGCUUACGAACCAGGCCCAAAGGAGCUCCAAGUGGCCGCUGCGGGGAGCCCAGGCAGGAGGAACUUUAGUUCCGGUUGGUCACACCAACCGAGAUCAAAUGGCAUCCACGCGUCAGCAUCUGGACGGAGCUGGAUUUUUUUUAAUUGGGGGGGGGGGGUUUGGGGUUUUUGAUGGUUUAAUUUAGUGGUUUCGUAUUCUGAUAGCUAGCUAAUAGAGAGAAGUGUCCUCUCUUUCUCCGUGCUUGGUCGACGCUAGCUACUGUACAUAUAGAAAGAACUUAACGCUAGCUAAUAAGAAAAUGAAGGAAACCAUUUACAAUCCCUAACAUCUUUUACAAUAUAACAUCUUUUACAAUCCCUAACAUCUUUUACAAUAUAACAUCUUUUACAAUCCCUAACAUCAUCUACCUAAGAUCUAAUCACAAAUAACUCACAUAGUAUUCUCCAUCUUUAGGUAUGACGUGGUCAAGAAAGAAUCCCGCGAAUUCCUCGUGAAUUGCUCGUAUGCGAUCAUGUGUUAGGAGUUCAUCCCGCAUCUGCGAGAUCUAAUUUAAAGAAGGGGGUCAAUACAUGCAUAUAUAUGAAUAAAACUCAACACAAUUGAUGGUAAUAUAAAAAAUAAAAUUGUGAAUAUUAUUUACGUAUUUGAUAUUGUUUCUCAGAUAAGCCCCCGCUCAGAGGUCGAGAGGCGAAUGAGCUCGCAUACGUAAUCUGCACAUAAUUCAGUCCCACUUUCCUGGUACAAGCAGUUUACGAGAAUAGAGUUCAAUCAAAGUGGUAAGCAAGCAUGGUAAUGAUAUAUUGAUGAAAAAUUGAAUCAAUUAGAGAUACGCGGAACUAGCUAGUACUACUUACUUUGGGGUGCGUAAAUUGCAACUCUUUGUUUAGACCGGGAGUCUUUUUGGUGAACUUCUUCCAAACCCUGCGAGACAAAGAAAAUGAUUACUUGAUAUCAGGAAAUUAACGAAAGUUGCAUGCCGAUAUGCUCCCGGUAUUGACUGAACUUACUUCUUGAGCAUUGCAGUCAUGUCCGUAUAAUACUCGGGAUCUUUACGUCUCGAGUCUAAGGCAGUUCCUUUUGCCCCGUCAAGCUUAAUGGAUAGUAGAAUAUAGUGGUAACUGCGCACACAUAUAUAACUGAUCAAAUACAUUACUUAACCUCGAGUAAGCGAAACUGAGUAUACAGAGAAGAUAACAACACUCACUUGAAGUUGUAAGGAAAGAGUAUUUCCCUUUUGUUUUGAUGUAUAAGGAACAACUUUAGCAAGUUCUUCUAGGUCUCUUUGGUUGAGUAUCGUGCCAACCAUUCAUUUACGGCAUCUGGGCUAAUGAACCCACAUCGAAGAUUCCUGCUUUUUUUAAUUCGAAGAUCUUCAAUCUGCAUAAUAUAUAUAAUGAGGACAAUUAUAUAUAUACAUGCAAUGAAUGAGCCGAGCUAGAGACUUAACUAUAGAAGUAAUACUUACAAAUAGUAGGAAGUCACGAGUUGUUUGUCUAGGGCCAGUUGAUUGUAUAACUGAAAUAACUACACAAAUUCAACAGGCAUCACUGGAGCUCCAAUGAAUUCGUGCUCUAGUUUUACUUCCAUCUAGAUAGUGUCUUUCCCAUACUCGAUGCAGGUAUUCAUGUACCACUCAUGAAAUUUGUGCAUCAUCGGUGCUAGAGGAGGAUGACCAGGUUUGACGAGAGGCUUCCCGUGCAUGUAUUUACAUCAUCCCCCAAGUAAUCACCAGGAUUGGUACCGGGCACCAUCCCGGAGGAUUAGCGACGAUAUCUCUCGACACCUUGAGCGGGGGGCACGAUAUCUUCUCGUGUUGGCCGAGUUGGGGAAUUGUUUUCCCACUUCUUCGUUUUGCUAACCUUGCAUCACUUCGAGCCGCCGGAGCAGCGGUGUAUCUCUUCUGCUUGAUAGAAGGAGGAGANNNNNNNNNNNNNNNNNNNNNNNNNNNNNNNNNNNNNNNNNNNNNNNNNNNNNNUGUACUCCUACUGCCAUAGACAUGUACUCCUCACGGCAUGAACCAGCUUAUUCUCCCCUUCACCUGUAGGGUGGUCAAGCUCGAGCUCCUCAAAUCUGUCCAUUACUUCAUCCACCAUCACAACAGCAAAGCCAUGUGGAAUCGGAAGGCAGUAAAAAAGUUUCGUUGGGUUGAGGAGGUGCAAUAGAGCCGAUAGCAGCCUUGAAAGUGAGGUUCCGACAUUUCGUCAUAAGCUCGCAAUUUUGAGCCUGUGUGAUAGUAUCCACGGGGUAGCUAGGAGCCGUGAAGUCAGGCUGAACGAGCUCCGUGGAAGCCACGCUUCUUCUCCGCUGAGAUGGCGGGGUAGCUUCUCGGGUAGCUCGCUGGCUCUCAAGUUCCUCUAGCUUUUGUAGUCUUGCAUUGAUCUUCUGCAUGUCGCUCAGCUCCGCUUUCCUCUUUCUCUCUCGGCUUCUGUAACCGCCUGCGUUGGGAAACCCAACCUUCCACGGAACGGAGCCUGGUGUUCCUCGUGUCCGUCCAGGGUGCUCAACAUUCCCUAGGGCCUCAGUCAUCUCGUCCUUCUCUCUGUCGGGAAUGAACGUCCCUUCCUGCGCUGCGGUGAUACAAUUCGGAAGCGUCUUGAUGGGUAUUGCAAAUUGCUCGUUCGUUCAACGGCACUUCCCUGUUUCAGGGUCCAAAGUUCCCCCAACCGCGAAGAACAAAGUCCUUGAAUGGUCUGGCUAGCUAAAUGUCUGUGGUUCGACCCUUUUAGCAAUCAUGUCAUUCUCAGCUUUGUCCCACAACGGAUGGGCUUUGAGGUAGCCACCUGACCCCGUGUGAUGGUGAUGCUGCUUCUUUGCAGCAUUGUUCUUGUUUGUCUCUCGCAUUUUCUUACUCUUGUCCGAUGUCUUGUAGGCCACAAAUGCGGGCUAGUGAUCUCUCAUCUUCUCAAAUCGGCCGAUGAACUCUGGAGUCUUCCCUUUGUUGGCAAACUUUGAUUUCAACUCAUUCUUCCACCUCCUGAAUAGAUCUGCCAUCUUCUUAAGAGCACACGCUUUGACCAGUGGCUCUAUAACUGGCUUAUUCGGAUCCUCCUCUGGCGGUAGGGUGAAAUUUUGCCUUCAGCACGGUCCAAAGAUCAUCUUUCUGCCUAUUGGUGACAUAAUCACCUUCAGGGACGUCGUCACCCUUAGGCUUAUUCCAUUGCUUGAUGCUGAUCGGGAUGUUGUCCCUAACAAUAGCUCCGCAUUCAGUAGAAAAGGCGUCCUUGGUCCGCUUGGGUAGAAUCGGUAGGCCAUCGUUCGCGAGUGUUGUGAUCGUGAAAUUUUCAUCCUUGCGCAACCUUCUCUUCGGGCCUCGUCUCGUAACCGAAGCUUGGCUCGAUGCUAACGUUGCAACAGCUCUCUACUCUGUUCGGUCACCGGAGCUAUCAUCAUGGUAUCCUUCUUCCUCCAACAUUCGGUCACCGGAGACAUCAUGAUCAUGUCCUCCCUCCUCCAUUGUUCGUUCACUGGAGCCGUCAUCCUCUCCUUCCAAACCAUCGAUGGCGUUGAGAUACCAAGAGACCUCAUCACCGUCGCGGAUUAUCUCACCCAACAACUACUCUUGUUCCAAGUUACUUGGAUCCAUAGUUUCUACAAAUAUUACAACAUGGCAAUUAAUAGACAAACAUGAAUGUCCGACGUCCGGACCGCCUCUCUCAUGAAUUUCAAACAACGGAUUCUAUACAAAAAACUUUCUACUAUAAACAAAAAACUUUCUUCUAUGAACAAAAAACCGUGUCUCAUCACUACUUGGAGGGGUGUGUUUAGUUCAUCCAUAAAAGAAUCUUCACAAGUCAUAAAUGUAUGAUCAUAAACUAGAAACAUCUAUCAUGAUAUUUGUAUACAUAAACAAAUGUACAUAGUGAGUAUUAGAAAAUGUACAAAAAUGCAUAGUGAAUAUUUGAAAAUGUACUCGGGGGCGACGACGACAGUGAUGGGCUCGGGGUGACGACGGGCUUGGGACGACGGCGAUGGGCUGGGAGGUGCUGAGACGUCUCCGUCGUAUCUAUAAUUUUUGAUUGUUUCAUGCCAAUAUUCUACAACUUUCAUAUACUUUUGGCAAUUUUUUAUACUAUUUUUGGAACUAACAUAUUGAUCCUGUGCCCAGUGCCAGUUCCUGUUUGUUGCAUGUUUUUUGUUUCGCAGAAUAUCCAUACCAAACGAAGUCCAAACGCAAUAAAAAACCGAAGGUGAUUUUUUAUGGAAUAUUUAUGAUUUUUGGGAAGAAGAAUCAACGCGAAACGAUGCCCGAGGGGGUCACAAGCCCAGGAGGCGCCCCCCUAGCACGCGGAUGGCAAGCUUGUGACCAAUCCCUAAGGCGGUUGGGGCCCUUCAUUCUCCGCAAGAAAGCUAAUAUCCGGAAUAAAAUAGUGUAAAAAUUUCAGCCCAAUCGGAGUUAUGGAUCUCCGAGAAUUUAAGAAACGGUGAAAGGUAGAAUCUGGGAGCGCAGAAACAGAAGGACAGAGAGAGAGGUAUCCAAUCUCGGAGGGGCUCUUGCCCCUCCGCUGCCACGGAGACCAUGGACCAGAGGGGAAACCCUUAUCCCAUCUAGAAAGGAGGUCAAGGAAGAAGAAGAAGGGGGGCUCUCUCCCCCUCUCUCCCGGCGGCGCCGGAACGCUGCCCGAGACAUCAUCGUCUGACGGAGAUCUACACUAACACCUCCGUCAUCUUCACCAACACCUCCAUCUCCUUCCCCCAUCUAUAUUCAGCGGUCCACUCUCCCGCAACCCUCUGUACCCUCUACUUGAACAGGGUGCUUUAUGCUUCAUAUUAUUAUCCGAUGAUGUGUUGCCAUCCUGUGAUGUCUGAGUAGAUUUUCAUUGUCCUAUCGGUGAUUGAUGAAUUGCUAUGAUUGGUUUAAUUUGUUUGUGGUUAUGUUGCUGUCCUUUGGUGCCCAUCAUAUGAGCGCGCACGUGGAUCACACCAUAGGGUUAGUAGUAUGUUGAUAGGACUAUGUAUUGGAGGGCAAGGGUGACAGAAGCUUCAUCCUAGCAUCGAAAUUGAUGCAUACGGGAUUGAAGGGGGAACAAUAUAUUUUAUUGCUAUGGUUGGGUUUUACCUUAAUGAACGUUAGUAGUUGCGGAUGCUUGCUAAUAGUUCCAAUCAUAAGUGCAUAGAAUUCCAAGUAAGGGAUGACAUGCUAGCAGUGGCCUCUCCCACAUAAAACUUGCUAUCGGUCUAGUAACGUAGUCAAUUGCUUAGGGACAAUUCCGCAACUCCUACCACCAAUUUUCCACACUUGUUAAACUAACGUAAUUGUUUCUUAGCAGCCCCUAGUCUUUAUUUACGUGUUCUUUCUUUUCUUGCAAACCUAUCCUAUCACUCCUACAAAGUACUUCUAGUUUCAUACUUGUUCUAGGUAAAGCGAACGUAAAGUGUGCGUAGAGUUGUAUCGGUGGUCGAUAGAACUUGAGCGAAUAUUGAUCCUACCUUUAGCUCCUCGUUGGGUUCGACACUCUUACUUAUCGAGAAAGGCUACAAUUGAUCCCCUAUACUUGUGGGUUAUCAAGACCUUUUUCUGGCGCCGUUGCCGGGAAGCAAUAGCUGUUGGAAAUAUGCCCUAGACACUACAGGAAUCAGCUUCUUUGCCGUCUGCCAUCACAGACGGCAAAGACGAAAUCCCGGACGGCAAAGACAAAACCACAGACGGCAAAGAAUCUCACGGCCGGCAAAAUUUCUGCAUCAGCCUACGACGGCAUAGGACCUUCUUUGCCGUCUGUCCCCCCCCCAAAGCGGACGGCAAAGAGCUUUGCCGUCAGCUUUUCAUAGGAGCAGUCGGCAAAGUGCUCGAGACGGCAGCCGACAGGCAUUGCCUCCAUUAGGGGUUAACGGAGGCUUUGCCGUCUGCCUCCCCCUUAUUCUUUGUCGUCUGCCUCCCCCUUAUUCUUUGCCGUCUGCCUCCUCCUCCCCCCUCCUCUCUUUGCCGUCUGCCUCCUCCUCCCCCCCUCCUGUGUGGCCUCUUCUUUGCCGUCUGCCCACCCUGGAGGCAGACGUCAAAGAGCCUAUAUAGACACCCCACGAUGCAUAGCUGGGUGCCAUGUGGCACCUUUGCCAUCUGCCAGCUGAUGGCACAGGUCUUUGCCAUCAGCUGGCAGACGAUAAAGAGCCCAUAUAGUACCUGUUUUUUUGUUUUAUNNNNNNNNNNNNNNNNNNNNNNNNNNNNNNNNNNNNNNNNNNNNNNNNNNNNNNNNNNNNNNNNNNNNNNNNNNNNNNNNNNNNNNNNNNNNNNNNNNNNUGAUGAGCUCAAUGUGACUAAGGAGUUAGUCACACGAUGACGUGCUACGGAACGAGUAAAGAGACUUACCGGUAACGAGAUUGAACAAGGUAUAGGUAUACCGACGAUCGAAUCUCGGGCAAGUUCUAUACCGACAGACAAAGGGAAUUGUAUACGGGAUUGAUUGAAUCCUUGACAUCGUGGUUCAUCCGAUGAGAUCAUCGUGGAGCAAGUGGCAGCCACCAUGGGUAUCCAGACCCCGCUGAUGGUUAUUGGCCGGAGAGGUGUCUCGGUCAUGUCUACCUGUCUCCCGAACUCGUAGGGUCUACACACAUAAGGUUCGAUGACGCUAGGGUUAUAGGGAAUUAUUAUACGAGGUUACCAAAAGUUGUUCGGAGUCCCGGAUGAGAUCCCGGACGUCACGAGGAGCUCCGGAGGUAAAGAUUGAUAUAUAGGAUGGAUGGUUUUGCACAUCGGAAAUGUUUCAGGAGUCACCGGUAAUGUACCGGGACCACCGGGACGACCGGAAAUGGUCCCGGGGGUCCACCGGGAGGGGCCACCAGCCCCAAGAGGUAGCAUGGGCCAAAAGAGGGAGGGCAACCAGCCCAAAGUGGGCUGGUGCACCUCCCACAAGGAGGCCCAAGGCGCAGGAGGUGGAGAGGGGGGAACCCUAGGCGCUGGUGGGCCUAAGGCCCACCUAGGGGUGCGCCACCUCUCCCCCUGCCCUGGCCACCGCACCUCCCAUCUGGGGGGGCUGCCGCACCACCUAGGGUGGGAACCCUAGGGGUGGCACCCCCUUCCCCUCCUCCUAUAUAUAGUGGGGGUUUUGGGGCUGUUUGACACACAGUUUCCCAUCUCCCUCGGUGCAGCCCUGCCCCCCUUCCUCCUCCUCUCCCACGGUGCUUGGCGAAGCCCUGCCGGGAGACCUCGUCUCUCCAUCGACACCACGCCGUCGUGCUGCCGGAGAUGUCACCCAACCUCUCCCUCCUCCUUGCUGGAUCAAGGUGCGGGAGACCUCACUGGGCUGCACAUGUGUUGAACGCGGAGGUGUCGUGGUUCAGCACUAGAUCGGAAUCAGACCGCAAUCUGAAUCGCCGCGAGUACGACUCCAUCAACCGCGUUCUAGCAACGCUUCCGCUUAGCGAUCUUCGAAUGAAUGAAGAUGCACUCACUCCUCUCUCGUUGCUGGUCUCUCCAUAGGAAGAUCUGAAUAUGUGUAGGAAUUUUUUUGAAUUUAUGCUACGUUACCCAACAAUAGCGUGGGGUGAAUAUUCGUGUGUGCUUGUUUGCUUUAUCACUAAGUAGAUUUAUUUGCUGUUCUAAGUUGUUCUCUAUCGUUAGUUAUGGAUAUGAAACACGAAAUGCCAAAAAAAUUAGGUGUACUUGCUACUCAUGGAGAUGGGGAACCUCCUAAAACCCUCGAUGCUCGUUGUGUGGAUAAUAUUAUGCAGUUCUUUAAUAAUCCUGAGAAAACCAUAUUAAAUUAUAUAAUGGGCUACACGUUCGAUCAACGUGAAUACUUUAGGUAUUAUCGCUUGACUCAAAAAGGGAAACUAUUAUGUGAUCAAAUUCAUAUGCUGAAAUGGUAUGCUUGGGAGCUAUGCUCGAGAUAUGAUAUUACUUGUUGCUCUACGAUGAAGGCUCAACACCUUCCCUUUUCUUAUAAAUUUAAUGCUAAUGAAACCUUGGCUUCUUAUGCUAAUGGUAUAUAUGAUUACUAUGAUGUGGAGCAAAUAGAAGAGUUUCUUUCUUUUAUGGGUGCUUAUGAAAUUGAAGCUCUGUUUAAAAGGUGUGAUGAUAAUGAUGAUCCUGCUUACCGAUCUGAAAAUUUGGUUAUGCUUCGUUAUUGUUAUACUCAUUAUGAAUACUGGUCGUCAACCCGUGCAUUUGCACGGGCUAGAUUAAUAACCUACAAUGGGAUGAAACUUCUGAGACUAUCUUUCAUUCAUUGGGGGUAAAGACAUAUCCUAAAUUUCUAUUGGAAAAAUUAUUCAAGUGUCAUCAUAGUUCAAAUUUAAUGCUUCAAAUAAUAGAAUGUCAAAGGACGCAUAUACUCAAAUAUUCUCUAUCCACAUAAAAAUUAAAUGAUUUAAUCUCCUCUAAUCUUGGUACAUAAUUCCUUCAACACAUUGGAUUUUUUUUCUUUUUGAAUUGUUCAUUCACUUGACAUCUAUUACCAUCAGUCUCUAGAGUAAUUUAGAAGUUUACUUUAGAUAUAUGAUGAAAGAGCCUCACAGAAUAAACAACAAAAAAAUUAGGUCUUUUUAAAGAGAUGACGAAUACAGACACACAUGAGAGAACAUUUUCUAUUACUUUUGUUCUUGUUCCAUAAUUUUAUCAUAAAAGAACAAAAUCCUAGUCUCCAACUGAUAUAAUCAUGCAUUGAAAAAAUAGUCAUUGGGUUGAGCAUCUGUUAGAUGUUUCGAUGGUUGCUCUUUUGUGCAUCCCCUUGGCUUCCAUCAUAUCCUAACGUACUGAUCUAAACAUAUUCAAUUUUAUUAUAUUAGUAAUUUCCUAAAAAUAAUAAAAUACUAAUAAUACGUUAACAUAUAUGGGCUGUUUGAAUGGCAGCUGAUGCCCACCUUACCAAAAUACGGGGUUGACCACCAGCGUGGGUGUCUUUUGGUUGUCAACUAAAUUUUUUAACCUACGCCAAAAGAAUUGUCGCUACUUCAUUUCCUGCACCAAUGGGCUGUUCGUAGCGGCGAAUUUUAUGGCCAGUUUUUCGGCUCAGGCGCGAUUCGGCGUGGCUGGCCUAGGCACCAUCAAAAUGACCGGCCUAUAGACAAAAGUAAACUGUCUGUCUCUAUUUUUAAUUCACAUGAACUUUGACUAAUAUGGUAUAUACAAAAUAUUAUUUGAAUGCAUAUUUUAUUUAGCUAAAUACUGAUACAAUGUUUUAUUUAAUAAAACACUGAUAAAAUAUCGUAUUUACCGAGAUACUCCUUUAAUAUUUAACUAAAAUUGUAUUUAUCAAACCGAACAAACUGACACACAUGCCUCAUUAUCCAUUAUCUACCGUGAGUAGGUGGUUCCUACAAACUAACAUGCAUAUUAUUCCUACAUAUUACUUUGCCGAGUUGUCAUUUUCAAAACUCAACAAUUGCUAUUUAAAUGUUUGUCGAGUACCUGAUAAUAUGAACUUCGCAAAGUUGAUGGUUGUUGACCUCCGUCUAGCCGAGUGAUGUUUGCCGAGAACAGAAAUCGACAAACACAAUGCAUAGUUGUUUCUAGCUAGGACUUGCUAAGUGUGUUGGAAACUCACCGAAUUCGGCGAUUCCGGUCGUGAAAUGGCAUUAACAAAAAACCUUAUCACCAUCACGUCCCAAAAAUGAACUGUGUAAAAAUAAGUAGCUAUAUUUUUUAAUGAAGAUUGUUCUUAUAUACGUGUUUAGUUUUCUUGAUUGUAUGUAAUAUCGACCUUUAUACCAUGCAUGCAUGGUACACUUGAAUUCGGUUUCAUUUAGUCGGUGUAAGCUUUAUUCAUACAUGUACAUAGGUUUGGUCUACUUUGCAAUUAUCUGAUUAUGCCGCAAAAUCUCGAACAAAACAUGUUUAACAUAUUUGUCCUCUCAAAACCAAACAUGCGUUUAUCGUAUUUUUAAGAAAUAUUAAUUUACAAAAGGUAUAGUUCAUGGACUAAUGUCACAUGUAAUUUUUACUCAUUAACAAUGAAAAUUGAGUAUCCUAGCAACCAGAAAAGCAGUUUGAGCGAAGUAGUCAACUGUAACCUCUAAUGCAUUAGGCAAUGUAAAGUCUUGGCAGUCCUGGUGAGAUAUAUAAUUCAUGCAUCGGCCUAUUUCGCAAGGCGGGGUUGCCAUAGUUCCGCUGUAAUUCACUCUUGUUCAUCCAGAAAAGGUUAAUUAGAAUACCUUCAGUGUCACAAUCUGAUGCCUUUUGUCGAUAAGAUAAAAAAAUGUGUAGAUGCAAAGUGUAUUACAUGGAACACGAACAUUUUUUUCUUGCGUAUAAUAACCUGUGCCAAACAAUGUGCUACCCUGGAAAACAAUUGAUUGAUCCUCCUUCACAGAAAUUACAUAGAACAUAGAGAACAUACCUUAUUAAAAUUGAAUCCCUGUAGAAAAUAUAAUAUGUUUGGAACCUGAAAAAAAGUCGAGUCAGGUGAAAUUCUUAUAACACCCAUGAAAUCAGGCCCAAUAUCGAAUGCGAUAACAAAAUGCACAUAUAGGAUAAGCCGUCAAAAGCACAGUCCGAGUAUAAGAGGUCAUAAAAACAAACUGGAUUAAAAUGUAUAUUUUUUACUCUGCAUGCCCCAAACAGACAAUGAUCUAAUCAACCGAAUUGUAUAUUUUACUACAUGUCAGAGAUUAAGAAAAAGGGAGAGGGUCAAGGGAUAUUGGUGGUAUAAAAUAUGAGAAACUGAGACAAAAAGACAGCUGAUAUGUGCACUAAAAAUGUGAAACUUGUUUAAUUGAGUGAAUCUCCAUGCCCCCAAACAGGUAAAUAUCAUAGAGAGAUACAUGUUAAAAAUUCAUUACAAUUAAAUACACCAAAAAAUAUAUUAUACUACCCCAGAUCAAAACCAAACCAUUUGCUUAAUGGUUAGCUUAUCACCUCGUCAUUGGCUGCGAUGGUGCCACGGCCAAGAAGAGCUUACCAUAUGUACCCCGGCUAGAUAGGUUAGACAAUGCUAGAUUUCACACGCUGCAUGGAGAGAGAAGCAUUGUAUUAACCCAAUCCAAUGGCUGGCAGGGCGAUGUUUGAUAUAUUAUCCAGUGCAUAGUGAAAGGUCCUGCACUGGACCUCAUCACCCAAUUUUAUAUAGCGCGUGGAGGCAGCCAAUUAUAUAAUCAGCUCAUGAUGUUCAUCAUGUACAUGCAAAUCUCGCUUUCCUAUUUGCCGGUGGAUAUAACUUGCCGCGAUCUCUUCGUCAGCUGCAACACACACAGAGAGAGGGACAUGCUGAUGCCUAAUUGCAUCAGAAGGAAGAUACCAAGGCCAACGUGCCAUGGUGCAGAUAGAUUUAGAUGUGAUUUGCGGCUGGAUCUAACACGCCGUCGAUGAAAGGAAAGACAUGUUACUCUAACAUGCCUAUAUGCCCUUCCACCUAUGAUUGGCACCAGAUCGCCAUGAAAGAGGCGAUGAAGGCUUAGACCAACAACUCUUCGUUAGGGAUUAACUAAAGGCGAUUUCUUGAGAUAACGAUCUUGUUGGUAGGAAAAUAGAUGACGGCUUUUUUUUUGUUUUGGAAGAGGUCAAUCUGGUAGUCCUUCCACGGCAAGAGUCUAAUGGAAAUAAUUUAUGGUUUUAGAUUUUAUCUAUGAAUAAUUGAGGCUUACUUAACGUGGAGACUUGAGAAUGUCUUUGUUACGUGUAGGCUGGGUCAGGUUGGUAGUUUUUCCCACGGCAAUACUCUAGAGGCCGACCAGUUUUUUUAGUUAUUUUACUGCAAGAGCAAAAGAAAUAAUAUAUAUGUUUUUGCCUGGGACUAAUUAACAUGCGCGAUUGAAAAUAUCAGUUACGUGUAGGCUGGGUCAGUCAGGUAGGCUACUUUUUUCUACCGCAGUAGUAACAUAAAAUUAAAUGGUCUAGAAAAAUACUGACUUAGGAUGUUAUGAUUGGAUCUGCACCGUAAUAAUUCGGUCCCACAAGAUGAACGGCUCGUAAAAUCUAAUUAACGUGAGAAUUUUUAAGGAGUCUCUAAUUAGUAUAAGUAUAGAUAAUGCCCAUAUUUAUCGAUUUAUGGAGAAAUUCUACGAUGCCCAAGAAGAGACUAAUAUUUUGCAGGAAACUAUGGAAGAAGAAAAUGCUGAUACUGUGAGCUCAUUAGAUGAAAAAGAUGACGAGGAGAGCGAAGAACAAAAGGAGGAAGAGCGGACUAGCUACCCGUGCCCACCUUCUAAUAAGAAUAACUCUUCAACUCAUACAUUGUUUAAUUUCCCUUCGAAGGAUGAAUGCUAUGUUUAUUGCUAUGAUCCCUUGGAUUUGUUUGAAAUAUCCCUUUUUGAUGAACUUGAUGCUAGCUAUGAUUAUGGCCAUGAUGCCAAUAUGAAUGAUGCUUAUGAAGAUGAACUUGCUAUAGUUCCUUAUGUUAAACAUGAAAUUGUUGCUAUCGCACCCACUUAUGAUAGUCCUAUUAUCUUUUUGAACUCUCCCAACUACACUAUAUCGGAGAAGUUUGCUCUUAUUAGGGAUUACAUAGAUGGGUUGCCUUCUACUAUUACACAUGAUGAUUUUUAUGAAUAUAAUAUGGAUAUGCUUGCUGCUCCUACUUGCAAUUAUUAUGACAGAGGAACUACAUCUCCACCUCUCUAUGUUUCCAAAACAAUAAAUAGCAAGAAACUGCUUAUGCUAUGUAUUGGCCUUUACUUGAUGUGCAUGAAUUGUUCUUUUAUGACAUGCCAAUGCAUAGGAAGAGAGUCAGACUUCGUCAUUGCAUGAUAUAUGUUACCUUCUGCUCACUACUAAAUUACAAAUCAUUGUCAAUUGAAAUUGGCUUUGAUAUACCUUGGGAUCCGGGUGGAUCCAUUACUUGAGCACUUUAUGCCUAGCUUAAUGGCUUUAAAGAAAGCGCUGCCUGGGAGACAACCCGGAAGUUUUAGAGAGUCAUUUAUUUCUGUUGAGUGCUUUUAUAUAGUUUAAAAACAAAAAAAAUAUAGAGGGGAGCUUAAAACUUUUUCAAAAAGAGAAGCGAUUGAAAGGUGAUGCAUUGUGGAAGUGAGGGUCGACCUUGAACACUUGUGUUCAUGCUCAUGGAAACAAUGUAGAAUUCUUCAUGGAAGUUUCUCGCACAAAUAAUUAUGCCUUUGUAAAUUUCCAUUGUAUUAUAAAAAUAAUGUGCCAAGUAAAGCCUUUAUGAUUAGUUUGGGUGAUAGUUGUUUGAUCAUGCUGAAAAAGACAGAAACUUUGUGCUCACAAAAUUAUUUUUAAUACCUAUCCACAAAGAGAUUUUGAGUUGAUUCUUUUUGCUGUUGAUUGAUAUGAAAAUUGCCCUAAUUUUCAUAAUUUUUCAGAAUUUUUGGAGUAUCAUAAGUAUGGCAUACGUUCAGAUUACUACAGACUGUUCUGUUUUUGACAGAUUCUGUUUUCUAUGCAUUGCUCUCUUAUUUUGAUGAAUCUAUGGGUAGUAUCGGGGGGUAUGAACCAUGGUGAAGUUGGAUUACAGUAGAUAUAAUUCUAAUAUGAAUUUGAAAUGAGUACACAACAGUACUUAAAGUGGUGAUUUACUUUAUUAUACUAACGGAUCUCACGAAGGUUUUGUUGAGUUUUGUGUGAUUGAAGUUUUCAAGUUUUGGGUGACACCACGAUGGAUGAAGGAAUAAGGAGAGGCAAGAGCCUAAGCUUGGGGAUGCCCGAGCAUCUAAGCUUGGGGAUGCCCCGGAAGGAAUCCCCUCUUUCGUCUACAAUCUAUCGGUAAUUUUACUCGGAGCUAUAUUUUUAUUCGUCACAUGAUAUGUGCAAAUGCUUGGAGCGUCUUUUGUGUUUAUUUUUCCUUUUUCUUUUAUGCACCAUGCUGGUAUGAGAUAGUCCUUGGUUGAUUUAUAGAAUGCUCUUUGCACUUCACUUAUAUCUUUCGAGUAUGGAUUUAUAGAAUGCUUAUGUGCUUCACUUAUAUCAUUUGAAGUUUGGAUUGCCUGUUUCCCUACACAUAGAAAACCGCCAUUUGUAGAAUGCUCUUUUGCUUCACUUAUAUUUUUUAGAGCGGGGCCUAUAUUUUGUAGAAAGAAUUAAAAUCUCAUGCUUCACUUAUACCUAUUUAGAGAGUUAACAGGAGUUGGUCAUUCACAUGGUUAGUCAUAAAAUCCUACAUAAACUUGUAGAUCACUGAAUAUGAUAUGUUUGAUUCCUUGCAAUAGUUUUGCGACAUGAAGAUGUGAUAUUAGAGUGAUGCUAGUGAAUAAUUGUGUAUUCAUAGAAAUACUUGUGUUAAGGUUUGUGAUUCCUGUAGCAUGCAGGUAUGGUGAACCGUUAUGUGACGAGGUCGGAGCAUGAUUUAUUUAUUGAUUGUCAUCCUUUGUGUGGAGGUCGGGACCGCGCGAUGGUUAACUCCUACCAACCCUUCCCCUAGGAGCAUGCGUGUAGUACCUUGUUUCGAUGACUAAUAGACUUUUGCAAUAAGUAUGUGAGUUCUUUAUGACUAAUGUUGAGUUCAUGGAUUAUACGCAAUCUCACCCUUCCACCAUUGCUAGCCUCUCUAGUACCGCGCAACUUUCGCCGGUGCAUUACACCCACCAUAUACCCUUCCUCAAAACAGCCACCAUACCUACCUAUUAUGGCAUUUCCAUAGCCAUUCUUAGAUAUAUUUCCAUGCAACUUCCAUCGUUCCAUUUAUUAUGACACGCACCAUCAUUGUCAUAUUGCUUUGCAUGAUCGUAAGAUAGCUAGCAUGAUGUUUUCAUGGCUUGUCCGUUUUUUGAUGUCAUUGCUACGCUAGAUCAUUGCACAUCCCGGUACACCGCCGGAGGCAUUCAUAUAGAGUCAUAUUUUGUUCUAAAUAUCGAGUUGUAAGUAAAUAAAAGUGUGAUGAUCAUCAUUAUUAGAGCAUUGUCCCAUGUGAGGAAGUAAAAAGAGGCCAAAGAAGCCCACCAAAAAAAGAGAAAAAAAAUAAAAAAAUGAGAGAAAAGAGAGAAGGGACAAUGCUACUAUCCUUUACCACACUUGUGCUUCAAAGUAGCACCAUGAUCUUCAUGAUAGAGAUUCUCCUAUGUUGUCACUUUCAAAUACUAGUGAGAAAUUUUCAUUAUAGUACUUGGCUUGUAUAUUCCAAUGAUGGGCUUCCUAAAAUUGCCCUAGGUCUUCGUGAGCAAGCGAGUUGGAUGCACACCCACUAGUUUCAUUUUGAACUUUCAUACACUUCUAGCUCUUGUGCAUCUGUUGCAUGGCAAUCCCUACUCACUCACAUUGAUAUCUAUUGAUGGGCAUCUCCAUAGCCCGUUGAUAUGCCUAGUUGAUGUGAGACUAUCUCCUCCUUUUUGUCUUCCCCACAGCCACCAUAUUCUAUUCCAACUACAAUGCUAUGUCCAUGGCUCACGCUCAUGUAUUGCGUGAAAGUUGAAAAAGGUUUGAGAACACUAAAGUAUGAAACAAUUGCUUGGCUAAAACCGGGGUUGUGCAUGAUUUAAAUACGUUGUGUGGGGAAGAUGGAGCAUAACCAGACUUUAUGAUUUUGUAGGGAUAACUUUCUUUGACCACGAUAUUUUGAGAAGACAUGAUUCCUUUGUUAGUAUGCUUGAAAUAUUAUUAUCUUUAUGUCAAAUGGUAGGCUAUUGCUUCGAAUCACUCGUGUUUUAGUAUUCAUGCCAUGAUUAGAUUAUAUAAUCAACAUUAUGCUAGGUAGCAUUCCACAUCAAAAAUUAUCUUUUUUAUCAUUUACCUACUCUGUUGGGGAACGUCGCAUGGGAAACAAAAAUUUUCCUACGCGCACGAAGACCUAUCAUGGUGAUGUCCAUCUACGAGAGGGGAUGAGUGAUCUACGAACCCUUGUAGAUCGUAUAGCAGAAGCGUUAGUGAACGCGGUUGAUGUAGUGGAACGUCCUCACGUCCCUCGAUCCGCCCCGCGAACAAUCCCGCGAUCAGUCCCACGAUCUAGUACCGAACGGACGACACCUCCGCGUUCAGCACACGUACAGCUCGACGAUGAUCUCGGCCUUCUUGGUCCAGCAAGAGAGACGGAGAGGUAGAAGAGUUCUCCGGCAGCGUGACGGCGCUCCGGAGGUUGGUGAUGACCUUGUCUCAGCAGGGCUCCGCCCGAGCUCCGCAGAAACGCGAUCUAGAGGAAAAACCGUGGAGGUAUGUGGUCGGGCUGCCGUGGAAAAGUCGUCUCAAAUCAGCCCUAAAACCUCCGUAUAUAUAGGUGGGAGGGAGGGGACCUUGCCUUGGGGCUCAAGGAGCCCCAAGGGGGUCGGCCGAGUCCAAGGGGGGAGGACUCCCCCCCCCCCAAACCGAGUUGGACUUGGUUUGGUGGGAGGGAGUCCCCCUUCCUUCCCACCUCCUCCUUUUUUUUUCCUUUCUCUUGAUUUUCUCUUCUUGGCGCAUAGAGCCCUUUUGGGCUGUCCCACCAGCCCACUAAGGGCUGGUGUGCCACCCUCAAGGCCUAUGGGCUUCCCCGGGGUGGGUUGCCCCCCCCCCCCCGGUGAACUCCCGGAACCCAUUCGUCAUUCCCGGUACAUUCCCGGUAACUCCGAAAACCUUUCGGUAAUCAAAUGAGGUCAUCCUAUAUAUCAAUCUUCGUUUCCGGACUAUUCCGGAAACCCUCGUGACGUCCGUGAUCUCAUCUGGGACUCCGGACAACAUUCGGUAACCAACCAUAUAACUCAAAUACGCAUAAAAUAACGUCGAAUCUUAAGUGUGCAGACCCUGCGGGUUCGAGAACUAUGUAGACAUGACCCGAGAGACUCCUCGGUCAAUAUCCAAUAGCGGGACCUGGAUGCCCAUAUUGGAUCCUACAUAUUCUACGAAGAUCUUAUCGUUUGAACCUCAGUGCCAAGGAUUCAUAUAAUCCCGUAUGUCAUUCCCUUUGUCCUUCGGUAUGUUACUUGCCCGAGAUUCGAUCGUCAGUAUCCGCAUACCUAUUUCAAUCUCGUUUACCGGCAAGUCUCUUUACUCGUUCCGUAAUACAAGAUCCCGCAACUUACACUAAGUUACAUUGCUUGCAAGGCUUGUGUGUGAUGUUGUAUUACCGAGUGGGCCCCGAGAUACCUCUCCGUCACACGGAGUGACAAAUCCCAGUCUUGAUCCAUACUAACUCAACUAACACCUUCGGAGAUACCUGUAGAGCAUCUUUAUAGUCACCCAGUUACGUUGCGACGUUUGAUACACACAAAGCAUUCCUCCGGUGUCAGUGAGUUAUAUGAUCUCAUGGUCAUAGGAAUAAAUACUUGACACGCAGAAAACAGUAGCAACAAAAUGACACGAUCAACAUGCUACGUCUAUUAAUUUGGGUCUAGUCCAUCACGUGAUUCUCCUAAUGACGUGAUCCAGUUAUCAAGCAACAACACCUUGUUCAUAAUCNUUAGUAUCCGUAUACCUAUUUCAAUCUCGUUUACCGGUAAGUCUCUUUACUCGUUCCGUAAUACAAGAUCCCGCAACUUACACUAAGUUACAUUGCUUGCAAGGCUUGUGUGUGAUGUUGUAUUACCGAGUGGGCCCCGAGAUACCUCUCCGUCACACGGAGUGACAAAUCCCAGUCUUGAUCCAUACUAACUCAACUAACACCUUCGGAGAUACCUGUAGAGCAUCUUUAUAGUCACCCAGUUACGUUGCGACGUUUGAUACACACAAAGCAUUCCUCCGGUGUUAGUGAGUUAUAUGAUCUCAUGGUCAUAGGAAUAAAUACUUGACACGCAGAAAACAGUAGCAACAAAAAUGACACGAUCAACAUGCUACGUCUAUUAGUUUGGGUCUAGUCCAUCACAUGAUUCUCCUAAUGACGUGAUCCAGUUGUCAAGCAACAACACCUUGUUCAUAAUCAGAAGACACUGACUAUCUUUGAUCAACUGGCUAGCCAACUAGAGGCUUGCUAGGGACGGUGUUUUGUCUAUGUAUCCACACAUGUAAAUGAGUCUUCAUUCAAUACAAUUAUAGCAUGGAUAAUAAACGAUUAUCUUGAUACAGGAAUUAUAAUAAUAACUAUAUUUAUUAUUGCCUCUAGGGCAUAAUUCCAACAGUCUCCCACUUGCACUAGAGUCAAUAAUCUAGCCCUCACAUCAUCAUGUGAAUUACAUUGUAAUAAAUCUAACACCCAUACAGUUCUGGUGUUGAUCAUGCUUUGGCCGUGGAAGAGGUUUAGUCAGCGGGUCUGCUACAUUCAGAUCCGUGUGCACUUUGCAUAUAUUCAUGUCCUCUCCCUCGACGUAGUCGCGGAUGAGGUUGAAGCGUCGUUUGAUGUGUCUGGUCUUCUUGUGAAACCGUGAUUCCUUUGCUAAGGCAAUGGCACCAGUGUUGUCACAGAACAAGGUUAUUGGAUUCAGUGCGCUUGGCACCACUCCAAGAUCCGUCAUGAACUGCUUCAUCCAGACACCCUCCUUAGCCGCCUCCGAGGCAGCCAUGUACUCCGCUUCACAUGUAGAAUCUGCUACGACGCUUUGCUUGGAACUGCACCAGCUUACUGCACCCCCAUUAAGAAUAAAUACGUAUCCGGUUUGCGACUUAGAGUCGUCCGGAUCUGUGUCAAAGCUUGCAUCGACGUAACCUUUUACGGCGAGCUCUUCGUCACCUCCAUACACGAGAAACAUCUCCUUAGUCCUUUUCAGGUACUUCAGGAUAUUCUUGACCGCUGUCCAGUGAUCCACUCCUGGAUUACUCUGGAACCUACCUGCCAUACUUAUGGCCAGGCUAACAUCCGGUCUAGUGCACAGCAUCGCAUACAUGAUAGAACCUAUGGCUGAAGCAUAGGGGACGGAGCGCAUAUGCUCUCUAUCUUCAUCAGUUGCUGGGCACUGAGUCUUACUCAAUCUCGUACCUUGUAGAACUGGCAAGAACCCUUUCUUGGACUGUUCCAUUUUGAACCUCUUCAAAACUUUAUCAAGGUAUGUGCUUUGUGAAAGUCCUAUCAGGCGUUUUGAUCUAUCCCUAUAGAUCUUAAUGCCUAGAAUGUAAGCAGCUUCUCCUAGGUCCUUCAUAGAGAAACUUUUAUUCAAGUAAUCCUUUAUGCUCUCUAAAAACUCUACGUUGUUUCCAAUCAGUAAUAUGUCAUCCACAUAUAAUAUUAGAAACGCCACAGAGCUCCCACUCACUUUCUUGUAAAUACAAGAUUCUCCAACCACUUGUAUAAACCCAAAUGCUUUGAUCACCUCAUCAAAGCGUUUGUUCCAACUCCGAGAUGCUUGCACCAGUCCAUAAAUGGAUCGCUGGAGCUUGCACACCUUGUUAGCAUUCUUAGGAUCGACAAAACCUUCGGGUUGUAUCAUAUACAACUCUUCCUUAAGGAAACCGUGAAGGAACGCCGUUUUGACAUCCAUCUGCCAGAUUUCAUAAUCGAAAAAUGCAGCUAUUGCUAACAUGAUUCUGACGGACUUAAGCAUCGCUACGGGUGAGAAAUUCUCAUCGUAGUCAACUCCUUGAACUUGUGAAAAACCCUUUGCCACAAGUCGAGCUUUAUAAACGGUCACAUUACCGUCAGCGUCCGUCUUCCUCUUAAAAAUCCAUUUGUUCUGAAUGGCCUUGCGGCCCUCAGGCAGUACCUCCAAAGUCCACACUUUGUUCUCAUACAUGGAUCCUAUCUCGGACUUCAUGGCUUCCAGCCAUUUGUUGGAAUCUGGGCCCACCAUUGAUUCUUCAUAAUUCGCAGGUUCAUUGUUGUCUAACAACAUGAUUGAUAAGACGGGAUUACCGUACCACUCUGGAGCAGCACGUGGUCUCGUCGACCUGCGUGGUUCGACAGAAACUUGAACUGGAGUUUCAUGAUCAUCAUCAUUAACUUCCUCCUCAACCGGUGUCGCAAUGACAGAGGUUUCCCCUUGCCGUGCGCCACCAUCCAGAGGGAUGAGAGGUUCGACAACCUCGUCAAGUUCUAUCUUCCUCCCACUCAAUUCUCUUGAGAGAAACUCCUUCUCGAGAAAAGCUCCGUUUUUAGCAACAAACACUUUGCCCUCGGAUUUGAGAUAGAAGGUGUACCCAACUGUCUCUUUUGGGUAACCUAUGAAGACGCACUUUUCCGCUUUGGGUUCCAGCUUUUCAGGCUGAAGCUUUUUGACAUAAGCAUCACAUCCCCAAACUUUAAGAAACGACAACUUUGGCCUUUUGCCAUACCACAGUUCGUAUGGUGUCGUCUCAACGGAUUUUGAUGGUGCCCUAUUUAAAGUGAAUGCAGCUGUUUCUAAUGCAUAGCCCCAAAAUGAUAACGGCAAAUCAGUAAGAGACAUCAUAGAUCGCACCAUCUCUAAUAGAGUACGAUUACGACGUUCGGACACACCAUUACGCUGUGGUGUUCCAGGCGGUGUUAACUGUGAAACAAUUCCACAUUGUCUUAAGUGAGCACCAAACUCGAAACUCAGAUAUUCACCCCCACGAUCAGACCGUAGGAACUUCAUCUUCUUGUUACGAUGAUUUUCCACUUCACUCUGAAAUUGCUUGAACUUUUCAAAUGUUUAGGACUUGUGCUUCAUCAAGUAGACAUAACCAUAUCUACUUUAAUCUUCAGUGAAGGUGAGAAAAUAACGAUAUCCGCCGCGUGCCUCCACGCUCAUCGGACCACACACAUCGGUAUGUAUGAUUUCCAACAAGUCACUUGCACGCUCCAUUGUUCCUGAGAAUGGAGUCUUAGUCAUCUUGCCCAUGAGGCAUGGUUCGCACGUGUCAAGUGAAUCAAAGUCAAGUGACUCCAAAAGUCCAUCAACAUGGAGUUUCUUCAUGCGCUUUACACCAAUAUGACCUAAGCGGCAGUGCCACAAAAAUAUGGCGCUAUCAUUGUUAACUCUAACUCUUUUGGUCUCAAUGUUAUGUAUAUGCGUAUCGCUAUCAAGAUUCAAUAUGAACAAUCCUCUCACAUUCGGUGCAUGACCAUAAAAGAUGUUACUCAUAGAAAUAGAACAACCAUUAUUCUCUGACUUAAAAGAGUAACCGUCUCGCAAUAAACAAGAUCCAGAUAUAAUGUUCAUGCUCAACGCAGGCACUAAAUAACAAUGAUUUAAGUUCAUCACUAAUCCUGACGGUAACUGAAGUGACACUGUGCCGACGGCGAUUGCAUCAACCUUGGAACCAUUUCCUACGCGCAUCGUCACUUCAUCUUUCGCCAGCCUUCGCCUAUUCCACAGUUCCUGUUUCGAGUUGCAAAUAUGAGCAACAGAACCGGUAUCGAAUACCCAGGCACUACUACGAGAGCCGGUUAAGUACACAUCAAUAACAUGUAUAUCAAAUAUACCUGAUUUUUCUUUGCCCGCCUUCUUAUCUGCCAGAUACUUGGGGCAAUUGCGCUUCCAAUGACCCAUACCCUUGCAAUAGUAACACUCCGUUUCCGGCUUAGGUCCAGCUUUGGGUUUCUUCGUCGGAUUGGCAACAGGCUUGCCGCUCUUCUUCGAAUUUCCCUUCUUGCCUUUGCUGUUUCUCUUGAAACUAGUGGUCUUAUUCACCAUCAACACUUGAUGCUCUUUACGGAGUUCAGACUCUGCGACUUUCAGCAUCGCAAACAACUCGCCGGGAGACUUGUUCAUCCCUUGCAUGUUGUAGUUCAACACAAAGCCUUUAUAGCUUGGUGGCAGUGAUUGAAGGAUUCUGUCAGUGAUAGCUUCUUGCGGGAGUUCAAUCCCCAGCUCAGCUAGAUGGUUUGAGUACCCAGACAUUUUGAGCACAUGUUCACUGACAGAUGAGUUUUCCUCCAUCUUGCAAGCAUAGAAUUUAUCGGAGGUCUCAUACCUCUCGAUCCGGGCGUUCUUCUGAAAGAUAAAUUCCAACUCCUGGAACAUCUCAAAUGCUCCAUGACGCUCAAAGCGACGUUGAAGUCCCGGUUCUAAGCCAUACAAGACUGCACAUUGAACUAUUGAGUAGUCCUCCUUACGUGCUAACCAAGCGUUCUUAACAUCUUGAUCAGCCGUAGCGGGUGGUUCAUCUCCUAACGCAGCAUUAAGGACAUAAUCCUUCUUCCCAGCUUGUAAGAUUAGCUUAAGAUUACGAGCCCAGUCUACAAAGUUGCUUCCAUCAUCUUUCAACUUAGCUUUCUCUAGGAACGUAUUAAAAUUCAGGAUGACUGUCGCGUGAGCCAUGAUCUACAACACAAAUAUUUCAAAGUGGACUUAGACUAUGUUUAAGAUAAUUAGAGUUCAACUUAAUCAAAUUAUUCACUAAACUCCCACUCAAAAAGUACAUCUCUCUAGUCAUUUGAGUGGUUCAUGAUCCACUUACACUAGCUCAAGUCCGAUCUUCACGUGAGUUGAGUAUAGUUUCAGUGGUAAGCAUCCCUAUGCUAAUCAUAUCAUCUAUAUGAUUCAUGAUCGACCUUUCGGUCUCAUGUGUUCCGAGGCCAUGUCUGCACAUGCUAGGCUCGUCAAGCUUAACCCGAGUAUUCCGCGUGCGCAACUGUUUUGCACCCGUUGUAUGUGAACGUUGAGUCUAUCACACCCGAUCAUCACGUGGUGUCUCGAAACGACGAACUGUAGCAACGGUGCACAGCCGGGGAGAACACAAUUUCGUAUUGAAAUUUUAGUGAGAGAUCACCUCAUAAUGCUACCGACGUUUUAAGCAAAAUAAGGUGCAUAAAAGGAUUAACAUCACAUGCAAUUCAUAAGUGACAUGAUAUGGCAAUCAUCACGUGCUUCUUGAUCUCCAUCACCAAAGCACCGGCACGAUCUUCUUGUCACCGGCGCCACACCAUGAUCUCCAUCAACGUGUUGCCAUCGGGGUUGUCGUGCUACUCAUGCUAUUACUACUAAAGCUACAUCCUAGCAAAAUAGUAAACGCAUCUGCAAGCACACACGUUAGUAUAAAGACAACCCUAUGGCUCCUGCCGGUUGCCGUACCAUCGACGUGCAAGUCGAUAUUUCUAUUACAACAUGAUCAUCUCAUACAUCCAAUAUAUCACAUCACAUCAUUGGCCAUACCACAUCACAAGCAUACCCUGCAAAAACAAGUUAGACGUCCUCUAAUUUUGUUGUUGCAUGUUUUACGUGGUGACCAUGGGUAUCUAGUAGGAUCGCAUCUUACUUACGCAAACACCACAACGGAGAUAUAUGAGUUGCUAUUUAACCUCAUCCAAGGACCUCCUCGGUCAAAUCCGAUUCAACUAAAGUUGGAGAAACCGACACUUGCCAGUCAUCUUUGAGCAACGGAGUUACUCGUAACGAUGAAACCAGUCUGUCGUAAGCGUACGAGUAAUGUCGGUCCAAGCCGCUUCAAUCCAACAAUACCGCGGAAUCAAGAAAAGACUAAGGAGGGCAGCAAAACGCACAUCACCGCCCACAAAAACUUUUGUGUUAUACUCGAGAAGACAUCUACGCAUGAACCUAGCUCAUGAUGCCACUGUUGCGGAACGUCGCAUGGGAAACAAAAAUUUUCCUACGCGCACAAAGACCUAUCAUGGUGAUGUCCAUCUACGAGAGGGGAUGAGUGAUCUACGUACCCUUGUAGAUCAUAUAGCAGAAGCGUUAGUGAACGCGGUUGAUGUAGUGGAACGUCCUGAUGUCCCUCGAUCCGCCCCGCGAACAAUCCCGCGAUCAGUCCCACGAUCUAGUACCGAACGGACGGCACCUCCGCGUUCAGCACACGUACAGCUCGACGAUGAUCUCGGCCUUCUUGAUCCAGCAAGAGAGACGGAGAGGUAGAAGAUUUCUCCGGCAGCGUGACGGCGCUCCGGAGGUUGGUGAUGACCUUGUCUCAGCAGGGCUCCGCCCGAGCUCCGGAGAAACGCGAUCUAGAGGAAAAACCGUGGAGGUAUGUGGUCGGGCUGCCGUGGAAAAGUCGUCUCAAAUCAGCCCUAAAACCUCCGUAUAUAUAGGUGGGAGGGAGGGGACCUUGCCUUGGGGCUCAAGGAGCCCCAAGGGGGUCGGCCGAGUCCAAGGGGGGAGGACUCCCCCCCCCCAAACCGAGUUGGACUUGGUUUGGUGGGAGGGAGUCCCCCUUCCUUCCCACCUCCUCCUUUUUUUUCCUUUCUCUUGAUUUUCUCUUCUUGGCGCAUAGAGCCCUUUUGGGCUGUCCCACCAACCCACUAAGGGCUGGUGUGCCACCCUCAAGGCCUAUGGGCUUCCCCGGGGUGGGUUGCCCCCCCCCNNNNNNNNNNNNNNNNNNNNNNNNNNNNNNNNNNNNNNNNNNNNNNNNNNNNNNNNNNNNNNNNNNNNNNNNNNNNNNNNNNNNNNNNNNNNNNNNNNNNNNNNNNNNNNNNNNNNNNNNNNNNNNNNNNNNNNNNNNNNNNNNNNNNNNNNNNNNNNNNNNNNNNNNNNNNNNNNNNNNNNNNNNNNNNNNNNNNNNNNNNNNNNNNNNNNNNNNNNNNNNNNNNNNNNNNNNNNNNNNNNNNNNNNNNNNNNNNNNNNNNNNNGGUAAGUCUCUUUACUCGUUCCGUAAUACAAGAUCCCGCAACUUACACUAAGUUACAUUGCUUGCAAGGCUUGUGUGUGAUGUUGUAUUACCGAGUGGGCCCCGAGAUACCUCUCCGUCACACGGAGUGACAAAUCCCAGUCUUGAUCCAUACUAACUCAACUAACACCUUCGGAGAUACCUGUAGAGCAUCUUUAUAGUCACCCAGUUAUGUUGCGACGUUUGAUACACACAAAGCAUUCCUCCGGUGUCAGUGAGUUAUAUGAUCUCAUGGUCAUAGGAAUAAAUACUUGACACGCAGAAAACAGUAGCAACAAAAAUGACACGAUCAACAUGCUACCUCUAUUAGUUUGGGUCUAGUCCAUCACCUGAUUCUCCUAAUGACGUGAUCCAGUUCUCAAGCAACAACACCUUGUUCAUAAUCGGAAGACACUGACUAUCUUUGAUCAACUGGCUAGCCAACUAGAGGCUUGCUAGGGACGGUGUUUUGUCUAUGUAUGCACACAUGUAGAUGAGUCUUCAUUCAAUACAAUUAUAGCAUGGACAAUAAACGAUUAUCUUGAUACAGGAAUUAUAAUAAUAACUAUAUUUAUUAUUGCCUCUAGGGCAUAAUUCCAACAUACUCGAGGACGAGCAGAAAUUAAGCUUGGGGAUGCUGAUACGUCUCCGUCGUAUCUAUAAUUUUUGAUUGUUUCAUGCCAAUAUUCUACAACUUACAUAUACUUUUGGCAACUUUUUAUACUAUUUUUGGGACUAAAAUAUUGAUCCAGUUCCCAGUGCCAGUUCCUGUUUGUUGCAUGUUUUUUGUUUCGUAUAAUAUCCAUACCAAACGAAGUCCAAACACAAUAAAAAACCUAUGGUGAUUUUUUAUGGAAUAUUUAUGAUUUUUGGGAAGAAGAAUCAACGCAAAACGAUGCCCGAGGGGGUCACAAGCCUAGGAGGUGCCCCCUAGGGCACGGCAGGCAGGCUUGUGACCAAUCCCUAAGGCGGUUGGGGCCCUUCUUUCGCCGCAAGAAAGCUAAUAUCCGGAAGAAAAUCGUGUUAAAAUCAGCCCACUUGGAGUUAUGGAUCUCCGGGAAUUUUAAGAAACGGUGAAAGGCAGAAUCUGGGAGCGCACAAACAGAAGGACACACAGAGAGAGAUCCAAUCUCGGAGGGGCUCUCGCCCCUCCGCCGCCAUGGAGACCAUGGACCAGAGGGGAAACCCUUCUCCCAUCUAGGGAGGAGGUCAAGGAAGAAGAAGAAGGGGGGCUCCCUCCCCCUCUCUCCCGGCGGUGCCGGAACGCCGCCCGGGACAUCAUCGUGUGACAGCGAUCUACACCAACACGUCCGUCAUCUUCACCAACACCUCCUUCUCCUUCCCCCAUCUAUAUUCAGCGGUCCACUCUCCCGCAACCCGCUGUACCCUCUACUUGAACAUGGUGCUUUGUGCUUCAUAUUAUUAUCCGAUGAUGUGUUGCCAUCCUAUGAUGUCUGAGUAGAUUUUUGUUGUCCUAUCGGUUAUUGAUGAAUUGGUGUGAUUGGUUUGAUUUGCUUGUGGUUAUGUUGCUGUCCUUUGGUGCCCAUCAUAUGAGCGCGCGCGUGGAUCACACGAUAGGGUUAGUAUUAUGUUGAUAGGACUAUGUAUUGGAGGGGAAGGGUGAUAGAAGCUUCAGCCUAGCAUAGAAACUGAUGCAUGCGGGAUUGAAGGGGGCCCAAUAUAUCUUAUUGCUAUGGUUGGGUUUUAACUUAUUGAACGUUAGUAGUUGCGGAUGCUUGCUAAUAGAUCCAAUCAUAAGUGCAUAGAAUUUCAAGUAAGGGAUGACAUGCUAGCAGUGGCCUCUCCCACAUAAAACUUGCUAUCAGUCUAGUAACGUAGUCAAUUGCUUAGGGACAAUUCCGCAACUCCUACCACCACUUUUCCACACUCGUUAAACUAACGUAAUUUUUUCUUAGCAGCCCCUAGUCUUUAUUUACGUGUUCUUUCUUUUCUUGCAAACCUAUCCUAUCACUCCUACAAAGUACUUCUAGUUUCAUACUUGUUCUAGGUAAAGCGAACGUGAAGUGUGCGUAGAGUUGUAUCGGUGGUCGAUAGAACUUGAGGGAAUAUUUAUCCUACCUUUAGAUCCUCGUUGGGUUCAACACUCUUACGUAUCGAGAAAGGCUACAAUUGAUCCCCUAUACUUGUGGGUUAUCAGUGACGGCGACGGCGAUUGGCUUGGGGCGAUGGGCUCGGGGGCGACGGCAGCGGGGACGUUUAUGGCCUCGGGGGUGACGGUGAUGACGGGCUCGGGAUGACGACGACGGCGACAGGCUCGGGGGCGACGACGACGGUGACGGGCUCGGGGCGACGACGGGCUCGGCGUGACAACGGGCUCGGGGCGAUGGCGACAAUGACGAUGGGCUCGUGGAGAAGGCGCGGGCCGGCGGCGACGGGCUCGGGGCGGCAACGACGACGGUGAGGAGAGAAGAGAACGGGGCAAAUGGGAGUUGGUAGAAAUUUUGGUAAGUCCCGCCAUAUAUGCGAACACCUUUGGUCCCCGUUGGUAGCUCCAACCGACACCAAUGCCACCCUUUUGUCCCGGUUGGAGCCACCAACCGGGACUAAAGGUCAAUUUUCAGCAGUCCAAAAGGGCGGGAAGAAGAGACCUUUAGUAUCGGUUGGUGGCUCCAACCGGGACGAAAGGGUGGUAUUGGUCCCGGUUGGAGGCACCAACCGGGACCAAAGUGUGGUGUUGCCCGGGUCUAAAUUUUUAGUCCCACCUCGCUUGCCGAGAGAGCUCGCGAGUGGUUUAUAAUCGCUGCUGCGCACAAUCUGUCGAGCUCCUCUCAACUGCAAGCUUUCGGACCUAAUCUGUCACUGCCUGUGGGCCUAUUGGGCCUUGUGUGGGCCUGAAUCCUGGCCCAACCAGGAGGAUGGGUUUCUAGUCGUAUUCACGCCGUUGUGGCCUAGUAGGUGGCAUUUUUUUUAAAUCUNNNNNNNNNNNNNNNNNNUUUACUUUUUCUUGUUCCUACUUAUUGUUUUUCGUUGAUUCUUUUUUGCUUUUAGGUCACAACAUUUCUCAAAAUGCACCAUUCAAAGCCACAUCAUCAAUUUUCAACAAAUUCUGACUUCAUUUGCUAUUUUUCAUGCAUUUACUGAUAUUUUGGACUAAAUGACCCUUAAAUUGGAAAGCACUACAAAUAAACUCUAAAAAGGUUGAAAGUUGGCAUGGUAUCAUCAUUUCACCGACAUAGGAUGUGCUAAAAAGUUGAGAGGGUUGCGCAAAAACUGGAUGCACUUUGUGUACAAAAUGGACAAUCUCUUUCGAAGUAUGAGGGUUUCAUACGAAAACUCAUCUGUUACAAAGGGAUUUCAUUUUAUUGAUAUUAUUUGAACUCCAUACUUUUUGUGUGUUCAAAAUGCACCAUUCAAAGCCACAUCAUCAAUUUUCAACAAUUUUUGACUUCAUUUGGUAUUUUUCAUAAAUUUAUUGUUUUUUUGAGCUAAAUGACCCUUAAAUUGAAAAGCACUACAAAUCACCUCUGAAAAGAUUGAAAAUUGGCAUAGUAUCAUCAUUUCACCCACAAAGCAUGUGCUAAAUAGUUGAGAGGGUUAUGGCAAAAACUGGAUGCACUUCGUGUACAAAACGGAGAAUCUCUUUCGAAGUAUCACAGAUUCACAUGAAAACUCAUCUAUUACAAAGGGAUUUCAUCUUUUUGAACUUAUUUGAACUCCAGACUUUUUGUGUGUUCAAAAUGCACCAUUUAAAGCCACAUCAUCAAUUUUGAACAAUUUAUGACUGCAUUUUGUAUUUUUCAUGCAUUUACUGAUUUUUUUGAGCUACAUGACCCUUAAAUUGAAAAGCAUUACAAAUGAACUCUGAAAAGGUUAAAAGUUUGCAUGGUUUCAUCAUUUCACCCACAUAGCAUGUGAUAAUAAGUUGAGAGGGUUACGGCAAAAACAGGAUGCACUUCGUGUACAAAACGAACAAUCUCUUUCGAACUAUCAAGGUUUCAUACGAAAACUCACCUAUUACAAAGGAAUUUCAUUUUUUGAACUUAUUUGAACUCCAUACUUUUUAUGUGUUAAAAUGCACCAUUCAAAGCCACAUCAUCAAUUUUCAAAAAAUUCUGACUUCAUAUGGUAUUUUACAUGCAUUUCCUUUUUUUUUGAGCUAAAUGACCAUGAAAUUGAAAAGCACUACAAAUGAACUAUGAAAAGGUUGAAAGGUGGUAUGGUAUGAUCAUUUCACCCACAUAGCAUGUGUUAAAAAGUUGAGAGGGUUACGGCAAAAACUGGAUGCACUUCAUGUAUAAAACAUACAAUCUCUUUCGAAAUAUCACAUUUUAAAUACGAAAACUCAUCCGUUACAAAGGGAUUUUAUUUUUUUGAACUUAUUUGAACUCCGGCCUUUUUGUGUGUUCAAAAUGCACAAUUCAGAGCCACAUCAUAAAUUUUCAAUAAUUUGUGACUUCAUUUGCUAUUUUUCAUGCAUUUAUUGAUUUUUUUAGCUAAAUGACCCUUAAAUUGGAAAGCACUACAAAUGAACUUUGAAAAGGUUGAAAGUUGGCAUGGUAUCAUCAUUCCACCCCACAUAGCAUGUGAUAAAAAGUUGAGAGGGUUACGGCAAAAACUGGAUGCACUUCAUAUACAAAACAGACAAUCUCCUUCGAAGUGUCAGGGUUUCAUACGAAAACUCAUUUGUUACAAAGGGAUUUCAUUUUUUUGAAUUCAUUUGAACUCCAGACUUUUUGUGUGUUCAAAAUGAACCAUUCAAAGCCACAUCAUCAAUUUUCAACAAUUUUUGAAUUCAUUUGGUAUUUUUCAUGCAUUUACUGAUUUUUUUGAGCAAAAUGACCCUUAAAUUGAAAAGCACUACAAAUGAACUCUGAAAAGGCUGAAAGUUGACAUGGUAUCAUCAUUUCACCUACAUAGCAUGUGCUAAAAAGUUGAGAGGGUUAUGACAAAAACUGGAGAACUUCGUGUAAAAAAUGGACAAUCUCUUUCGAAGUAUCACAGUUUCAUACGAAAAUUCUUCUGUUACAAAGGAAUUUUAUUUUGUUGAACUUAUUUGAAAUCCAGACUUUUUGUGUGUUCAAAAUGCACCAUUCAAAGCCAUAUCAUAAAAUUUCAACAAUUUCUGACAUCAUUUGGUAUUUUUUAUGCAUUACUGAUUUUUUUAGCUAAAUGACCAUGAAAUUGAAAAGCACUACAAAUGAACUCUCAAAAGUUUGAAAAUUGGCUUGGUAUCAUCAUUUCACCGACAUAGCAUGUGAUUAAAAGUUGAGAGGGUUACGAGAAAAACUGGAUGCACUUGGUCUACAAAACGAACAAUCUCUUUGGAAGUAUAAGGGUUUCAUACGAAAACUCAUCUAUUACAAAAGACAUUUCAUUACUUCACUUUUUCUUUGCUUGUGUUCUUUGAUUAUUGCGCCGUAACCAUGGAUAAUCAGUACUAGGAAAAAGCCUAGUAGUAGCGCGGGUUUAGUGCCUACUAGUAGCGCGGGUAAUCGCGCUACUAGUAAGGCGCUACAGCUAUUACUUACCAGCAGCGCGUGUAAGACGCGCUACUGCUAAGACAUAUAAGUGUCGUACAAGUGCUAUUGAUAAAACAAAUAUUAGUAGCGUUCUUCUAAACCCGCGCUACUAGUAAUCUGUUUUUCAUUAUUUUUAAUAUGUAGUGUAUUUAUACGUCGUUAUAUAAAUUUUGAUAGAGUACCAAUUAAGAGGUUGUUAUAUCAUUAUGUUCAUGAAGAAUUAUUAUAUCAUUGUGAUGAAUAAACCUGGAUUUUAUUCAUCUAAAUGAAUCAAAAGUGAUCAAAAGUUGAAUUAGUAGGACGACGAUCCUAGUAAUUCAACUUUUGGUCACUUUUGAUCCAUCCACAUGAAUCUAAUCCGCUUUCCUUCCCGCAAUGACAUAAUAACCAAUCAUGAUCAUAAUAACAAAUCUUCAUGAUAAUCAUGAUCAACAUCAUCAGCAUAUUAAUAUAAAAACUCUUGCAUCAUAUCAUCACUAACAACACUAUAGCGAAUAAUCAUCAUAGUCAUUACCACCAACACUAUUUAAUCAUCAUUUUCGUCAAUGAGACGUCAUAUAACAAGUUGGUGGCUAGUCAUAAUCACAACUCCUCCUCCUCCUCAUUAUCAACUAUAACACAUUUUAGCACAUAAUAACACAUUGUACCUAGGACCUACUCCUCUCUCAUAGUACCUACUCUACCCUCUCUUAGGUAGAAUAUCACAAAACAAGAUAGGCCCGGUCUCUCCAUUAUGGAGAAUGGAGAUCAUCCUGUCUCUAACUCUUACCCUACGCACAGUAUUGCUUCCAAGUAGCUCUCUACGAUUGGCCAUGCAUUUUUUCCAAUCUUUGAUUGUCAUUUCAUCGGUUAUAGAAACCCUGUAUGGACAGGAGUGAUGCAUAUACAUAGGCUACCUGGCCGUGCUGGCCGUAAGCUCAUAAUAUCAACACGACCUCUUGGAAACAUCACAUGAGGCACACAAUCCUUCUGGAUUUUCUGUUGAAAAACAUAGUAAUAACUUUGUAGCUAGCAAUGCAGUUUAGUUUUACAAGAAUUUAUGCAAAAGAUGCACGGAUGUCGUAAUAGUAGAAAAUAUUACCAUGCAAUCUCCAUGCAUGUUACCGUAGUUCACCACGUGCACUAUUGGCACGUAUUGACCAUAAUGUGGAGGAGUUUGCUGAUAGCUAUUGUAAUUCUCAAGAUCAUUAAUAAAUGCGACAAGAUGAUUUUUGUCCUGAUAAGUUAAUUCUGCUUCAUCAUUGUAGUGGUAGGUUCUGUCUACCAUCUCCCGUACAUUUUUUGAAGAAUGAAAAUAAGUUGUAAAUGGAAGUAAGUUGUCAACAAUUUUUAAAUAAACAAUAUAAAUUACUCAAUAAAUAUGGUUGAGAAACUCACAUAAUGGUGGAACUGGAGGCGUCUGCACAUCGACCCAGAUGUCGAUAUUACCUUCAAUUUCAUCUUCCAGACGAAUAUCAAAGGUGAUAAGCAUAUUAGGCUCAAGUGCAUAAGCCUUGCAUAGUGCUACCCAAUUUUUGCACUCAAAAAAGGAGUAGGUGUCUGCAUUGUACAACUUUACGGCAAAAGUAUAAUCAUACUCGAUCCUCAAGUGAACUCUCUUUACCUCCAUAGUUUUUUAGUACUGAAACCUAUCUUAUCCAAGACAUAAAUUCUUGCAUGGCAGGGGAUACGCUAGUAGAAUAGUAAAAAAUAAAAAUUAUAAAUUGAAGCAAAAGAAGUCAUGCUUAAUUAAGAAAAAAGACUUGUCAUUGUGACUUACUGUAUCCACUUCGAAGUCCUCAUCCAGCAUGAUGUUGAAGCGCUUAUCAUCAACUAGGUGAGGCACGUCGCACAAGCCGCGCUCGUCUUGACAGUAUUCGCACAUAGUGAAUUUCCUUUCGUCUUCAGACAUUUCCUAUGUUCAUAGUUGAAACAUUUAAAAUCGACCGAAAAGGCAACUACCAGGAAACUUAUAUGAAAGAUCACUAUUAAUUCUAAAACAGAUCACUAUUACACCAAGACAUCCUCUAUAUUAAGAAUGCAUCAUCAUCGACAUCAAUGACAUGGCCACUAGCACUUGCAUUUUCAUCAUCGACAUUUACAACACAUUAUCAUCUAUAUCAACAACAUGGGCAUUGCCGGCAAAACACACGCACUAGGAGGUGCUCCGUGCAAUAACAUACACACAUCAAAUAGAUGACAUAUAACUCAUCAUCAUCUUACUCAUUUAAUAACUCAUGAAAGUCAUACAAGGAGCAACGACAAACCGAAAGAUAACCGAUAUUAUCACUAAUACAUCUCGAAUAUUAUCAUACAAUAUCACAAAUAAAAAUUCAGUUGACGUCUCACGGUGCAGGCGGUGGCAACCGAAAGAUAAGGAACCAUCACCGGAUCAUAGCUCAGGUGAUGUCCCUGGAGAACCUGCCAGGUAUUGGAGAACCUGGCAUCCAACGCAGCCAUGUAGAGACAUACAUGCUCGUCCUCCUCCCUAACACGGCGACGUAACAACUCCGUGGGGCCCGGCUCCCUCGGCACCGAUAAAGGCCCACGCGACUGCCACCAAAGAAGCUCCGGGUCAACGAUGAGACCCGGAUUCCUCACAAAGGUGCGCCCCCCGGAAGGUAGCACCUCCUAGUGCCAGCCCAACGGAGCCUAGUCCCGCACAUGCUGGCGCCUAUCAAGCAGGUGGUCUCCAUCGAGUUGACGACGAGGAUGCGGAAUGGGCAUCGUCGAUGUUAAGACAAAUUCCUCUGAGAAAAUUUUCUUAUUGUUUAAUGUUUUACUUUCUAAUUCUCAUUUAUACAAUAAUCAUCUCAUUUGAAUUCAGCUAGCGCCCACUACCAAAUAUACAAUAAUAAAACACAAUAUAUAUAUUAUGCAAAUAUUUCCGCAACAACAUUGAGGGCCUGAGAAAAUAAAAUGAAUAAUGACAUAAAAUGGCCUAUGUUUUGCAGGAACGUUGAUUCAUUCCUAGUGCGGAAAAUCCCGGACACUCGAUAUAUCGUAGUUUGUAGCACAAGUCAUGUCAAAAUUCACGAAAAAAUUCGAAUGACCUUUGUUAAAAGUGAAAAAAUUGAGCAGCUGCAAUUUGCCGGAACAAAAAUGAAUCAACAUUUCCGGCAUAACAUAGGCCGCUCGGCUUCAUUCCCUGUAAACAACAAAAGGCUCCCUCUCUCACUAAGUAUACACCUAAGUAAAUUCUAUGUUAACCUACUGCCCUAACUAACAACAUGACCUUAUGCCCUAACUAACAACAUGACCUUAUGCCCUAACUAACAACAUAACCUAAUUAACCUAUUUAACCUAGAACCCUUGAACUCUAUAACCCUAGAACAUAACGUAACUAACAUUUGCUAAUUUGUUAAUUGUACUAACCAAUUUAACCUAGAACCCUAGAACAUAACCUACCUAACAUUUGCUAAUCAGUUAAUUGUACUAACCUAUCACUAGUAGAAAACGGGCCUUUGGCCUGGACCAUUUAGUCCCGGCCUGCCUCUGGGUCGGGACUAAAGGCCCGGCCACGUCGCCCCAAUUCUCAAUGCCUCCCUCGAGGCUUUAGUCCCGGCCCGUAAGGAGCCUGUAGUCUCGGUUCGAGUCACAAAGCGGGACUAAAGGGCUACGCGGCGGGCAGUGGUGGUGGCAACCGUUCGUAUACCUCUUUAGUCCCCGUUGGUGGCUCAACCCGGGACUAAAGGACUAACACGUGGCCUGCCGUGGUGGUGGCGACCGUUGGUAUACCUCUUUAGUCCCGGUUGGUGGCUCAACCCGGGACUAAAGGACUAACACGUGGCCUAACGUAGUGGGGCGACUGUUGGCAUACCUCUUUAGUCCCGGUUGGUGGUUGAACCCGGGACUAAAAGCCUAACACGUGGCCUGCCGUAGUGGUGGCAACCAUUUGGUAUACCUCUUUAGUCCCGGUUGGUGGCUCAAACCGGGAUUAAAGGCCCAAAUGGUUUGCAUCCCGCGUCGUUUCGGGAGAUGAAAAGCACGAACCGAAGCGUACAGUCGCCAUUUCUCUGUUCUUCUUCUCUCUCACGUCGCCCUCUCUAUUCUUCUCCUCUCUCGCGUCGCCCUCUCUGUUCUUCUCCUCUCUUCUUCCCUUCUCUUGUUCCACCAUGCCAACUACCUUUCAUGAGGUGGUCGCGCAUGGGACGACCAAGCUCCGUGUCGUGUACACGAACCUGAGCACGGAGGUGCCGUUUUUCCUUCAACAGUUGAAGGAACGAUGGUUUAACCAUGCACCAGAUCAUGAGAAGUUCUUCGGGCUUGAUCUGAAGUACACGGCCGAUCAACGCGGUGUUGCCGUCAUCCAAAUAUGCUUCGCAAGCCAUGUCUUGAUCUUCCAAUGGGGGAGGUAAGUUUUGAGGCUUUCUUUGAUCCAAGAUAAUACAUUGUAUAAGUUUAUUUGUUUCUAUCAUAGUUGGUUCCCUUCAAAUAGUUGUAGUGAAACAAUUUUGAUUACUUGAAGGGGAGCACAAUCUAAUUGGAAUAGUGUUCCAUAAUCUGAAAAAUCGUAUUAGAAUAAACUAGUGUUUAAUAUGUUCCAUUGGAAUCAUAGUUGGUUCCCUUCAAAUAGUUGUAGUGAAACAAUUUUGAUUAGUUGAAGGGGAGCACAAUCUAAUUGGAAUAGUGUUCCAUAAUCUGAAAAAUCGUAUUAGAAUCAACUAGUGUUUAAUAUGUUCCAUUGGAAUCAUAGUUGGUUCCCUUGAAAUAGUUGUAGUGAAACAAUUUUGAUUACUUGAAGGGGAGCACAAUCUGAUUGGAAUAAUCUUCCAUAAUCUGAAAAAUCGUAUUAGAAUCAACUAGUGUUUAAUAUGUUCCAUUGGAAUCAUAGUUGGUUCCCUUCAAAUAGUUGUAGUGAAACAAUUUUGAUUAGUUGAAGGGGAACACAAUCUGAUUGGAAUAGUGUUUCAUAAUCUGAAAAAUCGUAUUAGAAUGAACUAGUGUUUAAUAUGUUCCACUGGAAUCAUAGUUGGUUCGCUUCAAAUAGUUGUAGUGAAACAAUUUUGAUUAGUUGAAGGGGAACACAAUCUGAUUGGAAUAGUGUUCCAUAAUCUAAAAAAUCGUAUUAGAAUGAACUAGUGUUUAAUAUGUUCCAUUGGAACCAUAGUUGGUUCGCUUCAAAUAGUUGUAGUGAUCUCUCUAGGUUCCAUUGCAUAUGUUCUAUUUGAAUCCAAAAGAUAAGUUUCUCUUUAGUUGUAGUGAAACAUGUUUCCUUAUUGCAGCAGUAUGUAACAUUUGUUCCAUUCUAAUUUGUUUCUGUUGCAGGAGUGACAAGCAUUGUCCUGGACUCAUGGAGUUCCUUCGCAGCGGCGUCACUUUUGCUUCCGUUGACAUAUGGAACGACAGGCUGAAGAUGAGGCACAACUUCGGUAUUGAGAUACGAGCUGGUUGCCUCGUUGAUCUCCAAACGAUAUUCAGGCUUCGACAUGAGAGGACUUCGAUGGCUCAUAUGGCAGUUGCCUUGAUCGACGAUUCAUAUGGUGAUAUGAAGACCAGUUUCCCAAAGUCUCAGCACAGACUUUGGGAGAAGGGCCCACUUGAUGAUAUCAACAUUCAGUAUGCAGCAAAAGAUGCAUACGUUUCAUACGAGUUGUACCGCAAGAUUCGAGUCGUCAACUAUGGCCAGCGUCACCUCGAGGAAGGUGGGCAUUCUGAUUCAGAUGAUUCAGACGAGUAGUGUUCUUAACGUCGAACACUUGUAUAUAUAUAUCUAUGGUAGCUAUUAUUAUGUACUGUUUGGGCUAGUAUCAUGUACUUCUUGGACCAAUUUACAUAUGUCUAGUUUCUGUUUGUGCCAUUAUAGUUUCCCAAUUUGAAUGGUUUAGCCCUUUCUAACUUCGUUUGCUACUUUUGAAUGGUUUAGCCCUUUCUAACUUCAUGGUAUCAUGCAUUUCGACCACAUAUAUAUACAAAAAGUCUUUAGUUCAAAUAAGUUCAAAUAAGUUCAUGCAUUUCAACAUUUUCAGAGUUCAUUUGUAGUGCUUUUCAAUUUCAGGGUCAACUAGCUCAAAAAAAAUAAGUAAAUGCACGAAAUAUACCAAAUGAAGUCAGAAAUUGUUGAAAUUUUGUGAUGUGCCUUUGAAUGGUGCAUUUUGAACACACAAAAAGUAUGGAGUUCAAAUAAGUNUUUAAAAAAAUGAAAUCCUUUUGUAAGAGAUGAGUUCUCGUUCGAAACCCUGCUACUUCGAGAGAGAUUGUCAGUUUUGUACACGAACUGCAUCCAGUUUUUGUCGUAGCCUUCUCAACUUUUUAACACAUGCUAUGUGGGUGAAAUGACGAUAGCAUGCCAACUUUCAACAUUUUCAGAGUUCAUUUGUAGUGCUUUUCAAUUUCAGGGUCAACUAGCUNNNNNNNNNNNNNNNNNNNNNNNNNNNNNNNNNNNNNNNNNNNNNNNNNNNNNNNNNNNNNNNNNNNNNNNNNNNNNNNNNNNNNNNNNNNNNNNNNNNNUCUUUCAUAUUAUCCUUUCUUUAAUUUCCCCAACAUUGACAUAAUUAGCCCAUUUAGCUCCAAAAUGCCAUAAUAAGCUCAGAAUGGCAUAAGAACCUUGGUGAGCUCAUGAAUAUUAUAUACUUAGCUUGUUUUCCUGUAAAAUGGGAUAAUUAGCCCAUUUAGCUCCAAAAAGACAUAAUUAGGUAAUUUAGCUCCANNNNNNNNNNNNNNNNNNNNNNNNNNNNNNNNNNNNNNNNNNNNNNNNNNNNNNNNNNNNNNNNNNNNNNNNNNNNNNNNNNNNNNNNNNNNNNNNNNNNNNNUCCUUCUCCUCCUUCUUGAUUUCUUCUUCUUCUCCUCCGCCUCCUAUUUCUUCUCCUAUUUCAUAUUAUCCUUGCUUUAAUUUCCCCAACAAUGACAUAAUUAGCCCAUUUAGCUCCAAAAUACCGUAAUAAGCUCAAAAUAGCAUAAGAACCUUGGUUAGCUCAUGAAUAUUAUAUACUUAGCUUGUUUUCCUCUAAAAUGGGAUAAUUAACCCAUUUAGCUCCAAAAAGACAUAAUUAGGUAAUUUAGCUCCAACAAUAAAUAGGAAAAAUGAAAAGAAAGAAAGANNNNNNNNNNNNNNNNNNNNNNNNNNNNNNNNNNNNNNNNNNNNNNNNNNNNNNNNNNNNNNNNNNNNNNNNNNNNNNNNNNNNNNNNNNNNNNNNNNNNNNNNNNNNNNNNNNNNNNNNNNNCCCCAACAAUGACAUAAUUAACCCAUUUAGCUCCAAAAUGCCAUAAUAAGCUAAAAAUGGCAUAAGAACCUUGGUUAGCUCAUGAAUAUUAUAUUCUUAGCUUGUUUUCCGCUAGAAAUGACAUAAUUACCUCAAAACAUCAUAUUUUGUUCUUUUUCUGACUUUCUUAUUCACANNNNNNNNNNNNNNNNNNNNNNNNNNNNNNNNNNNNNNNNNNNNNNNNNNNNNNNNNNNNNNNNNNNNNNNNNNNNNNNNNNNNNNNNNNNNNNNNNNNNUGAAAAGUGUUUCAAAUUGAAUAAAUAAUGCAAAACUAUUUUUUAUUUUCAUAAUUAAUAAUUUUGACUAUCCAAACUAUUAUCUAUUUUGUUAUUUUCAAUUAAAAACUAUGUUUAUUAAAAAUUCUUUUUGCAUAUUUGAGAAUUUAACAAAACUAUGAUAAUGAAAAGUGUUUCAAAUUGAAUAAAUAAUGCAAAACUAUUUUUAUUUUCAUAAUUAAUAAUUUUGACUAUCCAAACUAUUAUCUAUUUUGUUAUUUUGACUUCAUUUGGUAUAUUUCGUGCAUGUACUUAUUUUUUUUGAGCUAGUUGACCCUGAAAUUGAAAAGCACUACAAAUGAACCACUACUGAAAUUCAGAAAUUUGCCGUCUGCCAAGGCGGACGGCAAAGGGGGCAACCAUGGACGGCAAAGGCUUUGCCGUCUGCCCCCUCAUGGCAAAGUAGAUGGUAAAAAAAAUCCGGUGAAGAGGCUCUUUGCCGUCUGCUUUCACAAAGCGGACGGCAAAGAAUCUUUGCCAUGAGGGGGAAGACGGCAAAAUAAGUGGGACGGCAUAUAUUGCAACGUCCCCGUUAAGUGUUAACGGCAGGCCUCCUCUCUUUGCCGUCUGCCUCCCCCCCUUUGCCAUGUGGGGGUAAACGGCAAAGAGGGAGAGAGAGGGGGCAGAUUCUCUCUUUGCCGUCUGCCUCCCCCCCUUUGCCAUGUGGGGGCAGACGGCAAAAAGGGGAGAGAGAGGGGGCAGAUUCUCUCUUUGCCGUCUGCCUCCCCCCCUUUGCCAUGUGGGGGCAGACGGGGGGGGGGGGAGAGAGAGGGGGCAGAUUCUCUCUUUGCCGUCUGCCUCCCCCCCUUUGCCAUGUGGGGGCAGACGGCAAAGAGGGGAGAGAGAGGGGGCAGAUUCUCUCUUUGCCGUCUGCCUCCCCCCCUUUGCCAUGUGGGGGCAGACGGCAAAGAGGGGAGAGAGAAGGGGCAGAUUCUCUCUUUGCCGUCUGCCUCCCCCCUUUGCCAUGUGGGGGCAGACGGCAAAGAGGGGAGAGAGAGGGGGCAGAUUCCCCCUUUGCCGUCUGCCUCCACCCCUUUGCCAUGUGUUGGCAGACGGCAAAGAGGGGAACCAUCCCCUUUUUUAUUUAUUUUUUGUUAUAUCCAGCAUUUUUAACAAUAAUCAGGAUAUAUAUAUAUAUUUGACAUAAAUAAAUUUCUUUUCGUACCCAUAACCAUAUUAAAAUAACUCUCAUCCAUAGUGCAUACAUAUUAUGGAAGUUACAUUCGUACCAAACCUAAUAUUACACCAGUUUCAUCCACGUGCAUACAAAGUUUCAUAUAUUCAUAUACUACAACAGNNNNNNNNNNNNNNNNNNNNNNNNNNNNNNNNNNNNNNNNNNNNNNNNNNNNNNNNNNNNNNNNNNNNNNNNNNNNNNNNNNNNNNNNNNNNNNNNNNNNAAAUGUUGAAAGUUGGCAUGCUAUCAUCAUUUCACCCACAUAGCAUGUGUUAAAAAGUUGAGAGGGCUACAACGAAAACUUGAUGCAGUUCGUUUACAAAAUUAACAAUCUCUCUCGAAGUAGCAGGGUUUCGAACGAGAACUCAUCUCUUACAAAGGGAUUUCAUUUUUUUAAACUUAUUUGAACUCCAUACUUUUUGUGUGUUAAAAAUGCACCAUUCAAAGGCACAUCACAAAAUUUCAACAAUUUCUGACUUCAUUUGGUAUAUUUCGUNGUGCAUUUACUUAAUUUUUUUGAGCUAGUUGACCCUGAAAUUGAAAAGCACUACAAAUGAACUCUGAAAAUGUUGAAAGUUGGCAUGCUGUCAUCAUUUCACCCACAUAGCAUGUGUUAAAAAGUUGAGAGGGCUAUGAAAAAAACUGGAUGCAGUUCAUGUACAAAACUGACAAUCCCUCUGGAAGUAGCUGGGUUUCGAACGAGAACUCAUCUCUUACAAAGGGAUUUCAUUUUUUUAAACUUAUUUGAACUCCAUACUUNNNNNNNNNNNNNNNNNNNNNNNNNNNNNNNNNNNNNNNNNNNNNNNNNNNNNNNNNNNNNNNNNNNNNNNNNNNNNNNNNNNNNNNNNNNNNNNNNNNNGUUGGAAAUAUGCCCUAGAGGCAAUAUACUAAAUUUCUUAUUAUUAUAUUUCCUUGUUCAUGAUAAUCGUUUAUUAUCCAUGCUAGAAUUGUAUUGAUUGGAAGCUCAAAUACAUGUGUGGAUACGUAGACAACACACUGUCCCUAAUGAGCCUUUAAGUACUAGCUCGUUGAUCGAAGAUGGUCAAGGAUUCCUGACCAUAGACACGAGUUAUCAUUUGAUAAGAGGAUCACAUCAUUAGGAGAAUGAUGUGAUGGACAAGAUACAAACUAUAAACUUAACAUACGAUCGUGUUAGUUUAUUGCUACUGUUUUCUGCAUGUCAACUAUCUGUUUCUAUGACCAUGAGAUCAUGCAACUAUCAGGCACCGGAGGAAUGCCUUGUGUGUAUCAAACGUAACAACGUAAUUGGGUGACUAUAAAAGUGCUCUAAUGGUAUCUCUGAAGGUGUAUGUUGGGUUGGCAUGAAUUGAGACUUUGAUUUGUCACUCCGUAUGACGAAGAGGUAUCUCUAGAGCCUACUCGGUAAUGAAAAAUCACAAUGAGCUUGCAAGUAAUGUGACUAAAGAGUUAGUCACGGCAUCUUGUAUUACGGAAUGAGUAAAGACACUUGCCGAUAACGAGAUUGAACUAGGUAUGGAGAUACCGACGAUCGAAUCUCGGGAAAGUAACAUACCGAUGGACAAAGGGAACAAUAUACGAGAUUGAUUGAAUCCUUGACAUCGUGGUUCGACCGAUAAGGAUCUUUGUACAAUAUGUAGGAGCCAAUAUGGGCAUCCAUGUCCCGCUAUUGGUUAUUUACCAGCGAGUGUCUCAGGUCAUGUGUGCAUAGUUCUUGAACAUGCAGGACCUGCACACUUAAAGUUUGGCGACGUUUUAGUAUAGUUGAGUUAUGUAUGUUGGUGACCGAAGGUUGUUCGGAGUCCCGGAUGAGAUCCCGGACGUCACCAGGAGCUCUUGAAUGGUCCGGAUGUAAAGAUUGAUACAUGGGAAGUUCUGUGUUGGUCACUAGAGAAAGUUCGAGCGUCAUCGAUGGCGUACCGGGGGUGCCGGAAGGUUUCCGGGGGUCCACCAGCCCGGAGGGUCCACACGGGCUGUGAGGGAUGCACACCAGCCCCUGCUGGACUUGGUGCACAUCCCCGCCUAAGGCCCAUGUGGCUGGGCUGGUGGAGGGCCAACCCUAUAGGGGCGCGCCACCCUAACGUUGGGGGGGGGGGGGGGGCAAGCCACCCCUAGGGCAGAUGCCCCUUCCUCCUUUGGCCGCUGCCCCUCCCUCCUUUGGCCGCCGCCCCCUAGGGUUGAAUCCCUAGGGCGGAGCCCCUCUCCCCUUCCCCCUAUAUAUAUAGAUGGGGAGAGAGAGGGCUCCAACACACCAAGGCCACGACGCAGCCCUGUCUCUCCCACAUAUCAGUUUUCUCCUCUAGAUUGGUUCCGGUAUUGCUUGGCGAAGCCUUGNNNNNNNNNNNNNNNNNNNNNNNNNNNNNNNNNNNNNNNNNNNNNNNNNNNNNNNNNNNNNNNNNNNNNNNNNNNNNNNNNNNNNNNNNNNNNNNNNNNNCUCUCUCUCUCUCUCUCUCUCUCUCUCUCUCUCUCUCUUCUUCUUCUUCUCUCCUCCUCCUCCUCUUCUUCUUCUCUCUUCUUCUUCUUCUUCUCCUGCUUUUUUUCCUUCUGCUUUUYYUCUUCUAACCUAACUAACUAACCUAAUUAGCCUAAUAAUCUAACCAAAUAAACUAACUAAAUUACCCUAUAUAUAAUAAAAAACUAACCUAAUAAACUAACUAAAGUAAUUAACUUUUUUAAAAAGAAAAACAGGAAAAACUCACCGGCAGGGGGCGGCGGCGGCAGGGGGCGCGCGGCUGGGGGCUCGCCGCAGGGGGGCGKCGGCGGCAGGGGGCGGCGACGGCAGGGGGCGCAAUGCAGGUGGMGCGSGCGCGCGGCAGGGGGCGGCGGCGGCAGGGGGCGCGCCGCAGGGGAGGUGCUCACCGUGGGGGUGGGUCGCCGCGGGGAGGGGAUCCCACGGGGAGGGGUCNCCGGGGGGGGGUGGCUCGCCGCGGGGAGGGGAUCUCGCGGGGAGGGGUCGCCGCCGUGGAGAGAGAGAGUGGUCGGGGUGAGAGAGAGAGAGAGACAGUGAGCGAGGGGGUAACGGCCGUUAUAGGGCGGCCCCUUUGCCGUCCGCCCCCCGACGGCAAAGGGCCGUAUGGCAGACGGCAAAGGCCCGCGGACGGCAAAGGCCGCCGGAUUUCGGACACGGCAGGCAUGGGACCCACGCGUCCCCUUUGCCGUCUGCCCUGGGGCUCUUUGCCGUCUGCUGGCAGACGGCAAAGGACCCACACAUGGAAAAUAGUAUUUUUGCCAUGUGUCAGUUCUUUGUCGUCUGUAUUGUGUCAACUGAUGGCAAAGAGGUUCUUUGCCGUCAGCCAGCAGACGGUAAAGAACUGGCUGACGGCAAAUUUCUGGAUUCCAGUAGUGAACUCUGAAAAUGUUGAAAGUUGGCAUGCUAUCAUCAAUUCACCCACAUAGCAUGUGUUAAAAAGUUGAGAGGGAUACGACCAAAACUGGAUGCUGUUCGUGUACAAAACUGACAAUCUCUCUCGAAGUAGCAGGGUUUCGAAAGAGAACUCAUCUCUUACAAAGGGAUUUCAUUUUUUUAAACUUAUUUGAACUCCAUACUUUUUAUCUGUUCAAAAUGCACCAUUCAAAGGCACAUCACAAAAUUCCAACAAUUUCUGACUUCAUUUCGUAUAUUUCGUGCAUUUACUUAUUUUUUUGAGCUAGUUGACCCUGAAAUUGAAAAGCACUACAAAUGAACUCUGAAAAUGUUGAAAGUUGGCAUGCUAUCAUCAUUUCACCCACAUAGCAUGUGUUAAAAAGUUGAGAGGGCUACGAGAAAAACUGGAUGUAGUUCGUGUACAAAACUGACAAUCUCUCUCGAAGUAGCAGGGUUUCGAACGAGAACUCAUCUCUUACAAAGGGAUUUCAUUUUUUAAAACUUAUUUGAACUCCAUACUUUUUGUGUGUUCAAAAUGCACCAUUCAAAGGCACAUCAUCAAUUUUCAACAAUUUUUGACUUCAUUUGGUAUUUUUCAUAAAUUUAUUGUUUUUUUGAGCUAAAUGACCCUUAAAUUGAAAAGCACUACAAAUCACCUCUGAAAAGAUUGAAAAUUGGCAUAGUAUCAUCAUUUCACCCACAAAGCAUGUGCUAAAUAGUUGAGAGGGUUAUGGCAAAACUAGGAUGCACUUCGUGUACAAAACGGAGAAUCUCUUUCGAAGUAUCACAGAUUCACAUGAAAACUCAUCUAUUACAAAGGGAUUUCAUCUUUUUGAACUUAUUUGAACUCCAGACUUUUUGUGUGUUCAAAAUGCACCAUUUAAAGCCACAUCAUCAAUUUUGAACAAUUUAUGACUGCAUUUUGUAUUUUUCAUGCAUUUACUGAUUUUUUUGAGCUACAUGACCCUUAAAUUGAAAAGCAUUACAAAUGAACUCUGAAAAGGUUAAAAGUUUGCAUGGUUUCAUCAUUUCACCCACAUAGCAUGUGAUAAUAAGUUGAGAGGGUUACGGCAAAAACAGGAUGCACUUCGUGUACAAAACGAACAAUCUCUUUCGAACUAUCAAGGUUUCAUACGAAAACUCACCUAUUACAAAGGAAUUUCAUUUUUUGAACUUAUUUGAACUCCAUACUUUUUAUGUGUUAAAAUGCACCAUUCAAAGCCACAUCAUCAAUUUUCAAAAAAUUCUGACUUCAUAUGGUAUUUUACAUGCAUUUCCUUUUUUUUUGAGCUAAAUGACCAUGAAAUUGAAAAGCACUACAAAUGAACUAUGAAAAGGUUGAAAGGUGGUAUGGUAUGAUCAUUUCACCCACAUAGCAUGUGUUAAAAAGUUGAGAGGGUUACGGCAAAAACUGGAUGCACUUCAUGUAUAAAACAUACAAUCUCUUUCGAAAUAUCACAUUUUAAAUACGAAAACUCAUCCGUUACAAAGGGAUUUUAUUUUUUUGAACUUAUUUGAACUCCGGCCUUUUUGUGUGUUCAAAAUGCACAAUUCAGAGCCACAUCAUAAAUUUUCAAUAAUUUGUGACUUCAUUUGCUAUUUUUCAUGCAUUUAUUGAUUUUUUUAGCUAAAUGACCCUUAAAUUGGAAAGCACUACAAAUGAACUUUGAAAAGGUUGAAAGUUGGCAUGGUAUCAUCAUUCCACCCCACAUAGCAUGUGAUAAAAAGUUGAGAGGGUUACGGCAAAAACUGGAUGCACUUCAUAUACAAAACAGACAAUCUCCUUCGAAGUGUCAGGGUUUCAUACGAAAACUCAUUUGUUACAAAGGGAUUUCAUUUUUUUGAAUUCAUUUGAACUCCAGACUUUUUGUGUGUUCAAAAUGAACCAUUCAAAGCCACAUCAUCAAUUUUCAACAAUUUUUGAAUUCAUUUGGUAUUUUUCUAUGCAUUUACUGAUUUUUUUGUAGCAAAAUGACCCUUAAAUUGAAAAGCACUACAAAUGAACUCUGAAAAGGCUGAAAGUUGACAUGGUAUCAUCAUUUCACCUACAUAGCAUGUGCUAAAAAGUUGAGAGGGUUAUGACAAAAACUGGAGAACUUCGUGUAAAAAAUGGACAAUCUCUUUCGAAGUAUCACAGUUUCAUACGAAAAUUCUUCUGUUACAAAGGAAUUUUAUUUUGUUGAACUUAUUUGAAAUCCAGACUUUUUGUGUGUUCAAAAUGCACCAUUCAAAGCCAUAUCAUAAAAUUUCAACAAUUUCUGACAUCAUUUGGUAUUUUUUAUGCAUUACUGAUUUUUUUAGCUAAAUGACCAUGAAAUUGAAAAGCACUACAAAUGAACUCUCAAAAGUUUGAAAAUUGGCUUGGUAUCAUCAUUUCACCGACAUAGCAUGUGAUUAAAAGUUGAGAGGGUUACGAGAAAAACUGGAUGCACUUGGUCUACAAAACGAACAAUCUCUUUGGAAGUAUAAGGGUUUCAUACGAAAACUCAUCUAUUACAAAAGACAUUUCAUUACUUCACUUUUUCUUUGCUUGUGUUCUUUGAUUAUUGCGCCGUAACCAUGGAUAAUCAGUACUAGGAAAAAGCCUAGUAGUAGCGCGGGUUUAGUGCCUACUAGUAGCGCGGGUAAUCGCGCUACUAGUAAGGCGCUACAGCUAUUACUUACCAGCAGCGCGUGUAAGACGCGCUACUGCUAAGACAUAUAAGUGUCGUACAAGUGCUAUUGAUAAAACAAUAUUAGUAGCGUUCUUCUAAACCCGCGCUACUAGUAAUCUGUUUUUCAUUAUUUUUAAUAUGUAGUGUAUUUAUACGUCGUUAUAUAAAUUUUGAUAGAGUACCAAUUAAGAGGUUGUUAUAUCAUUAUGUUCAUGAAGAAUUAUUAUAUCAUUGUGAUGAAUAAACCUGGAUUUUAUUCAUCUAAAUGAAUCAAAAGUGAUCAAAAGUUGAAUUAGUAGGACGACGAUCCUAGUAAUUCAACUUUUGGUCACUUUUGAUCCAUCCACAUGAAUCUAAUCCGCUUUCCUUCCCGCAAUGACAUAAUAACCAAUCAUGAUCAUAAUAACAAAUCUUCAUGAUAAUCAUGAUCAACAUCAUCAGCAUAUUAAUAUAAAAACUCUUGCAUCAUAUCAUCACUAACAACACUAUAGCGAAUAAUCAUCAUAGUCAUUACCACCAACACUAUUUAAUCAUCAUUUUCGUCAAUGAGACGUCAUAUAACAAGUUGGUGGCUAGUCAUAAUCACAACUCCUCCUCCUCCUCAUUAUCAACUAUAACACAUUUUAGCACAUAAUAACACAUUGUACCUAGGACCUACUCCUCUCUCAUAGUACCUACUCUACCCUCUCUUAGGUAGAAUAUCACAAAACAAGAUAGGCCCGGUCUCUCCAUUAUGGAGAAUGGAGAUCAUCCUGUCUCUAACUCUUACCCUACGCACAGUAUUGCUUCCAAGUAGCUCUCUACGAUUGGCCAUGCAUUUUUUCCAAUCUUUGAUUGUCAUUUCAUCGGUUAUAGAAACCCUGUAUGGACAGGAGUGAUGCAUAUACAUAGGCUACCUGGCCGUGCUGGCCGUAAGCUCAUAAUAUCAACACGACCUCUUGGAAACAUCACAUGAGGCACACAAUCCUUCUGGAUUUUCUGUUGAAAAACAUAGUAAUAACUUUGUAGCUAGCAAUGCAGUUUAGUUUUACAAGAAUUUAUGCAAAAGAUGCACGGAUGUCGUAAUAGUAGAAAAUAUUACCAUGCAAUCUCCAUGCAUGUUACCGUAGUUCACCACGUGCACUAUUGGCACGUAUUGACCAUAAUGUGGAGGAGUUUGCUGAUAGCUAUUGUAAUUCUCAAGAUCAUUAAUAAAUGCGACAAGAUGAUUUUUGUCCUGAUAAGUUAAUUCUGCUUCAUCAUUGUAGUGGUAGGUUCUGUCUACCAUCUCCCGUACAUUUUUUGAAGAAUGAAAAUAAGUUGUAAAUGGAAGUAAGUUGUCAACAAUUUUUAAAUAAACAAUAUAAAUUACUCAAUAAAUAUGGUUGAGAAACUCACAUAAUGGUGGAACUGGAGGCGUCUGCACAUCGACCCAGAUGUCGAUAUUACCUUCAAUUUCAUCUUCCAGACGAAUAUCAAAGGUGAUAAGCAUAUUAGGCUCAAGUGCAUAAGCCUUGCAUAGUGCUACCCAAUUUUUGCACUCAAAAAAGGAGUAGGUGUCUGCAUUGUACAACUUUACGGCAAAAGUAUAAUCAUACUCGAUCCUCAAGUGAACUCUCUUUACCUCCAUAGUUUUUUAGUACUGAAACCUAUCUUAUCCAAGACAUAAAUUCUUGCAUGGCAGGGGAUACGCUAGUAGAAUAGUAAAAAAUAAAAUUAUAAAUUGAAGCAAAAGAAGUCAUGCUUAAUUAAGAAAAAAGACUUGUCAUUGUGACUUACUGUAUCCACUUCGAAGUCCUCAUCCAGCAUGAUGUUGAAGCGCUUAUCAUCAACUAGGUGAGGCACGUCGCACAAGCCGCGCUCGUCUUGACAGUAUUCGCACAUAGUGAAUUUCCUUUCGUCUUCAGACAUUUCCUAUGUUCAUAGUUGAAACAUUUAAAAUCGACCGAAAAGGCAACUACCAGGAAACUUAUAUGAAAGAUCACUAUUAAUUCUAAAACAGAUCACUAUUACACCAAGACAUCCUCUAUAUUAAGAAUGCAUCAUCAUCGACAUCAAUGACAUGGCCACUAGCACUUGCAUUUUCAUCAUCGACAUUUACAACACAUUAUCAUCUAUAUCAACAACAUGGGCAUUGCCGGCAAAACACACGCACUAGGAGGUGCUCCGUGCAAUAACAUACACACAUCAAAUAGAUGACAUAUAACUCAUCAUCAUCUUACUCAUUUAAUAACUCAUGAAAGUCAUACAAGGAGCAACGACAAACCGAAAGAUAACCGAUAUUAUCACUAAUACAUCUCGAAUAUUAUCAUACAAUAUCACAAAUAAAAAUUCAGUUGACGUCUCACGGUGCAGGCGGUGGCAACCGAAAGAUAAGGAACCAUCACCGGAUCAUAGCUCAGGUGAUGUCCCUGGAGAACCUGCCAGGUAUUGGAGAACCUGGCAUCCAACGCAGCCAUGUAGAGACAUACAUGCUCGUCCUCCUCCCUAACACGGCGACGUAACAACUCCGUGGGGCCCGGCUCCCUCGGCACCGAUAAAGGCCCACGCGACUGCCACCAAAGAAGCUCCGGGUCAACGAUGAGACCCGGAUUCCUCACAAAGGUGCGCCCCCCGGAAGGUAGCACCUCCUAGUGCCAGCCCAACGGAGCCUAGUCCCGCACAUGCUGGCGCCUAUCAAGCAGGUGGUCUCCAUCGAGUUGACGACGAGGAUGCGGAAUGGGCAUCGUCGAUGUUAAGACAAAUUCCUCUGAGAAAAUUUUCUUAUUGUUUAAUGUUUUACUUUCUAAUUCUCAUUUAUACAAUAAUCAUCUCAUUUGAAUUCAGCUAGCGCCCACUACCAAAUAUACAAUAAUAAAACACAAUAUAUAUAUUAUGCAAAUAUUUCCGCAACAACAUUGAGGGCCUGAGAAAAUAAAAUGAAUAAUGACAUAAAAUGGCCUAUGUUUUGCAGGAACGUUGAUUCAUUCCUAGUGCGGAAAAUCCCGGACACUCGAUAUAUCGUAGUUUGUAGCACAAGUCAUGUCAAAAUUCACGAAAAAAUUCGAAUGACCUUUGUUAAAAGUGAAAAAAUUGAGCAGCUGCAAUUUGCCGGAACAAAAAUGAAUCAACAUUUCCGGCAUAACAUAGGCCGCUCGGCUUCAUUCCCUGUAAACAACAAAAGGCUCCCUCUCUCACUAAGUAUACACCUAAGUAAAUUCUAUGUUAACCUACUGCCCUAACUAACAACAUGACCUUAUGCCCUAACUAACAACAUGACCUUAUGCCCUAACUAACAACAUAACCUAAUUAACCUAUUUAACCUAGAACCCUUGAACUCUAUAACCCUAGAACAUAACGUAACUAACAUUUGCUAAUUUGUUAAUUGUACUAACCAAUUUAACCUAGAACCCUAGAACAUAACCUACCUAACAUUUGCUAAUCAGUUAAUUGUACUAACCUAUCACUAGUAGAAAACGGGCCUUUGGCCUGGACCAUUUAGUCCCGGCCUGCCUCUGGGUCGGGACUAAAGGCCCGGCCACGUCGCCCCAAUUCUCAAUGCCUCCCUCGAGGCUUUAGUCCCGGCCCGUAAGGAGCCUGUAGUCUCGGUUCGAGUCACAAAGCGGGACUAAAGGGCUACGCGGCGGGCAGUGGUGGUGGCAACCGUUCGUAUACCUCUUUAGUCCCCGUUGGUGGCUCAACCCGGGACUAAAGGACUAACACGUGGCCUGCCGUGGUGGUGGCGACCGUUGGUAUACCUCUUUAGUCCCGGUUGGUGGCUCAACCCGGGACUAAAGGACUAACACGUGGCCUAACGUAGUGGGGCGACUGUUGGCAUACCUCUUUAGUCCCGGUUGGUGGUUGAACCCGGGACUAAAAGCCUAACACGUGGCCUGCCGUAGUGGUGGCAACCAUUUGGUAUACCUCUUUAGUCCCGGUUGGUGGCUCAAACCGGGAUUAAAGGCCCAAAUGGUUUGCAUCCCGCGUCGUUUCGGGAGAUGAAAAGCACGAACCGAAGCGUACAGUCGCCAUUUCUCUGUUCUUCUUCUCUCUCACGUCGCCCUCUCUAUUCUUCUCCUCUCUCGCGUCGCCCUCUCUGUUCUUCUCCUCUCUUCUUCCCUUCUCUUGUUCCACCAUGCCAACUACCUUUCAUGAGGUGGUCGCGCAUGGGACGACCAAGCUCCGUGUCGUGUACACGAACCUGAGCACGGAGGUGCCGUUUUUCCUUCAACAGUUGAAGGAACGAUGGUUUAACCAUGCACCAGAUCAUGAGAAGUUCUUCGGGCUUGAUCUGAAGUACACGGCCGAUCAACGCGGUGUUGCCGUCAUCCAAAUAUGCUUCGCAAGCCAUGUCUUGAUCUUCCAAUGGGGGAGGUAAGUUUUGAGGCUUUCUUUGAUCCAAGAUAAUACAUUGUAUAAGUUUAUUUGUUUCUAUCAUAGUUGGUUCCCUUCAAAUAGUUGUAGUGAAACAAUUUUGAUUACUUGAAGGGGAGCACAAUCUAAUUGGAAUAGUGUUCCAUAAUCUGAAAAAUCGUAUUAGAAUAAACUAGUGUUUAAUAUGUUCCAUUGGAAUCAUAGUUGGUUCCCUUCAAAUAGUUGUAGUGAAACAAUUUUGAUUAGUUGAAGGGGAACACAAUCUGAUUGGAAUAGUGUUUCAUAAUCUGAAAAAUCGUAUUAGAAUGAACUAGUGUUUAAUAUGUUCCACUGGAAUCAUAGUUGGUUCGCUUCAAAUAGUUGUAGUGAAACAAUUUUGAUUAGUUGAAGGGGAACACAAUCUGAUUGGAAUAGUGUUCCAUAAUCUAAAAAAUCGUAUUAGAAUGAACUAGUGUUUAAUAUGUUCCAUUGGAACCAUAGUUGGUUCGCUUCAAAUAGUUGUAGUGAUCUCUCUAGGUUCCAUUGCAUAUGUUCUAUUUGAAUCCAAAAGAUAAGUUUCUCUUUAGUUGUAGUGAAACAUGUUUCCUUAUUGCAGCAGUAUGUAACAUUUGUUCCAUUCUAAUUUGUUUCUGUUGCAGGAGUGACAAGCAUUGUCCUGGACUCAUGGAGUUCCUUCGCAGCGGCGUCACUUUUGCUUCCGUUGACAUAUGGAACGACAGGCUGAAGAUGAGGCACAACUUCGGUAUUGAGAUACGAGCUGGUUGCCUCGUUGAUCUCCAAACGAUAUUCAGGCUUCGACAUGAGAGGACUUCGAUGGCUCAUAUGGCAGUUGCCUUGAUCGACGAUUCAUAUGGUGAUAUGAAGACCAGUUUCCCAAAGUCUCAGCACAGACUUUGGGAGAAGGGCCCACUUGAUGAUAUCAACAUUCAGUAUGCAGCAAAAGAUGCAUACGUUUCAUACGAGUUGUACCGCAAGAUUCGAGUCGUCAACUAUGGCCAGCGUCACCUCGAGGAAGGUGGGCAUUCUGAUUCAGAUGAUUCAGACGAGUAGUGUUCUUAACGUCGAACACUUGUAUAUAUAUAUCUAUGGUAGCUAUUAUUAUGUACUGUUUGGGCUAGUAUCAUGUACUUCUUGGACCAAUUUACAUAUGUCUAGUUUCUGUUUGUGCCAUUAUAGUUUCCCAAUUUGAAUGGUUUAGCCCUUUCUAACUUCGUUUGCUACUUUUGAAUGGUUUAGCCCUUUCUAACUUCAUGGUAUCAUGCAUUUCGACCACAUAUAUAUACAAAAAGUCUUUAGUUCAAAUAAGUUCAAAUAAGUUCAUGCAUUUCAACAUUUUCAGAGUUCAUUUGUAGUGCUUUUCAAUUUCAGGGUCAACUAGCUCAAAAAAAAAAGUAAAUGCACGAAAUAUACCAAAUGAAGUCAGAAAUUGUUGAAAUUUUGUGAUGUGCCUUUGAAUGGUGCAUUUUGAACACACAAAAAGUAUGGAGUUCAAAUAAGUUUAAAAAAAUGAAAUCCCUUUGUAAGAGAUGAGUUCUCGUUCGAAACCCUCCUACUUCGAGAGAGAUUGUCAGUUUUGUACACGAACUGCAUCCAGUUUUUGUCGUAGCCCUCUCAACUUUUUAACACAUGCUAUGUGGGUUAAAUGACUAUAGUAUGCCAACUUUCAACAUUUUCAGAGUACAUUUGUAGUGCUUUUCAAUUUCAGGGUCAACUAGCUCAAAAAAAAUUAAGUAAAUGCACGAAAUAUACCAAAUGAAGUCAGAAAUUGUUGAAAUUUUGUGAUGUGCCUUUGAAUGGUGCAUUUUGAACACACAAAAAGUAUGGAGUUCAAAUAAGUUUAAAAAAAUGAAAUCCCUUUGUAAGAGAUGAGUUCUCGUUCGAAACCCUGCUACUUCGAGAGAGAUUGUCAGUUUUGUACACGAACUGCAUCCAGUUUUUGUCGUAGCCCUCUCAACUUUUUAACACAUGCUAUGUGGGUUAAAUGACUAUAGUAUGCCAACUUUCAACAUUUUCAGAGUACAUUUGUAGUGCUUUUCAAUUUCAGGGUCAACUAGCUCAAAAAAAUAAGUAAAUGCACGAAAUAUACGAAAUGAAGUCAGWAAUUGUUGAAANNNNNNNNNNNNNNNNNNNNNNNNNNNNNNNNNNNNNNNNNNNNNNNNNNNNNNNNNNNNNNNNNNNNNNNNNNNNNNNNNNNNNNNNNNNNNNNNNNNNCUCCUUCUUCUUCUCCUUCUUCUUCUUAUCCUUUUGUCCCCUUCUUCUUAUCCUCCUCCCUCUCCUCCUUCUUCUUCUCCUUUUUCCUCUUCCUUCCUUUCAUUUUCCUCUUUUUCUCUUCUUGUCCCCUUCUUCGGGCUAAAUUGGCUAAGAAUGCCUUUUUGGAGCUAAUUAUGUCAUUUCGAGGAUAAUUAGCUAAGUAUAGGUCAUUUUUUAUUAAAUAGGCCAUUUUGGAGCUAACUAAGCUAAUUAUGUCCUUUCGUAGGAUAAUUAGCCAAUUUAGCCUUUCUUGGAUAAGUCUAAGCUACGUAGAAGAAGAGAUAGAGAAGAAGAAAUAAAAUAAGGAGGAGGAGGAGGAGGAGGAGAAGAAGAAGGAAGAGGAGAAGAAGAAGAAAAGAAGAAGGAGAAGGAGGAAGAAGAAGGAGUAGGAGGAGCUCCUUCUCCUUCUCCUCCUUCUUCUCCUUCUUCUCCUUCUUCUUCUCCUCCUCCCUGUCCUCCUUCUUCUCCUUAUUUUUCCUCUUCCCUCCUUUCAUUUUUCCUCUUUUUCUCUUCUUGUCCCCUUCUUCGGGCUAAAUUGGCUAAGAAUGCCUUUUUGGAGCUAAUUAUGUCAUUUCGAGGAUAAUUAGCUAAGUAUAUGUAAUUUUUUAUUAAAUAGGCCAUUUUGGAGCUAACUAAGCUAAUUAUGUCAUUUCGUAGGAUAAUUAGCCAAUUUAGCCUUUCUUGGAUGAGUCUAAGCUACGUAGAAGAAGAGAUAGAGAAGAAGAAGUAAAAUAAGGAGGAGGAGGAGGAGGAGGAGGAGAAGAAGGAAGAGGAGAAGAAGAAGAAAAGAAGAAGGAGAAGAAGGAGAAGAAGAAGGAGAAGGAGAAGGAGGAAGAAGGAGGAAGAAGAAGGGGAAGGAGGAGCUCCUUCUCCUUCUUCUCCUUCUUCUCCUUCUUCUUCUCCUCCUCCCUCUCCUCCUUCUUCUUCUCCUCAUUUUUCCUCUUCCUGCCUUUCAUUUUCCUCUUUUUCUCUUCUUGUCCCCUUCUUCGGGCUAAAUUGGCUAAGAAUGCCUUUUUGGAGCUAAUUAUGUCAUUUCGAGGAUAAUUAGCUAAGUAUAGGWCAUUUUUUAUUAAAUAGGACAUUUUGGAGCUAACUAAGCUAAUUAUGUCAUUUCGUAGGACAAUUGGCUAAUUUAGCCUUUCUUGGAUGAGUCUAAGCUACGUAGAAGAAGAGAUAGAGAAGAAGAAGUAAAAUAAGGAGGAGGAGGAGGAGGAGGAGGAGGAGAAGAAGAAGGAAGAGGAGAAGAAGAAGAAAAGAAGAAGGAGAAGAAGGAGAAGAAGAAGGAGAAGGAGAAGGAGGAAGAAGAAGGAGUAGGAGGAGCUCCUUCUCCUUCUCCUCCUUCUUCUCCUUCUUCUCCUUCUUCUUCUCCUCCUCCCUCUCCUCCUUCUUCUCCUCAUUUUUCCUCUUCCCUCCUUUCAUUUUCCUCUUUUUCUCUUCUUGUCCCCUUCUUCGGGCUAAAUUGGCUAAGAAUGCCUUUUUGGAGCUAAUUAUGUCAUUUCGAGGAUAAUUAGCUAAGUAUAGGUCAUUUUUUAUUAAAUAGGCCAUUUUGGAGUUAACUAAGCCAAUUAUGUUAUUAGAUGGAAGUCUAGCUAUUUUGGGGCUAACUAAGCUAAUUAUGUCAUUAGAUGGAAGUCUAGCUAUUUUUUAUUAAAACACUAGAAAUAACAUACCUAAGUUAGGGUGAAGCACGGUGGCUCUGGCUUGUUUCACCUGGAGAAGGCUGCCCUGGAGAAGGCUCGACUGUAGAAGGGUCAUGCGAUGCGUUUCGGGACAUAUUCUGCACCAAACAUCGUUUGCAAUGUGUAGUUAGCAUGAGGACACUCUUAAGAUCACUCCACUGAAAUGAAACUCACCGUCCCCGCCACGUUAAUGACUGGCAUCGGCGGAGGGACUUGGCCGUUCUUCUCGCACAUAGACUGUACAUUUGGUUUCGACAAGUCAAACUUUUUAUUUAUUAAUGAAACGGACAUUCAAAUGCAAGAUUUGAAAUAACAUGAAGAAGAAACUUACCACGAAGAGCUCGUAUAUGGCCCUGGUAGACGCUUCAUUCCGUGCCCUCUCCGCCUCCACCAAUGCAGUCGUCCUCUCCUCCAGCUCCCUAAUUUCCUUAUCCUUCUCCGCCAUAGCCGCCUGCAUUGCCGCUCUCUCUUUCUGAAUAGCAGCCUGCAACACAACUCAUUGUUAGCAAUGUAAUCAUAUUGGUUCCAACGCACAACAUAAUGCGGAAAGAUUGUUCAGUCCAUUAAACUAACCUCGAUGGCGAGCUCGACUGGCCGUGGACGACGUGUUAUCUCCGGACAAGAGCUCGUUUGGCGUGCCUUUAUCUACCGGAGAGUGCUAGGACAACGUAUAAGGCCGUCUCCAAUGGCGAUCGAGCCAUGGGGCCUCCCGUUGCCAGCUAUCAUCACCAGCUCUGGAUCAAUUGGCCCCUCGCUCGGGUUAAAGUCCUCCCCUUUCCUCGCCUUCCCGUGAUCUCUGUACUUCACGAGCUUGUCGUGGGAGGAGAUGUUGGUGAAGUUUUCUGGAUGCUCGAGGUCAGACUCACAGAAUGCCUUGACCUUCUUGUACGAGGCAGUAUGGGCCAUCGCAUACAGGUCGUACAUCUGUGGCGCCUCCGUCUUAUUGUGACGCGCCUAAAAGAGAGAGAGCAGAAAAUUGUAUUGGUAAAGGGCUCAAGAUAGCAUUAAGAAUGAAUUGCAUGAGGCAUGAACCAAACCACAUACCCAGUUCUCGCCAAAUUGGAUUAAGUUGACGCUCCCUUGAUGGUGUGGCACGCCAACCAUUUUGCCACGCCUCUCCUUGGCGUUGUUGUGGCUGGUCUCCCACGUUUUGGAGCACCACUGGUCCACCAAGGCCUCCCAACAAUCCAUCUUAUCCACACACCAUCUAGGGGGCACCUAAGUUAAUAAAGAGAAAUUUGAGUGCGUAAGAACCAAAUCAAGGAAACUAACUACAAAGCCUUAAUAAUAUGUAAUUACCUUCAUGUAAUGCUCCUUCUCCAUCUUAGCAUCAUGGCACUUCGCCUUAUCAAUCCUAAUACGCCGCGUGGCAUAGUAGUCUCGAACAGCCUGCACCCGAGCCUCGUGCCGAAAGUUUUGAAGUAGGCGGCGACAUUCGGUUUCGAUAACCUUUGCCGCGUCGUCCUCGUAUCCCUCCUCACACCUGUAGAAGGUCUGCAAACGGGACAACACCGAUUAGUACAAUAAAUAGCUAUGGUUAAUUUAUAAUUGUGUGAAAGAGAAAUUACCCAGAACUUUCGGAUCACCAUGUCCGCCCUCGUGUCACACAAAACACCGUCGAUCUCCACCUCCGGCGGGGCCAGGGCACCCAAGUAGUGCUCCCAGGUCAUCCCUACCUCUCGCUCCCGACCGGGCAACGUAACAAACCCUGGGAAGUUUUGACGGCAAAGAACACCGAGGACGCUGUUGGGCUUGCGGACACCCUUGGCAACAAUCCAACCCCUACAGUAUGACAAAUUAAAGCCAAAACAUUAGAUAUUUGAGAAAACGCGAAGGCAAAAGGUUAAAUAAGAGUAAAUUAACUUACUUGUCCCCAUUUGGCCUAAUCGAGCACCUCUGCUCGGGGGUCGCUGGCACGAGCGGGAGCCCCGAACUACCACGCUGGUAGACGGUAUCCCCCUCACCCAGCUCCUCGUCGCUACCAGCAUGGCAGUUGGCUCUGGCCAGGGAUCCCACUGGGUCUCUUGGGACGUACCCUCAUCCCUGCUGUGCUCCGCAGUCGUGUGGAAGGAAGCCUCUGGGACACGAGUCUCGUGGGUCAAAGGCUCGUCGACCUGAGGCUCGUCGACCCGAGGCUCGUGAACCGGAGACCGUGUAGCCUCCACCUCAGACGAAUCCACCCUAGAAGUCCUCCUGUGCUCAGGUGAAUCAGCUUGGGGUGGUGGCGGAGACCGUGUAUCCCUACCUCUCCCGCGGCCACGUGUACCUUUAGUACAACAUAAAUACCAACAUGAGUAAUAAAAUGUAUAUAAAUACCAAUAUGCAUACAACAUGAGUACAACAUAAAUACCAACACGAAUACAACGUGUACCUUUAGUGCCUCUCGGCUUCGCGGGUGGUCGACCUCCUCUCACGGGGGCCGCUCCUUGCAUACUAGAGAGCAACACUCUCCGAAGAGGCGAGGCCGGAAUGGAAGUACCCAUCCCAUCACCCGCCGACGAAGAAGCAGCCGCGGCAUGCUUUCGACCCUUUCCCACCAUCUUUCAACACCUGUCAUGACAAAGAGUAAAUGAAAUUAGUACAACAUAAAUACCAACAUGACUAAUAAAAAUUGAAUACCUAACAUGAACUCAAAAUUUAUAUAUAGUAUAAUAGUUGAAUACCUGACAUGAACUAAUAACAAUCGUCCUCGUCUAUAUAUGCUUCGGGGUCAAUAAAUGCAUCAUGAUCAUCACUAUCAUCAAUAAAUGCAUCAUCAUCAUCACUAUCUAGAAGAACAUGUGGAAGGCCACCAUUAUGUAAUCGGUCAAGAAGUGACAGGUCAUCCGCAGCAGUAACCUCUUCUUCUUCCAGAUCUUCCUCUUCGGGCUCAGGGGUUAAGACGGAUUCACUGUCACUGUCUACUUCAAUGUUCUGGGGUGAAGUAGAGCGGUUCUUGAAACGUUUCUUGGACAUACGUGUUUCUUGGAAGAAUUCUCCUUCAUAUGUGUCUGGGUUAAUGUGAGGUUCGUAAUCCUCUUCAUUGAGGGUAGGUGGUCUAAAAUGUGGUGGCACAUCAUAAACGACAUCCCAACCUUUGAGAUUUGGAUCAAUUUGGCAGGCCCACGGUAGAUAGAAAACUUGUGUCGCCUGUUGAGACAUAAUAUAGACAUCGGGAACAUCUAAGUGGGUGUUUUGGUUGAUUUCGACUAGUCCUAUAUGUUCAUGAGUCCUUCUAGUCUCCCUCGGCUCAAACCAAUAACAUUUGAAGACUACGACGGUCGGUGGGUUUUCACCAUAGAAUAGAAGUUCAUAAAUUGCUUCAACCCUUCCAUAAUACUCGGUGUCUCCUUCGCCGAUAGCAGAGACAGAACAAUUUGUAGUCUUUAGGUCGGGCAUAGAUAGCUCUUUGCCAAAGGUACGAAAGUGAUACCCGUUGAUGUUGUAUUUGUCAAAUGAACGGACCUUAUAGUCAAAACCAUUAGCGACUUGUCUCAACUCGGCGUCCAUAGACUCUGCAUCAGCCUACAAGUUUAAUACGAAAGAAUGGAUGCAUUAGCCGCAAAUUAGACCAAUAAUUCAAAUGGGCCCUUAAUGGUAAUUAAUUACCCUUUGUUUGAACCAAGAGAUGAAACCAGGAUAGUUGCCUCCAUGCUUUGCGAGAAGCUCAUACUCUUCGACGGAAUCCUUUUCGAUGACCGCUCCAUCCGAGAAUUCGGCGACGUAUCGACUAUAUCAAAUAUCCGGGAAUAAGAGUGGUUCAAAGCAAUUAGAAGUUGCGGAACAAUAAAUUACCGAGAACUUACUCGAUGUACGGCCGCACUUCUGUUAGGUUGGUGAAGAUAUACAAUGAAAUGGUCCGCCAUUCUUCGACAUCCAACGAUUUCCCUUUCGAAGCACCGGAUGGUGCGAGCUUACCUUUGAAUAGGCUGAGGUUGGAUCGAACUUUUUCUCGAUCGCCAUCAUUGUACCGAGGCUUCGGGUUAUGCAAAUGAUAAUUUUUGGCUUCGUAGUGUGCUGUCACGAAGUUUGCCGCCUCCUCAGUAAUGAAUGCCUCGGCCAUCGAUGCUUCAAUUCUACGUUUAUUUUUACACUUAGCUCGAAGCGUCUUCUGCAUCCUCUCAGUUGAGUAGCACCAUUGAUUUUGAACGGGCCCCCCCAUUCUUGCCUCGGUCGGGAGAUGCAAAAUCAAAUGUUGCAUUGGAUUAAAGAAGCCCGGUGGAAAGAUCUUUUCUAAUUUGCAGACCAACUCCGGCGCCAACUCUUCCAUUUCAUCUAGCACGCCAGGCGAUAGUUCUUUCGCACGAAGAGAACGGAAGAAAUAGCUCAGCUCUGCCAGUACUAGCCAUUCAUCCUCAGGGAUAAAGCCACGCAACAUCACCGGCAUUACCCGCUGAAUCCAUAUGUGCCAAUCAUGACUCUUGAGCCCAAAUAUUUUCAAUUUCUCAAGACUUGCUCCCCUCUUUAGAUUCGCAGCAUACCCAUCGGGGAACAUCAACCGCAUUUUCACCCACAAUAGCAUUUCCCUCAUAGCUGGCCUUUCAAGAUUGAACCAUGCCUUUGGCUUCGCUAUGCUUUGCUUUCCUUUCCGUUGUCGCAAGUUUUGCAACGGUCUAUCACAUAGAGCCUCCAGGUCGAUUCUAGCCUUAGGAUUAUCUUUUGACUUCCCCUCUAUGCCGAACAAUGUACCAAAAAUGGCCUCCGCAAUAUUCUUUUCAGUGUGCAUCACGUCAAUGUUGUGUGGGCAAAGGAGGUCUUUGAAGUAAGGGAGAUCCCAUAAGCAUGACUUGUGAGUCCAGGCGUGUUCCGUAUUAUACCCUUUGAAGUAUCCUGGACGCAAAGGAUCGGGCUCGAGAGCGUUUAACUGAUCAAGGGUCUGUUGGCCUGUCAACGCAGCUGGUGCAGUGUUUUUGACAACUCUACCUUUGAUGAAAUUCUUCUUGUCUUUUCUGAACUUAUGGUCAGGAUCCAGGAAUUGUCUAUGCAUGUCGAAGCAAGAAUACUUGCGACCAUCCUGCAGCCAACGGAACUGAAGAGCUGCCUUGCAUGUGGUGCACGGGAACCUUCCAUGCACACACCAGCCAGCGAAUAGCGCAAACGCCGGAUAAUCAUGCGUCGAGUACAUGUACCACACAUGCAUUUUGAAAUUUGUUUUGGUAGCCGCGUCGUAGGUCUUGAUCCCAUUAUCCCAGGCUUCUUGCAACUCAUCCUUAAGCGGCUGCAUGUACACAUUCAUAUUCUUCCCCGGAUAGUUGGGCCCUGGAACUAUCAACGUCAGGAAAAUGUUCUUUCUUUUCAUAAUCUCUCCGGGUGGCAAAUUUAGUGGAAUGACAAAUACAGGCCAACAACUGUAUUGUGCUGCCGUCAUACCAUACACAUUGAACCCAUCCGUGCUGAUGGCAACUCUAGGUUGCCUUGGAUCUUCCGAUUUAUCCUUAUGUAAUGCAUCGAAGUGCCUCCACGCAAAACCAUCUGAAGUGUGUACCAGCAUCUUGUUCCCAUCCGCAUCUAGUUCGGUUCUUUUGCCCAAUUUGUGCCAUGUCAUCUGUCCGGCCGUCUCUUCGACCAUGAAAAGACGUUGAAGUCUUGGUACGAUUGGCAAAUAUUGAAGAACACUAAUGGGGAUUUUGGUCUGAUUCUUCUCACCCAUGCCGUUGUCUACCACAAUAUACCUGGAAGAAUUGCAAAUGGGGCAAUAGUUCAAGGCCGCAUACUCAAGCCUAAAUAAGGCACAUCCAUUCUCACAGGCAUGUAUCUUCUCAUAGGGCAUCUUAAGUACACGGAGGAUUUUCUCCGACUGGUACAGGUUUGCAGGCAGUACAUGGCCUUUGGGUAGAAAGCGUCCAAAUAUCGUCAUCAUCGCGUCGUAGCAUUCUCUGCCUAGGUUGAGUUGAGCCUUCAGAGCCAUUACUUGCGCGAUGACAUCCAGCUGACAAAGCUCAGUCUGCUCGUGGAGAGGACAUUUUGAAGACUCCAGCAUUUCAUAGAAGGCCUUUGCAGAUUCCUCCAUCUCAUCGUCCGAAUCCCGAGCAUCAUCAAAGUCUUGCACCAUGUCUUCAAUCCCGGUACCAUGCUCGUCGGUGCGACGACGAAUCACCUCAGCUCUGGCACGUUGGUCAGACUCACCAUGAAAAGUCCACACCGUAUAAUUAGGCGUAAAACCCCACUUCUGCAAGUGUUUACCCAUUUCAAACUCUGUCUGCUUUUUCCAGUUGUCGUAGUUGGGACACGGGCACCAUGUUUUUUGCUGGCCAUUUGCAAAUGCGGCUCUCACAAACCCCCUGGUUUUUGUUAACCAUUCAUGGGUCAUGUCUUUCUGACUAGGGUGACCAGUGUACAUCCAAGCACGAUCACUCAUGUUGCCUAGCUACCUAUGGGGGCACAAGAAAUAAAUACAUAAUUCAUCAUCUAUAUUCAUACGCUAAUCAAGUUUGUCAGUUUUAUUACGUCCAUGCAACCUACACGCUAAUAGGUAAAGAUAGGUCCUAAUCCCACCCGAGUAUGUGUAGACUGGGUUCGUUUUCCCGUGCUCUGCUCCAGAUGCGACGCAGAAUUUCGGCAGCACCUCCCCGCUGUUCUCCUGAUACACGUCUCGGCAAUAAGCAGAGAGGAUGUGUACCCGGAGAACAACAGGGGAGGCACUGACGAAAUUCCGCAUCGGAUCCGGAGCACAGCAUACGGGAAAACAAACCCAAUCUACACAUACUCGGGCUGUCGAUGGAUAAUGUUGGACAAUUCGAAAGGAUGGCGGUUAUAAAUAUGCAAAGAAAUGCAUAUUUAUAGAUGUCGCCCUUUCGAACGGGAGACGCAUACUGGUCACGCAUACUCAUGAUUGAAGAAACCUAUAGCUAGCAAGUUUCAUCGGCACGAAGACCGGGACAGAGCAAAUUGAGGGGGUAGGAGGAGAAGUCAUUUGUGCUCACCAACAAACGCAAGGGCGGAGCUCGUCCAACGCACGUGGAGGUCGUCGAACAACUGCACAUUGAAAUUCACCCGAUCAACACAAAUACGAUGUUUUUAUAAUUAACAUGAUCGGAAAAUAUGUGACCUAACUCAUAAUUUACAAAACUAUGACCCCGUGGGCCUCUGGAAGGCCGAAAAGCACCUUCUCGUUCAAAAGAAGGCAGAAGAGGUGUCGGGGGUCGGGGCUUAGUGGCGUCGGGAGUCAGUGCCGUCGAGGGUCGGUGGCAUCGGGGGUCGGGGGGUUAGUGGCGUCGGUUGUGGGGGGUCAGUGGCGUCGGGGGUCCAGGGUCAGUGGCGUCGGGGGUCCAGGGUCAGUGACGUCGGGUGUCAGUGGCGUCGGGGGGUCGGGAGUCGUGGGCCGAGGGUCUGGGUCGGGGGCAGUGGCGUCGGGGUCGAGGGUUAGUGGCGUCNNNNNNNNNNNNNNNNNNNNNNNNNNNNNNNNNNNNNNNNNNNNNNNNNNNNNNNNNNNNNNNNNNNNNNNNNNNNNNNNNNNNNNNNNNNNNNNNNNNNUCUCUCUCUCUCUNUNUNUCUUCUUCUUCUGUUCUUCUUCUUCUUCUUUCUUUUCAUUUUGCCUAUUUCUUCUCCGCUUCUCCUCAUGUUGGAGCUAAAUUACCUAAUUAUGUCUUUUUKGAGCUAAAUGGGCUAAUUAUCCCAUUUUAGAGGAAAACAAGCUAAGUAUAUAAUAUUCAUGAGCUAACCAAGGUUCUGAUGCCAUUUUGAGCUUAUUAUGGCAUUUUGGAGCUAAAUGGGCUAAUUAUGUCAUUGUUGGGGAAAUUAAAGCAAGGAUAAUAUGAAAGAGGAGAAGAAAGAGGAGGAGGAGGAGAAGAAGAAGAAAUCAAGAAGAAGGAGGAGAAGGAGAAGGAGGAGAASNNCUAKMUCCUCCUYSKCCUCCUCCUCCUCCUUCUCCUUCUUCUCUUCUUCUUCUUCUUCUUUAUUUUUAUUUUUCCUAUUUCUUCUCCUCUUCUUGGAGCUAAAUUACGUAAUUAUGUUUUUUUGGAGCUAAAUGGGCUAAUUAUCUCAUUUUAGAGGAAAACAAGCUAAGUAUAUAAUAUUCAUGAGCUAACCAAGGUUGACCAAGAAUGAAAUGGUCCAUUAUUGAUAAUUACCGUUUGUUUGAACCAAGAGAUGAAACCGGGAUAGCCGCCUCCUGUCUUUGACAGAAGCGCAUAAUCUUCGACGGAAUCAUUUUCGAUCACCGCUCCAUCCGAGAAUUUGACGAUGUAAGGGCUGUUUGAAAUAUCCGGGAAUAAGAGCAGUUCAAAUGAAUUAGAAGUUACGGGAAAAUGUGUCGAGAACUCACUCGAUGUACGGCCGCACUUCUGGUAGGUUGUUGAAGAUAUACAACGAAAUGUUCCGCCAUUCUUCGACAUCCAACGUUAUUGGUUUCGAAGCACCGACUGGUGCGAGCUUCCCUUUGAAUAGGCUGAGGUUGGACCCACCUUUUUUAUGGUCUGCAUCAUUGUGCCGAGGCUUCGGAUUAUGCAGAUGAUGAUUUUUGGCUUCGUAGUGUGCUGUCACAAAGUUUGCCACCUCCUCAGUAAUGAAUGACUCAGCCAUCGAUGCUUCAAUUCAACGCUUAUUCUUACAUUUAGCUCGAAGGGUCUUCUGCAUCCUCUCAGUUGCAUAGCACCAACGAUCUUGCACGGGCCCACCCAAUCUUGCCUCGGUCAGUAGAUGUAAAAUCAAAUGCUGCAUUGGAUUAAAGAAGCCCGGUGGAAAGAUCUUCUCUAACUUGCACAACAACUCCAGUGCAAACUCCUCCAUGUCUUCUACCACGCCAGGCGACAAUUCUUUCGCACAAAGAACAUGAAAGAAAUAGCUCAGCUCCGCCAGUACUAGCCAUUCAUCCUCGGGAAUAAAGCCACAUAACAUCACCGGUAUUACCCGCUCUAGCCAUAUGUGCCAAUCAUGACUCUUGAGACCAAAGAUUUUUAAUUUUUCAAGACUCGCUCCCCUCUUUAGAUUCGCUGCAUACCCAUCGGGGAACAUCAAGUGCAUUUUGACCCACAAGAUAAUUUCCCUCAUAGCUGGCCUUCCAUGAAUGAACCAGGCCUUUGGCUUCGACCACUUCUGCUUUCCUUUGCCUUCUCGCAUGUUUUGUAAUGGUCUAUGACAUAGUGUCUCUUGAUCGACUCUAGCCUUAAUAUUAUCCUUUGUCUUCCCAUCUAUGUCGAACAAUGUACCAAAAAUAGCCUCUCCGAUAUUAUUUUCAGUGUGCAUCAUGUCGAUAUUGUGUGGAAGAAGGAGGUCUUUGAAGUAAGGCAGAUCCCAGAAGCAUGGCUUGUGAGUCCAGGCGUGUUUUGAAUUAUAACCCUUGAAAUACCAUGGACGCUCUGGAUCAGGCUCGAGGGCGUUUAACUCAUCCAAGAUCUGUUGGCCUGUGAACGCAGGUGGUGCCAAGUUCUUGACAACUUUACCUUUAUUAAAGUUCUUCUUGUCUUUUCUGAACUGAUGGUCAGGAUCCAGGAACUGUCUAUGCAAGUCAAAGCAAGAAUACUUCCGACCCUCCUGCAACCAAUGAAACUGAAGAGCUGCCUUGCAUUUGGGGCACGGGAACCUUCCAUGCACACACCAUCGAGAGAAUAGUGCAUACGCUGGCAAGUCAUGCAUAGAGUACAUGUACUGUUGGAAUUAUGCCCUAGAGGCCAUAAUAAAUAUAGUUAUUAUUAUAAUUCCUGUAUCAAGAUAAUCGUUUAUUAUCCAUGCUAUAAUUGUAUUGAAUGAAGACUUAUAUACAUGUGUGGAUACAUAGACAAAACACUGUCCCUAGCAAGCCUCUAGUUGGCUAGCCAGUUGAUCAAAGAUAGUCAGGGUCUUCUGAUUAUGAACAAAGCGUUGUUGCUUGAUAACUGGAUCAUGUCAUUAGGAGAAUCACGUGAUGGACUAGCCCAAACUAAUAGACGUAGCAUAUUGAUCGUGUCAUUUUAGUGCUACUGUUUUCUGCGUGUCAAGUAUUUGUUCCUAUGACCAUGAGAUCAUAUAACUCACUGACACCGGAGGAAUGCUUUGUGUGUAUCAAAUGUCGCAACGUAACUGGGUGACUAUAAAGAUGCUCUACAGGUAUCUCCGAAGGUGUUCGUCGAGUUAGUAUGGAUCGAGAGUGGGAUUUGUCACUCCGUGUGACGGAGAGGUAUCUCGGGGCCCACUCGGUAAUACAACAUCACACACAAGCCUUGCAAGCAAUGUGACUUAGUGUAAGUUGCGGGAUCUUGUAUUACGGAACGAGUAAAGAGACUUGCCAGUAAACGAGAUUGAAAUAGGUAUGCGGAUACUGACGAUCGAAUCUCGGGCAAGUAACAUACCGAAGGACAAAGGGAAUGACAUACGGGAUUAUAUGAAUCCUUGGCACUGAGGUUCAAACGAUAAGAUCUUCGUAGAAUAUGUAGGAUCCAAUAUGGGCAUCCAGGUCCCGCUAUUGGAUAUUGACCGAGGAGUCACUCGGUUCAUGUCUACUUGGUUCUCGAACCCGCAGGGUCUGCACACUUAAGGUUCGACGUUGUUUUAUGCGUAUUUGAGUUAUAUGGUUGGUUACCGAAUGUUGUUCGGAGUCCCGGAUGAGAUCACGGACGUCACGAGGGUUUCCGGAAUGGUCCGGAAACGAAGAUUGAUAUAUAGGAUGACCUCAUUUGAUUACCGGAAGGUUUUCGGAGUUACCGGGAAUGUACCGGGAAUGACGAAUGGGUUCCGGAUGUUCACCGGGGGGGGCAACCCACCCCGGGGAAGCCCAUAGGCCUUGGGGGUGGCGCACCAGCCCUUAGUGGGCUGGUGGGACAGCCAAAGAAGUCCCUAUGCGCCAUAGGAAGAAAAUCAAAGAGAAAAAAAAGGGAGGUGGGAAAAAGGGGAAGGACUCCUCCUUCCAAACCUAGUUGGAUUCGGUUUGGAAGGGGAGGACUCCCCCCCCUUGGCUCGGCCGAACCCCUUGGUGGUCCUUGGACCCCAAGGGAAGGCUCCCCCUCUUCCUCCUAUAUAUACGGAGGUUUUAGGGCUGAUUUGAGACAACUUUGCCACGGCAGCCCGACCACAUAUCUCCACGGUUUUACCUCUAGAUCGCGUUUCUGCGGAGCUCGGGCGGAGCCCUGCUGAGAUAAGAUCACCACAAACCUCCGGAGCACCGUCACGCUGCCGGAGAACUCAUCUACCUCUCCGUCUCUCUUGCUGGAUCAAGAAGGCCGAGAUCAUCGUCGAGCUGUACGUGUGCUGAACGCGGAGGUGGUCCGUUCGGCACUAGAUCGUGGGACUGAUCGCGGGGCGGUUCGCGGGGCGGAUCGAGGGACCUGAGGACGUUCCACUACAUCAACCGUGUUCACUAACACUUCAGCUGUGCGAUCUACAAGGGUACGUAGAUCGAAUAUCCCCUCUCGUAGAUGGACAUCACCAUGAUAGGUCUUCGUGCGCGUAGUAAAUUUUUUGUUUCCCAUGCGACGUUACCCAACAGUGGCAUCAUGAGCUAGGUUCAUGCGUAGAUGUCUUCUCGAGUAGAACACAAAAGUUUUUGUGGGCGGUGAUGUGCGUUUUGCUGCCCUCCUUAGUCUUUUCUUGAUUCCGCGGUAUUGUUGGAUCGAAGCGGCUUGGACCGACAUUACUCGUACGCUUACGAGAGACUGGUUUCAUCGCUACGAGUAACCCCGUUACUCAAAGAUGACUGGCAAGUGUCAGUUUCUCCAACUUUAGUUGAAUCGGAUUUGACCGAGGAGGUCCUUGUAUAAGGUUAAAUAGCAAUUCAUAUAUCUCCGUUGUGGUGUUUGCGUAAGUAAGAUGCGAUCCUACUAGAUACCCAUGGUCACCAUGUAAAACAUGCAACAACAAAAUUAGAGGACGUCUAACUUGUUUUUGCAGGGUAUGCUUGUGAUGUGAUAUGGCCAACGAUGUGAUGUGAUAUAUUGGAUGUAUGAGAUGAUCAUGUUGUAAUAGAUAAUAUCGACUUGCACGUCGAUGGUACGGCAACCGGCAGGAGCCAUAGGGUUGUCUUUAAACUAACGUUUGUGCUUGCAGAUGCGUUUACUAUUUUGCUAGGAUGUAGCAUUAGUAGUAAUAGCAUGAGCAGCACGACAACCCUGAUGGUGACACGUUGAUGGAGAUCAUGGUGUGGCGCCGGUGACAAGAAGAUCGUGCCGGUGCUUUGCUGAUGGAGAUCAAGGAGCACGUGAUGAUGGCCAUAUCAUGUCACUUAUGAAUUGCAUGUGAUGUUAAUCCUUUUAUGCACCUUAUUUUGCUUAGAACGACGGUAUCAUUAUGAGGUGAUCUCUCACUAAACUUUCAAGACGAAAUUGUGUUCUCCCAGACUGUGCACCGUUGCUACAGUUCGUCAUUACGAGACACCACGUGAUGAUCGGGUGUGAUAGACUCAACGUUCACAUACAACGGGUGCAAACCAGUUGCACACGCGGAACACUCGGGUUAAGCUUGACGAGCCUAGCAUCUGCAGACAUGGCCUCGGAACACAUGAGACCGAAAGGUCGAUCAUGAAUCAUAUAGAUGAUAUGAUUAGCAUAGGGAUGCUUACCACUGAAACUAUACUCAACUCACGUGAUGAUCGGUAUUGAGAUAGUGUAAGUGGAUCAUGAACCACUCAAAUGACUAGAGAUAUGUACUUUUUGAGUCCACUUUGAAUAUAGUCUUGAACAUAGUCUAAGUCCACUAUGAAUAUAUUUGUGUUGUAGAUCAUGGCUCACGCGACAGUCACCCUGAAUUUUAAUACGUUCCUAGAGAAAGCUAAGUUGAAAGAUGAUGGAAGCAACUUUGUAGACUGGGCUCGUAAUCUUAAGCUAAUCUUACAAGCUAGGAAGAAGGAUUAUGUCCUUAAUGCUGCACUAGGAGAUGAACCACCCGCUACGGCUGACUAGGAUGUUAAGAACGCUUGGUUAACACGUAAGGAGGACUACUCAGUAGUUCAAUGUGCAGUCUUGUAUGGCUUAGAACCGGGACUUCAACAUCGCUUUGAGAGUCAUGGAGCAUAUGAGAUGUCCCAGGAGUUGAAGUUUAUCUUUCAGAAGAACGCCCGGAUCGAGAGGUAUGAGACCUUCGAUAAAUUCUAUGCUUGCAAGAUGGAGGAGAAUUCGUCUGUCAGUGAACAUGUGCUCAAAAUGUCUGGGUACUCAAACCGUCUAGCUGAGCUGGGGAUUGAACUCCCGCAAGAGGCUAUCACUGACAGGAUCCUUCAGUCACUGCCGCCAAGCUAUAAAGGCUUUGUGUUGAACUACAACAUGCAAGGGAUGAACAAGUCACCCGGCGAGUUGUUUGCGAUGCUGAAAGUCGCAGAGUCUGAACUCCAUAAAGAGCAUCAAGUGUUGAUGGUGAAUAAGACCACUAGUUUCAAGAGAAACGGCAAAGGCAAGACGGGUAAUUCAAAGAAGAGCGGCAAGCCUGUUGCCAAUCCGAUGAAGAAACCCAAAGCUGGACCUAAGCCUGAAACAGAGUGUUACUAUUGCAAGGGUAUGGGUCACUAGAAGCGCAACUGCCCCAAGUAUCUGGCUGAUAAGAAGGCGGCCAAAGAAAAAUCAGGUAUAUUUGAUAUACAUGUUAUUGAUGUGUACUUAACCGGCACUCGUAGUAGUGCCUGGGUAUUCGAUACCGGUUCUGUUGCUCAUAUUUGCAACUCGAAACAGGAACUGCGGAAUAGACGAAGGCUGGCGAAAGAUGAAGUGACGAUGCGCGUAGGAAAUGGUUCCAAGUUUGAUGCAAUCGCCGUCGGCACAGUUUCACUUCAGUUACCAUCAGGAUUAGUUAUGAACUUGAAUCAUGGUUAUUUAGUGCCUGCGUUGAGCAUGAACAUUAUAUCUGGAUCUUGUUUAUUGCGAGACGGUUACUCUUUUAAUUCAGAGAAUAAUAGUUGUUCUAUUUCUAUGAGUAACAUCUUUUAUGGUCAUGCACCCAAUGUGAGAGGAUUGUUCAUAUUGAAUCUUGAUAGUGAUACACACAUACAUAACAUUGAGACCAAAAGAGUUAAAGUUAACAAUGAUAGCGCCAUAUUUUUGUGGCACUACCGCUUAGGUCAUAUUGGUGUAAAGCGCAUGAAGAAACUCCAUGCCGAUGGACUUUUGGAGUCACUUGACUUUGAUUCACUUGACACGUGCGAACCAUGCCUCAUGGGCAAGAUGACUAAAACUCCGUUCUCCGGAACAAUUGAGCGUGCUAGUGACUUGUUGGAAAUCAUACAAGGGUACGUAGAUCGAAUAUGCCCUCUCGUAGAUGGACAUCACCAUGAUAUGUCUUCGUGCGCGUAGGAAAUUUUUUGUUUCCCAUGCGACGUUCCCCAACAUGUACCACACAUGCAUUUUGAAGUUUUUUUUUCUAGCGGCAUCGUAUGUCUUGACCCCAUUAUCCCAAGCUUCUUCCAAUUCAUCCUUAAGCGGUUGCAGAUACACAUUCAUAUUCUUCCCCGGAUAAUUGGGCCCUGGAAUUAUCAACGUCAGAAAUAUGAUCUUUCUUUGCAUAAUCUGCCUAGGGGGGAGAUUGAGUGGAAUGACAAAUACAGGCCAACAACUGUAUUGGGUUGUCGUCAUGCCGAAGGGAUUAAAACCGACCGUGGCGGCACAGACUCGAGGAUUCCUUGGAUCUGUCGCUUUAUCUUGAUGCAAUCCAUCGAAAUGUUUCCACGCUUCCCCAUCCGAUGUGUGUACCAUCAUCUUAUUCCCAUCCGCAUCUAGUUCGGUUCUUUUGCCCAAUUUGUGCCUUGUCAUCUGUCUGGCUGUCUCUUCGACCAUGAAAAGACGUUGAAGUAUUGGUACGAUUGUGAUAUACCGAAGAACACUAACUGCGAUUUUGGUCUGCCUCUUCUCACCCAUACCGUUGUCUAUCACAAGAUACUUGCAAGACUCACAAUUGGGACAAUAGUCCAAGUGUUCAUACUCCUUCCUAAAUAAGACACAUCCUUUCUCACAUGCAUCUAUCUUCUCAUAGGGCAUCUUAAGUACACGAAGUAUUUUGUCCGACUGGUACAGGUUUGCAGGAAUGACAUGGCCUUUGGGUAGGAAACGUCCAAAUAGUGUCAUCAUCGCGUCAUAGCAUUCUCUUCCCAAGUUGAACUGAGCCUUCAGAGCCAUUACUUGUGCAAUUGCAUCCAGCUGACAGAGCUCAGUGUGCUCAUGGAGAGGACGUUUUGAAGACUCCAACAUUUCACAAAAGGCCUUUGCAGAUUCCUCCAUCUCAUCUUCCGAAUCCCGAGCAUCAUCAAAGUCUUGCACCAUGUCUUCCAUCCCGGUACCAUGCUCAUCCGUGCGACGACGGACCACCUCAGCUCUUGUGCGUUGUAUAGACUCACCAUGAAAUGUCCACACCGUAUAAUUAGGCUUAAAACCCCUCCUCUACAGGUUUUUAGUCAUUACAACCUCUGUCGUCUUUUUAUAGUUGUCGCAUCCAGGACAGGGGCAAUAGUUUCUUUCCUGGCCAUUUGCGAAUGCGGCUUUCACAAAUUGCUUUGUUUUUAAAAACCAUUCUUUCGUCAUCUCUUUCUGCCUAGGGUGACCGGUAUACAUCCACGCACGAUCACUCAUCUUGCGUAGCUACUAAAGACAGAAGAAAUAUAUUUAUAUAUAAUUUAGCAUUUAUAUUCAUCGGUUAAUCAGGUUCGCCAUUUUUAUUAUGUCCAGGCAACCUACAUGCUAAUAGGUAAAGAUAGGUCCUAAUCCCACCCGAGUAUGUGUAGAUUGGGUUCGUUUUCCCAUGCUCUGCUCCGGAUCCAAUGCAAAAUUUCGACAACACCUCCCCGCUGUUCUCCUGAUACACGUCUCCGCAAUAAACAGAGAGGAUGUGCAUCCAGAGAACAGCAGGGAGGCACUGAUGAAAUUCCGCAUCGGAUCCAGAGCACAUCAUACGGGAAAACGAACCCAAUCUACACAUGCUCGGGCUAUCCAUGGAUAAAGUUGGACAAUUCGAAAGGAUGGCGGUUAUAAAUAUGCAAAGACAUGCAUAUUUAUAGAUGUCGCCCUUUCGAACGGGAGACGCAUACUGGUCACGCAUACUGAUAAAUUAAUUGAAUUACCUAAAUCUAGAAAGUUUCAUCCGGAAACCGAGCCACAGUAAAUGAAGGGGCGGGGAGGAGAUGAAAUUUGUACUGACCCACGAAUGCAGGGGCGGAGCUCGUACAACGCACGGGCAGGUCUUCGCACAGCAGACCUCACAGCGACGAGACAACUACCACAUGUAAAUCCACCCGAUCAACGCAAAUAUUCCAAUUAUGUCAUUUUAGAGGAAAACAAGCUAAGUAUAUAAUAUUCAUGAGCUAACCAAGGUUCUUAUGCCAUUUUGAGCUUAUUAUGGUAUUUUCGAGGUAAAUGGGCUCAUUAUGUCAUUGUUGGGUUAAUUAAAGCAAGGAUAAUAUGAAAGAGGAGAAGAAAGAGGAGGAGGAGGAGAAGAAGAAGAAAUCAAGAAGAAGGAGGAGAAGGAGGGGGAGGAGAAGGACUAGAAGGUCCUUGGCCUUCUCCUCCUCCUCCUCCUCCUCCUCCUCCUUCUCCUUCUUCUCUUCUUCUUCUUCUUCUUUAUUUUAAUUUUUCCUAUUUCUCCUCCUCUUGUUGGAGCUAAAUUACCUAAUUAUGUCUUCUUGGAUCUAAAUGGGCUAAUUAUCUCAUUUUAGAGGAAAACAAGCUAAAUUUGGAGGAGAAACUUACCGUAGUGGUCAUCAACGAGGAGAAACACCACGGUUGCUCGCGGCGGCUUCGUUUGGAGACGGUUGCCCUGGAGAAGGGUCGUGCGAUGCCGCUUGGGAGUUAUUCUGCAGAGAAGAUAUUUUGCAAUGUCUUAGUUUGCAUGAUGACACUCAAUUAUUAAUACUAGUUUAUAAUGAAACUCACCGUGCCAAUCGAAGAGAAGACGGGCAUCGGCGGAGGGACUUGACCGCUCUUCUCGCACAGACCCUGAAGAGUGGGUCGUAUUAGUUGGUAUUGAAACAUACAUUACACACAUGAUUUGGCUAAUGUGAAUAAAACAUACCACAGAAAGCUCGUACAGGGCCCGUUGACCCGCCUCAUUCCGAGCCCUCUCCUCCUCAAGCAAUCGUGCUCUGGUCUGGUCCCUCUCAUCAAGAGCAGCCUGAAGAGCAGCCUGGCUUGCCAAUCUCUCUUUCUCAAGAGCAGCGUGGUUUGCCGCUCUCUCUUUCUGAAGAGCAGCCUGAAACACCAUUCCUCGUUACCACAGUAAUGAUCUAUGGUGACACAGAUAAUGAAAUGGAUGAAAGUGUUCUUAGUCCAUACAACUAACCUUGAUGGCAAGUUCGACUGGCCGUGGACGACGCGUUAUCUCAGGACAGUUGCUCGACUGGCGCGCCUUGAUCUCCGGAAGAGUGAGUGGACAACGUAUUAUCCCAUCUCCAAUGGCUAUCGAGCCAUGGGGCCUCCCGCCACCAGAUAUCAUCACCAGCUCUGGAUCCAAAGGUUCCUGGCUAGGGUUAAAGUCAUCCCCUUUCGUAGCCUUCCCCGCGUCCCUGUAUGCCACGAGCUUCUGGUGGGAUGAUAUGUUGGUAAAGUUAUUGGGAUCAUCCAGGUCAGACUCAGAGAAUGCCUUCGCCUUCUUGUACGAGGCAGUAUGGGCCAUGCCAUAAAGGUCGUACAAGUGUGGCAUCUCAGUCUUAUUGUGAUGCGCCUAAAAGAGAGGAACACAAUAUUAGCAUCAAGAAUGAAUUGCAUGAAUCAUGAAGCAAAUCACAUACCCAGUUUCGUCCAAACUGAAGUAAGUUGGCGCUGCCUUGAUGGUGUGGCACACCAACUAUUUGGCUACGCCGAUCCUUCGCAUUCUCGUGGAUGGCUCGCCAGCUGCGUGUGCACCACUCAUCAACAAACGCCCCCCAACAAUCCAUCUUAUCCGCACACCAUCUCGGGGGCACCUGUAAGUUAUUAGAAAGAAUUUUCAGCGCUACGCCUAUGAAUGAAAUCAAGAAAACUACGUAGAAGGACUUAAGAAUAGGUAAUUACCUUCAUGUAUUGCUCCUUCUUCAGAAACUUUCCAAAUCAAUCCUUCUUCGUCUUCUUAAUACCACGCGUGGCGUAGUAAUCUCGAAUAGCCUGCGGCCGAGCCUCGUGGCGCAAGUUCUGUAGUAACCGCCUACACUCGACCUCGAGAACCCUGGCCGCCUCCUCCUCAUAUCCAUCCUCACACCUAUAGAAGGUCUGCAAUCAAACGUGAAAACACCGAUUAGUACAAUAAUUAGCUAUAUUGUUAAUUUUAGAUCCUGUAAAAGGAUAAUUUACCCAAAAGCUCUUGAUCACCAUCUCGGCCCUCGUGUGGCACAAGACACCAUCUAUAAUCUCCUCCGGCGGGGCCUGCGCAGCCUGGUAGUGCUCCCAGGUAAAUCCUAGUGUAGGAACCUGACCCUCACCACGCAACGUGAAAACCCCGGGGAAAUUUGUCUGGCAAAGCACACAAUGGACGGAGUUCGGCCUGCGGACUCCAAGAGGGUGUACCCAUCCCCUGCAGUAUGAUAAGGUCAGCGCAUUAGAUAUUUGAAUAAACUUGAAGGCAAAAGCUAAAAAAGGGUAAAUGUACUUACCUAUCUCCUUCAGGUUUAAUCACCGGCCUCUGCUCGCGGGUAGCCGGGGCGACCGGGAGACGUGUACUACCACGCUUGUACACGGUGGCCCCGUCCACCUGCACAUCGCCCUCACUAUCCGUAAGCUCAUCCCCGCCAUCCCCGCCCCCUGAGCCACCCGGACCCUCGGUCCAAUCCGGCAACUCGGUACGAUCCGGCCAGAUCUCCCAUCCGGCCCUCUCCACGUCGGGUGAAGCCUCCGGAACCCUAGUCUCCUCCGGCUGCUCCUGGGCCGAAUGCACCUCGACCCGAGGCUGCUCCUGGACCGGAGUCUCAUGGGACGAAUGCCCGUGAACAGCAGGCUCCUGGACCGGAGUCCCCGUAGCCUCCUCCGCAAACGGGUCGACCGUACUAGUCCUAUGCUCGGGUGAAUGAGCUAGUGGUGGUGGCGAGGACGGCUCAACAGUCCUCCUGGAUCUUCCGCGGCCACCACCUCUCCCUGUACCCUUCCCCUCCUUCCCUACCCGACCAGCACCUCUCCCAGUGGGCAAUGCCGCCGACAAAGAAGAACCCACGGCUGGUGUCGAAAGACUGUCUGCCAAGGCUCUACAGAGAGAUAGGGGUGGAAGGGAAGUACCACCCCUCGUGCGGGGCGCCUCGGAAGAACCCGUCGAGCGAUCUCGACCCGCGCCCACCAUCUUUCAACACCUGCCAUGAUAAAGAUUAAAAGAAAUUAGUACAACAUAAAAAAAWUUGAAUGACUGACAUGAAUAAUAAUAUGUACAUGAAUAAUAAAGAUUAAAAUAUAUAUAAUUUAAGUUGUGAAUCUUACAAACUAAUAAUCAUCAUCAAUAAAUGCAUCAUCAUCAUCACUAUCACGCAUGUCUUCAUGAAUGACGUGCUCAUCGGGUUCAACGGCGUGAAGUUGUGAAAGGCCUUCCUUUAAUCGUUGAAGCAUUGACAGGUCAUCCGCAUCAGUAACCUCUACGAGUUCCAGGUCUUCUGGUUCCGGCUUAGGGCUAGAGUCGGAUUCAUUGUCGCUGUCUACUUCCAUGUUCUUGGAUGAAGCACGACGGUUCUUGAAACGUUUCUUGGAAAGACGUGUUUCUUGGAAGAAUUCUCCAUCAUAUGUGUCUGGGUUAAUGUGAGGUUCAUAAUCCUGUUCAUUUGGGAGAGGUGGUCUGACAUGUGGCGGCACUUCAUAAACAACAUACCAACCUUCCAUAUUCUUAUCCGUUUGGCAUGCCCACGGUAUAUAGAAAACUUGGGUCGCCUGUUGAGCCGUAAUAUAGACAUCGGGAAUAUCUAAAUGGGUGUUUGGAUUGAUUUCGACUAGUCCUAUAUGUUCAUGACUCCUUCUAGUCUUUUUCGGCCGGAACCAAUAACAUUUGAAGCCUACGACGUUCGGUGGGUUCUCACCAUAGAAUUGAAGUUCAUAAAUUGCUUCAACUCUUCCAUAGUACUCGAUAACACCUUCGCCGAUAGCAGAGACACCACAAUUUGUAGAUUUCCAGUCGGGCAUAGAUAGCUCUUUGCCAAAGGUACGAAAGAGAUACCCGUUGAUGUUGUAUUUCUCAAAUGAACGGACCUUAUAGUGAAAACCAUUAGCGACUUGUCUCAAUUCGGCGUCCAUAGACUCUGAAUUAGCCUACAAGUUUAAUACGAAAAGGUUGUUGCAUUAGCCGCAAGUUAGACCAAGAAUGAAAUGGUCCAUUAUUGAUAAUUACCGUUUGUUUGAACCAAGAGAUGAAACCGGGAUAGCCGCCUCCUGUCUUAGUCAGAAGCUCAUAUUCUUCCACGGAAUCAUUUUCGAUCACCGCUCCAUCCGAGAAUUUGACGACGUAACGGCUGUUUGAAAUAUCCGGGAAUAAGAACCGUUCAAAUGAAUUAGAAGUUACGGGAAAAUGUGUCGAGAACUCACUCGAUGUACGGCCGCACUCCUGUUAGGUUGUUGAAGAUAUACAACGACAUGUUCCGCCAUUCUUUGAUAUCCAACGUUAUUGGUUUCGAAGCACCGGCUAGUGCGAGCUUCCCUUUGAAUAGGCUGACGUUGGACCCACCUUUUUUAGGGUCUCCAUCAUUGUGCCGAGGCUUCGGAUUAUGCAAAUGAUGAUUUUUGGCUUCGUAGUGUGCUGUCACAAAGUUUGCCACCUCCUCAGUAAUGAAUGCCUCAGCCAUCGAUGCUUCAAUUCUACGCUUAUUUUUACAUUUAGCUCGAAGGGUCUUCUGCAUCCUCUCAGUUGCAUAGCACCAACGAUCUUGCAAGGGCCCACCCAAUCUUGCCUCGGUCGGUAGAUGUAAAAUCAAAUGCUGCAUUGGAUUAAAGAAGCCCGGUGGAAAGAUCUUCUCUAACUUGCACAACAACUCCGGUGCAAACUCCUCCAUGUCUUCUACCACGCCAGGCGACAAUUCUUUCGCACAAAGAACACGGAAGAAAUAGCUCAGCUCCGCCAGUACUAGCCAUUCAUCCUCAGGAAUAAAGCUAUGUAACAUCACCGGCAUUACCCGCUCUAGCCAUAUGUGCCAAUCAUGACUCUUGAGACCAAAGAUUUUUAAUUUUUCAAGACUCGCUCCCCUCUUUAGAUUCGCUGCAUACCCAUCGGGGAACAUCAAGUGAAUUUUGACCCACAAGAUAAUUUCCCUCAUAGCUGGCCUUCCAAGAUUGAACCAGGCCUUUGGCUUCGACCACUUCUGCUUUCCUUUGCCUUCUCGCAUGUUUUGUAACGGUCUAUGACAUAGUGUCUCUUGAUCGACUCUAGCCUUAAUAUUAUCCUUUGUCUUCCCAUCUAUGUCAAACAAUGUACCAAAAAUAGCCUCUCCCAUAUUCUUUUCAGUGUGCAUCAUGUCGAUAUUGUGUGGAAGAAGGAGGUCUUUGAAGUAAGGCAGAUCCCAGAAGCAUGGCUUCUGAGUACAGGCGUGUUUUGAAUUAUACCCCUUGAAAUACCCUGGACGCUCUGGAUCAGGCUCGAGGGCGUUUAACUAAUCCAGGAUCUGUUGGCCUGUGAACGCAGGUGGUGCCAAGUUUUUGACAACUUUACCUUUGGUAAAGUUCUUCUUGUCUUUUCUGAACUGAUGGUCAGGAUCCAGGAACUGUCUAUGCAAGUCAAAGCAAGAAUACUUCCGACCCUCCUGCAACCAAUGAAACUGAAGAGCUACCUUGCAUUGGGGGCACGGGAACCUUCCAUGCACACACCAUCCAGAGAAUAGCGCAUACGCUGGCAAGUCAUGCAUAGAGUACAUGUACCACACAUGCAUUUUGAAGUUUUCUUUUCUAGCGGCAUCGUAUGUCUUGACCCCAUUUUCCCAAGCUUCUUCCAAUUCAUCCUUAAGUGGUUGCAGGUACACAUUCAUAUUCUUCCCUGGAUAAUUGGGCCCUUGAAUUAUCAACGUCAGAAAUAUGUUCUUUCUUUGCAUAAUCUGCCCGGUGGGGAGAUUGAGUGGAAUGACAAAUACAGGCCAACAACUGUAUUGGGUUGCCGUCAUGCCGAAGGGAUUAAAACCAUCCGUGGCAUUGCAGACUCGAGGAUUCCUUGGAUCUGCCGCUCUAUCCUGAUGCAAUCCAUCGAAAUGUUUCCACGCUUCCCCAUCCGAUGUGUGUACCAUCAUCUUAUUCCCAUCCGCAUCUAGUUCGGUUGUUUUGCCCAAUUUGUGCCAUGUCAUCUGUCUGGCUGUCUCUUUGACCAUGAAAAGACGUUGAAGUCUUGGUACGAUUGGCAUAUACUGAAGAACACUAACUCCGAUUUUGGUCUGCCUCUUCUCACCCAUACCGUUGUCUAUCACAAGAUACUUGCAAGACUCACAAUUGGGACAAUAGUCCAAGUGUUCAUACUCCUUCCUAAAUAAGACACAUCCUUUCUCACAUGCAUCUAUCUUCUCAUAGGGCAUCUUAAGUACACGAAGUAUUUUGUCCGACUGGUACAGGUUUGCAGGAAUGACAUGGCCUUUGGGUAGGAAACGUCCAAAUAGUGUCAUCAUCGCGUCAUAGCAUUCUCUUCCCAAGUUGAACUGAGCCUUCAGAGCCAUUACUUGUGCAAUUGCAUCCAGCUGACAGAGCUCAGUGUGCUCAUGGAGAGGACGUUUUGAAGACUCCAACAUUUCACAAAAGGCCUUUGCAGAUUCCUCCAUCUCAUCUUCCGAAUCCCGAGCAUCAUCAAAGUCUUGCACCAUGUCUUCCAUCCCGGUACCAUGCUCAUCCGUGCGACGACGGACCACCUCAGCUCUUGUGCGUUGUAUAGACUCACCAUGAAAUGUCCACACCGUAUAAUUAGGCUUAAAACCCCUCCUCUACAGGUUUUUAGUCAUUACAACCUCUGUCGUCUUUUUAUAGUUGUCGCAUCCAGGACAGGGGCAAUAGUUUCUUUCCUGGCCAUUUGCGAAUGCGGCUUUCACAAAUUGCUUUGUUUUUAAAAACCAUUCUUUCGUCAUCUCUUUCUGCCUAGGGUGACCGGUAUACAUCCACGCACGAUCACUCAUCUUGCGUAGCUACUCCAGCACCGCUGCUAUUGUUCUAUGUAUAAGGUUUUCCCUACUAGUGAAUCUUCAUCGUUUAACAGGGUGCUUGGGUCAGCCUUUACUUUGAAGGGAGGAACUUCAUGAAACUUUUCAUAAUCUUCACACAUGUCUGUCUUGCCCUCCAAUCCCACGAUGUCUCUUUUUCCUGAAAGAACUAUGUGGCGCUUUGGCUGAUCGUAUGAUGUAUUCGCUGCCUUAUAUUUUCUUUUUCUCGGUUUGGUAGACAUGUCCUUCACAUAGAAAACCUCAUAGAAAACCUACGCCACAUCAUUGGCUAGGACGAAUGGUUCGUCUGUGAACCCAAGAUUGUUCAGAUCCACUGUUGUCAAUCCAUAUUGUGGGUCUAUCUGUACCCCACCUCCUGACAUAUUGACCCAUUUGCACUGAAACAAAGGGACCUUGAAAUCAUGUCCAUAGUCAAGUUCCCAUAUGUUCACUAUGUAACCAUAGUGUUGGGACUUGGCGACUCACUGGCGACUGAGAGUGACCUAGCGGGCGGCUCAUACAUUACCCCGUAGGCGACUCAGACAAAUGACGAAGGCCCAAGGCCCGGCGUACACUCUGACAUAAGGCAACUCAUAGAGAGGCUAGGAGGGCCGACUCACACAGAAGGCCCAAGAAGACAAAAGACUCCCACAAGAAGGAAACAAGACCCGGAUUAGGAUUCAAGAGAGACUAGUCCUAUUCCUAGUCCUAGUAGGACUCUACAUGUAAACUUACCCCUUCCACCUAUAUAAGGAGGGGUAAGGCGUCCCAAGAGGGACCAGAUUCACAACUUAGAUCUAGACAAGACAAAUCAUGAGAUAGACAGAUUAGACACCCAUGAGAUUAGAGGUGCCUAGUCUGCACCCUUGUAAUUGAGAUCAUCAUCUUCAUCAAUUAAACACAUCCUCUCAAGCCGCCACAUGGUUGCGAUGGCCUCACACCUAAGUUCUCUCACAAGGACAUCUGCCGUGACAAAACCACGACACAUAGUAUGUGUCCUUUUUCCCAUUCUCGUCUGUUGCAUCAAAGCAAACACCGCUGUUUUGGUUGGUGCUCUUUUGAUAUUGGGCGAUCGUGUAAAAUGUAUUCCCAUUUAUCUCAUACUCUUGGUAAGUCAAUACAGUCGAAGAUGGUGCCCUGGACAAAGAGUACAACUCAUCAGAAAAAAUGUUGUCACCUAUGAGACGUUUUUGCAACCAACUGCCAAACGUCCUGAUGUGUUCGUAUGUAAUCUAGUCGUCACACUGCUUCGGGUGUUUGGAGCGCAGAAUAUUCUUGUGUUCAUCGACAUACGGGGUCACCAAGGUAGAAUUCUGUAGAACCGUGUAGUGUGCUUGAGACCAAGAAUGCCCGUCCGUACAUAUUAUUGAGCCUCGCUCCCUAGUGUGCCUUUUCUAGUCAGUCUUUCCUCAUACCGCGAUUCAGGGAGACUAGGAAUGAAGUCAACACAAAACCAAUGACACCCUCUGUUUGAUGGCACAUGGAGAUGCUUACUUAUGGCCUAGCGCGGUUAUGAACAUAUUUCUUUAAGACUCCCAUGAACCUCUCAAAGGGGGACAUAUUGUGUAGAAAUACAAGGCCCAGAAAUAAAAUCUCGUCGACUAUAUGAACUAGGACGUGUGUCAUGAUAUUGAAGAAGGAUGGUCGGAACACCGGCUCGAAACUAACAAGACAUUGCACCAAAUCACUCCUUAACCUUGGCAGGAUUUCUGGAUCGAUCACCUUCUGAGAGAUUGCAUUGAGGAAUGCACAUAGCUUCACAAUGGCUAAUCGAACGUUUUUCGUUAGAAGCUCCCUCAAUGCAACCGAAAGCAGUUGCAUGAUAAUCACGUGGCAGUCAUGAGACUUUAGGUUCUAGAACUUUUUCUCUGCCUUAUUUAUUAUUCCUUUUAUAUUCAAUGAGAAGCCAGAGAGGAACUUCAUACUGAGCAGGCAUUCAAAGAAGAUUUCCUUCUCUUCUUUGGCAAGAGCAUAGCUGGCAGGACCUUCAUACUGCUUCGGGUGCAUGUCGUCUUUUUCAUGCAUACUUCUUCGUCACGUGCAUCACGUUGAUUGCAGAGGGGACCUCUAGGUCUUUCCAAUAGGAUAAGUCCAAAAAUAUAGAUUUCUUCUUCCACAUGGGUGCGCGUCCCGCAUCGUCAUUUGAAACAGAUAGUCCGCUAGGACCCUUUCCAAAGAUUACUUGUAAAUCAUUGACCAUAUCAAGUAUGUGAUCACCAGUACGGAUGGCCUGUUUCUUCCGGUGAUCCGCCUCACCUUUGAAAUGCUUUUCUUUCUUCCGACAUUGAUGGUUGGUCGGAAGAAAUCGACGAUGCCCCAGGUACACAUUCUUCCUGCAUUUGCCCAAAUAUAUAUUGUCGCUGUCAUCUUAACAGUGUGUGCAUGCGUUGUAUCCCUUGUUUCUCUCACCUGAAAGGUUACUGAGAGCAGGUCAAUCAUUGAUGGUUACAAACAACAACGCAUGUAGGUCAAAUUCCUCCCGUUCGUUCUCAUCCCACACACGUACACCAUUUCCAUUCCAUAGCUGUAAAAGUUCAUCAACUAAUGGCCUUAGAUACACAUCAAUGUCAUUGUCGGGUUGCCUAGGGCCUUGGAUAAGCACUGACAUCAUGAUGAACUUCCGCUUCAUGUACAACCAAGGAGGAAGGUUAUACAUACAUAGAGUCACAGGCCACGUGUUAUGCUCGCUGCUCUGCUCCCCAAAAGGAUUAACGCCAUCUGCACUUAAACCAAACCAUACGUUCCUUGGGUCACGUGUAAAGUCGCUCCACUUUUUCUCGAUCUUUCUACACUGCGACCCGUCAGCGGGUGCUCUCAGCUUCCCAUAUUUCUUACGGUCUUUUCUGUGUCAUUGCAUCAACUCGGCAUGCUUUUUAUUUCUAAACAGACGUUUCAACCGUGGUAUUAUAGGAGCAUACCACAUCACCUUGACAGGAACAAUCUUCGCUGUGCGUUGGCCCUCAACAUCACGAGGGUCAUCUCUUCUGAUCUUAUACCGCAAUGAGCCGCAUACCGGGCAUGCGUUCAAAUCCUCGUAGGCACCGCGGUAGAGGAUGCAGUCAUUAGGGCAUGCAUGUAUCUUCUGCACCUCGAAUCCUAGAGGGCAUAGAACCUUCUUUGCUUCGUACACACUGUCGGGCAAUUCGUUAUCCUUUGGUAGCUUUUUCUUCAUUAUUUUCAGUAGAGAACUAAAUCCCUUGUCACAUACACCAUUGUCUGCUUUCCAUUGCAGCAAUUCCAUGCUAGUUUAAUUAAUUGUACCAACAAAACAUAUAUUUUAUUUUGAGAGACAUUGUAUAAAUGUAGACGUUCACAUACACGCAUGUACACCAUCCAUAUGAAUGCAUGCACACACACUCCACGCCUUUUAACAUUUUCAACAGAGCGAGCCAUCAGAUCUUAUGAUAAAAUGAAAAAUAUUUUGUCCGCACCACUCAAGUCGCAUCUCAGACAAUUUGUAAUCAAGAAAUUCGUGGCUUAUAAUGAAACAAAAAACAAGCAAAGCCGGAAAAAGGUUGUGUAGCAACCAUAUAAUGAAUUGAACGGCUGAAAUUUCCAGCACGCACAAUGUAUCCGACGGCCAUGCUUCUUCACUGAUCCGGUGAAGAUAAGGAACCAGGGAACGUCAGCCACCCCUACCACAUCUGCAUGAAAGAAACGGGGCUAUAUAUACCGUGGUGAACAGGCAAUGGGGGCCUCAAGUGUAGCCGGCAUCAUCCUCUCUACAGUUAAUACAGUACCAUGGCCCCCGCCGUGAUGGCUUCGUCGGCUACCACCGUCGCACCCUUCCAGGGGCUCAAGUCCACAGCCGGUCUCCCCGUCAGCCGCCGCUCCAGCGCCAGCCUCGGCAGCGUCAGCAAUGGCGGAAGGAUCAGGUGCAUGCAGGUAUGUCGGGGCACAAAACUGAUAUGAGUUUCUUCCACAUUACAAUUACUGCACUUAGCAGUUACUAGCACUAAGUGUUAAGCGUUCCAUAAUUUCCAAUCAUUCAGGUGUGGCCGAUUGAGGGUAUCAAGAAGUUCGAGACCCUGUCUUACUUGCCACCCCUCACCACGGAGGCCCUCCUGAAGCAGGUUGACUACCUGAUCCGCUCCAAGUGGGUGCCCUGCCUCGAGUUCAGCAAGGUUGGCUUCGUCUUCCGUGAGCACAACAGCUCCCCCGGGUACUACGACGGCCGAUACUGGACAAUGUGGAAGCUGCCUAUGUUUGGGUGCACCGACGCUACACAGGUGCUUAACGAGGUGGAGGAGGUCAAGAAGGAAUACCCUGACGCUUACGUCCGUAUCAUCGGCUUUGACAACCUGCGGCAGGUGCAGUGCGUCAGCUUCAUCGCCUUCAGGCCACCGGGUUGCGAGGAGUCCGGCAAGGCAUAAACUACGAGGUGAAACAAUGGCCUAUGUCGUAUGAAGGUCUUCUGUGAACUUCACUUUUGUCCACGACUCUGCUUUCCGACUAGAGCAUAAUUUGCAUCUCUAUGAUCUGUGUUUGUACGAGCAUAGGUUGUGGAGCAUAUAUGCAUAUGUAAAUUCUAGCACGGCCUACACAUAUACAACACCUGUGCCAUAUUUAUAAUAUACAACAAGCGGACCAUUGUCUUGCUGUUAAUUAUCGGAAAAGUUUAUUUUAUUUAGCACUGCAAUGGAUGUCUCGCAGCUAGUGGGUGGAAGAUUCCUGUAUUUGACAUUAAGACCCACUGAUUGACAAUUGCAAUUUUCAGUUUCUUUACUUAUAUCAAUAACAAAAUAGCUGUGGUAUCUUUUCCAUGUCACUACCAUCAUUUUCAUCGGUUUUUGCUAGUAGAAUAGGAUGACACAUAUUCUUAGUAGAGACACUUACUAAAGAACUUGUGAUGGUCUGGAUAAUAAGCAUCUAACUGAACUAGAUAUAACAACAACAUUCGAACCAUAUUAUGCAACUAUUGGAAUAAAUCUCCAACAUGCAUUGCAUGAGCUCCUUGAGAAGGAUUGUAAUCAUGCUAGUGAAAAUCAAGAAAAAAAACUCGGAUUUCUGUAAGUACUAUGGAGCAACAGCUCCACCGUCCUUUUUCCAUGAAAACAAAAGCAGGCAAGAAAUAUUUACAAAGGGAACAAAGGAAAAGAAAAAACACUUACCUACUUACCUAUUUAUCUAAUGGAGGUUAGAGCAACCUCAACCGGACGACCCAAACGGAUGCUCAUUUUGUCUGUGUUUUAUACAUUUGGAUCGGCUUGUUCGCCCUGUUUUUCUUUUGGGUGACCCAUGCGCCCAAUGCGCGGACCCUUCUUUCGUCCGCACGACAGGUUUGCGGCCAUUUUUUGAUCUCUUUGUUACAUAUGUUUAAAAUUUAAUCCAAGAUUAACGAAGUUGAAUAAAAAUACAACCAUUUCAUAGUUCACAAACCACAUAAAUAUCUCAUAGUUUACAAGCCAAAUUAACAUUAAAUUGUCUCGAAUACAUUUGAAAGAAAAGGUUGCCAAUACAUCUAUUGGUUUCCAAUAUGAAUGCACAUAUGCUCAACCAAAUCAUUUCGCAGGUACAUGUGACUUUCAAUCACGUAUUUGAUGAUGAAACUCGGCGAACUAUGCAAACGUUAUUGCUCCUCCAUGCACAGGCACAACAUUGUCAUCCUGAUUGGAAUUGCCUACCAGGUAAACCAUUCAAAAGGAUGGAAGGUGUUGCAUAGGAUAAGAUCUUCUUGAUCCAAGUGAUGGCUCCAAUUUGUACACAAUUUUAGAGCUCAUUUGUCGCCUAUUAGCUCCAUAUAGCAUGUUCUAUUCAGCAAAUUACAUGUCCAUAUGCAUGAUAUCCAUUAUUUGUCCUUUCCAUCACAAGGAUUGCGUAAUCAUAAUUCUUUGUUAGUGCUUUUUCGUUUUCUUUGUUUUUGAAUGUUUUGUAGGUGAUGUGGAACUCCCAUCCACUUAACACAAUGAAAAGGAUCCAAAGGUAAGGACUUCCUGGCACCAGAUUUAGGCAUUCGGUUUUUUAGUUGCUCAAAAUCAAUAUCUGAUAUUGUACGUGCAUCAACAUUGUUCUCAUGAUUCCAACGAGCAGAAGAACAUUGAAAACAGAGUUUGGAUGUAAAAGUUACGAUUUUACCAAAGAGUCCAAAGCGUUUAACGACCUUUGGCAUGACCAAAAAUGCUCGUAUCAGGCCCUGACAAGCUCGAAAGUUGCCCUUUCAACAGGAAUUUUUCGAGGAUUUCUUGUUCAGUGCCAUAAAAAAGUGGUACUAUCAUUAUUAACUUUGCAUCUGUUGGCGUCAAUGUUAUGGACAUCAAUAUCACUACUAUCUAGAUUCAACAAGAAUAAACCAUUCACAGUAGCCUCAUGACCAUAAAAGAUGUUAGUCAUAUAAAUAGAUAAACCAUUAUUCUCUAAUUUAACCGAAUAACUGUCUCACAAUAAACAAAAUCUAGAUAUAACGUUCAUGCUCAACGUGGGCACCAAAUAACAAUUAUUUAGGUUUACAACUAAUCCCUGAUGGUAAUCGAAGGGCGAGUGUGUCGACGGCGAUCACAUCAACCUUGGAACCAUUUCCGACGUGCAUCGUCAUUUCGUCCUUUGCCAGCCUUCGUUUAUUCCAUAGUUCCUAUUUCAAGUUACAAAUAUGAGCAACCGAACCGCUAUCAAAUACUAAGGCAUUACUACGAGAGCUAGUAUGAUACACAUCAAUAACAUGUACAUCAAGUAUACCUUUGCUGACAUUGCCACGCUUCUUAUUGGACAGGUACUUAGGGAAAUUCCGCUUCUAGUUACCAGUUCCAUUGCAAUAGAAGCACUCAGUCUCAGGCUUGGGCCCAGCUUUGGGUUUCUUGAGGGGGGGGACUGUCUUCCCGUUUUUCUUUAAGUUUCCUUUCUUGCCCUUGCCUUUCUUAAAACUAGUGGUUUUAUUCACCAUCAACACUUGAUGCUCCUUCUUGAGUUCUACUUCUGCGAUUUUCAGCAUCGCGAAUAGCAUAGAGAUUAGCUUCUUCAUCCCUUGCAUAUUAUAGUUCAUCGUGAAGCCUUUGUAGCUAGGUGGCAGUGACUAGAGAACUAUGUCGGUGAUCGUCUCAGGUGGAAGCUCAACUUCCAACUGAUUCAGGCGGUUGUACCACCCACACAUUCUGAGUAUGUGCUCACUGACAGAACUAUUAUCUUCGAUCUUGCAGGUGAAGAACUUAUUAGAGGUCUCAUACCUCUUGAUCCGGCCAUUUGCUUGAAAUACUAACUUCAACUCCUGGAUCAUUUGAUAUGCUCUAUGGCGUUCAGAAUGGUUUUGAUGUCCCGAUUCUAAGUCGUACAACAUGGCGCACUGAACUAUCGAACAACCAUCACCACGCGCCUGCGAGACGUUCACAAAAUCUGCAGAGGGCACUAGAGGGGUGGCGCCUGAGGCGGUGCAUCAAGGACAUAAGCCUUUUGCGAAACCGUGAGGAUAAUCCUGAGAUUAAGGACCUAGUCUGCAUAGUUACUUCCCUCAUCUUUCAGCUUAUCUUUCUCUAGGUACACAUUAAAAUUCAGGGGAGCUACUGCGUGAGCCACUGAUCUACAACGUAAUUUGCAAAGACAUCUAUAGACUAUGUGUCAUGACAAUGAGUUCAAUCAAUCAUAUUAUUAGAUAACUCCCACUCAAAUCAACAUCCCUUAGUUGUCUAAGUGUGACAUGAUCCAAAUACACCAACCCAAGUCCGAUCAUCAUGUGAGAUGACGUGAUUUCAAUGGUGAACAUAUCCAUUUGAUGAUAUGUACUAUAUGACUCAUGUCCGACCUUUAGGUCUCCUCUAUUCCCAGGCCAUGUUUGUACAUGCUAGGCUCGUCAAGUUUAACCCAAGUGUUUUCCAUGUGCAAAACUGGCUUACAACCGUUGUAUGUAAACGAAGAGUGUAUCACACCUGAUCAUCACGAGGUGCUUCGAAACAACAAACUUUCGCAACAGUGAGGGAUCAACUUAUAAUGCUAUCAUUGUCCUAAGGAGAAUAAGAUGCAUAAAAGAUAUACAUCACAUGCAAAUCAUAUAAGUGACAUGAUAUGGCCAUCAUCAUCUUGUGAUUUUGAUCUCCAUAUCCAAAGCACCGACAUGACACCAUGAUCUCCAUCAUCGUGUCGUCAUGUGGUUGUCGCGCCAACUAUUGCUAACUCAUAGUGAUAAAGUAAAGCAAAUGGCACAAAUAAAUGAAAGACAACCCUAUGGCUCCUACCGGUUGUCGUACUCAUGCAUGCAUGGACAUGGAAGUCGUGAUAACUAUACAAAACAUGAUCAUCUCAUACAUCACAUAUAUCAAAUAACGUUUUUGGCCAUAUCACAUCAUAACAUUCCCUGCACAAACAAGUUAGACAUCCUCUACUUUGUUAUUGUAAGUUUUAUGUGGCUGCUAUGGGAAACUAGCAAAAACCAUUCUUACAUGCUCAAAGCCACAACGGUGAUAUUCAAGUUGCUAUCUAACCCUUUACAAGGACCGCCUCUAUCGACUCCGAUUCAACUAAUUAAAGUGAGAGAGACAGACACCCGCCAUCAACCUUUAUCGAAGCAAGUUACAUAUUAGUUGGUCAAACCGGUCUCUUGUGCGUGGACAAGUAAGGUUGGUCUGAGCCGCUCCAUCCCAGAGUUUCACGGAAUCAAAAUAAUACUAAGGAGCUAAGCAAGAUGAACAUCAACACCCACAAACACUUCGUGUUCUACUUGUGCAUAUCAUCUAUGCAUAAACCUAGCUCAUGAUGCCACUGUUGGGGAACGUUGCUUGGGAAACAAUAAUUUUCCUACGAACACCCAAGAUCCAUCUAUGGAGAUGUAUAGCUACGAGACGGGGAGUGACCUUGUAGAUCGCUAAGCGGAAGAGUUAAGAAAAGUGGUGAUGGUGGUGGUGGUGCAAUCUCAACGGGGCUUUACCAAGCGCUGCUACAGACGCGACGGGGGAUAAAAUUGAUCUCAAGAGAGAGGGAGAGCGCCGACAAAGGCUUGAUGUGUGGUUGCCCUCCCCAUCCUCUCAUAUAUAUAUAGGGAAGGGAGGAUGGGGCCGACACUAGGGUUUCCCCUAGGGGUGGGGGCCGCGGCCUAGGAGCUGGCUUGCCACCCAAGCAAGGGUGGCGCCACCCCUCGGGCAUGCACUUCCACCAGCCCAGUCGCAUGGGCCUAGGUGGGGAGGGGCGCCCAGCCCACCAGGGGCUGGUGCGCGUCCUUCUCAGCCCAUGUGGCCCCUCCGGGGCAGGUGGCACCCUUUCGAUACUCCCGGUACUCUACAUAAUACUUACUAAAGAACUUGUGAUGGUAUGGAUAAUAAGCAUCUAACUGAACUAGAUAUAGCAACAACAUUCGAAACAUAUUAUGGAACUAUUGGAAGAAAUCUCCAACAUGCAUUGCAUGAGCUCCUUGAGAAGGAUUGUAAUCAUGAUAGUGAAAGUGAAGAAAGAAACACUGAUUUUUGUAAGUACUAUGGAGCAACAGCUCCACCGUCCUUUAUUCCACUAAAAAAAAGCAAGCAAGAAAUAUUUAAGAAGGGAACCAAGGAAAAAGGAAACAAACACUUACCUACUUACCUCUUUAUCUAAUGGAGGUUAGAGCAACUCCAACCAGGCGAUCCAAUUGAACAUGUGUUUUGUCCGCGUUUUGUCCAUUUGAGACAGCAUGUCCGCCCUGUUUUUCUUUUAGGCCGGCCUUGUGCCCAAUGCGCCGACCCAUCUUUCGUCUGCGCGACAUGCUUGCGGGCAUUUGUUGAUCACUUUGUCACAUAUGUAUAAAAUUUGAUCCUAGACUAACAAAGUUCAAUAAAAAUACAAAAAAAUCGUAGUUCAGAAACCACAUAAAUAUCUCAUAGUUUACAAGUCAAAUAAACAUUAUAUUGUAUCAAAUACAUUUGAAAGAAGCAGUUGUCGAUACAUAUUUUAGUUGCCAACACGAAUCCACAUAUGAUCAACCAAAUCCUUUUGUAGUUGCAUGUGAGUUUCCCAAUCACGUAUCUGAUGGUGAACUGUGCAAAUGUUAUCCCUCCUCCAUGCACAGGCACAACAUUGUCGCCAUGAAACUCAAAUCCUUGAUCAUAGACACGUUCUGGGCGCUCAUCUUCUACGAUCAUGUUGUGCACGAUCACACAAACAAUAAUCACCUUCCAUCACUUCUGGGUGCCCGAAGUUCUUGCAGGAUACCGAACAAUGCCCCAUCGAGAUUGAAAACACCAUAGGGACGCUCAACAUCCUUCCUAGCACUCUAUUGAUCUUGGGCAUAUCAUGGAAUAAGUCGGCCAGUGACAAGGUAGCAUACCUAGGUAGAGACGACAUAGAUGAGGUGGCUGGGAGGGAUACAGACGGAUGGUUGGCGGCGUCGAUGGAAGGUGGGAUGGACGGGUGAGUUUGAGGCGAAGAGAGAAAGAUGAGAUUGGCCUAUUUGGGCCAGUGGAAAGAAAAGGGCGGGUGUCACGGGCGUCAAUCCCGUGUUCGUGCCGAUGCAAAUGCGGUCAAAUUUGGGCAUGGAAUGGGUCACAGGUGGACAUAAACAAGACGUGUGUCCGUUUGGUUCGCCGCAUUGGGUCGAGUGUUGUGUUAGCGAUGACCCAAACGGACAGGCAUGGACGAAAUGGGUCGGCCGGUUGGAUUUGCUCUUACUAAUCCAAUCUAGGAGCUUUGGUUUUAUACAAGCCUUAACACCAUGUUCAAGAAGAGAUGGCAUGUCCAAGUUUACAACACCAAGUGGGAUUGGUUGACCGCUCCCCUAUGAAGAUAUUGACAUUUCUAAUAAUACAAAUAUUAGUUCCAAGAACACAACUUCAAAUAAGAAAGGGUGUCCAAAUCAUUUACAAGCAGCAUCCAUACAUCGUGUACUAUUUUGUCAAGGGAUCCAAUUAAUCUGCAAAUAAGCCCAAAUCCUUUGACUCAAAUUAUAGGGAGAAAAAGAGGUGGUCUAUUUUCUCAUGUGACAAUAGUGGUUUUCAUCCUGAGGAGAAUGCGAGUGAUCUUCUAAGAGAAAUUUUUCAAGCCUUCAAUCGAUAAAAAAAUAGGAUCUAAGCAAAGAUCUUGAUCUUAGUGGUCCACUGUCAUAUCCAUUUGCAAGGUUCAUAUCUGGGCAAGUGCAUGCAUCAUGGAGUACAAACUCUCAGAAGAAAAUGAUUCUCUUAAUGAAGAACAAGUAAGACAAGGUUGCGGUACGUUGAAGGUUAUGUAACCUACCAUCCACAGGUUGCAAUUCAUCCAUCGCCUCCGGAGAAAUUGGAGGAGCAAAAGAUGGCCCAAUCAGGGUUUUCGACAAAAUCUUCAAUUGAAAUGUAGUCAUCCAAGGCAAAGAAAGGAGCUUUUCCAAGUGGUGUUGAAGAGAUCGAGGAGAUCCCUCAACCAACUAGGUUCACACAAGAACAAGGAAGAGUCGCUCGUACUAACUUUCAUUGAUCAUAUGGUGUUGUACUAAUCGUUAAAUUCAAACAUAUUCAUCCAUGUUGCGACAGGUAUGACUCCAUGAUAGUAAGAAAUCCAUAUCAAAGUUUCCCAUGGAAGAUGAUCUUUGUUAUUAAAUUUGCCUCAAUGUUCUGUAAGAAAAGCUCGGUCUUGAAUAUGAUGGUUAAUGAUACCCAUACCUACCCAUACCACCAUUCUCCUUUGGUUUACAUACCAGAUGAAAUGACGCUAAUGGUUGCUUUGGGCUAUCAGCAUUGCCAUGCCGCCUCAAUUCCCUCAAGUUCAUUAAUUAUACCAGGGGGUCUAGAGACUACACCCAUAGUAUAUAGCACAAAUGAAAUGGCAGAGCUCAAAAUUUCAAUUUACCUUGUCAGAGAUAGAGAAGAGCUAGCUACCAGUCACCUUUUGAUUCUAUCAACCAAAGGCAUUAAGUCCUGGAUCUUGGGCGUAGUGUUACCCAUAGGUAAACCAGGUAAAUGAAAGGAAUCUUACCCAGUUGACACUCAAACAUACUAACCAACGAAAAUAUUCAUCGUCAAUCACAUUCAUAAGCACCAUAGAGGAUUUACAAAAAUUCACUUUCAAACGAGUGGAUUUAGAUAAAGAUUAAAACAUUUCUUUUAGGUCAAUAAGUUGAGAAUCAAUACCCAGCCUGAACAGCAGACUACACAACUCGAGAGUCUAGAUACUGAGAUGGGAUUGGAAAAGAUACCUCCUCACGAUGAUACAUGUUAUUGUGAAUACGCUGAAGUAAAUCCUCUCCCAAGAAAAAUAGAAGUGGCAACAGUGGGUCACCCUAUUAAAUCCUAGGUUUUCAUUGUAAUUGCUAAAAGUAGGUGGAUGUCGCCUAGGGGGCGUGAAUAGGCGUUUUAAAAUAAUUACAUUUUAGGCAAGAAAAAAUGCCCAAUAAAACUAACGUUUAAUUAGUCAAGCACAAAACCUAAAACAACUAGGCUCACCUAUGUACACCAACAAGUUAUGCUAAGCAAGAUCAACAACUAAAUGAUAGCAAGGUAUUUGACGAGAAACAAUAUGUCUAUCACAAAGUAAAGUGCAUAAGUAAAGUGCUCGGGUAAGAGAUAACCGAGGCACGCAGAGACGACGAUGUAUCCCUAAGUUUACAUCCUUGUGGAUGCUAAUCUCCGUUUGGAGUGGUGUGGAGGCACAAUGCUCCCCAAGAAUCCACUAGGGCCAACAUAAUCUUCUCAUGCCCUCGCACAAUACAAGAUGCCGUGAUUCCACUAAGGAACCCUUGAGGGCGGUCACCGAAACUGAAAGCACAUAUGCUCCCUUGGUGGUUUUGAUAAUUCAUGACAACAUACAUUGUCUCUUGCACUAACACUUUCACCUAGUAUAUUUCAGGUAUAGUCCACAAAGAGCAUUGGCUAAAUGAUUGUGUGGAGAAGUUCCAAGGAAAGGAAUAGGAUUGUCCAAGGUUCAAGCAAGAGGACUCUAUAUUUUAUAUUUGUGAGAAAUCAAUUUUGAGUCCAUAAAAAGCCAAUACUAUUAAAAGGGGUGAGGUAUGUGUGAUGAAUUGGUUGUUCAAGUGCUUAGGGAUAGACACAAAAAAUAUUCAGUGAUUCUCCCACAAAUAUAUCUGUCCAAAGCCUUCACAUCAAAAUUGGUGCCACCAAGAAUUCUAUUUCGUCCCUAUCUAUUUUCCGAGUGACAGAUCCUUUGCACAAACCCUAAUCUCUCGGUACCACCAACUUUCAUAUUGGUGCCACCAAAAGACAGUGACCAACUUUUUGGUAUCUCUAUUUCUAGAAUUGGAAUUUCCGAGAUUGAAAUCGGUACCACCGAGAAUUGGAAACUGCCCUAGGUCAUCGAGUCGGUACCACCAAGAUUUCUAUAUCGGUCUCACCAAAAAUUAAAAAGUUGUCACGUUUAGUGCAACUCGGUACCACCGAGAUUAAUUUCGCUGUCACUGAGUUGGGCAAUAAUUUUGUAAUGGUUGGAUUUUGGGAGAUGCCUAUAUAUACCCUUCCACCUCCAUUCAUUCGCAUAGGAAGCACUCAGAACACACUUACACUUGCCAUAUCCAUUUUUUCAGAGAGAGAGCCACCUACUCAUGUGUUGAGAUCAAGAGAUUCCAAUCCAUCCAUUUUAAACUACAUCUCUAGCCUCCCGAAGUUGCUUUCCACCAAAUCAAUCUCUCCUAGCCAUGUCAAAUCUAUGAGAGAGUGAUUGAGUGUUGAGGAGACUAUCUUUUGAAGCACAAGAGCAAGGACUUCAUCGUUCUACCGCAUCUAUUACCUUUUGGAGGGUGGUGCCUCCUAGAUUGGUUAAGUGUUGCUUGGGAGCCUCCUACUUCAUGUUGUGGAAUUGAACCAAGAAGUUUGUACGGGCAAGGAUAUCGCCUACAACGUGAAGAUCUACCCUCAGUGAGGCUAGUCCUAUGUGGACGUAAGCCACGAUGGAAUAUACAAGGCAGCUUCUUCGUGGACCCCUUGUGGGUGGAGCCCUCAAUGGACUCUUGAAGUCGUUACCCUGUGUGCGUUGAAGUCUCCAUUAACGUGGACGUACAAUAGCACUAGCUAUCUAAACCACGCCAAAAAUCACCGUGUCUUCUUUGCGUUUGAUCUUCCUAAACUCUACUCCUUACUUACAUGUGCAAUGCUUUACUUUCCGCUGCCAUAUAUGUUGACUAGCAUGUGUAGGGUGCACUAGACUUGUUAGAAUUGCUAAAAUCUACCAACCAUUAAAAUUGGGAAAAGGCUAGGAUUUUAAUUUUUCCAAUUAGACUAUUCACCCCCUAGACAUCCCUUCUAGUGAUCCCACAAUUUGUAAUAGAUAUUUGGCCUCCAUAGCCUGGGUUUAAUCACCAUUGGAGGAAGAUGGAUGUGCGUAGUUUGGGGAACCUUAGUUGUAGAGUGUCUAUUCUCGAUGGAGAGUAAUUUAGACAAUGGAAAUAUGAAAUGUUUCAUAUAUUGAAUGAAUUCCAUUUGCGCUAGUAUGUUGAAUAUCCCUAUGUGUCUCCCAUUGAUCCCUUACAUCCUUCUCAUGAUGAUGAUGAAGUUAAUAUGCUUGGUAAUGUUAAAACUAUUAAUCUUAUCAUUAGAGGACUGCCAAGAAAUGUGCUUAAGCAAAUGAAGAACUUUGAAUUUGCUUAUACUUUGGGGAAAUAUUUGGAGAAAAGAUACCCCGACUACUGCCAAUAAUAACACUUAGUUUUUGGCUUAGGUCCAGCCUUGGGUUUCUUCGUCGGAGGGGCAACAGAUUUUCCACUCUUCUUGGAGUUACCCUUCUUUCCUUUGUCGUUAUUCUUGAAACUGGUGGUCUUAUUGACCAUCAACACUUGAUGUUCUUUCUGGAUUUCUGACUCUGCCACUUUCAGCAUCACAAACAGCUCGGCGAGUGAGUUAUUCAUCCCUUGCAUGUUAUAGUUCAACAAGAAGCUCUUAUAGCUAGGUGGAAGUGACUGAAGAACUCUGUCAGUGACAGCCUCUUGCAGGAGUUCAAUCCCCAGCUGAGCUAGAUGGUUAGAGUACCCAGACAUUCUGAGUAUGUGUUCACUGGCAGACCCGUUCUCCUCCAUUUUGCAAUCAUAGAACUUAUCGGAGGUCUCAUACCUCUCGAUCCGGGCAUUCUUCUCAAAGAUAAACUUCAACUCCUGCAACAUCUAAUAUGCUCCAUGACGUUCAAAACGUCUUUGAAGUCCUGGUUCUAAGCCAUACAAAACUGCACAUCGAACUCAUGAGUAGUCAUCCUUACGCGACUACCAAGUGUUCAAAACAUCUUUGUCGCCGUAGCGGCUUGUGCAUCACCUAGCGCAACAUCAAGGACAUAUUGCUUUUGGCCAGAUGUGAGGAUAAGCCUCAGAUUACAAGUCCAGUGAACAAAGUUGCUUCCAUCAUAUUUCAACUUAGCUUUCUCUAGGGACGUAUUAAAAUUCAGCAUUGCUACUGCGUGAGCCAUUGAUCUACAACAUAAAUUUUUGCAAAUAUUACUUAGAUUAUGUUCAAGAAAAUUGAAUUUAGCUAAUCAUAUUACUAAUAAACUCCCACUCAAAUUGACAUCCCUCUAGUCAUUCGAGUGUCGCAUGAUCCAAAUUCACUAACUCAAGUCUGGUCAUCACGUGAGUUGAGUAUAGUUUCAAUGGUGAACAUCUACAUGUUGAUCAUAUCAACUAUGUGAUUCAUGCUCGACCUUUCGGUCUCUUGUGUUUCGAGGCCAUGUCUUUACAUCCUAGGCUCAUCAAGUUUAACCCGAGUGUUCCACGUGUGCAACUGUUUUGCACCCUUUGUAUGUGAAGUUGAGUCUAUCACACCCGAUUAUCACCUGUUGUCUCAAAACGACGAACUGCCGCAACGGCGCACAGUCGGGGAGAACACAACUUUAUCUUGAAAUUUUAGUAAGAGAUCACCUUAUAAUGGUACCGUCGUUUUAAGAAAAAUAAGGUGCAUAAAAGGAUUAACAUCACAUGCAAAUCAUAAGUGACAUGAUAUGGCCAUAAACUUGUGCUUCUUGAUCUCCAUCAGCAAAGCACCGGCAUGAUCUCCAUCGUCACCGGCGCCACACCAUGAUCUCCAUCAUCGUACUGCCAUCGAGGUUGUCGCGCUAACUAUGCUUUUACUAAUAAAGCUACUACUAGCGAUAAAGCAAAGCAUCACCAAGGGCAAAAAUAAUUAAAGACAACCCUAUGGCUCCUGCCGGUUGCCGUAGCAUCGACGUGCAAGUCGAUAUUUAACUACUACAACAUGAUCAUCUCAUACAUCCAAUAUAUCAUAUCAUGUAUUUGGCCAUAUCAUAUCACAUGCAUACCGUGUAAAAACGAGUUAGACGUCCUCUAAUUUGUUGUUGCAAAUUUUACGUGGUUGCUAUGGGUAUCUAUUAUGAUCGCAUCUUACUUACGCAAAGCCACAACGCUGAUAUGCAAAUUGCUAUUUAAUCUUCUCCAAGGAACACCUUGGUCAAAUCCGAUUCAACUAAAGUUGAAGAAACAAACACCCUCCAGUCAACUUUAUGCAACAAGUUGCAUGUUAGUCGAUGAAGCCGGUCUCUCGUAAGCGUACGAGUAAUGUUGGUCCGGUCGCUUCGAUCCAACAAUACCGCUGAAUCAAGAAAAGACUAAGGAGGGCAGCAAAUUGAACAUCAACGCCCACAAACUCUUUUAUGUUCUACUCGAGAUAUCAUCUACGCAUGAACCUAGCUCAUGAUGCCACUUUUGGGGAACGUUUCAUGGGAAACAAAAAAUUUCCUACACAUACGAAAGACCUAUCAUGGUGAUUAUCAUCUACGAGAGGGGAGAUCGGAUCCACAUACCCUUGUAGAUCGCUAAGUGGGAAGCGUUAAGAAACGUGGUUGAUGUAGUCGAACAUCUUCGCUAUCCAAUCACGAUCCAUCCCACGAACUGCGUCCCGAUCUAGUACUGAACGGACGACACCUCCGCGUUCAGCACACGUACAACUUGAUGACAAUCUGCGCCUUCUUGAUCCAACAAGAGAGACAAAGAAGUAGCUGAAUUCUCUGACAACACGAUGGCACGGCAGUGAUGGUGGUGGAGCUACUCCGGUAGGGCUUCACCGUGUCGUACUUAACUAGCUACGGGGUGUCACGAAGUAGUGGAGGGAGAGAGGGCUGCACAAAGACUUGGGGUGCAAAAACCCUCUCAAACCUCCACUAUAUAUAGGAGGAACAAGUGAGAGGGUGGCUUGCCUCCUACUCCAAGUAGGAGGGUUUGGACGAGCCCAAGAGGGAGGAGUCCUCCACCAAUUCGGUUUGGUGGAGGACUCCUUCCCAUCUUGUCCACCUCCUUCCUUUUAUUUUCUUUUUUACUUCUUAUUAUUGCUUUUAGCCAUUAUAGGCUUAUUGGGCUGGCCUCAACAGCCCACUAAAGGCUGGGGCGCCACCCAUGGGCCUAUUAGGUCCUAUCCCGAGUGGGUGGCCCCUCCCGGUAAAACCCCAGAACCAGUUCGUCUCUCUCGGUACUUUAGCGGUAAUGCCCGAAAUCUUUCCGAAAGCCUAUAUAUCAAUUGUUGUUUCCGGACCAUUCCGGAGACCCUCGUGACGUCCGAGAUCUCAUCUGGGACUCCAAACAACAAUCGGUUACCAACAUCAAUAAUUCAACAAUACCAAAACGUCACCGAACCUUAAGUUUGCACACCCUGCGGGUUCGAGAACUGUGUAGACUUGAUCGAGACACUCUCCAGCCAAUAUCCAAUAGCGGGACCUGGAUGCCCAUAUUUGAUCCUACAUAUUCUACGAAGAUCUUAUCGGUCCAACCUCUAUGUCAAUGAUUCAGUUAAUCCCGUGUAAUGUUCCCUUUGUCCUUCGGUAUGUUACUUGCCCGGGAAUCGAUCGUCGGUAUCUCUAUACCUAGUUCAAUCCCAUUAAUGGCAAAUCUCUUUACUCGUUCCGUAAUACAGUAUCCCGUGGCUAACUCUUUAUUCACAUUUCUUGCAAGGCUUAUUGUGAUGUUGUAGUACUAAGUGGGCCCCGAGAUACCUCUGCAUCAGAAGGAGUGAUAAAUCCCAGUCUUGAUGCACGCCAACCCAACAUACACUUUCGGAGAUACCUGUAGAGCACCUUUAUAGUCAUCCAGUUACGUUGCGACAUUUAAUACACACAAGAUAUUCCUCCGUUGUUCGGGAGUUGCAUGAUCUCAUAGUCAUAGGAAUAGAUACUUGACACACAGAAAACAAUAGCAACAAAAUGACACAAUCACAUGCUAUGUUUAUAGUUUGGGUCUUGUCCAUCACAUCAUUCCCCCAAUGAUGUGAUCUCGUUAUCCAUUGACAACACUUGUCUAUGGCUAGGAAACCUUAACCAUCUUUGAUCAAUGAGCUAGUCAACUAGAGGUUUACUAGGGACAAUAUUUCGUCUAUGUAUCUACACAUGUAUCUGUGUUUCCAUUCAAUACAAUUCUAGCACUGGAAACAGGAAAUAUAAUAAUAACUAAUUUAUAAUUGCCUCUAGGUCAUAUUUCCAAGAGAGGAAGCUCCACCAUCCAACAAGAAGAAGCUCUCAUGAGUUCGAGAAAAGAGUGGACAAGGAUUAUCCGCUGAAUCAAAUCUUCGUUGACAUACAAACUGGGAGAAUUACUCACUCUAAAACUUGUUUAGGUAACUUUUGGAGCAUUACUCAUUAUCUCUGGCAUAGAGCCUAUGAAGGUACAAGAAUCCCUUCAAGACCCAUAUUGGGUGAAUGCGAUGCAUGGAGUGUUACACAGAUUCACGAGGAAUGACGUUUUUACACUUGUGGAAAAGCCCAAGGACGAGAAAAGCGUCAUUGGUACAAAAUGGGUAUUUGGCAACAAGCAAGAUGAACAUGGUCAAUUUGUACGCAACAAGGCGUGUCUCAUAGCCCAAGGAUACACGCAAGUUGAUACGUCUCAAACGUAUCUAUAAUUUUUGAUGGUUUCAUGUUGUUAUCUUGUCAACUUUGGAUGUUUUAUAUACCUUUUAGAUCUUUUUUGGGACUAACUUAUUAAUUCAGUGCCAAGUGCGAGUUCCUGUUUUUUCUGUGUUUUUGACUCUUUUCAGAUCUGAUUUUGGAACGGAGUCCAAACGAAAUAAAAUCCCCGAAAUAAAUUUUGAGGGCCAAGGCAGGAGGCCCAUAGGGAGCCCACAAGCCGUGACGCUGCGGCCAGGGGGGCCGCGGCGACCAGGCUUCUGGCCUCCCUGGCGCUCCCCUGCCCGAGCUCUUUCGCCUAUAUAUUCCCUAAAAUCCCAGAAAAAAUCAGGGCAUCCACGAAAACACUUUUCCGCCGCCGCAAGCUUCCGUUUCCGCGAGAUCUCAUCUGGAGACCCUUCCCAGUGCCCUGCCGGAGGGGACUUUGGAGUUGGAGGGCUUCUACAUCAACAUCAUCGCCUCUCCAAUGACUCGUGAGUAGUCCACUUCAGACCUACGGGUCCGUAGUUAGUAGCUAGAUGGCUUCUUCUCUCUCUUGGAUCUACAAUACAAUGUUUUCCAUGAUCUUCAUGGAGAUCUAUCCGAUGUAAUCCUCUUUGGCGGUGUGUUUGUCGAGAUCCGAUAAAUUGUGGAUUUGUGGUCAGAUUAUCUAUGAAUUAUAUUUGAGUCUUUGCUGAUUUCUUAUAUGCAUGAUUUGAUAUCCUUGUAAGUCUCUCCGAGUCUUGGGUUUUGUUUGGCCAACUAGAUCUAUGAUUCUUGCAAUGGGAGAAGUGCUUGGUUUUGGGUUCAUACCGUGAGGUGACCUUUCCCAGUGAUAGAAGGGGCAGCAAGGCACACAGGGGAUAGGUGCCAUCAAGGGUAACAAGAUGGGAUUUUAGUCAUAGAUUUGAGAUUGUUCAUCUACAUCAUGUCAUCUUGCUUAGAUGCAUGCUGGAUAGCGGUCGACGUGUGGAGUAAUAGUAGUAGAUAAAGAAAGUAUCGGUCUACUUGUUUUGGACGUGAUGCCUAUAGAUAUGAUCAUUGCCAUAGAUAACGUCAUGACUUUGCACGGUUCUAUCAAUUGCUUGACAGUAAUUCGUUGACCCACCGUCUACUUGCUUUCAUGAGAGAAGCCACUGGUGAACACUACGGCCCCCGGGUCUAUUCACAACUAUCGCUUCCACUUUUACUUUUACUUUGCUUUGUUUACUUUUUGCUUUCAGUUCUCACUUUGCAAACAAUCUAUAAGGGAUUGACAACCCCUUCAUAGCGUUGGGUGCAAGCUCUUUGUGUUUGUGCAGGUACUUGUGACUUGACGCGAUCCUCCUACUAGAUUGAUACCUUGGUUCUCAAACUGAGGGAAAUACUUACCGUCGCUGUGCUACAUCACCCUUUCCUCUUCAAGGGAACACCAACGCAAGGCUCCAAGGCCGCGGGGGAAUCCUUUGCAUAUUUGCCAAGGAAGUUCCUAUAGGCAUAGCCCGUAGCAGAAGGAUUCCUGGCGCUGUUGCCAGGGAGGGUCUUUUGUUGCCGUAGCAGAAGUAUUUCUGGAGCCGUUGACGGGGAGGAUCGCUUGCCAAGGAGUAUCAAGACAGGAAUAAUCUCCCAUCAACACACCUAUUUCUGGCGCCGUUGCCGGGGAGAGAUCAAGUCAAGAUCUAUCCAAGUAGGUGUCACAAACUCAUCUCUUGCAUUUACCUUUUUUCCCAGUUGCCUCUCGUUUUCCUCUCCCCCACUUCACAUUUGCCGUUUUCAUUCGCCUUUUUCGUUUGCCUUUUUGGUUCACCCUUUUCUCUCGCUUGCUUUCUGUUCGCUUGUGUGCCAUGUGCCUUCAAUAUGUUUGCAUCUUCGCUUGCUGAAAAUCUAGUGAUAUGGAUCCUCAUCCACUUGCUAAUCUCUUUAAGAGAUCCAAUUAUGUUGAUCCAAUUGCUAGUGAGUUGAGUGCACUUAUGUAUCUUUAUGGAGUUUUGCUUGAGAUGCGUGAAUCUGAAAAUUGUGAGGAAGAAAUUUAUGAAGUGAUUGACGAGGGCUCCUUGGAUGAAAAGCAUGAUUGCAAUGGUUUCACUAUAAAUUCUAUUAGUGACAAUCAUGCUAAGAAUAUGGAAAACCCUAAGCUUGCAGAUGCUAGUUUUGCUAUGUCCCCUACUUGUUGCAAUGAUCAUGAGUGGGGCGAUGAUUUUUCUUAUGAUCUUGAAAAUUUGUUUAAGCCUCAUGAUGAAUAUGAUAUUUGCAAUAUCAUUGAAAGUGGGUUUGGAGAAAUCAUGACUUUAGUUGAUGAUAAUCCGACUAUUUUUGAAGAGCGUCAACUUUGCAUGCAUGUGGAUCAUGAAAAGAAUAUCCUAUGUGAUAGUUACAUUGUUUAAUUCGAAUAUGAUCCCACAUGUAAUUACUAUGAGAGAGGAAAAUAUUGUGGUAGAAACUUUCAUGUUACCAAAUUACCUCUCGUUAUGUGGAGAUUGCUAUUGUCUCUUUCUUCUUCCUUGCAUACGGUAACUAUUGGUUGUCUUGACAAUCUGUUUUCCUAUAAAAUGCCUAUGCAUAGGAAGUAUGUUAGACUUAGAUGUGAUUUUCCCAUGCUUUAUGAUGCUCUCGUUGUGCUUCAAUUCUUGUCUUUUGUGUGAGCAUCAUUGAAUUAUCAAUGCCUAGCUAAGGGCGUUAAGCAAUAGCUCUUGUUGGGAGGCAACCCAAUGAAUUUAUCUUUUUCUUUCUGUUUUGUGUUUUCCACACUUUCAUAAUUCUGUUAUGAUUGUGUUUUUUGUGUUUCUUUUGCGUUUGUGCCAAGUAAAACUGUUAUGAUUAGUCUUGGGGAUGAUCGUUUGGUCAUGCUGGAAAAGACAGAAACUUUCUGCUCACGAAAAGAAUUUUCAUUUUGUUUCUGUAAGAGCUUUUGAGUUGAUUCUUUUUGCUUCUGAUUUCUAUGCAAAUUCUUCAGACUGUCGUAAUUGGUCGGAAUUUUUGAAGUACCAGAAGUAUACGAAGUAUACAUAUUACUACAGACUGGUCUGCUGUUAAUAGAUUCUGUUUUUGUUGAGUUGGUCGAUUAUUUUGAUGAAACUAUGGAUAGUAUCGGGGGGGGGGGGGUAUUAGCCAUGGAAGAUUGAAAAUACAGUAACCCAACAUCAACAUAACUAGAAUUUAAUUUUCCUAUAGUACCUAAGGAAGUGGUGGUUUGCUUUCUUAUACUAAUGAUAUCACGAGUUUCUGUUUAAGAUUCGUGUUGUGAAGUUUUCAAGUUUUGUGUGAAGUUCUUAUGGACAAAGAGAUAAAGAGUGGCAAGAGCUCAAGGUUGGCGAUGCCCAAGGCACCCCAAGUGGAUUCAAGGAUGCCAAAAAAGCCUAAGCUUGGGGAUGCCCCGGGAAGGCAUCCCCUCUUUCGUCUUCAAUCCAUCGGUAAUGUUACUUGGGGCUAUAUUUUUAUUCACCACAUGUUAUGUGUUUUGGUUGGAGCGUCUUGUACCGUAGGAGUCUUUUAUUUAUUUUGUUCCACAAUAUUCCUUGCUGCACACUUAGAGAGAGAGACAUGCGCUCACUGUGAUUUUGUCGAGCUUCACUUAUAUCCUUUGGUUAGACAAUUCAGCUCACAUGUGUUUCACUUAUAUCUUUUGAGCUUGUUGAUUUUUCUCUAUGUGUUUCACUUCUAUCUUUUAGAGCACGGAACCGCUUGGCGUGGUAGUUGAUCUAUGCUAUGAAAGUAGUCUCAAAAGGGGUAGUUAUACAAAGGAAUAUGAAAACUUCCACCUUCAUGUGCAUUGAGUAGUUAGAGAAGUUUGAUUCAUCUCAAUCAGUUUUGAGUUGUGGUUGUGGUAAUAUUAAAGUUAUAUUAGUAAGGUGUAGUGGAUCUAGAAAUACUUGUGUUGAAGUUAGUGAUUCCGGUAGCAUGCACGUAUGGUGAACCGCUAUGUGAUGAAGUCUGAGCAUGAUUAGUAUAUUGAUUGUCAUCCUUUGUGUGGUGGUCGGGAUCACGCGAUGGUUUAUACCUACCAACCCUUCCCCUAGGAGUAUGCGUUGAAUGCUUUGUUUCGAUUACUAGUAGAACUUUUGCAACAAGUAUAUGAGUUCUUCAUGACUAAUGUUGCGUCCAUGGUCUAGAUGCACUUUCAGCUUCCGCCAUCACUAUCUUCUUUAGUGCCGUGCAACUUUCGCCUGUGCAUAAAACCCACCAUUAGCCUCCCUCAAAACAACCACCAUACCUACCUACUAUGGUUUUUUCAAAGCCAUUCCGAGAUAUAUUGCCAUGAAACUACCACCAUGACAUGUGCCACCACUUCUACAUUGCCAUUGCAUGAUCAUAAGAUAGCUAGCAUGAUGUUUCCAUUGAUGUCUAUGCCAUGCUAGAUCAUUGUCACGGUACACUACCGAAGUCAUUCCAUAUAGAGUCAUCAUUGCUCUAAGUUUUGAGUUGUAAGUGUGAUGAUCAUCAUUGAUGGAUCAUUGUCCCAUGUGAGGAAAUAAAAGAGGCCAAAGAUGCCCACCAAAAAAAAGAAGGCCAAAGAGCCCACCAAAAAAAAUAGAGAGAAAAAGAGAGAAGGGACAAUGCUACUAUCUUUCCACAAUUGUGAUUAUUAAGUACCAUGAUUUUCAUGAUUGAGAGUCUCUCGUUUUGUCACCACCAUAAAGCUAGUGGGAAAUUUUUAUUAUAUAACUUGGCUUGCAUAUUCAAAUGAUAGGCUUCCUCAAAAUUGCCUUAGGUCUUCGUGAGCAAGAAAGUUGGAUGAAGAUGGGGAGGAACCACCUCCUCCUAAUGGCAACCCACACCCUCAGUUUGGCCCUGAGCUCACUGGUGAGCAAUUGUACCAACAGCAAGUGCAUAACUGGCUAGUUCAAAAUGCAGCUCAACCUUAGGGGGCUCCUCCUGCUCAUGAAGCCCCAUAGCAACAGGAUCAGCACAAUGGAUGGGGAGUGUGGCCAGCCUCACCACCAUAGGCACCACAAUUACCUCCUUAUGUCUACAACUUUCAAGCUUGGCUUGCUGCCCAGGGACUACAAGUGCAAGAUGGCCUGCUUCCUGAAGAUAACAUCUCAGAUAGUGCUUCCCAAGCUUGGAAUGAUGCUAUAUCCAACUCCAACAACUCUGCUAGCACCAACCUAUCUGCUGGAUCUCUGAAUCCCCUGGUGAUACACUCUCAAACACAUCAGCUGCAACACUCUGAGGGUCUUUUGAGAAUCUCCCUGGAAGUUCACAAUAGUGGAAUUCGCUUUGGCUUAUCUGAACAUGGAGAAUCAGUGCUCACCCUGCUACUAACUGAUCCAGCUCCAAGACAGCAGCUAAAUGACUUCAUCUUUAGAGCCAUCAAACCUCUAAUGGCUUAUAGAGGCCCUUGGAAUGCUGAUUAUGGUUUCAAGCAUGAAUGCAUGCAGGUGGAAGUUGCAGUUGCUCUGCGUGAUGAUGGCAUAAUAUUUAGCAACACCUAUCCUACUCUCCCCAUGAGCACUACAUCAUCUACUGUUAUCAUAGAAGCACUAUCCCCUGAGCAGGCACUGGCUCCAACUAUUGAUCCUACGGAUCCAUUGGAAAUAGAAUGCAGCAUGGAUCAGGAACUACAAGUCAGCAAGAUUCCUCUGAAGCAGAAAGGCAAAAUGAAACUGCAAGUAGAUACUUCCAACCUUCGCCGCAGCCUGAGAUCAAACAAGUAUGAUGGUUUCAAGAUCCCAUCCAUGGCAGAGGGCAAGAUCACUAAAUCCAAAGUUAAGCCCAGGAUGAUUCCCAAUAUUGCUCUUCAGGAAGUUGAUCGUGCUCUGACACUUGAGGUUCCCCCUCCUACUGCCAUCAACACCAUGCAAGCCAUUGGGACGCAGCUGUGUGCCAUACCUGAAACAGAGCUUGCAGACUCGGAGCUUCUUCGAGAAGAUCCAGGCCCGACAGAUGGCCAAGUUUGAUAUUGUGCCUGACCCACCUCCUCUUUGAAUCUCUAUGGUACUUUUGCGUAGUUGGAACGUCUUAUGUUGGAAUAUUCGUGGACUUAAUUCGCCCAAAAAACAUCUAGCUCUAUCGAAUGCUAUUCGUGACAGCAGUUGCUCCAUCAUUUGCUUACAAGAAUCGAAAAUGACCUCAUUUGAUGAACAUGCUUUACGUACAUUGUGUCCUAAACGAUUUGACAAAUUUGCAUAUAUUCCCUCCCGAGGGGCUUCUGGUGGGAUAGUCACGAUUUGGAACAGCUCUAUAUUUAUAGGAACUACAUUUGUAGAAGAGGAUUUCGUGUUAGGGGUCCAGUUCUCAUCAACACAAACUUUGCAUACCUGGAAGCUAUUGAACAUAUAUGGCCCCUGCCAAGGGGAUCAAAGGGUUUGUUUCACAUCUUGGCUCUUUGAUCUUGACAUUGUGGCAACUGAGGAUUGGUUGAUCCUAGGGGAUUUCAACUUCAUUAGGGCACCAACGAACUGCAAUCUACCCGGAGGUAACAUUCAAGACAUGUUUACGUUUAAUGAAUUCAUCAGUGAGCAGAUGUUAACGGAGAUCCCAAUCAAAGGCCGACCAUAUACAUGGUCGAACAUGCAGCUAAACCCUUUGCUCGAACAACUCNNNNNNNNNNNNNNNNNNNNNNNNNNNNNNNNNNNNNNNNNNNNNNNNNNNNNNNNNNNNNNNNNNNNNNNNNNNNNNNNNNNNNNNNNNNNNNNNNNNNUAUAAGGCAGCGAAUACAUCAUACGAUCAGCCAAAGACGCCACAUAGUUCUUUCAGGAAAAGAAGACAUCGUGGGAUUGGAGGGCAAGACAGACAUGUGUGAAGAUUAUGAAAAGUUUCAUGAAGUUCCUCCCUUCAAAGUAAAGGCUGACCCAAGCACCCUGUUAAACGAUGAAGAUUCACUAGUAGGGAAAACCUUAUACAUAGAACAAUAGCAGCGGUGCUGGAUAAAAGGCGGCGCUACUGCUACAUAUCAGUAGCAUGCUUCCAGUACAGGCGCUACUGCAAACUACUUAUCAGUAGCGCGGCUUUAGGAAACACGCUACUACUAAUAUUGCCCCACUGUUGCCGACGGAGCUAGAUUUAGUAGUAGCCCGCCCCGAAUACCAACACUACUACUAAAAGAAUAGUAGCAGCGCGUUUUUACAACCGCGCUAAUACUAAGUGGGGCACUUAUCAUUUCGUCGCCCCCACAGGCCCCUCUCUCACUCUCUCCCUCUCUCCCUCUCCACACUCCGCCGUCGCCGCCGCACCGCACUCCCUCCCUCACCACUCUGCACCGCCGCCGCCGCCCCGCACUCCCUCUCUCCCCACUCUGCGUCGCCGCCCCGCCCCUGCCUCACCGACACCCCUGCCUCGUUAUCGCCCCUGCCUCGCCGACGUGGACACCCCUGCCUCGCCGACACCCUUCCUCCUACAUCGUCGACGCCACCUCCUCCACCCGCUGCUGUCGAUCUCACCACCGUAAGUCCCUCUCCCCUCCCCUCUUCUCUAUAGAUACACUAGUGGGGACAGGGCCUAUAGCCCCGGCCCGUAAGGGGCUUUAGUCCCGGUUCACCAACCGGGACUAAAGGGGCGGGACUAAAGGCCUAACCUUUUCGUCCCGGCCCUCUUACACGCCGGGACUAAAGGUGCUCCACGUGGGCGCCUCGUAGCGCCCCACAGGCAGGCCCUUUAGUCCUGGUUCGUUACACGGUCCGGGACUAAAGAUUUUCAGAUUUUGCUGGCUUUUGGGUUUUUUUUGAAUAAAUUAUUUUGGGUUUUAGGGUUUUAGGGUUUAGGUGUUCAGGAGAUUAACGUGAUGCCUCGUUUUGUGUUCGGGAAUUAGUUUUCAUAUAAUUUAAAAUAGAAAUAAUUAUGCAUAUAUAUAUAUAUAAGAUUAACUUAUCUUACAAGCGAUCAUAUAUAUACAAUUAUAUGGAGAUCUGAAUUAUCGAGACUAGAGCCCGUCUAUUCGAUUACAUGGACGAACAUGAGUAAUGGCCCUUAGCUACACUAAAUCGUCAUGUGUCUUCUAUAGCUUCCGUCCUCAGAAAUCCCGCAAGCUCCUCUGCAACAGCAAUCGCGCGUUGCUCUGGUAGGACCUUCGUCCUCAUGGCCGUGUGCUAUAUAAGAAGAGGAGAUGAAUAUGAAUAUCAAUCAUGAUAACAAAGAAUGACAGGUAAAAAUAGAGGUGUGAAUGUUCAUUGCUUACGUCGAAUCUAUGCUCCUUGAACUCAGAGGUAAACGUGCGAAUGGUCUCGCAAACAUAGUAUCCGCAUAGAUGCGUUCCCCGUGGCUGCUGGUCGCACUUUACGAGAAUGGAAUAUAUAUAAUCAAAAUAAUAAUCUAGCAUCAUAAAUGUAUUGAAAAUUAAUAGAAGUAUAUCAUACUACUACUUACCUGAGCCGCUCUAAAGGUCAGCUUCUCAGGAAAGUUACCGGGAGUCACGCACUUGAACCGAUUCCAAACCCUGCCCGACAAGGAUAAUGAUUUACUAAGUUUUUCAUUAAUUGAUAUAUCAGAAAAUCAUCGAAAGAGACCGAUAGAGCGCAAGAAUGAUUAAAAUUACCCUUGGAGCAUGUCCUGUAGGCUUUGGAACUGUUCCAAGGGUCUCGAUAAUGGGUCGAAGGCAUCAACCCUUCCCUUAUCAAUUUGAAUGUCCAACAGAAUCCAAUGGAAGCUGCACACGUAUAUAUAUAUAUGUGUGUGUGUGAGUAACUUAUCAAUUACACUUAUAAGUGAAUGGACACAACAGAGUAAAGACCCUCACCUGAAGUUGUAUGGAAACAGUAUGUGGUCAUAGAAAUUUUGAUCUCUUAGAAACCUUAGAAGGUUUUCCUCCGUCUCCUUGGGAUAAUUAGUUAGCGUCGCUAUAUGUAUUUUAUCUGGAUCAAUAAACCCAAUAUUUAUGAUGCUCUUACUUUUACACUCCAGAAUCUUCAUUCUGCGUAAUAGAGUACAAGUUAUAUAUAGACAAUGAAUUGAAAUAACUAAACAAGUUAUAUGUAGUCAACGAAUUGAAAAACUUACAGACAAUAGCAACUCAUAAGCGAUUUGUCGAGGGCGUCGCCAUUGUACAUCUGGGAGAGUUCAUCAAAGUCGAUAUGGAUUUCUUCGGAGCGGCCGUAGUACUCCUGUGGGACACUCAGCACGAUCAUCGUUCUCCCAUUCUUUGAUUCACUUAAGUACCAUUUAUGCAAGUAACGCAAAUUUGUUGGGAGAUUAUCUUUGCUGACCAAAGGCUCUCCCAUGACAAACUGUGGCUUAGGGGCUACCACAGCCUUGGGUAUCCUGUCGUCUUGGGAAGCCAGCAAAUUUUCAACCAAGAUACCACAUUCAUCCGCCAACUCCUUUGCUUUUUCAAAAGCUUGCCCCUGCACCGGAGGGGGAACAUUCUGGGUUAACACCUUGAGGGGUGGGAUCGACUGUUUGGCCUGUUGUCCAAGCUGAGGAACGUCUGAUUUUUUCUUGCUUGUAGUUGAACUUGAUUUGCUCCCACUUGCACUUGCAUGUGACCUGCUCUUUUUCACUUCCUUCUGCAAUGUGCGUGUAUAGUCAUCAGGCUUAUAGUGUAAGUCAUACUAUGAUGGAGUGGUUAUGAAGUCUUUUGCCCAUGCUAUGUCCUUCUCGGUGUAUUUCGGGCGGGGCUCGGGUUCCUUCCUUUUCAUAUGCGCCUCAUGUUGUUCCUUUGCUAUCCUGGCGUUUUCCUCGGGGGUACGAUCAUAAGGUCUGAUAGGAAGAUUAGCAUGAGGUACCUUUGGGAGGGGCGACAAUUUGCGCUUUGGGGAGCUCCGUCCCUUAGAAAUCAUCGAUGAAGCGUUCUUGCUGGCACACUUCCGCUUAGUAUCAUGUGCGGGCGGCGGCGGAGACGGACGACCCAAGUCCGGCGGCGGUGAUCGAGAUGGACUCGUGUUGUGCUGGCCGACGUCAUGUGGAGGGCUUGAAGGUAAUGGAGGUGUAGGUGACCUGCGACGACUCGGAGGCGGUGUUGUCCUUGGGGCCGAGCCUGGAAGCUUGAUGUAGUUCUUGUCCCAUAGGAUGACUCCACCCAGUACUUCUCCGAGUGUCCUCUCAUCUUCGGGUCCAGCUAUGUCGAGCUCCAUAUCAUUAAACCCCGUCAUGAUUUCAUCCACCCCGACUUUAGCAAAGCCAGCUGGAAUCUCACGGCCAUGCCAGCGUGCAUCAGGGCCAGAAGGUAAAGCUUGUCCGACGGCCACCUUCAUGGAUAUGUUCUUGAAUUUCUGAUGGAGUUCACAUGAUGUUGACUCCUUGAUUCCAUCCACGGGGUAGCCGGGACCGUCCUCUAGCAUUCUUUGUUCAUCGUCGAGCGGGGCCUCAGAUUCAGCCACGCUGCUUUUCCGCUUAGAUGGGGCGCCGGUAAUAUCAACUGCAGGAUCUUCCUGGCGCGGUACUCCUCUAAGCUCAUCAAUCUGCUUCUCUUGCUCGUUAAUCCUGGCAAGCAACUGGUUGAACUUGUCAUUAUCCUCAUCCUGCUGCCGCUUCUUUGCUCUCUCUCUCGGCUUCUGUAAGUGUCUUGGUCUCUGGCAAACCCAAGCCACCACGGGUAAGAAGGACCGAAGCCUCGCGUUCGUCCUCCAUGUUCUUCAUUGCCGAGGACCAGUGUGAGCAAAUUUUUCUCUCUAUCUGCAGUGAACUUUCUUCUUCCCUCCUUAAUUUCUUUCACUAACCUUUUCCAAUUCUCCCUGGGUAUCCUAAGAUUGUCAUUGCAGAUGAGGUCCCCUGUUGUUUCGUCGUACGACCCAUCAUGCGCAAGGAACCAAUUUCUUGCUCUCAAUUCCCACUCAUCACGGAGUUGUUCAGGUACGACGCCUUUAUCUAUCAGAUCUUGCUCUUUCUUAUCCCACUUUGGGAUGGCAGUCUCAUAGCCCCCUGGCCCCAGCUUGUGGUGAUAUAUCUUCUUGUUGGCAUUUAUCUUGUUCUUUUCUGAUAAUGCCUGGGCAUCUUCUGACUCCUUGUACUCUUGAAAUGCCUUCCAGUGAUUCGCCUGCUUGGCUAGAUACCCCUCGAAUACUGGCACUUUCUGUGUCUUCAGAUAGUUUUUCCAUAGCUUCUUCUUCCAGCUACGGAACAGUUUGUUCAUCUUCUUCAGAGUCCACCGCUUGACUUUGGCCCUCAGUUUGUCUGCGGCGUCUUCAUUCUCACAUUCUGGCAGGUUGAAAUGUGACAUGAGAUCAUUCCAAAGAUUAUCUUUGUACCUUUCGGCGACAUAGUCACUAUCGGCUGCCCCUUUGCGCUUGUUCCACUCCCGAACGCUGAUCGGGACGUGAUCCCUAACGAGAACUCCGCAUUGCUUCUUGAAUGUGUCAGCACCAUUCUUCGGAAGCUUGGGUUUGCCCGUAGGAAAUAUCACCUCAAAUGUGUAAUGCGUCCGUGCAUCCAACUUUCUAGUCGGGCCUCGUUUCGUAGUUUUGCUCGAUGUGGAGGCCUAAGAGGGAGAAACAUUCGUCAAAUGAAAGUAUAUGUAUACAAUAUAGAGCUAUCUCCAAUAUUUUUCACAUAUUACAAGUGAUUGUCAAACUUCAUAUGUAUACCUCGCCUGACUUCUCCUCUUCACCGGCUUCUCCAUCAGUGGAGCUAUCACCUUCUCCGUCAUUGGACAUAUCUCCUGCCCCAUCAGCUUCAUCUUCGUGUCGCUCGACCUCCAUUCCAACGUCCUGGUUUAGAUAUAACGAUGGAGAUUCAGUUGGUUCAACGUCGGGGCCGUCUUUGAUUAUAUCUUCCAGAAGUUCUUCCUCUUCGAGGUUCCUCAUAUGUGGAUCCAUAGUUCUGCAAAAAACGGAUUCUCUUAACCUUUGUACCAAAAACCAAAGUAGGAGUACUUUUCCAAUUUGAGAGUCCUAGAUUUCUGCAUAGUAUUCAAAGUAGGAGUAAUUUUCCAAUUUGAGCAUUCAAUAAGCAAAACCAAAUCGUAAAAUAAAGUAGUAUUCAAAUUAGCAUGCAUUCAAUUAUAAGCUAAUACAUCAUCACUUUUGUCCGUACAUCGUUGAAUAUUAUCAUUAAUACUCCUCGAAUACUACCAUACAUAUAGCAUCACUAAUACAUCUAGAACCGUAGCGCCCGACGGGUAAGGGCGCGGGCGGUGGACACCCAAAGAGAAGGAACCAUCACAGGAUCAUAGCUCCAGUGAGAUCCCCGAAGAACCUGCCAGGUAUGCUCGAACCUGCCCUCCAACGCAACCAUGUAGCGACGGACAUGCUCAUCCUCCUCGCUGACACGGUGACGUACCACCUCCGCGGUGAUCGGAAGCCUCGGCACCCUCACUGGCCCACGCGACCGCCACCAAACAAGGAUCGGGUCAACGACGGGCUGGCUCCUCACCAACCUACGCCCCCCGCAAGGUAGCACCUCCCAAUACCAGCCGGGCGGAGCCCAGUCCCGGACAGGGCCCCUCUGAUCAAGCAGGUGUCCUCCGCCGAGUCGACGACGAGGAUGCGGGAUAGGCAUCGUAAAAUGAACUAAAAAAAUAAACUAGUUCUAUUAAUUUUCUUGCUAAAAUAAACUAUUAGCACUUAAGCAUAUACAAUAGCAAAAUUAAACUAUUAACACUUAUUUUCAUUUUCUUCUCCUCCUCUUCUUUCUUCUCUUCUCCUCCUCUUCUUUUCUUCUCUUCUCCUCCUCUUCUUUUCUUCUUUUCUUAUACACUAUACACUAUAUACACUAUAGCAAAAUUCCUCCUCUCCUUAUACACUAUACACUAUAUACACUAUACACUUAAGCAUAUACACUAUACACUAUACACUUUUUCUUCUUUUCUUCUCCUCCUCUUCUUAUUUUCAUUUUUCCUAAUCUUAUUUUCUUAUUUUUGUUCAUAUUUAUUCUUCUUCUAACCCUAACCUAAUUCUAAAUAUUUCUAACCCUAAUAAUCUUUUCUUUUUCUUCUUUUCUUCUCCUUUUUCUUCUUUUCUUCUCCUUUUUCUUCCUUUCUUCUCCUUUUUCUUCUUUUCUUCUCCUCUUUCUUCUUUUCUUCUAUACUGGCCGGAGUGUUGGGGAGGAGGGGCGAGGGGCUUACUGGCCGGAGUUUUGGCGAGGAGGAUGGCGCGGCGGCGAGGAGCACGGCGCGACGGCGUGUAGGACGGCGCGGCGACGAGGAGGACGGCGAGGAGGACGGCGCGGCGGCGGGGAGGACGGCGCGGAGGCGAGGAGGACGGCCGACGGCGAGCAGGACGGCGGGCAGCCUGACGGCGUCGGUUAGUUCGUCGUUGUGCCGCGCCGGGCAGGAGAACGAGAGGAAGAAGAAGAGAAAUGGACGAUUUGGGUUGGAAAUUUUGAAGUCCCGCUUAAAUAGGUGGAUCUAUAGUCCCGGUGCGUGGCUCGAACCGGGACUCAAGACCCCCUUUAGUCCCGGGUGGAGCCAUGACCCGGGACUAAAGGCCCUUUUUCGGGCAGACCAAGAGGCGGGAAGAAAGGGGUCUUAAUCCCGGUGCGUGGCUCCAGCCGGGACUAAAGCCCCUCCUCGGCUGUACGAUAAGUUUAGUCCCACCUCGCCCAACGAGGGGGACUAACACUUGUUUAUAAGCCCCGUCGCAGCUUCUCCAUCGAGCUCCUCUCUAAGCAGGCUUACGGGCCUAAACUCACAGAAAAUUGUAACUAUAUUAGAAAAUUGUAGGGAAAAUUCAAUCUAAAUUCAAUGAGAAUUUAGAUUGAAUUUUCUCUAUGAUUUCGAAUAUAGUUUCAAUUUUUUCUAUUUUCAUAAUUAAUAAUUUUGACUAUCCAAACUAUUAUCUAUUUUGUUAUUUUCAAUUAAAAACUAUGUUUAUUAAAAAUUCUUUUUGCAUAUUUGAGAAUUUGACAAAACUAUGAUAAUGAAAAGUGUUUCAUAUUGAAUAAAUAAUGCAAAAUUAUUUUGUAUUUUCAUAAUUAAUUAUUUUGACUAUCCAAAAUAUUAUCUAUUUUGUUAUUUUCAAUUAAAAACUAUGUUUAUUAAAAAAUUCUUUUUGCAUAUUUGAGAAUUUGACAAAACUAUGAUAAUGAAAAGUGUUUCAAAUUGAAUAAAUAAUGCAAAACUAUUUUUAUUUUCAUAAUUAAUAAUUUUGACUAUCCAAACUAUUAUCUAUUUUGUUAUUUUGACUUCAUUUGGUAUAUUUCGUGCAUGUACUUAUUUUUUUUGAGCUAGUUGACCCUGAAAUUGAAAAGCACUACAAAUGAACCACUACUGAAAUUCAGAAAUUUGCCGUCUGCCAAGGCGGACGGCAAAGGGGGCAACCAUGGACGGCAAAGGCUUUGCCGUCUGCCCCCUCAUGGCAAAGUAGAUGGUAAAAAAAAAUCCGGUGAAGAGGCUCUUUGCCGUCUGCCUUUCACAAAGCGGACGGCAAAGAAUCUUUGCCGAUGAGGGGAAGACGGCAAAAUAAGUGGGACGGCAUAUAUUGCAACGUCCCCGUUAAGUGUUAACGGCAGGCCUCCUCUCUUUGCCGUCUGCCUCCCCCCCUUUGCCAUGUGGGGUAAACGGCAAAGAGGGAGAGAGAGGGGGCAGAUUCUCUCUUUGCCGUCUGCCUCCCCCCCUUUGCCAUGUGGGGGCAGACGGCAAAAAGGGGAGAGAGAGGGGGCAGAUUCUCUCUUUGCCGUCUGCCUCCCCCCCUUUGCCAUGUGGGGGCAGACGGCAAAGAGGGGAGAGAGAGGGGGCAGAUUCCCCCUUUGCCGUCUGCCUCCACCCCUUUGCCAUGUGUUGGCAGACGGCAAAGAGGGGAACCAUCCCCUUUUUUAUUUAUUUUUUGUUAUAUCCAGCAUUUUUAACAAUAAUCAGGAUAUAUAUAUAUAUUUGACAUAAAUAAAUUUCUUUUCGUACCCAUAACCAUAUUAAAAUAACUCUCAUCCAUAGUGCAUACAUAUUAUGGAAGUUACAUUCGUACCAAACCUAAUAUUACACCAGUUUCAUCCACGUGCAUACAAAGUUUCAUAUAUUCAUAUACUACAACAGUUUCAAUACAACCCAUGGUACAAGAAAUCAUCUUCAAGCAUUCCAUCAACCAAGCUUCCCGUGAAGUGAAGGUAAUCUGCAAAAUGACAAAUAAGAAAGUUAGAAAAAUAAUACUAGAUGAAGUAGUGUAUAUAUAGGUUAUUUCGGAGAGAAAUUAGCUAAUUAUAGACCAUUUAGGAGCUAACUAAGCUAAUUAUGUCAUUUAGGUGGAACCCUAGCUAACUAUAGGAGAAGAGAAAGAGAAGAAGAAGUAAAAGAAGAAGGAGGAGGAGGAGAAGGAGAAGGAAGAGGAGAAGAAGAAGAAAAAGGAGGAGGAGGAGGAGGAGGAGAAGGAGAAGGAAGAGGAGAAGAAGAAGAAGGAGAAGAAGGAGAAGAAGAAGGAGAGAGAGAGAGAGGAGAAGGAGCUCGCNNNNNNNNNNNNNNNNNNNNNNNNNNNNNNNNNNNNNNNNNNNNNNNNNNNNNNNNNNNNNNNNNNNNNNNNNNNNNNNNNNNNNNNNNNNNNNNNNNNNAAAAUUAAGUCCCACUUUAAGUCUCCAAAACUAAGCCACUAAUAAAUACGUCAAAAAUGGCAUAAGAACCUUGGUUAGCUCAUGAAUAUUGUAUACUUAGCUUGUUUUCCUCUAAAAUGAGAUAAUUAGCCCAUUUAGCUCCAAAAAGACAUAAUUAGGUAAUUUAGCUCCAAUAAGAGGAGAAUAAAUAGGAAAAAUGAAAACAAAGAAGAAGAAGAAGAAGAGAAGAAUGAGAAGGAGGAGGAGGAGGAGGAGGAGGARGAGAAGGAGGAGAAGGCCAAGGACCUUCUAGUCCUUCUCCUCCUCCUCCUUCUCCUCCUUCUCCUCCUUCUUCUUGAUUUCUUCUUCUUCUCCUCCUCCUCCUUCUUCUUCCCCUCUUUCAUAUUAUCCUUKCUUUAAUUUCCCCAACAWUGACAUAAUUAGCCCAUUUAGCUCCAAAAUGCCAUAAUAAGCUCAGAAUGGCAUAAGAACCUUGGUGAGCUCAUGAAUAUUAUAUACUUAGCUUGUUUUCCUGUAAAAUGGGAUAAUUAGCCCAUUUAGCUCMAAAAAGACAUAAUUAGGUAAUUUAGCUCCAACAAGAGGAGAAGAGGAGAAGAAAUAGGCAAAAUGAAAAGAAAGAAGAAGAAGAAGAAGAGAAGAAGAAGAGAAGAAGGAGAAGGAGGAGGAGGAGGAGGAGGAGAAGGCCAAGGACCUUCUAGUCCUUCUCCUCCCCCUCCUUCUCCUCCUUCUUCUUGAUUUCUUCUUCUUCUCCUCCUCCUCCUCUUUCUUCUCCUCUUUCAUAUUAUCCUUGCUUUAAUUAACCCAACAAUGACAUAAUUAGCCCAUUUAGCUCCAAAAUACCAUAAUAAGCUCAAAAUGGCAUAAGAACCUUGGUUAGCUCAUUAAUAUUAUAUACUUAGCUUGUUUUCCUCUAAAAUGGUAUAAUUAGCCCAUUUAGCUCAAAAAAGACAUAAUUAGGUAAUUUAGCUCCAACAAAUGAUAUAUAGUUCACCACACAUAUACUUAGCUUGUUUUCCGCUAAAAAUGACAUAAUUAGCUUAAAAACAUCAUAUUUUGUUCUUCUUCUAACUUUCUUAUUCACAUUUUUGCAGAUUGGAUAUACUACAUGCAUGGGAGCUGGCAUUCAUGGAGUUGAACAAUGUCGAUGGAUGAACUUUAUAUGUAUAUCAUCUAGUUUUCAUUUGAGUUGAUGAACAAUGUUGAACUAUAUGUAUAUGUAUAUAUGGAUAAACAGUGCAAUACUUGGUAUGUUGGUUCUUUGGAUAUAUGGGGAUGUACAUUGGUGAAUCAUAUAUGUGUGGUGAAUUAUAUAUAUGUGUUGGCAAGUAUAUCUGUCGUGAACUAUAUAUCAUAUAUGUGUGGUGAAUUAUAUAAAUGUGCUAUCAAUAAUAUAUAUAUAUAUAUAUAUAUAUAUAUGUAUAUGUGUGUGUGUGUGUGUGUUGUGAAACAAUNNNNNNNNNNNNNNNNNNNNNNNNNNNNNNNNNNNNNNNNNNNNNNNNNNNNNNNNNNNNNNNNNNNNNNNNNNNNNNNNNNNNNNNNNNNNNNNNNNNNCACGUAGCUUCUUUCAUGUGACAUGAAUGUUCAGAUCCGUAAGAUUCAAAACAAUAGUUUGCUAUUGACAUGAAAACAAUAAUACUUCAAGCAAACUAUCAAGGUAACCAUGAACUUUCAAAAUAACAAGGCCAAAGAAAGUCACCCUACAAAAUCAUAUAGUCUGGCUAUGCUCCAUAAUCCUCACACAACUAAUGUAAAUCAUGCACAACCCCGGUAUUGGCCAAGUAAUUGUUUUCGCACUCUUUACUUUCUCAAACUUUUUAUAACUAUCACGCAAUACAUCAGCGUGAGCCAUGGAUAUUGUACUAUAGGUGGAAUAGAGUGUGGUGGUGGUUGUGAGAGAAAAAGGAGGAGAUGGUCACAUUGACUCGGCGUAUCAAAGGGCUAUGGAGAUGCCCAUUAAUAGAUAUCAAUGUGAAUGAGUAGGGAUUGCCAUACAAAUGAUGCACUAGAGCUAAGAGUAUGUUAAAGCUCUUAAGAAAACUAGCGGGUGUUCAUCCAACUUGCUUGCUCACGAAGACCUAAGGCAAUUUUGAGGAAGCCUAUCAUUGGAAUAUACAAGCCAAGUUAUAUAAUAAAAAUUUCCCACUAGCUAUACGGUGGUGACAAAACGAGAGACUCUCAAUCAUGAAAAUCAUGGUGCUUAAUAAGCACAAGUGUGGAAAGAUAGUAGCAUUGUCCAUUCUCUCUUUUUCUCUCAUUUUUUUUGGUGGGCUCUUUGGCCUCUUUUUUUUGGUGGGCAUCUUUGGCCUCUUUUAUGUCCUCACAGGGGACAAUGCUCCAUCAAUGAUGAUCAUCACACUUACAACUCAAAACUUAGAGCAAUGAUGACUCUAUAUGGAAUGCAUUCGGUAGUGUACCGUGACAAUGAUCUAGCAUGGCAUAGACAUCAAUGGAAACAUCAUAGACAUCAAUGGAAACAUCAUGCUAGCUAUCUUAUGAUCAUGCAAUGGAAAUGUAGAAGUGGUGGCACAUGUCAUGGUGGUAGUUGCAUGGCAAUAUAUCUCGGAAUGGCUUUGAAAAAGCCAUAGUAGGUAGGUAUGGUGGUUGUUUUGAGGGAGGCUAAUGGUGGGUUUUAUGCACCGACGAAAGUUGCACGGCACUAAAGAAGAUAGUGAUGGUGGAAGGUGAAAGUGCAUCUAAACCAUGGACUCAACAUUAGUCAUGAAGAACUCAUAUACUUGUUGCAAAAAAUUUAGUAGUAAUCGAAACAAAGCAUUCAACGCAUACUCCUAGGGGAAGGGUUGGUAGGUAUAAACCAUCGCGCGAUCCCGACCGCCACACAAAGGAUGACAAUCAAUAUACUAAUCAUGCUCAGACUUCAUCACAUAGAGGUUCACCAUACGUGGAUGCUACGGGAAUCACUAACUUCAACUCAAGUAUGUCUAGAUCCACAACACCUUACUAAUAUAACUUUAAUAUUACCACAACCACAACUCAAAACUGAUUGAGAUGAAUCAAACUUCUCUAACUACUCAAUGCACAUGAAGGUGGAAGUUUUCAUAUCCCUUUGGAUAAAUACCCCUUUUGAGACUACUUUCAUAGCAUAGAUCAACUACCACGCCACGCGCUUCCGUGCUCUAAAUGAUAGAAGUGAAACACAUAGAGCAAAAUAAAUUAGCUCAAAAGAUAUAAGUGAAACACAUGUGAGCUGAAUUGUCUAACCAAAGGAUAUAAGUGAAGCUCGACAAAAUCACGGUGAGUGCAUUUCUCUCUCUCUAGGUGUGCAACAAGGAAGAUUGUGGCACAACAAAAAUAAAAGACUCCUACGAUACAAGACGCUCCAAGCAAAACACAUAACAUGUGGUGAAUAAAAUAUAGCCCCCAAGUAACGUUCAUUACUGGAAAUCAGUUUUUUGCCGUGUGCCUAAUCUUUGCUGUCAGCUAGCUGAUGGCAAAGAGUGUCUUUGCCGUCAGCUCUCAGAAAGCAGAUGGCAAAGAACUGGAUGAUGGCAAAGAAGGUCUUUGCCAACAGUCAAUCCUUUGUUGUCUGCCGCAAACGACAAAGAAGGGGACAGGAGACGGCAAAGAAGCUCAUUCGGCCCGGGGAACCUUAGGUCAACCAACGCCCUUCUUUGUCGUCUGCUGGCGGACGGCAAAGAUGCCAGAGGCAGACGUCAAAGAGUAUAGACCCCUUUGCCGUCCGCCAGCAGACGACAAAGGUCCUGAAUCUACUCAAACGGCCGUCCCGCCCCCACCCCGGCCCUCUCUCUCUCUCAAACGGCCACUCUCUCUCUCUCCUCCCCCGACACCCAACGCCGCCACCGUCGCCCGGCCACCCCCGGCGCCCCCGGUUCCCCACAACCCUCCGGCACCACUGGUGCCGCCCCCGCAGCCCCACCGCCGGCGCCGCUGGUGCCCCUGGUGCCGCCCCGCAGCCCCACCGCCGGCGCCCCUGCUGCACCCCCAGCCCCACCACCGGCGCCGCCGGCCCAGCCACUGCCCCGCAGGCCCCGGCGCCGCCCCCGCAGCCCCAACACUGCCGGUAACGCCCCMMCACCCCACCCCCUUGUUAUUUAGUUUUUUGGAGGAAGAAGAAGAAUAAGAAGAGAGGAGGAGAAGAGGAGAAGAAGAGGAGGAGUAGGAGGAGGAGGAGUAGGAGGAGGAUGAGGAAGAGAAGAAAAAGAAGAAGAAGAACAAGAAGAACAAGAAGAAGAGAAGAAAAAAUUAAGAAGGAGAAGAAGAAGAAGAGAAGAAAAAAAAAGAAGGAGAAGAAGUAAAGAAGAAGAGAAGAAGAGAAUAAGAAAAAAAUAAGAAGGAGAAGAAGAGAAAAAAGAAGAAGAAGUUGAUUUUUUAUUGUCUGGUAUUUAGUUUUUUGGAAUUAAUUAGUAGUNNNNNNNNNNNNNNNNNNNNNNNNNNNNNNNNNNNNNNNNNNNNNNNNNNNNNNNNNNNNNNNNNNNNNNNNNNNNNNNNNNNNNNNNNNNNNNNNNNNNCAUGAUCAAACACUAUCACCCAAACUAAUCAUUAAAGGCUUUACUUGGCACAUAUUUUUAUAAUACAAUGGAAAUUUACAAAGGACAUAAUUAUUUGUGCGAGAAACUUCCAUGAAGAAUUCUACAUUGUUUCCAUGAGCAUGAACACAAGUGUUCAAGGUCGACCCUCACUUCCACAAUGCAUCACCUUUCAAUCGCUUCUCUUUUUGAAAAAGUUUUAAGUUCCCCUCUAUAUUUUUUUGUUUUUAAACUAUAUAAAAGCACUAAACAGAAAGAMAAAGAUAAAUWCAUUGGGUUGCCUCCCAACAAGCGCUAUUGUUUAACGCCCUUAGCUAGGCAUUGAUAAUUCAAUGAUGCUCACACAAAASACAAGAAUUGAAGCACAACGAGAGCAUCAUAAAGCAUGUGAAAAUCACAUGUAAGUCUAACAUACUUCCUAUGCAUAGGCAUUUUAUWGGAAAACAGAUUGUCAAGACAACCAAUAGUUACCAUAUGCAAGGAAGAAGAAAGAGACAAUAGCAAUCUCCACAUAACAAGAGGUAAUUUGGUAACAUGAAAGUUUCUACCACAAUAUUUUCCUCUCUCAUAGUAAUUACAUGUGGGAUCAUAUUCGAAUUAAACAAUGUAACUAUCACAUAGGAUAUUCUUUUCAUGACCCACAUGCAUGCAAAGUUCACGCUCUUAAAAAAUAGUGGGAUUAUCAUCAACCAAUGUCAUGAUUUCUCCAAACCCACUUUCAAUAAUAUUGCAAAUAUCAUAUUCAUCAUGAGGCUUAAACAAAUUUUCAAGAUCAUAAGAAAAAUCACCGCCCCACUCAUGAUCAUUGCAACAAGUAGGGGACAUAGCUAAACUAGCAUCUGCAAGCUUAGGGUUUUGCAUAUUCUUAGCAUGAUUGUCACUAAUAGAAUUUAUAGUGAAACCAUUCCAAUCAUGCUUUUCAUCCAAGGAGCCCUCGUCAAUCACUUCAUAAAUUUCUUCCUCACAAUUUUCAGAUUCACGCAUCUCAAGCAAAACUCCAUAAAGAUACUCAAGUGCACUCAACUCACUAGCAAUUGGAUCAACAUAAUUGGAUCUCUUAAAGAGAUUAGCAAGUGGAUGAGGAUCCAUAUCACUAGAUUUUCAGCAAGCGAAGAUGCAAACAUAUUGAAGGCACAUGGCACACAAGCGAACAGAAAGCAAGCGAGAGAAAAGGGCGAACCAAAAAGGCAAACAAAAAAAGGAAAACGAAAAAGGCGAAUGAAAACGGCAAAUGUGAAGUGGGGGAGAGGAAAACGAGAGGCAACUGGCAAAAAGGUAAAUGCAAGAGAUGAGUUUGUGACACCUACUUGGAUAGAUCUUGACUUGAUCUCUCCCCGGCAACGGCGCCAGAAAUAGGCGUGUUGACGGGAGAUUAUUCUUGUCUUGAUACUCCUCGGCAAGCGAUCCUCCCCGGCAACGGCGCCAGAAAUACUUCUCCUACGGCAACAAUAGACCUUCCCUGGCAACGGCGCCAGGAAUCCUUCUACUACGGGCUACGCCUCUAGGGAUUUCCUUGGCAAAUAUGCAAAGGAUUCCCCCGCGGCCUUGGAGCCUUGCGUUGUUGUUCCCUUGAAGAGGAAAGGGUGAUGUAGCACAGCGGCGGUAAGUAGUUCCCUCAGUUUCAGAACCAAGGUAUCAAUCCAGUAGGAGGAUCGCGUCAAGUCACAAGUACCUGCACAAACACAAAGAGCUUGCACCCAAUGCUAUGAAGGGGUUGUCAAUCCCUUAUAGAUUGUUUGCAAAGUGAGAACUGAAAGCAAAAAGUAAACAAACCAAAGUAAAAGUAAAAGUGGAAACGAUAGUUGUGAAUAGACCCGGGGGCUGUAGUGUUCACUAGUGGCUUCUCUCAUGAAAGCAAGUAGACGGUGGGUGAACGAAUUACUGUCGAGCAAUUUAUAGAACCGCGCAAAGUCAUGACGUUAUCUAUGGCAAUGAUCAUAUCUAUAGGCAUCAUGUCCAAAACAAGUAGACCGAUACUUUAUGCAUACUACUAUUACUCCACACGUCGACCGCUAUCCAGCAUGCAUCUAGUGUAUUGAGUUCAUAAGAACAGAGUAACGCCUUAAGCAAGAUGACAUGAUGUAUAUGAACAAUCUCAAAUCUAUGAUGAAAGCCCAUCUUGUUACCCUUGAUGGAAAACACCUAUCCCCUGUGUGCCUUGCUGCCCCUUUUGUCACUGGGAAAGGUCACCGCACGGUAUGAACCCAAAACCAAGCACUUCUCCCAUUGCAAGAAUCAUAUAUCUAGUUGGCCAAACAAAACCCAAGACUCGGAAAGACUUACAAGGAUAUCAAAUCAUGCAUAUAAGAAAUCAGGAAAGACUCAAAUAUAAUUCAUAGAUAAUCUAAUCACAAAUCCACAAUUCAUCGGAUCUCGACAAACACACCGCCAAAGAGGAUUACAUCGGAUAGAUCUCCAUGAAGAUCAUGGAGAACAUUGUAUUGAAGAUCCAAGAGAGAGAAGAAGCCAUCUAGCUACUAACUAUGGACCCGUAGGUCUGAAGUGGACUACUCACGAGUCAUUAGUAGAGGCGAUGAUCUUGAUGUAGAAACCCUCCAACUCCAAACUCCCCUCCGGCAGGGCACCGGGAAGGGUCUCCAGAUGGGAUCUCGCGGAAACGGAAGCUUGCGGCGGCAGAAAAGUGUUUUCGUGGAUGCCCUGAUUUUUUCUGGGAUUUUAGGGAAUAUAUAGGCGAAAGAGAUAGGGCAGGGGAGAGCCAGGGAGGCCACAAGCCUAGUCGCCGCGGGCCCCCCUGGCCGCGGCGUCAGGGCUUGUGGGCCUCCUGCCUUGGCCCUAAAGUCCCCCGAUCUUCUUCUGUUCUGGAAAAUUUUAUUUUGGGGAUUUUAUUCCNNNNNNNNNNNNNNNNNNNNNNNNNNNNNNNNNNNNNNNNNNNNNNNNNNNNNNNNNNNNNNNNNNNNNNNNNNNNNNNNNNNNNNNNNNNNNNNNNNNNAGAAAUUUGACAAAACUUAUGAUAAUUGAAAAGUGUUUCAAAUUUGAAUAAAUAAUGCUUAAACUAUUUUUUUUCAUAAUUAAUAAUUUUGACUAUCCAAACUAUUAUCUAUUUUGUUAUUUUCAAUUAAAAACUAUGUUUAUUAAAAAUUCUUUUUGCAUAUUUGAGAAUUUGACAAAACUAUGAUAAUGAAAAGUGUUUCAAAUUGAAUAAAUAAUGCAAAACUAUUUUUUAUUUUCAUAAUUAAUAAUUUUGACUAUCCAAACUAUUAUCUAUUUUGUUAUUUUCAAUUAAAACUAUGUUUAUUAAAAAUUCUUUUUGCAUAUUUGAGUAAUUUAACAAAACUAUGAUAAUGAAAAGUGUUUCAAAUUGAAUAAAUAAUGCAAAACUAUUUUUAUUUUCAUAAUUAAUAAUUUUGACUAGUCCAAACUAUUAAGUCUAUUUGUUAUUUGACUUCAUUUGGUAUAUUCGUGCAUGUACUUAUUUUUUUUGAGACUAAGUUGANNNNNNNNNNNNNNNNNNNNNNNNNNNNNNNNNNNNNNNNNNNNNNNNNNNNNNNNNNNNNNNNNNNNNNNNNNNNNNNNNNNNNNNNNNNNNNNNNNNNUCCUAUGUGAUAGCUAUAUUGUUGAAUUUGAAUAUGAUCCCACAUGUAAUUAUUGUGAGAGAGGAAAAUAUGGUGGUAGAAAUUUUCAUACCACUAAAUCACCUCUUGUUUUGUUGAGAUUGAUAUUGUCUCUUUCUUCUUCCUUGCAUAUGGUAACUAUUGGUUGUCUUGACAAUCUKWUUUCCUAUAAAAUGCCUAUGCAUAGGAAGUAUGUUAGACUUASAUGUKAUUUUCACAUGCUUUAUGAUGCUCUCGUUGUGCUUCAAUUCUUGUYKUUUGUGUGAGCAUCAUUGAAUUAUCAAUGCCUAGCUAAGGGCGUUAAACAAUAGCGCUUGUUGGGAGGCAACCCAAUGAAUUUAUCUUUUCUUUCUGUUUAGUGUUUUCCAUACUUUCAUAUAUCUGUUAUGAUUGUGUCUUUUGUGUUUAUUUUUGUGUUUGAUCCAAGCAAAACCUUUAUGACUAGUCUCGGUGAUGGUUGUUUGAUCCUGCUGGAAAAAAGAUAGAAACUUUUCGUCUCACGAGAUGAUUUUUCUAUUUUUAUUUCAGAAAAAAGAUUAUGAGUUGAUUCUUUUUUCUGCUGGUUGAUAUUCCUUUUUCCCAGGCAGUCGUAAGUUUUCAGAAUUUUGGAGGUACCAGAAGUAUACGAAGUAUACAGAUUGCUACAGACUGGUCUGUUUUUGACAGAUUCUGUUUUUGUUGAGUUGGUUGCUUGUUUUGAUGAAACUAUGGAUAGUAUAGGGGGUCAUAAUAGUCUGAUGUCUAUGAGGUCAGCUACUAAUGGUAGGCUCAUCAGCACUGAACAAACUACAAUCCAUGGGAAUCGUAAAGCAAGAUGAUCACCUACCAAACACAGUUGACGUNNNNNNNNNNNNNNNNNNNNNNNNNNNNNNNNNNNNNNNNNNNNNNNNNNNNNNNNNNNNNNNNNNNNNNNNNNNNNNNNNNNNNNNNNNNNNNNNNNNNCACGUAGCCUCACUUCAUUUGGUAUAUUUCGUGCAUUUACUUAUUUUUUUUUGAGCUAGUUGACCCUGAAAUUGAAAAGCACUACAAAUGAACUCUGAAAAUGUUGAAAGUUGGCAUGCUGUCAUCAUUUCACCCACAUAGCAUGUGUUAAAAAGUUGAGAGGGCUAUGAAAAAAACUGGAUGCAGUUCAUGUACAAAACUGACAAUCCCUCUGGAAGUAGCUGGGUUUCGAACGAGAACUCAUCUCUUACAAAGGGAUUUCAUUUUUUUAAACUUAUUUGAACUCCAUACUUUUUGUGUGUUCAAAAUGCACCAUUCAAAGGCACAUCACAAAAUUUCAACAAUUUCUGACUUCAUUUGGUAUAUUUCGUGCUAUUUACUUUUUUUUGAGCUAGUUGACCCUGAAAUUGAAAAGCACUACAAAUGAACUCUGAAAAUGUUGAAAGUUGGCAUGCUAUCAUCAUUUCAGCCACAUAGCAUGUGUUAAAAAGUUGAGAGGGCUACGAGAAAAACUGGAUGCAGUUCGUGUACAAAACUGACAAUCUCUCUCGAAGUAGCAGGGUUUCGAACGAGAACUCAUCUCUUACAAAGGGAUUUCAUUUUUUUAAAACUUAUUUGAACUCCAUAAUUUUUGUGUGUUCAAAAUGCACCAUUCAAAGGCACAUCACAAAAUUUCAAUAAUUUCUCACUUCAUUUGGUAUAUUUCGUGCAUUUACUUAUUUUUUUGAGCUAGUUGACCCUGAAAUUGAAAAGCACUACAAAUGAACUCUGAAAAUGUUGAAAGUUGGCAUGCUAUCAUCAUUUCACCCACAUAGCAUGUGUUAAAAAGUUGAGAGGGCUACAACGAAAACUUGAUGCAGUUCGUUUACAAAAUUAACAAUCUCUCUCGAAGUAGCAGGGUUUCGAACGAGAACUCAUCUCUUACAAAGGGAUUUCAUUUUUUUAAACUUAUUUGAACUCCAUACUUUUUGUGUGUUAAAAAUGCACCAUUCAAAGGCACAUCAAAAAAUUUCAACAAUUUCUGACUUCAUUUGGUAUAUUUCGUGCAUUUACUUAUUUUUUUUGAGCUAGUUGACCCUGAAAUUGAAAAGCACUACAAAUGAACUCUGAAAAUGUUGAAAGUUGGCAUGCUGUCAUCAUUUCACCCACAUAGCAUGUGUUAAAAAGUUGAAAGGGCUAUGACAAAAACUGGAUGCAGUUCAUGUACAAAACUGACAAUCCCUCUCGAAGUAGCAGGGUUUCGAAUGAGAACUCAUCUCUUACAAAGGGAUUUCAUUUUUUUUAAACUUAUUUGAACUCCAUACUUUUUGUGUGUUCAAAAUGAACCAUUCAAAGGCACAUCACAAAAUUGCAACAAUUUCUGACUUCAUUUCGUAUAUUUCGUGCAUUUACUUAUUUUUUUUGAGCUAGUUGACCCUGAAAUUGAAAAGCACUACAAAUGUACUCUGAAAAUGUUGAAAGUUGGCAUACUAUAAUCAUUUAACCCACAUAGCAUGUGUUAAAAAGUUGAGAGGGCUACGACAAAAACUGGAUGCAGUUCGUGUACAAAACUGACAAUCUCUCUCGAAGUAGCAGGGUUUCGAACGAGAACUCAUCUCUUACAAAGGGAUUUCAUUUUUUUAAACUUAUUUGAACUCCAUACUUUUUGUGUGUUCAAAAUGCACCAUUCAAAGGCACGUCACAAAAUUUCAAUAAUUUCUCACUUCAUUUGGUAUAUUUCGUGCAUUUACUUUAUUUUUUUGAGCUAGUUGACCCUGAAAUUGNNNNNNNNNNNNNNNNNNNNNNNNNNNNNNNNNNNNNNNNNNNNNNNNNNNNNNNNNNNNNNNNNNNNNNNNNNNNNNNNNNNNNNNNNNNNNNNNNNNNCCUAUCAUGGUGAUGUCCAUCUACGAGAGGGGAUAUUCGAUCUACGUACCCUUGUAGAUCGCACAGCUGAAGUGUUAGUGAACACGGUUGAUGUAGUGGAACGUCCUGAUGUCCCUCGAUCCGCCCCGCGAACAAUCCCGCGAUCAGUCCCACGAUCUAGUACCGAACGGACGGCACCUCCGCGUUCAGCACACGUACAGCUCGACGAUGAUCUCGGCCUUCUUGAUCCAGCAAGAGAGACGGAGAGGUAGAAGAUUUCUCCGGCAGCGUGACGGCGCUCCGGAGGUUGGUGAUGACCUUGUCUCAGCAGGGCUCCGCCCGAGCUCCGUAGAAACGCGAUCUAGAGGAAAAACCGUGGAGGUAUGUGGUCGGGCUGCCGUGGAAAAGUGCGUCUUCAUAGGUUACCCAAAAGAGACAGUUGGGUACACCUUCUAUCUCAAAUCCGAGGGCAAAGUGUUUGUUGCUAAAAACGGAGUCUUUUCUCGAGAAGGUAGUUUCUCUCAAGAGAAUUGAGUGGGAGGAAGAUAGAACUUGACGUAGGUUGUNNNNNNNNNNNNNNNNNNNNNNNNNNNNNNNNNNNNNNNNNNNNNNNNNNNNNNNNNNNNNNNNNNNNNNNNNNNNNNNNNNNNNNNNNNNNNNNNNNNNCUAUUGGUUACUGACCAGAGAGUGUCUCGGUCAUGUCUACAUAGUUCUCGAACCCGCAGGGUCUUGCUACCUCUUGAGUUUGCGUUGGUUUUUCCCUUGAAGAGGAAAGGGUGAUGCAGCACAGUAGCAGUAAGUAKUUCCCUCAGUUUSAGAACCAAGGUAUCAAUCCAGUAGGAGKAUCRMGKMAAGUCWMCAAAGUACCUGCGCAAAAACAGCAAACUUGCACCCAACGCUACAAAGGGGUUGUCAAUACCUUCAAGAUUGAUUGCAAGGUGAGAUCUGAAGGCGGAAAGUGCAACAAAGUAAAAGUGUAAGGCUGAAAAUAUGAUGUGGAGUAGACCCGGGGGCCAUAGUGUUCACUAGAGGCUUCUCCAAAAUAGCAAAUAUUAUGGUGGAUGAACAAAUUACUGUCGAGCAAUUGAUAGAACUGCGCAAAGUCAUGACGAUAUCUAAGGCAAUGAUCCUACAUAUAGGCAUCACGUCCGAGACAAGUAGACCGAUACUUUCUGNNNNNNNNNNNNNNNNNNNNNNNNNNNNNNNNNNNNNNNNNNNNNNNNNNNNNNNNNNNNNNNNNNNNNNNNNNNNNNNNNNNNNNNNNNNNNNNNNNNNUAUCAUGUACUUCUUGGACCAAUUUUACAUUAUGUUCUAGUUUCUGUUUUGUUGCCAUUAUAGUUUCCCAAUUUGAAUGGUUUAGCCCUUUCUAACUUCGUUUGCUACUUUUGAAUGGUUUAGCCCUUUCUAACUUCAUGGUAUCAUGCAUUUCGACCACAUAUAUAUACAAAAAGUCUUUAGUUCAAAUAAGUUCAAAUAAGUUCAUGCAUUUCAACAUUUUCAGAGUUCAUUUGUAGUGCUUUUCAAUUUCAGGGUCAACUAGCUCAAAAAAAAUAAGUAAAUGCACGAAAUAUACCAAAUGAAGUCAGAAAUUGUUGAAAUUUUGUGAUGUGCCUUUGAAUGGUGCAUUUUGAACACACAAAAAGUAUGGAGUUCAAAUAAGUUUAAAAAAAAUGAAAUCCCUUUGUAAGAGAUGAGUUCUCGUUCGAAACCCUGCUACUUCGAGAGAGAUUGUCAGUUUUGUACACGAACUGCAUCCAGUUUUUGUCGUAGCCUUCUCAACUUUUUAACACAUGCUAAUGUGGGUGAAAUGACGAUAGCAUGCCAACUUUCAACAUUUUCAGAGUUCAUUUGUAGUGCUUUUCAAUUUCAGGGUCAACUAGCUCAAAAAAAUACGUAAAUGCACGAAAUAUACAAAAUGAAGUAAGAAAUUGUUGAAAUUUUGUGAUGUGCCUUUGAAUGGUGCAUUUUGAACACACAAAAAGUAUGGAGUUCAAAUAAGUUUAAAAAAAAAUGAAMUMCSUKUGUAAGAGAUGAGUUCUCGUUCGAAACCCAGCUACUUCCAGAGGGAUUGUCAGUUUUGUACAUGAACUGCAUCCAGUUUUUUUCAUAGCCCUCUCAACUUUUUAACACAUGCUAUGUGGGUGAAAUGAUGACAGCAUGCCAACUUUCAACAUUUUCAGAGUUCAUUUGUAGUGCUUUUCAAUUUCAGGGUCAACUAGCUCAAAAAAAAAUAAGUAAAUGCACGAAAUAUACCAAAUGAAGUCAGAAAUUGUUGAAAUUUUUUGAUGUGCCUUUGAAUGGUGCAUUUUGAACACACAAAAAGUAUGGAGUUCAAAUAAGUUUAAAAAAAUGAAAUCCCUUUGUAAGAGAUGAGUUCUCAUUCGAAACCCUGCUACUUCGAGAGAGAUUGUCAGUUUUGUACACGAACUGCAUCCAGUUUUUGUCGUAGCCCUUUCAACUUUUAACACAUGCUAUGUGGGUGAAAUGAUGAUAGCAUGCCAACUUUCAACAUUUUCACAGUUCAUUUGUAGUGCUUUUCAAUUUCAGGGUCAACUAGCUCAAAAAAAUAAGUAAAUGCACGAAAUAUACCAAAUGAAGUCAGAAAUUGUUGAAAUUUUCUGUUGUGCCUUUGAAUGGUGCAUUUUGAACACACAAAAAUUAUGGAUUUCAAAUAAGUUUUAAAAAAAUGAAAUCCUUUUGUAAGAGAUGAGUUCUCGUUCGAAACCCUGCUACUUCGAGAGAGAUUGUCAGUUUUGAACACGAACUGCAUCCAGUUUUUGUCGUAGCCCUCUCAACUUUCUAACACAUGCUAUGUGGGUUAAAUGAUGAUAGCAUGCCAACUUUCAACAUUUUUCAGAGUUCAUUUGUAGUGCUUUUCAAUUUCAGGGUCAACUAGCUCAAAAAAAAUAAGUAAAUGCACGAAAUAUACCAAAUGAAGUCAGAAAUUGUUGAAAUUUUGUGAUGUGCCUUUGAAUGGUGCAGUUUGAACACACAAAAAGUAUGGAGUUCAAAUAAGUUUUAAAAAAUGAAAUCCCUUUGUAAGAGAUGAGUUCUCGUUCGAAACCCUGCUACUUCGAGAGAGAUUGUUAGUUUUGUAAACGAACUGCAUCCAGUUUUUGUCAUAGCCCUCKCAACKUKUUAACACAUGCUAUGUGGGUGAAAUGAUGAUAGCAUGCCAACUUUCAACAUUUUCAGAGUUCAUUUGUAGUGCUUUUCAAUUUCAGGGUCAACUAGCUCAAAAAAAAAAGUAAAUGCACGAAAUAUACCAAAUGAAGUMAGAAAUUAGUUGAAAUUUUGUGUUGUGCCUUUGUAAUGGUGCAUUUUGAACANNNNNNNNNNNNNNNNNNNNNNNNNNNNNNNNNNNNNNNNNNNNNNNNNNNNNNNNNNNNNNNNNNNNNNNNNNNNNNNNNNNNNNNNNNNNNNNNNNNNGGGAUAAUUAACCCAUUUAGCUCCAAAAAGACAUAAUUAGGUAAUUUAGCUCCAACAAUAAAUAGGAAAAAUAGAAAAGAAAGAAAGAAGAAGAAGAAGAGAGGAAGGAGAAGGAGGAGGAGGAGGAGAAGGCCAAGGACCUUCUAGUCCUUCUCCUCCUCCUUGUCCUCCUUCUUGAUUUUCUUUUUCUUUCUCCUCCUCCUCCUCUUUCCUCUCCUMUUUCAUAUUAUCCUUGCUUUUAAUUUCCCCAAAAAUGACAUAAUUAGCUCAUUUAGCUCCAAAAUGCCAUAAUAACCUCAAAAUGGCAUAAGAACCUUGGUUAGAUCAUGAAUAUUAUAUACUUAGCUUGUUUUCCUAUAAAAUGAGAUAAUUAGCCCAUUUAGCUCCAAAAAGACAUAAUUAGGUAAUUUAGCUCCAAGAAGAGGAGAAGAGGAGAAGAGGAGAAGAAAUAAGAAAAAUGAAAAGAAAGAAGAAGAUGAAGAAGAGAAGAAUGAGAAGGAGGAGGAGUAGGAGGAGAAGGAGGAGAAGGCCAAGGACCUUCUAGUCCUUAUCCUCCUCCUCCUUCUCCUUCUUAUCCUCCCUCUUCUUGAUUUCUUCUUCUUCUCCUCCUCCUCCUCUUUUCUUCUCCCCUUUCAUAUUAUCCUUGCUUUAAUUUCCCCAAAAAGACAAUAAUUAGCCCAUUUAGCUCCAAAAUGCCAUAAUAAGGUCAAAAUGGCAUAAGAACCUUGGUUAGCUCAUGAAUAUUAUAUACUUAGCUUGUUUUCCUCUAAUAUGAGAUAUUUAGCCCAUUUAGCUCCAAGAAGACAUAGUUAGCUAAUUUAGCUCCUAGAAGAGGAGAAGAAAUAGGAAAAAUGAAAAGAAAGAAUAAGAAGAAGAAGAGAAGAAGGAGAAGGAGGAGGAGAAGGACGAAGGACGUAGNNNNNNNNNNNNNNNNNNNNNNNNNNNNNNNNNNNNNNNNNNNNNNNNNNNNNNNNNNNNNNNNNNNNNNNNNNNNNNNNNNNNNNNNNNNNNNNNNNNNCACGAAAUAUACGAAAUGAAGUUCAGAAAUUGUUAGCUAAUUUUGUUGAUGUGCCUUUGUAAUGGUCCAUUUUGAACUACACAAAAAGUAUAGGAGUUCAAAUAAGUUUAAAAAAAAUGAAAAUCCCUUUGUAAGAGAUGAGUUCUCAUUCGAAACCCUSCUACUUCGAGAGAGAUUGUCAGUUUUGUACACGAACUGCAUCCAGUUUUUGUCGUAGCCCUCUCAACUUUUUAACACAUGCUAUGUGGGUUAAAUGAUUAUAGUAUGUGAACUUUCAACAUUUUUAGAGUACAUUUGUAGUGCUUUUCAAUUUCAGGGUCAACUAGCUCAAAAAAAAUAAGUAAAUGCACGAAAUAUACGAAAUGAAGUCAGAAAUUGUUGACUAAUUUUGUGAUGUUGACCUUUGGAAUGGUCCAUUUUGAACACACAAAAAGUAUGGAGUUCAAAUAAGUUUAAAAAAAUGAAAUCCCUUUGUAAGAGAUGAGUUCUCGUUCGAAACCCAGCUACUUCCAGAGGAGGGGGGGGGGUUUNNNNNNNNNNNNNNNNNNNNNNNNNNNNNNNNNNNNNNNNNNNNNNNNNNNNNNNNNNNNNNNNNNNNNNNNNNNNNNNNNNNNNNNNNNNNNNNNNNNNUCAAGGSCCUACGUAGCGAUGAGUUCUCGUUCGAAACCCUGCUACUUCGAGAGARAUUGUCAGUUUUGUACACGAACUGCAUCMAGUUUUUCUCGUAGCCCUCUCAACUUUUUAACACAUGCUAUGUGGGUGAAAUGAUGAUAGCAUGCCAACUUUCAACAUUUUCACAGUUCAUUUGUAGUGCUUUUCAAUUUCAGGGUCAACUAGCUCMAAAAAAAUAAGUAAAUGCACGAAAUAUACAAAAUGAAGUAAGAAUUAGUUGAAAUUUUGUGAUGUGCCUUUGAAUGGUGCAUUUUGAACACACAAAAAGCAUGGAGUUCAAAUAAGUUUAAAAAAAUGAAAUCCCUUUGUAAGAGAUGAGUUCUCGUUCGAAACCCUGCUACUUCGAGAGGGAUUGUCAGUUUUCUACAUGAACUGCAUCCAGUUUUUGUCAUAGCCCUUUCAACUUUUUAACACAUGCUAUGUGGGUGAAAUGAUGACAGCAUGCCAACUUUCAACAUUUUCAGAGUUCAUUUGUAGUGCUUUUCAAUUUCAGGGUCAACUAGCUACAAAAAAAUAAGUAAAUGCACGAAAUAUACCAAAUGAAGUCAAGAAAGCNNNNNNNNNNNNNNNNNNNNNNNNNNNNNNNNNNNNNNNNNNNNNNNNNNNNNNNNNNNNNNNNNNNNNNNNNNNNNNNNNNNNNNNNNNNNNNNNNNNNGGUAAAGGAUAGUAGCAUUGUCCCUUCUCUCUUUUCUCUCAUUUUUUUAUUUUUUUCUUCUUUUUUUGGUGGGCUUCUUUGGCCUUCUUUUUACUUCCUCACAUGGGACAAUGMUCYAWYAAUGAUGAUCAUCACACUUACAACUCAAAACUUAGAGCAAUGAUGACUCUAUAUGGAAUGCACUUCGGUAGUGUACCGUGACAAUGAUCUAGCAUGGCAUAGACAUCAAUGGAAACAUCAUGCUAGCUAUCUUAUGAUCAUGCAAUGGCAAUGUAGAAGUGGUGGCACAUGUCAUGGUGGUAGUUUCAUGGCAAUAUAUCUCGGAAUGGCUUUGAAAAAACCAUAGUAGGUAGGUAUGGUGGUUGUUUUGAGGAAGGCAUAUGGUGGGUUUGUGUACCGGCAAAAAAUGCGCGACACUAGAGAGGCUAGCAAUGGUGGAUGGUGAAAGUGCAUCUAUACCAUGGACUCACAUUAGUCAUGAAGAACUCACAUACUUGUUGCGAAAGUUUUUAUUAUUAAUCGAAACAAAGUGCUAAACGCAUACUCCUAGGGGAAGGGUUGGUAGGUGUUAACCAUNNNNNNNNNNNNNNNNNNNNNNNNNNNNNNNNNNNNNNNNNNNNNNNNNNNNNNNNNNNNNNNNNNNNNNNNNNNNNNNNNNNNNNNNNNNNNNNNNNNNUCUGAAAACUUACGACUGCCUGGGAAAAAGGAAUAUCAACCAGCAGAAAAAAGAAUCAACUCAUAAUCUUUUUUCUGAAUAAAAAUGAAAAAUCAUCUCGUGAGCGAAAAGUUUCUAUCUUUUUUUCCAGCAGGAUCAAACGAUCAUCCCCAAGACUAAUCAUAACGGUUUCACUUGGCACAAAGGAAAAAGAAACACAAAAAAACACAAUCAUAACAGAAUUAUGAAAGUAUGGAAAACACUAAACAGAAAGAAAAAGAUAAAUUCAUUGGGUUGCCUCCCAACAAGCGCUAUUGUUUAACGCCCUUAGCUAGGCAUUGAUAAUUCAAUGAUGCUCACACAAAAGACAAGAAUUGAAGCACAACGAGAGCAUCAUAAAGCAUGUGAAAAUCACAUSUAAGUCUAACAUACUUCCUAUGCAUAGGCAUUUUAUAGGAAAMWRAUUGUCAAGACAACCAAUAGUUACCGUAUGCAAGGAAGAAGAAAGAGACAAUAGCAAUCUCCACAUAACGAGAGGUAAUUUGGUAACAUGAAAGUUUCUACCACAAUAUUUUCCUCUCUCAUAGUAAUUACAUGUGGGAUCAUAUUCGAAUUAAACAAUGUAACUAUCACAUAGGAUAUUCUUUUCAUGAUCCACAUGCAUGCAAAGUUGACGCUCUUCAAAAAUAGUCGGAUUAUCAUCAACUAAAGUCAUGAUUUCUCCAAACCCACUUUCAAUGAUAUUGCAAAUAUCAUAUUCAUCAUGAGGCUUAAACAAAUUUUCAAGAUCAUAAGAAAAAUCAUCGCCCCACUCAUGAUCAUUGCAACAAGUAGGGAGMCGMUUAUAUAGAGUGCACUAUGUCCCAUGACAAUUGCCAUUACAAGGGUUUAAAUAUGUCUAANNNNNNNNNNNNNNNNNNNNNNNNNNNNNNNNNNNNNNNNNNNNNNNNNNNNNNNNNNNNNNNNNNNNNNNNNNNNNNNNNNNNNNNNNNNNNNNNNNNNGGAUUCAAAUAAGUUUAAAAAAAAUAGAAAUACCCUUUGUAAGAGAUGAGUUCUCGUUCGAAACCCUGCUACUUCGAGAGAGAUUGUCAGUGUUGUACACGAACUGCAUCCAGCUUUUGUCGUAGCCCUCUCAACUUUCUAACACAUGCUAUGUGGGUUAAAUUAUGAUAGCAUGCCAACUUUCAACAUUUUCAGAGUUCAUUUGUAGUGCUUUUCAAUUUCAGGGUCAACUAGCUCAAAAAAAAGUAAAUGCACGAAAUAUACCAAAUGAAGUCAGAAAUUGUUGAAAUUUUGUGAUGUGCCUUUGAAUGGUGCAUUUUGAACACACAAAAAGUAUGGAGUUCAAAUAAGUUUAAAAAAUAUGAAAUCCCUUUGUUAAGAGAUGAGUUCUCGUUCGAAACCCUGCUACUUCGAGAGAGAUUGUCAGUUUUGUACACGAACUGCAUCCAGUUUUUUUCGUAGCCCUCUCAACUUUUUUAACACAUGCUAUGUGGGUGAAAUGAUGAUAGCAUGUCAACUUUCAACAUUUUCAGAGUUCAUUUGUAGUGCUUUUCAAUUUCAGGGUCAACUAGCUCAMAAAAAAAUAAGUAAAUGCACGAAAUAUACCAAAUGAAGUGAGAAAUUAUUNNNNNNNNNNNNNNNNNNNNNNNNNNNNNNNNNNNNNNNNNNNNNNNNNNNNNNNNNNNNNNNNNNNNNNNNNNNNNNNNNNNNNNNNNNNNNNNNNNNNAAAUGAAGGGCGGGGAGGAGAUGAAAUUUGUACUGACCCACGAAUGGCAGGGGCGGAGCUCGUACAACGCACGGGCAGGUCUUCGCACAGCAGACCUCACAGCGACGAGACAACUACCACAUGUAAAUCCACCCGAUCAACGCAAAUAUUCCAAUUAUGUCAUUUUAGAGGAAAACAAGCUAAGUAUAUAAUAUUCAUGAGCUAACCAAGGUUCUUAUGCCAUUUUGAGCUUAUUAUGGUAUUUUCGAGGUAAAUGGGCUCAUUAUGUCAUUGUUGGGUUAAUUAAAGCAAGGAUAAUAUGAAAGAGGAGAAGAAAGAGGAGGAGGAGGAGAAGAAGAAGAAAUCAAGAAGAAGGAGGAGAAGGAGGGGGAGGAGAAGGACUAGAAGGUCCUUGGCCUUCUCCUCCUCCUCCUCCUCCUCCUUCUCCUUCUUCUCUUCUUCUUCUCUUCUUCUUCUUCUUCUUUCUUUUCAUUUUGCCUAUUUCUUCUCGUCUUCUCCUCUUGUUGGAGCUAAAUUACCUAAUUAUGUCUUUUUUGAGCUAAAUGGGCUAAUUAUCCCAUUUUAGAGGAAAACAAGCUAAGUAUAUAAUAUUAAUGAGCUAACCAAGGUUCUUAUGCCAUUUUGAGCUUAUUAUGGUAUUUUGGAGCUAAAUGGGCUAAUUAUGUCAUUGUUGGGUUAAUUAAAGCAAGGAUAAUAUGAAAGAGGAGAAGAAAGAGGAGGAGGAGGAGAAGAAAAGAASAGGAAGRAGGAGRAGGAGAGGAGAAGGAGGAGGAGGAGAAGGAUAGAAKSUSCUUGGCCUUCUCCUCCUCCUCCUCCUCCUUCUCCUUCUUCUCUUCUUCUUCUUCUUCUUCUUCUUCUUUCUUUUCUAUUUUGCCUUAUUUCUUCUCCUCUUCUCCUCUUGUUGAGCUAAAUUGCUACGUGNNNNNNNNNNNNNNNNNNNNNNNNNNNNNNNNNNNNNNNNNNNNNNNNNNNNNNNNNNNNNNNNNNNNNNNNNNNNNNNNNNNNNNNNNNNNNNNNNNNNAAAUCCCUUUGUAAGAGAUGAGUUCUCGUUCGAAACCCUCCUACUUCGAGAGAGAUUGUCAGUUUUGUACACGAACUGCAUCCAGUUUUGUCGUAGCCCUCUCAACUUUUAACACAUGCUAUGUGGGUGAAAUGAUGAUAGCAUGUAAACUUUCAACAUUUUCAGAGUUCAUUUGUAGUGCUUUUCAAUUUCAGGGUCAACUAGCUACAAAAAAAAAUAGUAAAUGCACGAAAUAUACCAAAUGAAGUGAGAAAUUAUUGAAAUUUUGUGAUGUGCCUUUGAAUGGUACAUUUUGAACACACAAAAAGUAAUGGAGUUCAAAUAAGUUUAAAAAAAAUAGAAAUACCCUUUGUAAGAGAUGAGUUCUCUUUCGAAACCCUGCUACUUCGAGAGAGAUUGUCAGUUUUGUACACGAACUGCAUCCAGUUUUUCUCGUAGCCCUCUCAACUUUAUAACACAUGCUAUGUGGGUGAAAUGAUGAUAGCAUGCCAACUUUCAACAUUUUCAGAGUUCAUUUGUAGUGCUUUUCAAUUUCAGGGUCAACUAGCUACAAAAAAAAAUAAAWAUGCACGAAAUAUGCCAAAUNNNNNNNNNNNNNNNNNNNNNNNNNNNNNNNNNNNNNNNNNNNNNNNNNNNNNNNNNNNNNNNNNNNNNNNNNNNNNNNNNNNNNNNNNNNNNNNNNNNNCGCAUUUACUAUGGAUGACGCAAACUCUUAAGGAUUMWSGUAUKCAUGUGAAACAUGUUCCAUUGUUGCGUUAUAGUGGAAGUGCUAUUAAAAUUAGUUCAUAAUCCACUAAACAUUCACGAACUAAACAUAUUCAAGCGCGACAUCAUUUCAUUCGUGAUCAUGUUGGUAAAGGAGAUAUUAAUCUCAAGCAUGUUCGUACCAACAAACAAUUGGCUGAUAUCUUUACAAAACCACUUGAUGAGAAAGUGUUUUCCAUUUGAGGAGUGAGUUGACCAUCAUAUAUAGAUGCUUCAAACUCGAGCUAGACUCACUCGGAUGCAUGCAAGGGCAUGAGCUUACCUUAUUAUUUCAUGAUGCUAUUGAUGUGACACUAUCUUAUAUCUUGGAAAACUAUGCUCCCUUGUAUUGCAUCUAACCUUACUUUAGGUACUUGGAAGAAUUACAAUUCACAAGAUUUCCAUCAACUCACAUCAAACGCAAUCUUGUCAUGGCCAAGUAUCAACAACCCCUUCUUCGAAUAUNNNNNNNNNNNNNNNNNNNNNNNNNNNNNNNNNNNNNNNNNNNNNNNNNNNNNNNNNNNNNNNNNNNNNNNNNNNNNNNNNNNNNNNNNNNNNNNNNNNNCUCACCACGCCAGAAUGAAACUUCCGACCGCGUCCUCAAAAAUACACCUUCUCAGGUUGCUAAAAUAACCAGAAAGAAUACUGGGCAUCCNCGAAACACUUUUCCGCCGCCGCAAGCUUCCGUUUCCGCGAGAUCUCAUCUGGAGACCCUUCCCAGUGCCCUGCCGGAGGGGACUUUGGAGUUGGAGGGCUUCUACAUCAACAUCAUCGCCUCUCCAAUGACUCGUGAGUAGUCCACUUCAGACCUACGGGUCCGUAGUUAGUAGCUAGAUGGCUUUUUCUCUCUCUUGGAUCUACAAUACAAUGUUUUCCAUGAUCUUCAUGGAGAUCUAUCCGAUGUAAUCCUCUUUGGCGGUGUGUUUGUCGAGAUCCGAUAAAUUGUGGAUUUGUGGUCAGAUUAUCUAUGAAUUAUAUUUGAGUCUUUGCUGAUUUCUUAUAUGCAUGAUUUGAUAUCCUUGUAAGUCUCUCCGAGUCUUGGGUUUUGUUUGGCCAACUAGAUCUAUGAUUCUUGCAAUGGGAGAAGUGCUUGGUUUUGGGUUCAUACCGUGAGGUGACCUUUCCCAGUGAUAGAAGGGGCAGCAAGGCACACAKGGGAUWGKUGCCAUCAAGGGUAACAAGAUNNNNNNNNNNNNNNNNNNNNNNNNNNNNNNNNNNNNNNNNNNNNNNNNNNNNNNNNNNNNNNNNNNNNNNNNNNNNNNNNNNNNNNNNNNNNNNNNNNNNUUGUUGCAAUGAUCAAGAUUGGGGUAAUGAUUUUUCUUAUGAUCUUAAAAAAUUUGUUUAAGCCUCAUGAUGAAUAUGAUAUUUGCAAUAAUAUUGAAGGUGGGUUUGGAGAAGUCAUGACUUUAGUUGAUGAUAAUCCCACUAUUUUUGAUGAGCGUCAACUUUGCAUGUAUGUGGAUCAUGAAAAGAAUAUCCUAUGUGAUAGCUAUAUUGUUGAAUUUGAAUAUGAUCCCACAUGUAAUUAUUGUGAGAGAGGAAAAUAUGGUGGUAGAAAUUUUCAUACCACUAAAUCACCUCUUGUUUUGUUGAGAUUGAUAUUGUCUCUUUCUUCUUCCUUGCAUAUGGUAACUAUUGGUUGUCUUGACAAUUUAUUUUCCUAUAAAAUGCCUAUGCAUAGGAAGUAUGUUAGACUUAGAUGUUAUUUUCACAUGCUUUAUGAUGCUCUCGUUGUGCUUCAAUUCUUGUGUUUUGUGUGAGCAUCAUUGAAUUAUCAAUGCCUAGCUAAGGGCGUUAAACAAUAGCGCUUGUUGGGAGGCAACCCAAUGUAUUUAUCUUUGCUUUUUUUCUUUCUUGUUUUUUUUUUGUGUCCACACCGUCAUAAUUUUGUUAUGAUUGUUGUUUUUUUUUGUUUUCUUUUUUGUUGUUUGAGCCAAGUAAACCUUUAUGACUGGUUUUGGUGAUGUUGUUUGAUCUUNNNNNNNNNNNNNNNNNNNNNNNNNNNNNNNNNNNNNNNNNNNNNNNNNNNNNNNNNNNNNNNNNNNNNNNNNNNNNNNNNNNNNNNNNNNNNNNNNNNNUUCUGAUUAUGAACAAGGUGUUGUUGCUUGACAACUGGAUCACGUCAUUAGGAGAAUCAUGUGAUGGACUAGACCCAAACUAAUAGACGUAGCAUGUUGAUCGUGUCAUUUUUGUUGCUACUGUUUUCUGCGUGUCAAGUAUUUAUUCCUAUGACCAUGAGAUCAUAUAACUCACUGACACCGGAGGAAUGCUUUGUGUGUAUCAAAUGUCGCAACGUAACUGGGUNACUAUAAAGAUGCUCUACAGGUAUCUCCGAAGGUGUUCGUCGAGUUAGUAUGGAUCGAGAGUGGGAUUUGUCACUCCGUGUGACGGAGAGGUAUCUCGGGGCCCACUCGGUAAUACAACAUCACACACAAGCCUUGCAAGCAAUGUGACUUAGUGUAAGUUGCGGGAUCUUGUAUUACGGAACGAGUAAAGAGACUUGCCAGUAAACGAGAUUGAAAUAGGUAUGCGGAUACUGACGAUCGAAUCUCGGGCAAGUAACAUACCGAAGGACAAAGGGAAUGACAUACGGGAUUAUAUGAAUCCUUGGCACUGAGGUUCAAACGAUAAGAUCUUCGUAGAAUAUGUAGGAUCCAAUAUGGGCAUCCAGGUCCCGCUAUUGGAUAUUGACCGAGGAGUCACUCGGUUCAUGUCUACUUGGUUCUCGAACCCGCAGGGUCUGCACACUUNNNNNNNNNNNNNNNNNNNNNNNNNNNNNNNNNNNNNNNNNNNNNNNNNNNNNNNNNNNNNNNNNNNNNNNNNNNNNNNNNNNNNNNNNNNNNNNNNNNNGUAGUAUGUUGAUAGGACUAUGUAUUGGAGGGCAAGGGUGACAGAAGCUUCAUCCUAGCAUCGAAAUUGAUGCAUACGGGAUUGAAGGGGGAACAAUAUAUUUUAUUGCUAUGGUUGGGUUUUACCUUAAUGAACGUUAGUAGUUGCGGAUGCUUGCUAAUAGUUCCAAUCAUAAGUGCAUAGAAUUCCAAGUAAGGGAUGACAUGCUAGCAGUGGCCUCUCCCACAUAAAACUUGCUAUCGGUCUAGUAACGUAGUCAAUUGCUUAGGGACAAUUCCGCAACUCCUACCACCAAUUUUCCACACUUGUUAAACUAACGUAAUUGUUCUUAGCAGCCCCUAGUCUUUAUUUACGUGUUCUUUCUUUUCUUGCAAACCUAUCCUAUCACUCCUACAAAGUACUUCUAGUUUCAUACUUGUUCUAGGUAAAGCGAACGUAAAGUGUGCGUAGAGUUGUAUCGGUGGUCGAUAGAACUUGAGCGAAUAUGAUCCUACUUUAGCUCCUCGUUGGUUCGACACUCUUACUUAUCGGCUACGUCGNNNNNNNNNNNNNNNNNNNNNNNNNNNNNNNNNNNNNNNNNNNNNNNNNNNNNNNNNNNNNNNNNNNNNNNNNNNNNNNNNNNNNNNNNNNNNNNNNNNNAUCCCCAAGCUUAACUCCUGCUCGUCCUCGAGUAGGGAAGUGAUAAAGACCGAAUUUUUGAUGUGGAAUGCUACCUAACAUACUUGUCCUUUGUAACUUCUUUCAUGUGACAUGAAUGUUCAGAUCCAUGAGAUUCAAAACAAUAGUUUUCUAUUGACAUGAAAACAAUAAUACUUCAAGCAAACUAGCAAGGUAAUCAUGAACUUUCGAAAUAACAAGGCUAAAGAAAGUUAUCCCUACAAAAUCAUAUAGUCUGGCUAUGCUCCAUCAUCCCCACAUAAUGAAUUUAAAUCAUGCACAACCCCGGWAUUGGCCAAGUAAUUGUUUUCGCACUCUUUUACUUUCUCAAACUUUUUAUAACUAUCACGCAAUACAUCAGCGUGAGCCAUGGAUAUUGUACUAUAGGUGGAAUAGAGUGUGGUGGUGGUUGUGAGAGAAAAAGGAGGAGAUGGUCACAUUGACUCGGCGUAUACGAAAGGGCUAGUGGAGAUGACCCAUUAAUAGAUAUNNNNNNNNNNNNNNNNNNNNNNNNNNNNNNNNNNNNNNNNNNNNNNNNNNNNNNNNNNNNNNNNNNNNNNNNNNNNNNNNNNNNNNNNNNNNNNNNNNNNCACGUAGCUAUGAAAGAGGAGAAGAAAUAGGAGGAGGAGGAGAAGAAGAAAAAUCAAGAAGAAGGAGGUGAAGGAGAUGGAGGAGAAGGACUAGAAGGUCCUUGGCCUUCUCCUCCUCCUUCUCMUUCUUCUCUUCUUCWUCUUMUUCUUUCUUUUCAUUUUUCUUAUUUCUUCUCCUCUUCUCCUCUUCUCCUCUUCUUGGAGCUAAAUUACCUAAUUAUGUCUUUUUGGAGCUAAAUGGGCUAAUUAUCUCAUUUUAUAGGAAAACAAGCUAAGUAUAUAAUAUUCAUGAUCUAACCAAGGUUCUUAUGCCAUUUUGAGGUUAUUAUGGCAUUUUGGAGCUAAAUGAGCUAAUUAUGUCUUUUUGGGGAAAUUAAAGCAAGGAUAAUAUGAAAGAGGAGAAGAAAGAGGAGGAGGAGGAGAAGAAGAAGAAAUCAAGAAGAAGGAGGAAGAAAAAGGAGAAGGAGGAGGAGAUAAGGACUAGAAGGUCCUGGCCUUCUCCUCCUUCUCCUCCUACCUCCUCCUCCGCUCGUNNNNNNNNNNNNNNNNNNNNNNNNNNNNNNNNNNNNNNNNNNNNNNNNNNNNNNNNNNNNNNNNNNNNNNNNNNNNNNNNNNNNNNNNNNNNNNNNNNNNAGGAGACUAUUAAACGGAGUCCAAACGGAAUAAAACCUGCGGAAUGAUUUUUUCCAUAACAGAAGACACGCAGGAGACUUGAGAACCAGGGAAGGGGACCUCGGAGGAGGUCACAAGCCACCUAGGACCGACCUAGGGGGAGGGCGGGCCUAGCAGGCUUGUGGGCCCCCUGUGGUUCCCCUGCCCUAGUUCUUCCGCCUAUAAAUUCCAUAAAAAUCUGAAAACACGAAAGAGAGCCACGAAAAUACUUUUCCACCGCCGCAAGCUUCUCUCUCCGCAAGAUCCCAUCUGGGGAACGUUCUGGUGCCCUGCCGGAGGGGGAUUCGCACACUGAGGGCUUCUUCAUGAAAACCNUUGCCUCUCCGAUGAUGCGUGAGUAGUUCACCAUAGACCCUWCSGGUCCWUAGCUAGUAGCUAGAUGGCUUCUUCUCUCUCUURGAUMUUCAAUACAAAGUUCUCCAUGAUCUUCAUGGAGWUCUAUCCAAUGUAAUAUUCUUUUGCGGUGUGUUUGUCGAGAUUCGAUGAAUUGUGGAUUUAUGAUCAUAUUAUCUAUGAAUCUUAUUUGAGUUUCUUCUGAUCUCUUAUAUGCAUGAUUUCAUAUCCUUGUAAUUCUCUUCGAGUUGUGGGUUUUGUUUGGCCAACUAGAUCUAUGAUUCUUGCAAUGGGAGAAGUGCUUGGUUUUGGGUUCAUACCGUGCGGUGACCUUUCCCAGUGACAAAAGGGGCAGCAAGGCACACAGGGGAUAGGNNNNNNNNNNNNNNNNNNNNNNNNNNNNNNNNNNNNNNNNNNNNNNNNNNNNNNNNNNNNNNNNNNNNNNNNNNNNNNNNNNNNNNNNNNNNNNNNNNNNGCUUUUCAUGAACUUAGUACACUAGAUGCAUGCUGGAUAGCGGUCGAUGUGUGGAGUAAUAGUAGUAGAUGCAGAAAGUAUCGGUCUACUUGUCUCGAACGUGAUGCCUAUAGAUAUGAUCAUUGCCAUAGAUAACGUCAUGACUUUGCGCGGUUCUAUAAAUUGCUCGACAGUAAUUCGUUCACCCACCGUCUACUUGCUUUCAUGAGAGAAGCCACUAGUGAACACUACAGCCCCCCGGGUCUAUUCACAACUAUCGUUUCCACUUUUACUUUUACUUUGGUUUGUUUACUUUUUGCUUUCAGUUCUCACUUUGCAAACAAUCUAUAAGGGAUUGACAACCCCUUCAUAGCAUUGGGUGCAAGCUCUUUGUGUUUGUGCAGGUACUUGUGACUUGACGCGAUCCUCCUACKSKACKUGAUACCUUGGUUCUGAAACUGAGGGAACUACUUACCGCCGCUGUGCUACAUCACCCUUUCCUCUUCAAGGGAACAACAACGCAAGGCUCCAAGGCACGCNNNNNNNNNNNNNNNNNNNNNNNNNNNNNNNNNNNNNNNNNNNNNNNNNNNNNNNNNNNNNNNNNNNNNNNNNNNNNNNNNNNNNNNNNNNNNNNNNNNNAUCACACCAUAGGGUUAGUAUUAUGUUGAUAGGACUAUGUAUUGGAGGGGAAGGGUGAUAGAAGCUUCAGCCUAGCAUAGAAACUGAUGCAUGCGGGAUUGAAGGGGCCCAAUAUAUCUUAUUGCUAUGGUUGGGUUUUAACUUAUUGAACGUUAGUAGUUGCGGAUGCUUGCUAAUAGAUCCAAUCAUAAGUGCAUAGAAUUUCAAGUAAGGGAUGACAUGCUAGCAGUGGCCUCUCCCACAUAAAACUUGCUAUCAGUCUAGUAACCGUAGUCAAUUGCUUAGGGACAAUUUCCGCAACUCCUACCACCACUUUUCCACACUCGUUAAACUAACGUAAUUUUUUCUUAGCAGCCCCUAGUCUUUAUUUACGUGUUCUUUCUUUUCUUGCAAACCUAUCCUAUCACUCCUACAAAGUACUUCUAGUUUCAUACUUGUUCUAGGUAAAGCGAACGUAAAGUGUGCGUAGAGUUGUAUCGGUGGUCGAUAGAACUUGAGCGAAUAUUGAUCCUACCUUUAGCUCCUCGUUGGGUUCGACACUCUUACUUAUCGAGAAAGGCUACAAUUGAUCCCCUAUACUUGUGGGUUAUCAAGACCUUUGCUACGUGNNNNNNNNNNNNNNNNNNNNNNNNNNNNNNNNNNNNNNNNNNNNNNNNNNNNNNNNNNNNNNNNNNNNNNNNNNNNNNNNNNNNNNNNNNNNNNNNNNNNAUGCUUUUCAAUUUAAGGGUCAUGUAGCUCAAAAAAAUCAGUAAAUGCAUGAAAAAUACAAAAUGCAGUCAUAAAUUGUUCAAAAUUGAUGAUGUGGCUUUAAAUGGUGCAUUUUGAACACACAAAAAGUCUGGAGUUCAAAUAAGUUCAAAAAGAUGAAAUCCCUUUGUAAUAGAUGAGUUUUCAUGUGAAUCUGUGAUACUUCGAAAGAGAUUCUCCGUUUUGUACACGAAGUGCAUCCAGUUUUUGCCAUAACCCUCUCAACUAUUUAGCACAUGCUUUGUGGGUGAAAUGAUGAUACUAUGCCAAUUUUCAAUCUUUUCAGAGGUGAUUUGUAGUGCUUUUCAAUUUAAGGGUCAUUUAGCUCAAAAAAACAAUAAAUUUAUGAAAAAUACCAAAUGAAGUCAAAAAUUGUUGAAAAUUGAUGAUGUGGCUUUGAAUGGUGCAUUUUGAACACACAAAAAGUAUGGAGUUCAAAUAAUAUCAAUAAAAUGAAAUCCCUUUGUAACAGAUGAGUUUUCGUAUGAAACCCUCAUACUUCGAAAGAGAUUGUCCAUUUUGUACACAAAGUGCAUCCAGUUUUUGCGCAACCCUCUCAACUUUUUAGCACAUCCUAUGUCGGUGAAAUGAUGAUACCAUGCCAACUUUCAACCUUUUUAGAGUUUAUUUGUAGUGCUUUCCAAUUUAAGGGUCAUUUAGUCCAAAAUAUCAGUAAAUGCAUGAAAAAUAGCAAAUGAAGUCAGAAUUUGUUGAAAAUUGAUGAUGUGGCUUUGAAUGGUGCAUUUUGAGAAAUGUUGUGACCUAAAAGCAAAAAAGAAUCAACGAAAAACAAUAAGUAGGAACAAGAAAAAGUAAAGUAAAAAAUAAAACAAAAAACUAGAUUUAAAAAAAAUGCCACCUACUAGGCCACAACGGCGUGAAUACGACUAGAAACCCAUCCUCCUGGUUGGGCCAGGAUUCAGGCCCACACAAGGCCCAAUAGGCCCACAGGCAGUGACAGAUUAGGUCCGAAAGCUUGCAGUUGAGAGGAGCUCGACAGAUUGUGCGCAGCAGCGAUUAUAAACCACUCGCGAGCUCUCUCGGCAAGCGAGGUGGGACUAAAAAUUUAGACCCGGGCAACACCACACUUUGGUCCCGGUUGGUGCCUCCAACCGGGACCAAUACCACCCUUUCGUCCCGGUUGGAGCCACCAACCGAUACUAAAGGUCUCUUCUUCCCGCCCUUUUGGACUGCUGAAAAUUGACCUUUAGUCCCGGUUGGUGGCUCCAACCGGGACAAAAGGGUGGCAUUGGUGUCGGUUGGAGCUACCAACGGGGACCAAAGGUGUUCGCAUAUAUGGCGGGACUUACCAAAAUUUCUACCAACUCCCAUUUGCCCCGUUCUCUUCUCUCCUCACCGUCGUCGUUGCCGCCCCGAGCCCGUCGCCGCCGGCCCGCGCCUUCUCCACGAGCCCAUCGUCAUUGUCGCCAUCGCCCCGAGCCCGUUGUCACGCCGAGCCCGUCGUCGCCCCGAGCCCGUCACCGUCGUCGUCGCCCCCGAGCCUGUCGCCGUCGUCGUCAUCCCGAGCCCGUCAUCACCGUCACCCCCGAGGCCAUAAACGUCCCCGCUGCCGUCGCCCCCGAGCCCAUCGCCCCAAGCCAAUCGCCGUCGCCGUCACUGAUAACCCACAAGUAUAGGGGAUCAAUUGUAGCCUUUCUCGAUACGUAAGAGUGUUGAACCCAACGAGGAUCUAAAGGUAGGAUAAAUAUUCCCUCAAGUUCUAUCGACCACCGAUACAACUCUACGCACACUUCACGUUCGCUUUACCUAGAACAAGUAUGAAACUAGAAGUACUUUGUAGGAGUGAUAGGAUAGGUUUGCAAGAAAAGAAAGAACACGUAAAUAAAGACUAGGGGCUGCUAAGAAAAAAUUACGUUAGUUUAACGAGUGUGGAAAAGUGGUGGUAGGAGUUGCGGAAUUGUCCCUAAGCAAUUGACUACGUUACUAGACUGAUAGCAAGUUUUAUGUGGGAGAGGCCACUGCUAGCAUGUCAUCCCUUACUUGAAAUUCUAUGCACUUAUGAUUGGAUCUAUUAGCAAGCAUCCGCAACUACUAACGUUCAAUAAGUUAAAACCCAACCAUAGCAAUAAGAUAUAUUGGGCCCCCUUCAAUCCCGCAUGCAUCAGUUUCUAUGCUAGGCUGAAGCUUCUAUCACCCUUCCCCUCCAAUACAUAGUCCUAUCAACAUAAUACUAACCCUAUCGUGUGAUCCACGCGCGCGCUCAUAUGAUGGGCACCAAAGGACAGCAACAUAACCACAAGCAAAUCAAACCAAUCACACCAAUUCAUCAAUAACCGAUAGGACAACAAAAAUCUACUCAGACAUCAUAGGAUGGCAACACAUCAUCGGAUAAUAAUAUGAAGCACAAAGCACCAUGUUCAAGUAGAGGGUACAGCGGGUUGCGGGAGAGUGGACCGCUGAAUAUAGAUGGGGGAAGGAGAAGGAGGUGUUGGUGAAGAUGACGGACGUGUUGGUGUAGAUCGCUGUCACACGAUGAUGUCCCGGGCGGCGUUCCGGCACCGCCGGGAGAGAGGGGGAGGGAGCCCCCCUUCUUCUUCUUCUUCCUUGACCUCCUCCCUAGAUGGGAGAAGGGUUUCCCCUCUGGUCCAUGGUCUCCAUGGCGGCGGAGGGGCGAGAGCCCCUCCGAGAUUGGAUCUCUCUCUGUGUGUCCUUCUGUUUGUGCGCUCCCAGAUUCUGCCUUUCACCGUUUCUUAAAAUUCCCGGAGAUCCAUAACUCCAAGUGGGCUGAUUUUAACACGAUUUUCUUCCGGAUAUUAGCUUUCUUGCGGCGAAAGAAGGGCCCCAACCGCCUUAGGGAUUGGUCACAAGCCUGCCUGCCGUGCCCUAGGGGGCACCUCCUAGGCUUGUGACCCCCUCGGGCAUCGUUUUGCGUUGAUUCUUCUUCCCAAAAAUCAUAAAUAUUCCAUAAAAAAUCACCAUAGGUUUUUUAUUGUGUUUGGACUUCGUUUGGUAUGGAUAUUAUACGAAACAAAAAACAUGCAACAAACAGGAACUGGCACUGGGAACUGGAUCAAUAUUUUAGUCCCAAAAAUAGUAUAAAAAGUUGCCAAAAGUAUAUGUAAGUUGUAGAAUAUUGGCAUGAAACAAUCAAAAAUUAUAGAUACGACGGAGACGUAUCAGCAUCCCCAAGCUUAAUUUCUGCUCGUCCUCGAGUAUGUUGGAAUUAUGCCCUAGAGGCAAUAAUAAAUAUAGUUAUUAUUAUAAUUCCUGUAUCAAGAUAAUCGUUUAUUGUCCAUGCUAUAAUUGUAUUGAAUGAAGACUCAUCUACAUGUGUGCAUACAUAGACAAAACACCGUCCCUAGCAAGCCUCUAGUUGGCUAGCCAGUUGAUCAAAGAUAGUCAGUGUCUUCAGAUUAUGAACAAGGUGUUGUUGCUUGAUAACUGGAUCACGUCAUUAGGAGAAUCACGUGAUGGACUAGACCCAAACUAAUAGAUGUAGCAUGUUGAUCGUGUCAUUUUUGUUGCUACUGUUUUCUGCGUGUCAAGUAUUUAUUCCUAUGACCAUGAGAUCAUAUAACUCACUGACACCGGAGGAAUGCUUUGUGUGUAUCAAACGUCGCAACAUAACUGGGUGACUAUAAAGAUGCUCUACAGGUAUCUCCGAAGUUGUUAGUUGAGUUAGUAUGGAUCAAGACUGGGAUUUGUCACUCCGUGUGACGGAGAGGUAUCUCGGGGCCCACUCGGUAAUACAACAUCACACACAAGCCUUGCAAGCAAUGUAACUUAGUGUAAGUUGCGGGAUCUUGUAUUACGGAACGAGUAAAGAGACUUACCGGUAAAUGAGAUUGAAAUAGGUAUACGGAUACUGAUGAUCGAAUCUCGGGCAAGUAACAUACCGAAGGACAAAGGGAAUGACGUACGGGAUUAUAUGAAUCCUUGGCACUAAGGUUCAAACGAUAAGAUCUUCGUAGAAUAUGUAGGAUCCAAUAUGGGCAUCCAGGUCCCGCUAUUGGAUAUUGACCGAGGAGUCUCUCGGGUCAUGUCUACAUAGUUCUCGAACCCGCACGGUCUGCACACUUAAGGUUCGACGUUGUUUUAUGCGUAUUUGAGUUAUAUGGUUGGUUACCGAAUGUUGUUCGGAGUGCCGGAUGAGAUCACGAACGUCACGAGGGUUUCCGGAAUAGUCCGGAAACGAAGAUUGAUAUAUAGGAUGACCUCAUUUGAUUACCGAAAGGUUUUCGGAGUUACCGGGAAUGUACCGGGAAUGACGAAUGGGUUCCGGGAGUUCACCGGGGGNNNNNNNNNNNNNNNNNNNNNNNNNNNNNNNNNNNNNNNNNNNNNNNNNNNNNNNNNNNNNNNNNNNNNNNNNNNNNNNNNNNNNNNNNNNNNNNNNNNNCGAAUCUCGGGCAAGUAACAUACCGAAGGACAAAGGGAAUGACGUACGGGAUUAUAUGAAUCCUUGGCACUGAGGUUCAAACGAUAAGAUCUUCGUAGAAUAUGUAGGAUCCAAUAUGGGCAUCCAGGUCCCGCUAUUGGAUAUUGACCGAGGAGUCUCUCGGGUCAUGUCUACAUAGUUCUCGAACCCGCAGGGUCUGCACACUUAAGAUUCGACGUUAUUUUAUGCGUAUUUGAGUUAUAUGGUUGGUUACCGAAUGUUGUCCGGAGUCCCAGAUGAGAUCACGGACGUCACGAGGGUUUCCGGAAUAGUCCGGAAACAAAGAUUGAUAUAUAGGAUGACCUCAUUUGAUUACCGGAAGGUUUUCGGAGUUACCGGGAAUGUACCGGGAAUGACGAAUGGGUUCCGGGAGUUCACCGGGGGGGGGGGGGGCAACCCGCCCCGGGGAAGCCCAUAGGCCUUGAGGGUGGCACACCAGCCCUUAGUGGGCUGGUGGGACAGCCCAAAAGGGCUCUAUGCGCCAAGAAGAGAAAAUCANNNNNNNNNNNNNNNNNNNNNNNNNNNNNNNNNNNNNNNNNNNNNNNNNNNNNNNNNNNNNNNNNNNNNNNNNNNNNNNNNNNNNNNNNNNNNNNNNNNNGAGCUCCCGCUCCUUCUCCUUCUUCUUCUCCUUCUUCUCCUUCUUCUUCUCCUUCUUCUUCUUAUCCUUUUGUCCCCUUCUUCUUAUCCUCCUCCCUCUCCUCCUUCUUCUUCUCCUUUUUCCUCUUCCUUCCUUUCAUUUUCCUCUUUUUCUCUUCUUGUCCCCUUCUUCGGGCUAAAUUGGCUAAGAAUGCCUUUUUGGAGCUAAUUAUGUCAUUUCGAGGAUAAUUAGCUAAGUAUAGGUCAUUUUUUAUUAAAUAGGCCAUUUUGGAGCUAACUAAGCUAAUUAUGUCCUUUCGUAGGAUAAUUAGCCAAUUUAGCCUUUCUUGGAUAAGUCUAAGCUACGUAGAAGAAGAGAUAGAGAAGAAGAAGUAAAAUAAGGAGGAGGAGGAGGAGAAGAAGAAGGAAGAGGAGAAGAAGAAGAAAAGAAGAAGGAGAAGGAGAAGAAGAAGGAGAAGGAGAAGGAGGAAGAAGGGGAAGGAGGAGCUCCUUCUCCUUCUCCUCCUUCUUCUCCUUCUUCUUCUCCUCCUCCCUCUCCUCCUUCUUCUUCUCCUUUUUCCUCUUCCUUCCUUUCAUUUUCCUCUUUUUCUCUUCUUGUCCCCUUCUUCGGGCUAAAUUGGCUAAGAAUGCCUUUUUGGAGCUAAUUAUGUCAUUUCGAGGAUAAUUAGCUAAGUAUAGGUCAUUUUUUAUUAAAUAGGCCAUUUUGGAGCUAACUAAGCUAAUUAUGUCAUUUCGUAGGACAAUUAGCCAAUUUAGCCUUUCUUGGAUAAGUCUAAGCUACGUAGAAGAAGAGAUAGAGAAGAAGAARUAAAAUAAGGAGGAGGAGGAGGAGGAGGAGGAGAAGAAGAAGGAGAAGAAGAAGAAAAUAAGAAGGAGAAGGAGGAAGAAGAAGGAGUAGGAGGAGCUCCUUCUCCUUCUCCUCCUUCUUCUCCUUCUUCUCCUUCUUCUUCUCCUCCUCCCUGUCCUCCUUCUUCUCCUUAUUUUUCCUCUUCCCUCCUUUCAUUUUUCCUCUUUUUCUCUUCUUGUCCCCUUCUUCGGGCUAAAUUGGCUAAGAAUGCCUUUUUGGAGCUAAUUAUGUCAUUUCGAGGAUAAUUAGCUAAGUAUAUGUAAUUUUUUAUUAAAUAGGCCAUUUUGGAGCUAACUAAGCUAAUUAUGUCAUUUCGUAGGAUAAUUAGCCAAUUUAGCCUUUCUUGGAUGAGUCUAAGCUACGUAGAAGAAGAGAUAGAGAAGAAGAAGUAAAAUAAGGAGGAGGAGGAGGAGGAGGAGAAGAAGAAGGAAGAGGAGAAGAAGAAGAAAAGAAGAAGGAGAAGAAGGAGAAGAAGAAGGAGAAGGAGAAGGAGGAAGAAGGAGGAAGAAGAAGGGGAAGGAGGAGCUCCUUCUCCUUCUUCUCCUUCUUCUCCUUCUUCUUCUCCUCCUCCCUCUCCUCCUUCUUCUUCUCCUCAUUUUUCCUCUUCCUUCCUUUCAUUUUCCUCUUUUUCUCUUCUUGUCCCCUUCUUCGGGCUAAAUUGGCUAAGAAUGCCUUUUUGGAGCUAAUUAUGUCAUUUCGAGGAUAAUUAGCUAAGUAUAGGUCAUUUUUUAUUAAAUAGGCCAUUUUGGAGCUAACUAAGCUAAUUAUGUCAUUUCGUAGGAUAAUUAGCCAAUUUAGCCUUUCUUGGAUGAGUCUAAGCUACGUAGAAGAAGAGAUAGAGAAGAAGAAGUAAAAUAAGGAGGAGGAGGAGGAGGAGGAGGAGAAGAAGAAGGAAGAGGAGAAGAAGAAGAAAAGAAGAAGGAGAAGGAGAAGGAGAAGGAGAAGGAGGAAGAAGGAGGAAGAAGAAGGGGAAGGAGGAGCUCCUUCUCCUUCUCCUCCUUCUUCUCCUUCUUCUUCUCCUCCUCCCUCUCCUCCUUCUUCUCCUCAUUUUUCCUCUUCCUUCCUUUCAUUUUCCUCUUUUUCUCUUCUUGUCCCCUUCUUCGAGCUAAAUUGGCUAAGAAUGCCUUUUUGGAGCUAAUUAUGUCAUUUCGAGGAUAAUUAGCUAAGUAUAGGACAUUUUUUAUUAAAUAGGACAUUUUGGAGCUAACUAAGCUAAUUAUGUCAUUUCGUAGGACAAUUGGCUAAUUUAGCCUUUCUUGGAUGAGUCUAAGCUACGUAGAAGAAGAGAUAGAGAGGAAGAAGUAAAAUAAGGAGGAGGAGGAGGAGGAGGAGGAGGAGGAGAAGAAGGAAGAGGAGAAGAAGAAGAAAAGAAGAAGGAGAAGGAGAAGAAGAAGGAGAAGGAGAAGGAGGAAGAAGAAGGAGUAGGAGGAGCUCCUUCUCCUUCUCCUCCUUCUUCUCCUUCUUCUCCUUCUUCUUCUCCUCCUCCCUCUCCUCCUUCUUCUCCUCAUUUUCCUCUUCCCUCCUUUCAUUUUCCUCUUUUCUCUUCUUGUCCCCUUCUUCGGGCUAAAUUGGCUAAGAAUGCCUUUUUGGAGCUAAUUAUGUCAUUUCGAGGAUAAUUAGCUAAGUAUAGGUCAUUUUUUAUUAAAUAGGCCAUUUUGGAGUUAACUAAGCCAAUUAUGUUAUUAGAUGGAAGUCUAGCUAUUUUGGGGCUAACUAAGCUAAUUAUGUCAUUAGAUGGAAGUCUAGCUAUUUUUUAUUAAAACACUAGAAAUAACAUACCUAAGUUAGGGUGAAGCACGGUGGCUCUGGCUUGUUUCACCUGGAGAAGGCUGCCCUGGAGAAGGCUCGACUGUAGAAGGGUCAUGCGAUGCGUUUCGGGACAUAUUCUGCACCAAACAUCGUUUGCAAUGUGUAGUUAGCAUGAGGACACUCUUAAGAUCACUCCACUGAAAUGAAACUCACCGUCCCCGCCACGUUAAUGACUGGCAUCGGCGGAGGGACUUGGCCGUUCUUCUCGCACAUAGACUGUACAUUUGGUUUCGACAAGUCAAACUUUUUAUUUAUUAAUGAAACGGACAUUCAAAUGCAAGAUUUGAAAUAACAUGAAGAAGAAACUUACCACGAAGAGCUCGUAUAUGGCCCUGGUAGACGCUUCAUUCCGUGCCCUCUCCGCCUCCACCAAUGCAGUCGUCCUCUCCUCCAGCUCCCUAAUUUCCUUAUCCUUCUCCGCCAUAGCCGCCUGCAUUGCCGCUCUCUCUUUCUGAAUAGCAGCCUGCAACACAACUCAUUGUUAGCAAUGUAAUCAUAUUGGUUCCAACGCACAACAUAAUGCGGAAAGAUUGUUCAGUCCAUUAAACUAACCUCGAUGGCGAGCUCGACUGGCCGUGGACGACGUGUUAUCUCCGGACAAGAGCUCGUUUGGCGUGCCUUUAUCUACCGGAGAGUGCUAGGACAACGUAUAAGGCCGUCUCCAAUGGCGAUCGAGCCAUGGGGCCUCCCGUUGCCAGCUAUCAUCACCAGCUCUGGAUCAAUUGGCCCCUCGCUCGGGUUAAAGUCCUCCCCUUUCCUCGCCUUCCCGUGAUCUCUGUACUUCACGAGCUUGUCGUGGGAGGAGAUGUUGGUGAAGUUUUCUGGAUGCUCGAGGUCAGACUCACAGAAUGCCUUGACCUUCUUGUACGAGGCAGUAUGGGCCAUCGCAUACAGGUCGUACAUCUGUGGCGCCUCCGUCUUAUUGUGACGCGCCUAAAAGAGAGAGAGCAGAAAAUUGUAUUGGUAAAGGGCUCAAGAUAGCAUUAAGAAUGAAUUGCAUGAGGCAUGAACCAAACCACAUACCCAGUUCUCGCCAAAUUGGAUUAAGUUGACGCUCCCUUGAUGGUGUGGCACGCCAACCAUUUUGCCACGCCUCUCCUUGGCGUUGUUGUGGCUGGUCUCCCACGUUUUGGAGCACCACUGGUCCACCAAGGCCUCCCAACAAUCCAUCUUAUCCACACACCAUCUAGGGGGCACCUAAGUUAAUAAAGAGAAAUUUGAGUGCGUAAGAACCAAAUCAAGGAAACUAACUACAAAGCCUUAAUAAUAUGUAAUUACCUUCAUGUAAUGCUCCUUCUCCAUCUUAGCAUCAUGGCACUUCGCCUUAUCAAUCCUAAUACGCCGCGUGGCAUAGUAGUCUCGAACAGCCUGCACCCGAGCCUCGUGCCGAAAGUUUUGAAGUAGGCGGCGACAUUCGGUUUCGAUAACCUUUGCCGCGUCGUCCUCGUAUCCCUCCUCACACCUGUAGAAGGUCUGCAAACGGGACAACACCGAUUAGUACAAUAAAUAGCUAUGGUUAAUUUAUAAUUGUGUGAAAGAGAAAUUACCCAGAACUUUCGGAUCACCAUGUCCGCCCUCGUGUCACACAAAACACCGUCGAUCUCCACCUCCGGCGGGGCCAGGGCACCCAAGUAGUGCUCCCAGGUCAUCCCUACCUCUCGCUCCCGACCGGGCAACGUAACAAACCCUGGGAAGUUUUGACGGCAAAGAACACCGAGGACGCUGUUGGGCUUGCGGACACCCUUGGCAACAAUCCAACCCCUACAGUAUGACAAAUUAAAGCCAAAACAUUAGAUAUUUGAGAAAACGCGAAGGCAAAAGGUUAAAUAAGAGUAAAUUAACUUACUUGUCCCCAUUUGGCCUAAUCGAGCACCUCUGCUCGGGGGUCGCUGGCACGAGCGGGAGCCCCGAACUACCACGCUGGUAGACGGUAUCCCCCUCACCCAGCUCCUCGUCGCUACCAGCAUGGCAGUUGGCUCUGGCCAGGGAUCCCACUGGGUCUCUUGGGACGUACCCUCAUCCCUGCUGUGCUCCGCAGUCGUGUGGAAGGAAGCCUCUGGGACACGAGUCUCGUGGGUCAAAGGCUCGUCGACCUGAGGCUCGUCGACCCGAGGCUCGUGAACCGGAGACCGUGUAGCCUCCACCUCAGACGAAUCCACCCUAGAAGUCCUCCUGUGCUCAGGUGAAUCAGCUUGGGGUGGUGGCGGAGACCGUGUAUCCCUACCUCUCCCGCGGCCACGUGUACCUUUAGUACAACAUAAAUACCAACAUGAGUAAUAAAAUGUAUAUAAAUACCAAUAUGCAUACAACAUGAGUACAACAUAAAUACCAACACGAAUACAACGUGUACCUUUAGUGCCUCUCGGCUUCGCGGGUGGUCGACCUCCUCUCACGGGGGCCGCUCCUUGCAUACUAGAGAGCAACACUCUCCGAAGAGGCGAGGCCGGAAUGGAAGUACCCAUCCCAUCACCCGCCGACGAAGAAGCAGCCGCGGCAUGCUUUCGACCCUUUCCCACCAUCUUUCAACACCUGUCAUGACAAAGAGUAAAUGAAAUUAGUACAACAUAAAUACCAACAUGACUAAUAAAAAUUGAAUACCUAACAUGAACUCAAAAUUUAUAUAUAGUAUAAUAGUUGAAUACCUGACAUGAACUAAUAACAAUCGUCCUCGUCUAUAUAUGCUUCGGGGUCAAUAAAUGCAUCAUGAUCAUCACUAUCAUCAAUAAAUGCAUCAUCAUCAUCACUAUCUAGAAGAACAUGUGGAAGGCCACCAUUAUGUAAUCGGUCAAGAAGUGACAGGUCAUCCGCAGCAGUAACCUCUUCUUCUUCCAGAUCUUCCUCUUCGGGCUCAGGGGUUAAGACGGAUUCACUGUCACUGUCUACUUCAAUGUUCUGGGGUGAAGUAGAGCGGUUCUUGAAACGUUUCUUGGACAUACGUGUUUCUUGGAAGAAUUCUCCUUCAUAUGUGUCUGGGUUAAUGUGAGGUUCGUAAUCCUCUUCAUUGAGGGUAGGUGGUCUAAAAUGUGGUGGCACAUCAUAAACGACAUCCCAACCUUUGAGAUUUGGAUCAAUUUGGCAGGCCCACGGUAGAUAGAAAACUUGUGUCGCCUGUUGAGACAUAAUAUAGACAUCGGGAACAUCUAAGUGGGUGUUUUGGUUGAUUUCGACUAGUCCUAUAUGUUCAUGAGUCCUUCUAGUCUCCCUCGGCUCAAACCAAUAACAUUUGAAGACUACGACGGUCGGUGGGUUUUCACCAUAGAAUAGAAGUUCAUAAAUUGCUUCAACCCUUCCAUAAUACUCGGUGUCUCCUUCGCCGAUAGCAGAGACAGAACAAUUUGUAGUCUUUAGGUCGGGCAUAGAUAGCUCUUUGCCAAAGGUACGAAAGUGAUACCCGUUGAUGUUGUAUUUGUCAAAUGAACGGACCUUAUAGUCAAAACCAUUAGCGACUUGUCUCAACUCGGCGUCCAUAGACUCUGCAUCAGCCUACAAGUUUAAUACGAAAGAAUGGAUGCAUUAGCCGCAAAUUAGACCAAUAAUUCAAAUGGUUUUGUACACGAACUGCAUCCAGUUUUUGUCGUAGCCCUUCACUUUACGANNNNNNNNNNNNNNNNNNNNNNNNNNNNNNNNNNNNNNNNNNNNNNNNNNNNNNNNNNNNNNNNNNNNNNNNNNNNNNNNNNNNNNNNNNNNNNNNNNNNCAAUUAAAAACUAUGUUUAUUAAAAAUUCUUUUUGCAUAUUUGAGAAUUUAACAAAACUAUGAUAAUGAAAAGUGUUUCAAAUUGAAUAAAUAAUGCAAAACUAUUUUUAUUUUCAUAAUUAAUAAUUUUGACUAUCCAAACUAUUAUCUAUUUUGUUAUUUUGACUUCAUUUGGUAUAUUUCGUGCAUGUACUUAUUUUUUUUGAGCUAGUUGACCCUGAAAUUGAAAAGCACUACAAAUGAACCACUACUGAAAUUCAGAAAUUUGCCGUCUGCCAAGGCGGACGGCAAAGGGGGCAACCAUGGACGGCAAAGGCUUUGCCGUCUGCCCCCUCAUGGCAAAGUAGAUGGUAAAAAAAAUCCGGUGAAGAGGCUCUUUGCCGUCUGCUUUCACAAAGCGGACGGCAAAGAAUCUUUGCCAUGAGGGGGAAGACGGCAAAAUAAGUGGGACGGCAUAUAUUGCAACGUCCCCGUUAAGUGUUAACGGCAGGCCUCCUCUCUUUGCCGUCUGCCUCCCCCCCUUUGCCAUGUGGGGGUAAACGGCAAAGAGGGAGAGAGAGGGGGCAGAUUCUCUCUUUGCCGUCUGCCUCCCCCCCUUUGCCAUGUGGGGGCAGACGGCAAAGAGGGGAGAGAGAGGGGGCAGAUUCCCCCUUUGCCGUCUGCCUCCACCCCUUUGCCAUGUGUUGGCAGACGGCAAAGAGGGGAACCAUCCCCUUUUUUAUUUAUUUUUUGUUAUAUCCAGCAUUUUUAACAAUAAUCAGGAUAUAUAUAUAUAUUUGACAUAAAUAAAUUUCUUUUCGUACCCAUAACCAUAUUAAAAUAACUCUCAUCCAUAGUGCAUACAUAUUAUGGAAGUUACAUUCGUACCAAACCUAAUAUUACACCAGUUUCAUCCACGUGCAUACAAAGUUUCAUAUAUUCAUAUACUACAACAGUUUCAAUACAACCCAUGGUACAAGAAAUCAUCUUCAAGCAUUCCAUCAACCAAGCUUCCCGUGAAGUGAAGGUAAUCUGCAAAAUGACAAAUAAGAAAGUUAGAAAAAUAAUACUAGAUGAAGUAGUGUAUAUAUAGGUUAUUUCGGAGAGAAAUUAGCUAAUUAUAGACCAUUUAGGAGCUAACUAAGCUAAUUAUGUCAUUUAGGUGGAACCCUAGCUAACUAUAGGAGAAGAGAAAGAGAAGAAGAAGUAAAAGAAGAAGGAGGAGGAGGAGAAGGAGAAGGAAGAGGAGAAGAAGAAGAAAAAGGAGGAGGAGGAGGAGGAGGAGAAGGAGAAGGAAGAGGAGAAGAAGAAGAAGGAGAAGAAGGAGAAGAAGAAGGAGAAGAGAGAGAGAGAGAGAGANNNNNNNNNNNNNNNNNNNNNNNNNNNNNNNNNNNNNNNNNNNNNNNNNNNNNNNNNNNNNNNNNNNNNNNNNNNNNNNNNNNNNNNNNNNNNNNNNNNNGGUGCAAGACUUUGAUGAUGCUCGGGAUUCGGAAGAUGAGAUGGAGGAAUCUGCAAAGGCCUUUUAUGAAAUGUUGGAGUCUUCAAAACGUCCUCUCCAUGAGCACACUGAGCUCUGUCAGCUGGAUGCAAUUGCACAAGUAAUGGCUCUGAAGGCUUAGUUCAACUUGGGAAGAGAAUGCUACGACGCGAUGAUGACACUAUUUGGACGUUUCCUACCCAAAGGCCAUGUCAUGCCUGCAAACCUGUACCAGUCGGAAAAAAUAUUUCGUUUACUUAAGAUGCACUAUGAGAAGAUACAUGCAUGUGAGAAAGGAUGUGUCUUAUUUAGGAAGGAGUAUCUACACUUGGACUAUUGUCCCAAUUGCGAGUCUUGCAGGUAUCUUGUGGUAGACAAACGGUAUGGGUGAGAAGAGGCAGACCAAAAUCGCAGUUAGUGUUCUUCGGUAUAUCACAAUCGUACCAAUACUUCAACGUCUUUUCAUGGUCGAAGAGACAGCCAGACAGAUGACAAGGCACAAAUUGGGCAAAAGAACCGAACUAGAUGCGGAUGGGAAUAAGAUGAUGGUACACACAUCGGAUGGGGAAGCGUGGAAACAUUUCGAUGGAUUGCAUCAAGAUAAAGCGACAGAUCCAAGGAAUCCUCGAGUCUGUGCCGCCACGGUCGGUUUUAAUCCCUUCGGCAUGACGACAACCCAAUACAGUUGUUGGCCUGUAUUUGUCAUUCCACUCAAUCUCCCCCCUAGGCAGAUUAUGCAAAGAAAGAUCAUAUUUCUGACGUUGAUAAUUCCAGGGCCCAAUUAUCCGGGGAAGAAUAUGAAUGUGUAUCUGCAACCGCUUAAGGAUGAAUUGGAAGAAGCUUGGGAUAAUGGGGUCAAGACAUACGAUGCCGCUAGAAAAAAAAACUUCAAAAUGCAUGUGUGGUACAUGUUGGGGAACGUCGCAUGGGAAACAAAAAAUUUCCUACGCGCACGAAGACAUAUCAUGGUGAUGUCCAUCUACGAGAGGGCAUAUUCGAUCUACGUACCCUUGUAUGAUUUCCAACAAGUCACUAGCACGCUCAAUUGUUCCGGAGAACGGAGUUUUAGUCAUCUUGCCCAUGAGGCAUGGUUCGCACGUGUCAAGUGAAUCAAAGUCAAGUGACUCCAAAAGUCCAUCGGCAUGGAGUUUCUUCAUGCGCUUUACACCAAUAUGACCUAAGCGGUAGUGCCACAAAAAUAUGGCGCUAUCAUUGUUAACUUUAACUCUUUUGGUCUCAAUGUUAUGUAUGUGUGUAUCACUAUCAAGAUUCAAUAUGAACAAUCCUCUCACAUUGGGUGCAUGACCAUAAAAGAUGUUACUCAUAGAAAUAGAACAACUAUUAUUCUCUGAAUUAAAAGAGUAACCGUCUCGCAAUAAACAAGAUCCAGAUAUAAUGUUCAUGCUCAACGCAGGCACUAAAUAACCAUGAUUCAAGUUCAUAACUAAUCCUGAUGGUAACUGAAGUGAAACUGUGCCGACGGCGAUUGCAUCAAACUUGGAACCAUUUCCUACGCGCAUCGUCACUUCAUCUUUCGCCAGCCUUCGUCUAUUCCGCAGUUCCUGUUUCGAGUUGCAAAUAUGAGCAACAGAACCGGUAUCGAAUACCCAGGCACUACUACGAGUGCCGGUUAAGUACACAUCAAUAACAUGUAUAUCAAAUAUACCUGAUUUUUCUUUGGCCGCCUUCUUAUCAGCCAGAUACUUGGGGCAGUUGCGCUUCUAGUGACCCAUACCCUUGCAAUAGUAACACUCUGUUUCAGGCUUAGGUCCAGCUUUGGGUUUCUUCAUCGGAUUGGCAACAGGCUUGCCGCUCUUCUUUGAAUUACCCGUCUUGCCUUUGCCGUUUCUCUUGAAACUAGUGGUCUUAUUCACCAUCAACACUUGAUGCUCUUUAUGGAGUUCAGACUCUGCGACUUUCAGCAUCGCAAACAACUCGCCGGGUGACUUGUUCAUCCCUUGCAUGUUGUAGUUCAACACAAAGCCUUUAUAGCUUGGCGGCAGUGACUGAAGGAUCCUGUCAGUGAUAGCCUCUUGCGGGAGUUCAAUCCCCAGCUCAGCUAGACGGUUUGAGUACCCAGACAUUUUGAGCACAUGUUCACUGACAGACGAAUUCUCCUCCAUCUUGCAAGCAUAGAAUUUAUCGAAGGUCUCAUACCUCUCGAUCCGGGCGUUCUUCUGAAAGAUAAACUUCAACUCCUGGGACAUCUCAUAUGCUCCAUGACUCUCAAAGCGAUGUUGAAGUCCCGGUUCUAAGCCAUACAAGACUGCACAUUGAACUACUGAGUAGUCCUCCUUACGUGUUAACCAAGCGUUCUUAACAUCCUAGUCAGCCGUAGCGGGUGGUUCAUCUCCUAGUGCAGCAUUAAGGACAUAAUCCUUCUUCCUAGCUUGUAAGAUUAGCUUAAGAUUACGAGCCCAGUCUACAAAGUUGCUUCCAUCAUCUUUCAACUUAGCUUUCUCUAGGAACGUAUUAAAAUUCAGGGUGACUGUCGCGUGAGCCAUGAUCUACAACACAAAUAUAUUCAUAGUGGACUUAGACUAUGUUCAAGACUAUAUUCAAAGUGGACUCAAAAAGUACAUAUCUCUAGUCAUUUGAGUGGUUCAUGAUCCACUUACACUAUCUCAAUACCGAUCAUCACGUGAGUUGAGUAUAGUUUCAGUGGUAAGCAUCCCUAUGCUAAUCAUAUCAUCUAUAUGAUUCAUGAUCGACCUUUCGGUCUCAUGUGUUCCGAGGCCAUGUCUGCAGAUGCUAGGCUCGUCAAGCUUAACCCGAGUGUUCCGCGUGUGCAACUGGUUUGCACCCGUUGUAUGUGAACGUUGAGUCUAUCACACCCGAUCAUCACGUGGUGUCUCGUAAUGACGAACUGUAGCAACGGUGCACAGUCUGGGAGAACACAAUUUCGUCUUGAAAGUUUAGUGAGAGAUCACCUCAUAAUGAUACCGUCGUUCUAAGCAAAAUAAGGUGCAUAAAAGGAUUAACAUCACAUGCAAUUCAUAAGUGACAUGAUAUGGCCAUCAUCACGUGCUCCUUGAUCUCCAUCAGCAAAGCACCGGCACGAUCUUCUUGUCACCGGCGCCACACCAUGAUCUCCAUCAACGUGUCACCAUCAGGGUUGUCGUGCUGCUCAUGCUAUUACUACUAAUGCUACAUCCUAGCAAAAUAGUAAACGCAUCUGCAAGCACAAACGUUAGUUUAAAGACAACCCUAUGGCUCCUGCCGGUUGCCGUACCAUCGACGUGCAAGUCGAUAUUAUCUAUUACAACAUGAUCAUCUCAUACAUCCAAUAUAUCACAUCACAUCGUUGGCCAUAUCACAUCACAAGCAUACCCUGCAAAAACAAGUUAGACGUCCUCUAAUUUUGUUGUUGCAUGUUUUACAUGGUGACCAUGGGUAUCUAGUAGGAUCGCAUCUUACUUACGCAAACACCACAACGGAGAUAUAUGAAUUGCUAUUUAACCUUAUACAAGGACCUCCUCGGUCAAAUCCGAUUCAACUAAAGUUGGAGAAACUGACACUUGCCAGUCAUCUUUGAGUAACGGGGUUACUCGUAGCGAUGAAACCAGUCUCUCGUAAGCGUACGAGUAAUGUCGGUCCAAGCCGCUUCGAUCCAACAAUACCGCGGAAUCAAGAAAAGACUAAGGAGGGCAGCAAAACGCACAUCACCGCCCACAAAAACUUUUGUGUUCUACUCGAGAAGACAUCUACGCAUGAACCUAGCUCAUGAUGCCACUGUUGGGUAACGUCGCAUGGGAAACAAAAAAUUUACUACGCGCACGAAGACCUAUCAUGGUGAUGUCCAUCUACGAGAGGGGAUAUUCGAUCUACGUACCCUUGUAGAUCGCACAGCUGAAGUGUUAGUGAACACGGUUGAUGUAGUGGAACGUCCUCAGGUCCCUCGAUCCGCCCCGCGAACCGCCCCGCGAUCAGUCCCACGAUCUAGUGCCGAACGGACCACCUCCGCGUUCAGCACACGUACAGCUCGACGAUGAUCUCGGCCUUCUUGAUCCAGCAAGAGAGACGGAGAGGUAGAUGAGUUCUCCGGCAGCGUGACGGUGCUCCGGAGGUUUGUGGUGAUCUUAUCUCAGCAGGGCUCCGCCCGAGCUCCGCAGAAACGCGAUCUAGAGGUAAAACCGUGGAGAUAUGUGGUCGGGCUGCCGUGGCAAAGUUGUCUCAAAUCAGCCCUAAAACCUCCGUAUAUAUAGGAGGAAGAGGGGGAGCCUUCCCUUGGGGUCCAAGGACCACCAAGGGGUUCGGCCGAGCCAAGGGGGGGGAGUCCUCCCCUUCCAAACCGAAUCCAACUAGGUUUGGAAGGAGGAGUCCUUCCCCUUUUUCCCACCUCCCUUUUUUUUCUCUUUGAUUUUCUUCCUAUGGCGCAUAGGGACUUCUUUGGCUGUCCCACCAGCCCACUAAGGGCUGGUGCGCCACCCCCAAGGCCUAUGGGCUUCCCCGGGGUGGGUUGCCCCCCCCGGUGAACAUCCGGAACCCAUUCGUCAUUCCCGGUACAUUCCCGGUAACUCCGAAAACCUUCCGGUAAUCAAAUGAGGUCAUCCUAUAUAUCAAUCUUCGUUUCCGGACCAUUCCGGAAACCCUCGUGACGUCCGUGAUCUCAUCCGGGACUCCGAACAACAUUCGGUAACCAACCAUAUAACUCAAAUACGCAUAAAACAACGUCGAACCUUAAGUGUGCAGACCCUGCGGGUUCGAGAACCAAGUAGACAUGAACCGAGUGACUCCUCGGUCAAUAUCCAAUAGCGGGACCUGGAUGCCCAUAUUGGAUCCUACAUAUUCUACGAAGAUCUUAUCGUUUGAACCUCAGUGCCAAGGAUUCAUAUAAUCCCGUAUGUCAUUCCCUUUGUCCUUCGGUAUGUUACUUGCCCGAGAUUCGAUCGUCAGUAUCCGCAUACCUAUUUCAAUCUCGUUUACUGGCAAGUCUCUUUACUCGUUCCGUAAUACAAGAUCCCGCAACUUACACUAAGUCACAUUGCUUGCAAGGCUUGUGUGUGAUGUUGUAUUACCGAGUGGGCCCCGAGAUACCUCUCCGUCACACGGAGUGACAAAUCCCACUCUCGAUCCAUACUAACUCGACGAACACCUUCGGAGAUACCUGUAGAGCAUCUUUAUAGUCACCCAGUUACGUUGCGACAUUUGAUACACACAAAGCAUUCCUCCGGUGUCAGUGAGUUAUAUGAUCUCAUGGUCAUAGGAACAAAUACUUGACACGCAGAAAACAGUAGCACUAAAAUGACACGAUCAAUAUGCUACGUCUAUUAGUUUGGGCUAGUCCAUCACGUGAUUCUCCUAAUGACAUGAUCCAGUUAUCAAGCAACAACGCUUUGUUCAUAAUCAGAAGACCCUGACUAUCUUUGAUCAACUGGCUAGCCAACUAGAGGCUUGCUAGGGACAGUGUUUUGUCUAUGUAUCCACACAUGUAUAUAAGUCUUCAUUCAAUACAAUUAUAGCAUGGAUAAUAAACGAUUAUCUUGAUACAGGAAUUAUAAUAAUAACUAUAUUUAUUAUGGCCUCUAGGGCAUAAUUCCAACAGUACAUGUACUCUAUGCAUGACUUGCCAGCGUAUGCACUAUUCUCUCGAUGGUGUGUGCAUGGAAGGUUCCCGUGCCCCAAAUGCAAGGCAGCUCUUCAGUUUCAUUGGUUGCAGGAGGGUCGGAAGUAUUCUUGCUUUGACUUGCAUAGACAGUUCCUGGAUCCUGACCAUCAGUUCAGAAAAGACAAGAAGAACUUUAAUAAAGGUAAAGUUGUCAAGAACUUGGCACCACCUGCGUUCACAGGCCAACAGAUCUUGGAUGAGUUAAACGCCCUCGAGCCUGAUCCAGAGCGUCCAUGGUAUUUCAAGGGUUAUAAUUCAAAACACGCCUGGACUCACAAGCCAUGCUUCUGGGAUCUGCCUUACUUCAAAGACCUCCUUCUUCCACACAAUAUCGACAUGAUGCACACUGAAAAUAAUAUCGGAGAGGCUAUUUUUGGUACAUUGUUCGACAUAGAUGGGAAGACAAAGGAUAAUAUUAAGGCUAGAGUCGAUCAAGAGACACUAUGUCAUAGACCAUUACAAAACAUGCGAGAAGGCAAAGGAAAGCAGAAGUGGUCGAAGCCAAAGGCCUGGUUCAUUCAUGGAAGGCCAGCUAUGAGGGAAAUUAUCUUGUGGGUCAAAAUGCACUUGAUGUUCCCCGAUGGGUAUGCAGCGAAUCUAAAGAGGGGAGCGAGUCUUGAAAAAUUAAAAAUCUUUGGUCUCAAGAGUCAUGAUUGGCACAUAUGGCUAGAGCGGGUAAUACCGGUGAUGUUAUGUGGCUUUAUUCCCGAGGAUGAAUGGCUAGUACUGGCGGAGCUGAGCUAUUUCUUUCAUGUUCUUUGUGCGAAAGAAUUGUCGCCUGGCGUGGUAGAAGACAUGGAGGAGUUUGCACUGGAGUUGUUGUGCAAGUUAGAGAAGAUCUUUCCACCGGGCUUCUUUAAUCCAAUGCAGCAUUUGAUUUUACAUCUACUGACCGAGGCAAGAUUGGGUGGGCCCGUGCAAGAUCGUUGGUGCUAUGCAACUGAGAGGAUGCAGAAGACCCUUCGAGCUAAAUGUAAGAAUAAGCGUUGAAUUGAAGCAUCGAUGGCUGAGUCAUUCAUUACUGAGGAGGUGGCAAACUUUGUGACAGCACACUACGAAGCCAAAAAUCAUCAUCUGCAUAAUCCGAAGCCUCGGCACAAUGAUGCAGACCAUAAAAAAGGUGGGUCCAACCUCAGCCUAUUCAAAGGGAAGCUCGCACCAGUCGGUGCUUCGAAACCAAUAACGUUGGAUGUCGAAGAAUGGCGGAACAUUUCGUUGUAUAUCUUCAACAACCUACCAGAAGUGCGGCCGUACAUCGAGUGAGUUCUCGACACAUUUUCCCGUAACUUCUAAUUCAUUUGAACUGCUCUUAUUCCCGGAUAUUUCAAACAGCCCUUACAUCGUCAAAUUCUCGGAUGGAGCGGUGAUCGAAAAUGAUUCCGUCGAAGAUUAUGCGCUUCUGUCAAAGACAGGAGGCGGCUAUCCCGGUUUCAUCUCUUGGUUCAAACAAACGGUAAUUAUCAAUAAUGGACCAUUUCAUUCUUGGUCAACCUUGGUUAGCUCAUGAAUAUUAUAUACUUAGCUUGUUUUCCUCUAAAAUGAGAUAAUUAGCCCAUUUAGCUCCAAAAAAACAUAAUUACGUAAUUUAGCUCCAAGAAGAGGAGAAGAAAUAGGAAAAAUAARAAURAAGAAGAAGAAGAAGAAGAGAAGAAGGAGAAGGAGGAGGAGGAGGAGGAGGAGAAGGCCAAGGACCUUCUAGUCCUUCUCCUCCCCCUCCCUUCUCCUCCUUCUUCUUGAUUUCUUCUUCUUCUCCUCCUCCUCCUCUUUCUUCUCCUCUUUCAUAUUAUCCUUGCUUUAAUUAACCCAACAAUGACAUAAUGAGCCCAUUUACCUCGAAAAUACCAUAAUAAGCUCAAAAUGGCAUAAGAACCUUNNNNNNNNNNNNNNNNNNNNNNNNNNNNNNNNNNNNNNNNNNNNNNNNNNNNNNNNNNNNNNNNNNNNNNNNNNNNNNNNNNNNNNNNNNNNNNNNNNNNAGGAGGAGGCGAAGGACGUAGWASGUCCUUSGCCUUCUCCUCCUUCUCUUCCUCCUCCUCCUCCUCCUCCUCCUUCUCCUUCUUCUCUUCUUCUUCUUCUUCUUUGUUUUCAUUUUUCCUAUUUAUUCUCCUCUUAUUGGAGCUAAAUUACCUAAUUAUGUCUUUUUGGAGCUAAAUGGGCUAAUUAUCUCAUUUUAGAGGAAAACAAGCUAAGUAUACAAUAUUCAUGAGCUAACCAAGGUUCUUAUGCCAUUUUGAGAUUAUUAUGGCAUUUUGGAGCUAAAUGGGCUAAUUUUGUCUUUUUGGGGAAAUUAAAGAAAGGAUAAUAUGAAAGAGGAGAAGAAAUAGGAGGAGGAGGAGAAGAAGAAAAAUCAAGAAGAAGGAGGUGAAGGAGAUGGAGGAGAAGGACUAGAAGGUCCUUGGCCUUCUCCUCCUCCUUCUCCUUCUUCUCUUCUUCUUCUUAUUCUUUCUUUUCAUUUUUCCUAUUUCUUCUCCUCUUCUAGGAGCUAAAUUAGCUAACUAUGUCUUCUUGGAGCUAAAUGGGCUAAAUAUCUCAUAUUAGAGGAAAACAAGCUAAGUAUAUAAUAUUCAUGAGCUAACCAAGGUUCUUAUGCCAUUUUGACCUUAUUAUGGCAUUUUGGAGCUAAAUGGGCUAAUUAUGUCUUUUUGGGGAAAUUAAAGCAAGGAUAAUAUGAAAGGGGAGAAGAAAGAGGAGGAGGAGGAGAAGAAGAAGAAAUCAAGAAGAGGGAGGAUAAGAAGGAGAAGGAGGAGGAGGAUAAGGACUAGAAGGUCCUUGGCCUUCUCCUCCUUCUCCUCCUACUCCUCCUCCUUCUCAUUCUUCUCUUCUUCAUCUUCUUCUUUCUUUUCAUUUUUCUUAUUUCUUCUCCUCUUCUCCUCUUCUCCUCUUCUUGGAGCUAAAUUACCUAAUUAUGUCUUUUUGGAGCUAAAUGGGCUAAUUAUCUCAUUUUAUAGGAAAACAAGCUAAGUAUAUAAUAUUCAUGAUCUAACCAAGGUUCUUAUGCCAUUUUGAGGUUAUUAUGGCAUUUUGGAGCUAAAUGAGCUAAUUAUGUCUUUUUGGGGAAAUUAAAGCAAGGAUAAUAUGAAAGAGGAGAAGAAAGAGGAGGAGGAGGAGAAGAAGAAGAAAUCAAGAAGAAGGAGGAGAAAAAGGAGAAGGAGGAGGAGGAUAAGGACUAGAAGGUCCUUGGCCUUCUCCUCCUUCUCCUCCUACUCCUCCUCCUUCUCAUUCUUCUCUUCUUCUUCUUCUUCUUUAUUUUCAUUUUUCCUAUUUCUUCUCCUCUUCUUGGAGCUAAAUUACCUAAUUAUGUCUUUUUGGAGCUAAAUGGGCUAAUUAUCUCAUUUUAGAGGAAAACAAGCUAUGUAUAUAAUAUUCAUGACCUAACCAAUGUUCUUAUGCCAUUUUGAGGUUAUUUUGGCAUUUUGGAGCUAAAUGGGCUAAUUAUGUCUUUUUGGGGAAAUUAAAUCAAGGAUAAUAUGAAAGAGGAGAAGAAAGAGGAGGAGGAGGAGAAGAAGAAGAAGAGAAGGAGGAGAAGGAGGAGAAGGAGGAGGAGGUGAAGGACUAGAAGGUCCUUGGCCUUCUCCUCCUUCUCCUCCUCCUCCUUCUCCUUCUUCUCUUCUUCUUCUUCUUUCUUUUCAUUUUUCCUAUUUCUUCUCCUCUUCUCCUUUUGUUGGUGCUAAAUUACCUAAUUAUGUCUUUUUGGAGCUAAAUGGGCUAAUUAUCCCAUUUUAGAGGAAAACAAGCUAAGUAUAUAAUAUUCAUGAGCUAACCAAGGUUCUKAUGCCAUUUUKAGCUUAUUAUGGCAUUUUGGAGCUAAAUGGGUUAAUUAUGUCAUUGUUGGGGAAAUUAAAGCAAGGAUAAUAUGAAAUAGGAGAGGAAAGAGGAGGAGGAGGAGAAGAAAAAGAAAUCAAGAAGGAGGACAAGGAGGAGGAGAAGGACUAGAAGGUCCUUGGCCUUCUCCUCCUCCUCCUCCUUCUCCUUCCUCUCUUCUUCUUCUUCUUUCUUUCUUUUCAUUUUUCCUAUUUAUUGUUGGAGCUAAAUUACCUAAUUAUGUCUUUUUGGAGCUAAAUGGGUUAAUUAUCCCAUUUUAGAGGAAAACAAGCUAAGUAUAUAAUAUUCAUGAGCUAACCAAGGUUCUUAUGCUAUUUUGAGCUUAUUACGGUAUUUUGGAGCUAAAUGGGCUAAUUAUGUCAUUGUUGGGGAAAUUAAAGCAAGGAUAAUAUGAAAUAGGAGAAGAAAUAGGAGGCGGAGGAGAAGAAGAAGAAAUCAAGAAGGAGGAGAAGGAGGAGAAGGAGGAGGAGGAGAAGGAGUAGAAGGUCCUMGGCCUCUCCUCCUCCUCCUCCUCCUUCUCCUUCUUCUUCUUCUUCUUCUUCUUCUUCUUCUUCUUUCUUUUCAUUUUGCCUAUUUCUUCUCCUCUUCUCCUCUUGUUGGAGCUAAAUUACCUAAUUAUGUCUUUUUUGAGCUAAAUGGGCUAAUUAUCCCACUUUAGAGGAAAACAAGCUAAGUAUAUAAUAUUAAUGAGCUAACCAAGGUUCUUAUGCCAUUUUGAGCUUAUUAUGGUAUUUUGGAGCUAAAUGGACUAAUUAUGUCAUUGUUGGGGAAAUUAAAGCAAGGAUAAUAUGAAAGGGGAGAACAAACAGGAGGAGGAGGAUAAGAAGAAGAAAUCAAGGAGGAGAAGGAGGAGAAGGAGGAGAGAGGAGARGGASUAGAAGGUCCUUGGCCUUCUCCUCCUUCUCCUNNNNNNNNNNNNNNNNNNNNNNNNNNNNNNNNNNNNNNNNNNNNNNNNNNNNNNNNNNNNNNNNNNNNNNNNNNNNNNNNNNNNNNNNNNNNNNNNNNNNGCUCACCGUGGGGGUGGGUCGCCGCGGGGAGGGGAUCCCACGGGGAGGGGGUCGCCGGGGGGGGGUGGGCUCGCCGCGGGGAGGGGAUCUCGCGGGGAGGGGUCGCCGCCGUGGAGAGAGAGAGUGGUCGGGGUGAGAGAGAGAGAGAGACAGUGAGCGAGGGGGGUAACGGCCGUUAUAGGGCGGCCCCUUUGCCGUCCGCCCCCGACGGCAAAGGGCCGUAUGGCAGACGGCAAAGGCCCGCGGACGGCAAAGGCCGCCGGAUUUCGGACACGGCAGGCAUGGGACCCACGCGUCCCCUUUGCCGUCUGCCCUGGGGCUCUUUGCCGUCUGCUGGCAGACGGCAAAGGACCCACACAUGGAAAAUAGUAUUUUUGCCAUGUGUCAGUUCUUUGUCGUCUGUAUUGUGUCAACUGAUGGCAAAGAGGUUCUUUGCCGUCAGCCAGCAGACGGUAAAGAACUGGCUGACGGCAAAUUUCUGGAUUCCAGUAGUGAACUCUGAAAAUGUUGAAAGUUGGCAUGCUAUCAUCAAUUCACCCACAUAGCAUGUGUUAAAAAGUUGAGAGGGAUACGACCAAAACUGGAUGCUGUUCGUGUACAAAACUGACAAUCUCUCUCGAAGUAGCAGGGUUUCGAAAGAGAACUCAUCUCUUACAAAGGGAUUUCAUUUUUUUAAACUUAUUUGAACUCCAUACUUUUUAUCUGUUCAAAAUGCACCAUUCAAAGGCACAUCACAAAAUUCCAACAAUUUCUGACUUCAUUUCGUAUAUUUCGUGCAUUUACUUAAUUUUUUUUGAGCUAGUUGACCCUGAAAUUGAAAAGCACUACAAAUGAACUCUGAAAAUGUUGAAAGUUGGCAUGCUAUCAUCAUUUCACCCACAUAGCAUGUGUUAAAAAGUUGAGAGGGCUAUGACAAAAACUGGAUGCAGUUCGUUUACAAAACUAACAAUCUCUCUCGAAGUAGCAGGGUUUCGAACGAGAACUCAUCUCUUACAAAGGGAUUUCAUUUUUUUAAACUUAUUUAAGAAGUCAUGCUUAAUUAAGAAAAAAGACUUGUCAUUGUGACUUACUGUAUCCACUUCGAAGUCCUCAUCCAGCAUGAUGUUGAAGCGCUUAUCAUCAACUAGGUGAGGCACGUCGCACAAGCCGCGNNNNNNNNNNNNNNNNNNNNNNNNNNNNNNNNNNNNNNNNNNNNNNNNNNNNNNNNNNNNNNNNNNNNNNNNNNNNNNNNNNNNNNNNNNNNNNNNNNNNCUAUCAUCAUUUCACCCACAUAGCAUGUGUUAAAAAGUUGAGAGGGCUAUGACAAAAACUGGAUGCAGUUCGUUUACAAAACUAACAAUCUCUCUCGAAGUAGCAGGGUUUCGAACGAGAACUCAUCUCUUACAAAGGGAUUUCAUUUUUUUAAACUUAUUUGAACUCCAUACUUUUUGUGUGUUCAAAAUGCACCAUUCAAAGGCACAUCACAAAAUUUCAACAAUUUCUGACUUCAUUUGGUAUAUUUCGUGCAUUUACUUUUUUUUUGAGCUAGUUGACCCUGAAAUUGAAAAGCACUACAAAUGAACUCUGAAAAUGUUGAAAGUUGGCAUGCUAUCAUCAUUUCACCCACAUAGCAUGUGUUAAAAAGUUGAGAGGGCUACGAGAAAAACUGGAUGUAGUUCGUGUACAAAACUGACAAUCUCUCUCGAAGUAGCAGGGUUUCGAACGAGAACUCAUCUCUUACAAAGGGAUUUCAUUUUUUAAAACUUAUUUGAACUCCAUACUUUUUGUGUGUUCAAACUGCACCAUUCAAAGGCACAUCACAAAAUUUCAACAAUUUCUGACUUCAUUUGGUAUAUUUCGUGCAUUUACUUAUUUUUUUUGAGCUAGUUGACCCUGAAAUUGAAAAGCACUACAAAUGAACUCUGAAAAAUGUUGAAAGUUGGCAUGCUAUCAUCAUUUAACCCACAUAGCAUGUGUUAGAAAGUUGAGAGGGCUACGACAAAAACUGGAUGCAGUUCGUGUUCAAAACUGACAAUCUCUCUCGAAGUAGCAGGGUUUCGAACGAGAACUCAUCUCUUACAAAAGGAUUUCAUUUUUUUAAAACUUAUUUGAAAUCCAUAAUUUUUGUGUGUUCAAAAUGCACCAUUCAAAGGCACAACAGAAAAUUUCAACAAUUUCUGACUUCAUUUGGUAUAUUUCGUGCAUUUACUUAUUUUUUUGAGCUAGUUGACCCUGAAAUUGAAAAGCACUACAAAUGAACUGUGAAAAUGUUGAAAGUUGGCAUGCUAUCAUCAUUUCACCCACAUAGCAUGUGUUAAAAAGUUGAGAGGGCUACGAAAAAACUGGAUGCAGUUCGUGUACAAAACUGACAAUCUCUCUCGAAGUAGCAGGGUUUCGAAAGAGAACUCAUCUCUUACAAAGGGAUUUCAUUUUUUUUAAACUUAUUUGAACUCCAUACUUUUUAUCUGUUCAAAAUGCACCAUUCAAAGGCACAUCACAAAAUUCCAACAAUUUCUGACUUCAUUUCGUAUAUUUCGUGCAUUUACUUWWUUUUUUUUGAUCGUUAGUUACCGUACCCGUAAGUAAAGUUAAAGGAAAAACGACCUAACCUUAAAACUAAAGUACGUAAACCUUACGNNNNNNNNNNNNNNNNNNNNNNNNNNNNNNNNNNNNNNNNNNNNNNNNNNNNNNNNNNNNNNNNNNNNNNNNNNNNNNNNNNNNNNNNNNNNNNNNNNNNCGUUUACGUUUUUAGUUUUAUUUAUUAUUACUACUAACACUACUACUAUAUAUAUAUAUAUAUAUAUAUAUAUAUAUAUAUAUAUAUAUAUAUAUAUUUGACAUCACAUUUAUAUAAUUCACCAAACAUAUAUGAUAUAUAGUUCACCACACAUAUACUUGCCAACACAUAUAUAUAAUUCACCACACAUAUAUGAUAUACAUAUAAAUCAAUGUACAUCCCCAUAUAUCAAAAGAACCAACAUACAAAGUAAUUGCACUGUUUAUCCAUAUAUAUAUACAUAUAGUUCAACAUUGUUCAUCAACUCAAAUGAAAACUAGAUGAUAUACAUAUAAAGUUCAUCCAUCGACAUUGUUCAACUCCAUGAAUGCCAGCUUUCAUGCAUGUAGUAUAUCCAAUCUGCAAAAAUGUGAAUAAGAAAGUCAGAAAAAGAACAAAAUAUGAUGUUUUGAGGUAAUUAUGUCAUUUCUAGCGGAAAACAAGCUAAGAAUAUAAUAUUCAUGAGCUAACCAAGGUUCUUAUGCCAUUUUUAGCUUAUUAUGGCAUUUUGGAGCUAAAUGGGUUAAUUAUGUCAUUGUUGGGGAAAUUAAAGCAAGGAUAAUAUGAAAUAGGAGAGGAAAGAGGAGGAGGAGGAGAAGAAAAAGAAAUANNNNNNNNNNNNNNNNNNNNNNNNNNNNNNNNNNNNNNNNNNNNNNNNNNNNNNNNNNNNNNNNNNNNNNNNNNNNNNNNNNNNNNNNNNNNNNNNNNNNCAUACUAUAAUCAUUUAACCCACAUAGCAUGUGUUAAAAAGUUGAGAGGGCUACGACAAAAACUGGAUGCAGUUCGUGUACAAAACUGACAAUCUCUCUCGAAGUAGCAGGGUUUCGAACGAGAACUCAUCUCUUACAAAGGGAUUUCAUUUUUUUUAAACUUAUUUGAACUCCAUACUUUUUGUGUGUUCAAAAUGUACCAUUCAAAGGCACAUCACAAAAUUUCAAUAAUUUCUCACUUCAUUUGGUAUAUUUCGUGCAUUUACUUAUUUUUUUGAGCUAGUUGACCCUGAAAUUGAAAAGCACUACAAAUGAACUCUGAAAAUGUUGAAAGUUGGCAUGCUGUCAUCAUUUCACCCACAUAGCAUGUGUUAAAAAGUUGAAAGGGCUAUGACAAAAACUGGAUGCAGUUCAUGUAGAAAACUGACAAUCCCUCUCGAAGUAGCAGGGUUUCGAACGAGAACUCAUCUCUUACAAAGGGAUUUCAUUUUUUUAAACUUAUUUGAACUCCAUGCUUUUUGUGUGUUCAAAAUGCACCAUUCAAAGGCACAUCACAAAAUUUCAACAAUUUCUUACUUCAUUUUGUAUAUUUCGUGCAUUUACUUAUUUUUUUGAGCUAGUUGACCCUGAAAUUGAAAAGCACUACAAAUGAACUGUGAAAAUGUUGAAAGUUGGCAUGCUAUCAUCAUUUCACCCACAUAGCAUGUGUUAAAAAGUUGAGAGGGCUACGACAAAAACUGGAUGCAGUUCGUGUACAAAACUGACAAUCUCUCUCGAAGUAGCAGGGUUUCGAAUGAGAACUCAUCUCUUACAAAGGGAUUUCAUUUUUUUUAAACUUAUUUGAACUCCAUACUUUUUGUGUGUUCAAAAUGGACCAUUCAAAGGCACAUCACAAAAUUGCAACAAUUUCUGACUUCAUUUCGUAUAUUUCGUGCAUUUACUUAUUUUUUUUGAGCUAGUUGACCCUGAAAUUGAAAAGCACUACAAAUGUACUCUAAAAAUGUUGAAAGUUCACAUACUAUAAUCAUUUAACCCACAUAGCAUGUGUUAAAAAGUUGAGAGGGCUACGACAAAAACUGGAUGCAGUUCGUGUACAAAACUGACAAUCUCUCUCGAAGUAGGAGGGUUUCGAACGAGAACUCAUCUCUUACAAAGGGAUUUCAUUUUUUUAAACUUAUUUGAACUCCAUACUUUUUGUGUGUUCAAAAUGCACCAUUCAAAGGCACAUCAACAAAAUUUCAACAAUUUCUGACUUCAUUUGGUAUAUUUCGUGCAUUUACUUUUUUUUUGAGCUAGUUGACCCUGAAAUUGAAAAGCACUACAAAUGAACUCUGAAAAUGUUGAAAGUUGGCAUGCUAUCAUCAUUUCAGCCACAUAGCAUGUGUUAAAAAGUUGAGAGGGCUACGAGAAAAACUUGAUGCAGUUCGUGUACAAAACUGACAAUUUCUCUCGAAGUAGCAGGGUUUCGAACGAGAACUCAUCUCUUACAAAGGGAUUUCAUUUUUUUUAAACUUAUUUGAACUCCAUACUUUUUGUGUGUUAAAAAUGCACCAUUCAAAGGCACAUCAAAAAAUUUCAACAAUUUCUGACUUCAUUUGGUAUAUUUCGUGCAUUUACUUAUUUUUUUUGAGCUAGUUGACCCUGAAAUUGAAAAGCACUACAAAUGAACUCUGAAAAUGUUGAAAGUUGGCAUGCUGUCAUCAUUUCACCCACAUAGCAUGUGUUAAAAAGUUGAAAGGGCUAUGACAAAAACUGGAUGCAGUUCAUGUACAAAACUGACAAUCCCUCUCGAAGUAGCAGGGUUUCGAAUGAGAACUCAUCUCUUACAAAGGGAUUUCAUUUUUUUUAAACUUAUUUGAACUCCAUACUUUUUGUGUGUUCAAAAUGAACCAUUCAAAGGCACAUCACAAAAUUGCAACAAUUUCUGACUUCAUUUCGUAUAUUUCGUGCAUUUACUUAUUUUUUUUGAGCUAGUUGACCCUGAAAUUGAAAAGCACUACAAAUGUACUCUGAAAAUGUUGAAAGUUGGCAUACUAUAAUCAUUUAACCCACAUAGCAUGUGUUAAAAAGUUGAGAGGGCUACGACAAAAACUGGAUGCAGUUCGUGUACAAAACUAACAAUCUCUCUCGAAGUAGCAGGGUUUCGAACGAGAACUCAUCUCUUACAAAGGGAUUUCAUUUUUUUUAAACUUAUUUGAACUCCAUACUUUUUGUGUGUUCAAAAUGCACCAUUCAAAGGCACGUCACAAAAUUUCAAUAAUUUCUCACUUCAUUUGGUAUAUUUCGUGCAUUUACUUAUUUUUUUGAGCUAGUUGACCCUGAAAUUGAAAAGCACUACAAAUGAACUCUGAAAAUGUUGAAAGUUGGCAUGCUAUCAUCAUUUCACCCACAUAGCAUGUGUUAAAAAGUUGAGAGGGCUACAACGAAAACUUGAUGCAGUUCGUUUACAAAAUUAACAAUCUCUCUCGAAGUAGCAGGGUUUCGAACGAGAACUCAUCUCUUACAAAGGGAUUUCAUUUUUUUAAAACUUAUUUGAACUCCAUACUUUUGUGUGUUAAAAAGUGCACCAUUCAAAGGCACAUCAAAAAAUUUCAACAAUUUCUGACUUCAUUUGGUAUAUUUCGUGCAUUUACUUAUUUUUUUUGAGCUAGUUGACCCUGAAAUUGAAAAGCACUACAAAUGAACUCUGAAAAUGUUGAAAGUUGGCAUGCUGUCAUCAUUUCACCCACAUAGCAUGUGUUAAAAAGUUGAAAGGGCUAUGACAAAAAUUGGAUGCAGUUCAUGUACAAAACUGACAAUCCCUCUCGAAGUAGCAGGGUUUCGAACGAGAACUCAUCUCUUACAAAGGGAUUUCAUUUUUUUAAACUUAUUUGAACUCCAUACUUUUUUGUGUGUUCAAAAUGCACCAUUCAAAGGCGCAUCACAAAAUUUCAACAAUUUCUUACUUCAUUUUGUAUAUUUCGUGCAUUUACUUAUUUUUUUGAGCUAGUUGACCCUGAAAUUGAAAAGCACUACAAAUGAACUGUGAAAAUGUUGAAAGUUGGCAUGCUAUCAUCAUUUCACCCACAUAGCAUGUGUUAAAAAGUUGAGAGGGCUACGACAAAAACUGGAUGCAGUUCGUGUACAAAACUGACAAUCUCUCUCGAAGUAGCAGGGUUUCGAAAGAGAACUCAUCUCUUACAAAGGGAUUUCAUUUUUUUAAACUUAUUUGAACUCCAUACUUUUUGUGUGUUCAAAAUGCACCAUUCAAAGGCACAUCACAAAAUUCCAACAAUUUCUGACUUCAUUUCGUAUAUUUCGUAGCAUUUACUUAAUUUUUUUUGAGCUAGUUGACCCUGAAAUUGAAAAGCACUACAAAUGUACUCUGAAAAUGUUGAAAGUUGGCAUACUAUAGUCAUUUAACCCACAUAGCAUGUGUUAAAAAGUUGAGAGGGCUACGAAAAAAACUGGAUGCAGUUCGUGUACAAAACUGACAAUCUCUCUCGAAGUAGCAGGGUUUCGAACGAGAACUCAUCUCUUACAAAGGGAUUUCAUUUUUUUAAAACUUAUUUGAACUCCAUAAUUUUUGUGUGUUCAAAAUGCACCAUUCAAAGGCACAUCACAAAAUUUCAAUAAUUUCUCACUUCAUUUGGUAUAUUUCGUGCAUUUACUUAUUUUUUUUGAGCUAGUUGACCCUGAAAUUGAAAAGCACUACAAAUGAACUCUGAAAAUGUUGAAAGUUGCCAUGCUAUCAUCAUUUCACCCACAUAGCAUGUGUUAAAAAGUUGAGAGGGCUAUGACAAAAACUGGAUGCAGUUCGUUUACAAAACUAACAAUCUCUCUCGAAGUAGCAUGGUUUCGAACGAGAACUCAUCUCUUACAAAGGGAUUUCAUUUUUUUUAUACUUAUUUGAACUCCAUACUUUUUGUGUGUUCAAAAUGCACCAUUCAAAGGCACAUCACAAAAUUUCAACAAUUUCUGACUUCAUUUGGCAUAUUUCGUGCAUUUUAUUUUUUUUUGAGCUAGUUGACCCUGAAAUUGAAAAGCACUACAAAUGAACUCUGAAAAUGUUGAAAGUUGGCAUGCUAUCAUCAUUUCACCCACAUAGCAUGUGUUAUAAAGUUGAGAGGGCUACGAGAAAAACUGGAUGCAGUUCGUGUACAAAACUGACAAUCUCUCUCGAAGUAGCAGGGUUUCGAAAGAGAACUCAUCUCUUACAAAGGGAUUUCAUUUUUUUAAACUUAUUUGAACUCCAUACUUUUUGUGUGUUCAAAAUGCACCAUUCAAAGGCACAUCACAAAAUUGCAACAAUUUCUGACUUCAUUCGGUAUAUUUCGUGCAUUUACUUAAUUUUUUUUUGAGCUAGUUGACCCUGAAAUUGAAAAGCACUACAAAUGUACUCUGAAAAUGUUGAAAGUUGGCAUACUAUAGUCAUUUAACCCACAUAGCAUGUGUUAAAAAGUUGAGAGGGCUACGACAAAAACUGGAUGCAGUUCGUGUACAAAACUGACAAUCUCUCUCGAAGUAGGAGGGUUUCGAACGAGAACUCAUCUCUUACAAAGGGAUUUCAUUUUUUUAAAACUUAUUUGAACUCCAUAAUUUUUGUGUGUUCAAAAUGCACCAUUCAAAGGCACAUCACAAAAUUUCAAUAAUUUCUCACUUCAUUUGGUAUAUUUCGUGCAUUUACUUAUUUUUUUUGAGCUAGUUGACCCUGAAAUUGAAAAGCACUACAAAUGAACUCUGAAAAUGUUGAAAGUUGACAUGCUAUCAUCAUUUCACCCACAUAGCAUGUGUUAAAAAGUUGAGAGGGCUAUGACAAAAACUGGAUGCAGUUCGUUUACAAAACUAACNNNNNNNNNNNNNNNNNNNNNNNNNNNNNNNNNNNNNNNNNNNNNNNNNNNNNNNNNNNNNNNNNNNNNNNNNNNNNNNNNNNNNNNNNNNNNNNNNNNNCGUACGUACGUACGUACGUACGUCGUCGUACUCUCUCUCUCUCUCUCUCUCUCUCUCUCUCUCUCUCUCUNUNUNUCUUCUUCUUCUGUUCUUCUUCUUCUUCUUUCUUUUCAUUUUGCCUAUUUCUUCUCSKCUUCUCCUCWUGUUGGAGCUAAAUUACCUAAUUAUGUCUUUUUUGAGCUAAAUGGGCUAAUUAUCCCAUUUUAGAGGAAAACAAGCUAAGUAUAUAAUAUUAAUGAGCUAACCAAGGUUCUUAUGCCAUUUUGAGCUUAUUAUGGUAUUUUGGAGCUAAAUGGGCUAAUUAUGUCAUUGUUGGGUUAAUUAAAGCAAGGAUAAUAUGAAAGAGGAGAAGAAAGAGGAGGAGGAGGAGAAGAAAAAGAAAUCAGGAAGAAGGAGGAGGAGAGGAGAAGGAGGAGGAGGAGAAGGAUAGAAGGUCCUUGGCCUUCUCCUCCUCCUCCUCCUCCUUCUCCUUCUUCUCUUCUUCUUCUUCUUCUUCUUCUUUCUUUUCUAUUUUGCCUAUUUCUUCUCCUCUUCUCCUCUUGUUGGAGCUAAAUUACCUAAUUAUGUCUUUUUUGAGCUAAAUGGGCUAAUUAUCCCAUUUUAGAGGAAAACAAGCUUAGUAUAUAAUAUUCAUGAGCUAACCAAGGUUCUUAUGCCAUUUUGAGCUUAUUAUGGUAUUUUGGAGCUAAAUGGGCUAAUUAUGUCAUUGUUGGGUUAAUUAAAUCAAGGAUAAUAUGAAAGAGGAGAAGAAAAGAGGAGGAGGAGGAGAAGAAGAAGAAAUACAAGAAGGAGAGAGAGAGAGAGAGAGAGAGAGAGUACGUACGUACGUACGUACSUCYWCSUCGUCGUCUCUCUCUCUCUNNNNNNNNNNNNNNNNNNNNNNNNNNNNNNNNNNNNNNNNNNNNNNNNNNNNNNNNNNNNNNNNNNNNNNNNNNNNNNNNNNNNNNNNNNNNNNNNNNNNUUACAAAAGGAUUUCAUUUUUUUAAAACUUAUUUGAAAUCCAUAAUUUUUGUGUGUUCAAAAUGCACCAUUCAAAGGCACAACAGAAAAUUUCAACAAUUUCUGACUUCAUUUGGUAUAUUUCGUGCAUUUACUUAUUUUUUUGAGCUAGUUGACCCUGAAAUUGAAAAGCACUACAAAUGAACUGUGAAAAUGUUGAAAGUUGGCAUGCUAUCAUCAUUUCACCCACAUAGCAUGUGUUAAAAAGUUGAAAGGGCUACGACAAAAACUGGAUGCAGUUCGUGUACAAAACUGACAAUCUCUCUCGAAGUAGCAGGGUUUCGAAUGAGAACUCAUCUCUUACAAAGGGAUUUCAUUUUUUUAAACUUAUUUGAACUCCAUACUUUUUGUGUGUUCAAAAUGCACCAUUCAAAGGCACAUCACAAAAUUGCAACAAUUUCUGACUUCAUUUCGUAUAUUUCGUGCAUUUACUUAUUUUUUUUGAGCUAGUUGACCCUGAAAUUGAAAAGCACUACAAAUGUACUCUGAAAAUGUUGAAAGUUGGCAUACUAUAAUCAAUUAACCCACAUAGCAUGUGUUAAAAAGUUGAGAGGGCUACGACAAAAACUGGAUGCAGUUCGUGUACAAAACUGACAAUCUCUCUCGAAGUAGGAGGGUUUCGAACGAGAACUCAUCUCUUACAAAGGGAUUUCAUUUUUUUUAAACUUAUUUGAACUCCAUACUUUUUGUGUGUUCAAAAUGCACCAUUCAAAGGCACAUCACAAAAUUUCAACAAUUUCUGACUUCAUUUGGUAUAUUUCGUGCAUUUACUUUUUUUUUGAGCUANNNNNNNNNNNNNNNNNNNNNNNNNNNNNNNNNNNNNNNNNNNNNNNNNNNNNNNNNNNNNNNNNNNNNNNNNNNNNNNNNNNNNNNNNNNNNNNNNNNNUUUUGUACACGAACUGCAUCCAGUUUUUGUCGUAGCCUUCUCAACUUUUUAACACAUGCUAUGUGGGUGAAAUGACGAUAGCAUGCCAACUUUCAACAUUUUCAGAGUUCAUUUGUAGUGCUUUUCAAUUUCAGGGUCAACUAGCUCAAAAAAAAUACGUAAAUGCACGAAAUAUACAAAAUGAAGUAAGAAAUUGUUGAAAUUUUGUGAUGUGCCUUUGAAUGGUGCAUUUUGAACACACAAAAAGUAUGGAGUUCAAAUAAGUUUAAAAAAAUGAAAUCCCUUUGUAAGAGAUGAGUUCUCGUUCGAAACCCAGCUACUUCCAGAGGGAUUGUCAGUUUUGUACAUGAACUGCAUCCAGUUUUUUUCAUAGCCCUCUCAACUUUUUAACACAUGCUAUGUGGGUGAAAUGAUGACAGCAUGCCAACUUUCAACAUUUUCAGAGUUCAUUUGUAGUGCUUUUCAAUUUCAGGGUCAACUAGCUCAAAAAAAAUAAGUAAAUGCACGAAAUAUACCAAAUGAAGUCAGAAAUUGUUGAAAUUUUUUGAUGUGCCUUUGAAUGGUGCUAUUUUUAACACACAAAAAGUAUGGAGUUCAAAUAAGUUUAAAAAAAAUGAAAUCCCUUUGUAAGAGAUGAGUUCUCGUUCGAAACCCUGCUACUUCGAGAGAGAUUGUUAAUUUUGUAAACGAACUGCAUCAAGUUUUYKYWGUAGCCCUCUCAACUUUUUAACACAUGCUAUGUGGGUGAAAUGAUGAUAGCAUGCCAACUUUCAACAUUUUCACAGUUCAUUUGUAGUGCUUUUCAAUUUCAGGGUCAACUAGCUACAAAAAAAUAAGUAAAUGCACGAAAUAUACCAAAUGAAGUCAGAAAUUGUUGAAAAUUUUUGUGUAGUGUCGUUCCGUUUAGAAGUUGGGUCGACUUUAGGUUUACGAAACCACAAAACUAAACUGGAGUUCCGGGACUAGGUUAAAACAAGGACUNNNNNNNNNNNNNNNNNNNNNNNNNNNNNNNNNNNNNNNNNNNNNNNNNNNNNNNNNNNNNNNNNNNNNNNNNNNNNNNNNNNNNNNNNNNNNNNNNNNNGGGCUAAACGGACCAAAAACGUAGGUAGUGACUAGUCGUGUACAAACUGACAAUCUCUCUCGAAGUAGCAGGGUUUCGAAAGAGAACUCAUCUCUUACAAAGGGAUUUCAUUUUUUUAAAACUUAUUUGAACUCCAUAAUUUUUGUGUGUUCAAAAUGCACCAUUCAAAGGCACAUCACAAAAUUUCAAUAAUUUCUCACUUCAUUUGGUAUAUUUCGUGCAUUUACUUAUUUUUUUUUGAGCUAGUUGACCCUGAAAUUGAAAAGCACUACAAAUGAACUCUGAAAAUGUUGAAAGUUUACAUGCUAUCAUCAUUUCACCCACAUAGCAUGUGUUAAAAAGUUGAGAGGGCUAUGACAAAAACUGGAUGCAGUUCGUUUACAAAACUAACAAUCUCUCUCGAAGUAGCAUGGUUUCGAACGAGAACUCAUCUCUUACAAAGGGAUUUCAUUUUUUUAAACUUAUUUGAACUCCAUACUUUUUGUGUGUUAAAAAUGCACCAUUCAAAGGCACAUCACAAAAUUUCAACAAUUUCUGACUUCAUUUGGUAUAUUUCGUGCUAUUUAAUUUUUUUUUGAGCUAGUUGACCCUGAAAUUGAAAAGCACUACAAAUGAACUCUGAAAAUGUUGAAAGUUGGNNNNNNNNNNNNNNNNNNNNNNNNNNNNNNNNNNNNNNNNNNNNNNNNNNNNNNNNNNNNNNNNNNNNNNNNNNNNNNNNNNNNNNNNNNNNNNNNNNNNAUUUUUUUUGAGCUAGUUGACCCUGAAAUUGAAAAGCACUACAAAUGAACUCUGAAAAUGUUGAAAGUUGGCAUGCUAUCAUCAUUUCAGCCACAUAGCAUGUGUUAAAAAGUUGAGAGGGCUACGAGAAAAACUGGAUGCAGUUCGUGUACAAAACUGACAAUCUCUCUCGAAGUAGCAGGGUUUCGAACGAGAACUCAUCUCUUACAAAGGGAUUUCAUUUUUUAAAACUUAUUUGAACUCCAUACUUUUUGUGUGUUCAAACUGCACCAUUCAAAGGCACAUCACAAAAUUUCAACAAUUUCUGACUUCAUUUGGUAUAUUUCGUGCAUUUACUUAUUUUUUUUGAGCUAGUUGACCCUGAAAUUGAAAAGCACUACAAAUGAACUCUAAAAAUGUUGAAAGUUGGCAUGCUAUCAUAAUUUAACCCACAUAGCAUGUGUUAGAAAGUUGAGAGGGCUACGACAAAAGCUGGAUGCAGUUCGUGUACAACACUGACAAUCUCUCUCGAAGUAGCAGGGUUUCGAACGAGAACUCAUCUCUUACAAAGGGAUUUCAUUUUUUUUAAACUUAUUUGAAAUCCAUAAUUUUUGUGUGUUCAAAAUGCACCAUUCAAAGGCACAACACAAAAUUUCAACAAUUUCUGACUUCAUUUGGUAUAUUUCGUGCAUUUACUUAUUUUUUUGAGCUAGUUCACCCUGAAAUUGAAAAGCACUACAAAUGAACUCUGAAAAUGUUGAAAGUUGGCAUGCAAUCAUCAUUUCACCCACAUAGCAUGUGUUAAAAAGUUGAAAGGGCUACGACAAAAACUGGAUGCAGUUCGUGUACAAAACUGACAAUCUCUCUCGAAGUAGCAGGGUUUCGAAAGAGAACUCAUCUCUUACAAAGGGAUUUCAUUUUUUUAAACUUAUUUGAACUCCAUACUUUUUGUGUGUUCAAAAUGGCACCAUUCAAAGGCACAUCACAAAUUGCAACAAUUUCUGACUUCAUUUGGUUANNNNNNNNNNNNNNNNNNNNNNNNNNNNNNNNNNNNNNNNNNNNNNNNNNNNNNNNNNNNNNNNNNNNNNNNNNNNNNNNNNNNNNNNNNNNNNNNNNNNGCUCGACAAAAUCACGGUGAGUGCAUUUCUCUCUCUCUAGGUGUGCAACAAGGAAGAUUGUGGCACAACAAAAAUAAAAGACUCCUACGAUACAAGACGCUCCAAGCAAAACACAUAACAUGUGGUGAAUAAAAUAUAGCCCCCAAGUAACGUUCAUUACUGGAAAUCAGUUUUUUGCCGUGUGCCUAAUCUUUGCUGUCAGCUAGCUGAUGGCAAAGAGUGUCUUUGCCGUCAGCUCUCAGAAAGCAGAUGGCAAAGAACUGGAUGAUGGCAAAGAAGGUCUUUGCCAACAGUCAAUCCUUUGUUGUCUGCCGCAAACGACAAAGAAGGGGACAGGAGACGGCAAAGAAGCUCAUUCGGCCCGGGGAACCUUAGGUCAACCAACGCCCUUCUUUGUCGUCUGCUGGCGGACGGCAAAGAUGCCAGAGGCAGACGUCAAAGAGUAUAGACCCCUUUGCCGUCCGCCAGCAGACGACAAAGGUCCUGAAUCUACUCAAACGGCCGUCCCGCCCCCACCCCGGCCCUCUCUCUCUCUCAAACGGCCACUCUCUCUCUCUCCUCCCCCGACACCCAACGCCGCCACCGUCGCCCGGCCACCCCCGGCGCCCCCGGUUCCCCACAACCCUCCGGCNNNNNNNNNNNNNNNNNNNNNNNNNNNNNNNNNNNNNNNNNNNNNNNNNNNNNNNNNNNNNNNNNNNNNNNNNNNNNNNNNNNNNNNNNNNNNNNNNNNNAGGAGAAGAAGGAGGAGAAGGAGAAGGAGCUCCUCCUUCCCCUUCUUCCUCCUUCUCCUUCUCCUUCUUCUUCUCCUUCUCCUUCUUCUUUUCUUCUUCUUCUCCUCUUCCUUCUUCUCCUCCUCCUCCUCCUCCUCCUCCUCCUCCUUAUUUUACUUCUUCCUCUCUAUCUCUUCUUCUACGUAGCUUAGACUCAUCCAAGAAAGGCUAAAUUAGCCAAUUGUCCUACGAAAUGACAUAAUUAGCUUAGUUAGCUCCAAAAUGUCCUAUUUAAUAAAAAAUGUCCUAUACUUAGCUAAUUAUCCUCGAAAUGACAUAAUUAGCUCCAAAAAGGCAUUCUUAGCCAAUUUAGCUCGAAGAAGGGGACAAGAAGAGAAAAAGAGGAAAAUGAAAGGAAGGAAGAGGAAAAAUGAGGAGAAGAAGGAGGAGAGGGAGGAGGAGAAGAAGAAGGAGAAGAAGGAGGAGAAGGAGAAGGAGCUCCUCCUUCCCCUUCUUCUUCCUCCUUCUUCCUCCUUCUCCUUCUCCUUCUUCUUCUCCUUCUUCUCCUUCUUCUUUUCUUCUUCUUCUCCUCUUCCUUCUUCUNNNNNNNNNNNNNNNNNNNNNNNNNNNNNNNNNNNNNNNNNNNNNNNNNNNNNNNNNNNNNNNNNNNNNNNNNNNNNNNNNNNNNNNNNNNNNNNNNNNNAAAGACAGAAGAAAUAUAUUUAUAUAUAAUUUAGCAUUUAUAUUCAUCGGUUAAUCAGGUUCGCCAUUUUUAUUAUGUCCAGGCAACCUACAUGCUAAUAGGUAAAGAUAGGUCCUAAUCCCACCCGAGUAUGUGUAGAUUGGGUUCGUUUUCCCAUGCUCUGCUCCGGAUCCAAUGCAAAAUUUCGACAACACCUCCCCGCUGUUCUCCUGAUACACGUCUCCGCAAUAAACAGAGAGGAUGUGCAUCCAGAGAACAGCAGGGAGGCACUGAUGAAAUUCCGCAUCGGAUCCAGAGCACAUCAUACGGGAAAACGAACCCAAUCUACACAUGCUCGGGCUAUCCAUGGAUAAAGUUGGACAAUUCGAAAGGAUGGCGGUUAUAAAUAUGCAAAGACAUGCAUAUUUAUAGAUGUCGCCCUUUCGAACGGGAGACGCAUACUGGUCACGCAUACUGAUAAAUUAAUUGAAUUACCUAAAUCUAGAAAGUUUCAUCCGGAAACCGAGCCACAGUAAAUGAAGGGGCGGGGAGGAGAUGAAAUUUGUACUGACCCACGAAUGCAGGGGCGGAGCUCGUACAACGCACGGGCAGGUCUUCGCACAGCAGACCUCACAGCGACGAGACAACUACCACAUGUAAAUCCACCCGAUCAACGCAAAUAUUCCAAUUAUGUCAUUUUAGAGGAAAACAAGCUAAGUAUAUAAUAUUCAUGAGCUAACCNNNNNNNNNNUUGUCUUCGAUCCCGGUACCAUGCUCGUCCGUGCGACGACGGACCACCUCAGCUCUUGUGUGUUGUAUAGACUCACCAUGAAAUGUCCACACCGUAUAAUUAGGCUUAAAAUGAUGAGCUCAAUGUGACUAAGGAGUUAGUCACACGAUGACGUGCUACGGAACGAGUAAAGAGACUUACCGGUAACGAGAUUGAACAAGGUAUAGGUAUACCGACGAUCGAAUCUCGGGCAAGUUCUAUACCGACAGACAAAGGGAAUUGUAUACGGGAUUGAUUGAAUCCUUGACAUCGUGGUUCAUCCGAUGAGAUCAUCGUGGAGCAAGUGGCAGCCACCAUGGGUAUCCAGACCCCGCUGAUGGUUAUUGGCCGGAGAGGUGUCUCGGUCAUGUCUACCUGUCUCCCGAACUCGUAGGGUCUACACACAUAAGGUUCGAUGACGCUAGGGUUAUAGGGAAUUAUUAUACGAGGUUACCAAAAGUUGUUCGGAGUCCCGGAUGAGAUCCCGGACGUCACGAGGAGCUCCGGAGGUAAAGAUUGAUAUAUAGGAUGGAUGGUUUUGCACAUCGGAAAUGUUUCAGGAGUCACCGGUAAUGUACCGGGACCACCGGGACGACCGGAAAUGGUCCCGGGGGUCCACCGGGAGGGGCCACCAGCCCCAAGAGGUAGCAUGGGCCAAAAGAGGGAGGGCAACCAGCCCAAAGUGGGCUGGUGCACCUCCCACAAGGAGGCCCAAGGCGCAGGAGGUGGAGAGGGGGGAACCCUAGGCGCUGGUGGGCCUAAGGCCCACCUAGGGGUGCGCCACCUCUCCCCCUGCCCUGGCCACCGCACCUCCCAUCUGGGGGGGCUGCCGCACCACCUAGGGUGGGAACCCUAGGGGUGGCACCCCCUUCCCCUCCUCCUAUAUAUAGUGGGGGUUUUGGGGCUGUUUGACACACAGUUUCCCAUCUCCCUCGGUGCAGCCCUGCCCCCCUUCCUCCUCCUCUCCCACGGUGCUUGGCGAAGCCCUGCCGGGAGACCUCGUCUCUCCAUCGACACCACGCCGUCGUGCUGCCGGAGAUGUCACCCAACCUCUCCCUCCUCCUUGCUGGAUCAAGGUGCGGGAGACCUCACUGGGCUGCACAUGUGUUGAACGCGGAGGUGUCGUGGUUCAGCACUAGAUCGGAAUCAGACCGCAAUCUGAAUCGCCGCGAGUACGACUCCAUCAACCGCGUUCUAGCAACGCUUCCGCUUAGCGAUCUUCGAAUGAAUGAAGAUGCACUCACUCCUCUCUCGUUGCUGGUCUCUCCAUAGGAAGAUCUGAAUAUGUGUAGGAAUUUUUUUGAAUUUAUGCUACGUUACCCAACAAUAGCGUGGGGUGAAUAUUCGUGUGUGCUUGUUUGCUUUAUCACUAAGUAGAUUUAUUUGCUGUUCUAAGUUGUUCUCUAUCGUUAGUUAUGGAUAUGAAACACGAAAUGCCAAAAAAAUUAGGUGUACUUGCUACUCAUGGAGAUGGGGAACCUCCUAAAACCCUCGAUGCUCGUUGUGUGGAUAAUAUUAUGCAGUUCUUUAAUAAUCCUGAGAAAACCAUAUUAAAUUAUAUAAUGGGCUACACGUUCGAUCAACGUGAAUACUUUAGGUAUUAUCGCUUGACUCAAAAAGGGAAACUAUUAUGUGAUCAAAUUCAUAUGCUGAAAUGGUAUGCUUGGGAGCUAUGCUCGAGAUAUGAUAUUACUUGUUGCUCUACGAUGAAGGCUCAACACCUUCCCUUUUCUUAUAAAUUUAAUGCUAAUGAAACCUUGGCUUCUUAUGCUAAUGGUAUAUAUGAUUACUAUGAUGUGGAGCAAAUAGAAGAGUUUCUUUCUUUUAUGGGUGCUUAUGAAAUUGAAGCUCUGUUUAAAAGGUGUGAUGAUAAUGAUGAUCCUGCUUACCGAUCUGAAAAUUUGGUUAUGCUUCGUUAUUGUUAUACUCAUUAUGAAUACUGGUCGUCAACCCGUGCAUUUGCACGGGCUAGAUUAAUAACCUACAAUGGGAUGAAACUUCUGAGACUAUCUUUCAUUCAUUGGGGGUAAAGACAUAUCCUAAAUUUCUAUUGGAAAAAUUAUUCAAGUGUCAUCAUAGUUCAAAUUUAAUGCUUCAAAUAAUAGAAUGUCAAAGGACGCAUAUACUCAAAUAUUCUCUAUCCACAUAAAAAUUAAAUGAUUUAAUCUCCUCUAAUCUUGGUACAUAAUUCCUUCAACACAUUGGAUUUUUUUUCUUUUUGAAUUGUUCAUUCACUUGACAUCUAUUACCAUCAGUCUCUAGAGUAAUUUAGAAGUUUACUUUAGAUAUAUGAUGAAAGAGCCUCACAGAAUAAACAACAAAAAAAAUUAGGUCUUUUUAAAGAGAUGACGAAUACAGACACACAUGAGAGAACAUUUUCUAUUACUUUUGUUCUUGUUCCAUAAUUUUAUCAUAAAAGAACAAAAUCCUAGUCUCCAACUGAUAUAAUCAUGCAUUGAAAAAAUAGUCAUUGGGUUGAGCAUCUGUUAGAUGUUUCGAUGGUUGCUCUUUUGUGCAUCCCCUUGGCUUCCAUCAUAUCCUAACGUACUGAUCUAAACAUAUUCAAUUUUAUUAUAUUAGUAAUUUCCUAAAAAUAAUAAAAUACUAAUAAUACGUUAACAUAUAUGGGCUGUUUGAAUGGCAGCUGAUGCCCACCUUACCAAAAUACGGGGUUGACCACCAGCGUGGGUGUCUUUUGGUUGUCAACUAAAUUUUUUAACCUACGCCAAAAGAAUUGUCGCUACUUCAUUUCCUGCACCAAUGGGCUGUUCGUAGCGGCGAAUUUUAUGGCCAGUUUUUCGGCUCAGGCGCGAUUCGGCGUGGCUGGCCUAGGCACCAUCAAAAUGACCGGCCUAUAGACAAAAGUAAACUGUCUGUCUCUAUUUUUAAUUCACAUGAACUUUGACUAAUAUGGUAUAUACAAAAUAUUAUUUGAAUGCAUAUUUUAUUUAGCUAAAUACUGAUACAAUGUUUUAUUUAAUAAAACACUGAUAAAAUAUCGUAUUUACCGAGAUACUCCUUUAAUAUUUAACUAAAAUUGUAUUUAUCAAACCGAACAAACUGACACACAUGCCUCAUUAUCCAUUAUCUACCGUGAGUAGGUGGUUCCUACAAACUAACAUGCAUAUUAUUCCUACAUAUUACUUUGCCGAGUUGUCAUUUUCAAAACUCAACAAUUGCUAUUUAAAUGUUUGUCGAGUACCUGAUAAUAUGAACUUCGCAAAGUUGAUGGUUGUUGACCUCCGUCUAGCCGAGUGAUGUUUGCCGAGAACAGAAAUCGACAAACACAAUGCAUAGUUGUUUCUAGCUAGGACUUGCUAAGUGUGUUGGAAACUCACCGAAUUCGGCGAUUCCGGUCGUGAAAUGGCAUUAACAAAAAACCUUAUCACCAUCACGUCCCAAAAAUGAACUGUGUAAAAAUAAGUAGCUAUAUUUUUUAAUGAAGAUUGUUCUUAUAUACGUGUUUAGUUUUCUUGAUUGUAUGUAAUAUCGACCUUUAUACCAUGCAUGCAUGGUACACUUGAAUUCGGUUUCAUUUAGUCGGUGUAAGCUUUAUUCAUACAUGUACAUAGGUUUGGUCUACUUUGCAAUUAUCUGAUUAUGCCGCAAAAUCUCGAACAAAACAUGUUUAACAUAUUUGUCCUCUCAAAACCAAACAUGCGUUUAUCGUAUUUUUAAGAAAUAUUAAUUUACAAAAGGUAUAGUUCAUGGACUAAUGUCACAUGUAAUUUUUACUCAUUAACAAUGAAAAUUGAGUAUCCUAGCAACCAGAAAAGCAGUUUGAGCGAAGUAGUCAACUGUAACCUCUAAUGCAUUAGGCAAUGUAAAGUCUUGGCAGUCCUGGUGAGAUAUAUAAUUCAUGCAUCGGCCUAUUUCGCAAGGCGGGGUUGCCAUAGUUCCGCUGUAAUUCACUCUUGUUCAUCCAGAAAAGGUUAAUUAGAAUACCUUCAGUGUCACAAUCUGAUGCCUUUUGUCGAUAAGAUAAAAAAAUGUGUAGAUGCAAAGUGUAUUACAUGGAACACGAACAUUUUUUUCUUGCGUAUAAUAACCUGUGCCAAACAAUGUGCUACCCUGGAAAACAAUUGAUUGAUCCUCCUUCACAGAAAUUACAUAGAACAUAGAGAACAUACCUUAUUAAAAUUGAAUCCCUGUAGAAAAUAUAAUAUGUUUGGAACCUGAAAAAAAGUCGAGUCAGGUGAAAUUCUUAUAACACCCAUGAAAUCAGGCCCAAUAUCGAAUGCGAUAACAAAAUGCACAUAUAGGAUAAGCCGUCAAAAGCACAGUCCGAGUAUAAGAGGUCAUAAAAACAAACUGGAUUAAAAUGUAUAUUUUUUACUCUGCAUGCCCCAAACAGACAAUGAUCUAAUCAACCGAAUUGUAUAUUUUACUACAUGUCAGAGAUUAAGAAAAAGGGAGAGGGUCAAGGGAUAUUGGUGGUAUAAAAUAUGAGAAACUGAGACAAAAAGACAGCUGAUAUGUGCACUAAAAAUGUGAAACUUGUUUAAUUGAGUGAAUCUCCAUGCCCCCAAACAGGUAAAUAUCAUAGAGAGAUACAUGUUAAAAAUUCAUUACAAUUAAAUACACCAAAAAAUAUAUUAUACUACCCCAGAUCAAAACCAAACCAUUUGCUUAAUGGUUAGCUUAUCACCUCGUCAUUGGCUGCGAUGGUGCCACGGCCAAGAAGAGCUUACCAUAUGUACCCCGGCUAGAUAGGUUAGACAAUGCUAGAUUUCACACGCUGCAUGGAGAGAGAAGCAUUGUAUUAACCCAAUCCAAUGGCUGGCAGGGCGAUGUUUGAUAUAUUAUCCAGUGCAUAGUGAAAGGUCCUGCACUGGACCUCAUCACCCAAUUUUAUAUAGCGCGUGGAGGCAGCCAAUUAUAUAAUCAGCUCAUGAUGUUCAUCAUGUACAUGCAAAUCUCGCUUUCCUAUUUGCCGGUGGAUAUAACUUGCCGCGAUCUCUUCGUCAGCUGCAACACACACAGAGAGAGGGACAUGCUGAUGCCUAAUUGCAUCAGAAGGAAGAUACCAAGGCCAACGUGCCAUGGUGCAGAUAGAUUUAGAUGUGAUUUGCGGCUGGAUCUAACACGCCGUCGAUGAAAGGAAAGACAUGUUACUCUAACAUGCCUAUAUGCCCUUCCACCUAUGAUUGGCACCAGAUCGCCAUGAAAGAGGCGAUGAAGGCUUAGACCAACAACUCUUCGUUAGGGAUUAACUAAAGGCGAUUUCUUGAGAUAACGAUCUUGUUGGUAGGAAAAUAGAUGACGGCUUUUUUUUUGUUUUGGAAGAGGUCAAUCUGGUAGUCCUUCCACGGCAAGAGUCUAAUGGAAAUAAUUUAUGGUUUUAGAUUUUAUCUAUGAAUAAUUGAGGCUUACUUAACGUGGAGACUUGAGAAUGUCUUUGUUACGUGUAGGCUGGGUCAGGUUGGUAGUUUUUCCCACGGCAAUACUCUAGAGGCCGACCAGUUUUUUUAGUUAUUUUACUGCAAGAGCAAAAGAAAUAAUAUAUAUGUUUUUGCCUGGGACUAAUUAACAUGCGCGAUUGAAAAUAUCAGUUACGUGUAGGCUGGGUCAGUCAGGUAGGCUACUUUUUUCUACCGCAGUAGUAACAUAAAAUUAAAUGGUCUAGAAAAAUACUGACUUAGGAUGUUAUGAUUGGAUCUGCACCGUAAUAAUUCGGUCCCACAAGAUGAACGGCUCGUAAAAUCUAAUUAACGUGAGAAUUUUUAAGGAGUCUCUAAUUAGUAUAAGUAUAGAUAAUGCCCAUAUUUAUCGAUUUAUGGAGAAAUUCUACGAUGCCCAAGAAGAGACUAAUAUUUUGCAGGAAACUAUGGAAGAAGAAAAUGCUGAUACUGUGAGCUCAUUAGAUGAAAAAGAUGACGAGGAGAGCGAAGAACAAAAGGAGGAAGAGCGGACUAGCUACCCGUGCCCACCUUCUAAUAAGAAUAACUCUUCAACUCAUACAUUGUUUAAUUUCCCUUCGAAGGAUGAAUGCUAUGUUUAUUGCUAUGAUCCCUUGGAUUUGUUUGAAAUAUCCCUUUUUGAUGAACUUGAUGCUAGCUAUGAUUAUGGCCAUGAUGCCAAUAUGAAUGAUGCUUAUGAAGAUGAACUUGCUAUAGUUCCUUAUGUUAAACAUGAAAUUGUUGCUAUCGCACCCACUUAUGAUAGUCCUAUUAUCUUUUUGAACUCUCCCAACUACACUAUAUCGGAGAAGUUUGCUCUUAUUAGGGAUUACAUAGAUGGGUUGCCUUCUACUAUUACACAUGAUGAUUUUUAUGAAUAUAAUAUGGAUAUGCUUGCUGCUCCUACUUGCAAUUAUUAUGACAGAGGAACUACAUCUCCACCUCUCUAUGUUUCCAAAACAAUAAAUAGCAAGAAACUGCUUAUGCUAUGUAUUGGCCUUUACUUGAUGUGCAUGAAUUGUUCUUUUAUGACAUGCCAAUGCAUAGGAAGAGAGUCAGACUUCGUCAUUGCAUGAUAUAUGUUACCUUCUGCUCACUACUAAAUUACAAAUCAUUGUCAAUUGAAAUUGGCUUUGAUAUACCUUGGGAUCCGGGUGGAUCCAUUACUUGAGCACUUUAUGCCUAGCUUAAUGGCUUUAAAGAAAGCGCUGCCUGGGAGACAACCCGGAAGUUUUAGAGAGUCAUUUAUUUCUGUUGAGUGCUUUUAUAUAGUUUAAAAACAAAAAAAAUAUAGAGGGGAACUUAAAACUUUUUCAAAAAGAGAAGCGAUUGAAAGGUGAUGCAUUGUGGAAGUGAGGGUCGACCUUGAACACUUGUGUUCAUGCUCAUGGAAACAAUGUAGAAUUCUUCAUGGAAGUUUCUCGCACAAAUAAUUAUGCCUUUGUAAAUUUCCAUUGUAUUAUAAAAAUAAUGUGCCAAGUAAAGCCUUUAUGAUUAGUUUGGGUGAUAGUUGUUUGAUCAUGCUGAAAAAGACAGAAACUUUGUGCUCACAAAAUUAUUUUUAAUACCUAUCCACAAAGAGAUUUUGAGUUGAUUCUUUUUGCUGUUGAUUGAUAUGAAAAUUGCCCUAAUUUUCAUAAUUUUUCAGAAUUUUUGGAGUAUCAUAAGUAUGGCAUACGUUCAGAUUACUACAGACUGUUCUGUUUUUGACAGAUUCUGUUUUCUAUGCAUUGCUCUCUUAUUUUGAUGAAUCUAUGGGUAGUAUCGGGGGGUAUGAACCAUGGUGAAGUUGGAUUACAGUAGAUAUAAUUCUAAUAUGAAUUUGAAAUGAGUACACAACAGUACUUAAAGUGGUGAUUUACUUUAUUAUACUAACGGAUCUCACGAAGGUUUUGUUGAGUUUUGUGUGAUUGAAGUUUUCAAGUUUUGGGUGACACCACGAUGGAUGAAGGAAUAAGGAGAGGCAAGAGCCUAAGCUUGGGGAUGCCCGAGCAUCUAAGCUUGGGGAUGCCCCGGAAGGAAUCCCCUCUUUCGUCUACAAUCUAUCGGUAAUUUUACUCGGAGCUAUAUUUUUAUUCGUCACAUGAUAUGUGCAAAUGCUUGGAGCGUCUUUUGUGUUUAUUUUUCCUUUUUCUUUUAUGCACCAUGCUGGUAUGAGAUAGUCCUUGGUUGAUUUAUAGAAUGCUCUUUGCACUUCACUUAUAUCUUUCGAGUAUGGAUUUAUAGAAUGCUUAUGUGCUUCACUUAUAUCAUUUGAAGUUUGGAUUGCCUGUUUCCCUACACAUAGAAAACCGCCAUUUGUAGAAUGCUCUUUUGCUUCACUUAUAUUUUUUAGAGCGGGGCCUAUAUUUUGUAGAAAGAAUUAAAAUCUCAUGCUUCACUUAUACCUAUUUAGAGAGUUAACAGGAGUUGGUCAUUCACAUGGUUAGUCAUAAAAUCCUACAUAAACUUGUAGAUCACUGAAUAUGAUAUGUUUGAUUCCUUGCAAUAGUUUUGCGACAUGAAGAUGUGAUAUUAGAGUGAUGCUAGUGAAUAAUUGUGUAUUCAUAGAAAUACUUGUGUUAAGGUUUGUGAUUCCUGUAGCAUGCAGGUAUGGUGAACCGUUAUGUGACGAGGUCGGAGCAUGAUUUAUUUAUUGAUUGUCAUCCUUUGUGUGGAGGUCGGGACCGCGCGAUGGUUAACUCCUACCAACCCUUCCCCUAGGAGCAUGCGUGUAGUACCUUGUUUCGAUGACUAAUAGACUUUUGCAAUAAGUAUGUGAGUUCUUUAUGACUAAUGUUGAGUUCAUGGAUUAUACGCAAUCUCACCCUUCCACCAUUGCUAGCCUCUCUAGUACCGCGCAACUUUCGCCGGUGCAUUACACCCACCAUAUACCCUUCCUCAAAACAGCCACCAUACCUACCUAUUAUGGCAUUUCCAUAGCCAUUCUUAGAUAUAUUUCCAUGCAACUUCCAUCGUUCCAUUUAUUAUGACACGCACCAUCAUUGUCAUAUUGCUUUGCAUGAUCGUAAGAUAGCUAGCAUGAUGUUUUCAUGGCUUGUCCGUUUUUUGAUGUCAUUGCUACGCUAGAUCAUUGCACAUCCCGGUACACCGCCGGAGGCAUUCAUAUAGAGUCAUAUUUUGUUCUAAAUAUCGAGUUGUAAGUAAAUAAAAGUGUGAUGAUCAUCAUUAUUAGAGCAUUGUCCCAUGUGAGGAAGUAAAAAGAGGCCAAAGAAGCCCACCAAAAAAAAGAGAAAAAAAAUAAAAAAAUGAGAGAAAAGAGAGAAGGGACAAUGCUACUAUCCUUUACCACACUUGUGCUUCAAAGUAGCACCAUGAUCUUCAUGAUAGAGAUUCUCCUAUGUUGUCACUUUCAAAUACUAGUGAGAAAUUUUCAUUAUAGUACUUGGCUUGUAUAUUCCAAUGAUGGGCUUCCUAAAAUUGCCCUAGGUCUUCGUGAGCAAGCGAGUUGGAUGCACACCCACUAGUUUCAUUUUGAACUUUCAUACACUUCUAGCUCUUGUGCAUCUGUUGCAUGGCAAUCCCUACUCACUCACAUUGAUAUCUAUUGAUGGGCAUCUCCAUAGCCCGUUGAUAUGCCUAGUUGAUGUGAGACUAUCUCCUCCUUUUUGUCUUCCCCACAGCCACCAUAUUCUAUUCCAACUACAAUGCUAUGUCCAUGGCUCACGCUCAUGUAUUGCGUGAAAGUUGAAAAAGGUUUGAGAACACUAAAGUAUGAAACAAUUGCUUGGCUAAAACCGGGGUUGUGCAUGAUUUAAAUACGUUGUGUGGGGAAGAUGGAGCAUAACCAGACUUUAUGAUUUUGUAGGGAUAACUUUCUUUGACCACGAUAUUUUGAGAAGACAUGAUUCCUUUGUUAGUAUGCUUGAAAUAUUAUUAUCUUUAUGUCAAAUGGUAGGCUAUUGCUUCGAAUCACUCGUGUUUUAGUAUUCAUGCCAUGAUUAGAUUAUAUAAUCAACAUUAUGCUAGGUAGCAUUCCACAUCAAAAAUUAUCUUUUUUAUCAUUUACCUACUCUGUUGGGGAACGUCGCAUGGGAAACAAAAAUUUUCCUACGCGCACGAAGACCUAUCAUGGUGAUGUCCAUCUACGAGAGGGGAUGAGUGAUCUACGAACCCUUGUAGAUCGUAUAGCAGAAGCGUUAGUGAACGCGGUUGAUGUAGUGGAACGUCCUCACGUCCCUCGAUCCGCCCCGCGAACAAUCCCGCGAUCAGUCCCACGAUCUAGUACCGAACGGACGACACCUCCGCGUUCAGCACACGUACAGCUCGACGAUGAUCUCGGCCUUCUUGAUCCAGCAAGAGAGACGGAGAGGUAGAUGAGUUCUCCGGCAGCGUGACGGUGCUCCGGAGGUUUGUGGUGAUCUUAUCUCAGCAGGGCUCCGCCCGAGCUCCGCAGAAACGCGAUCUAGAGGUAAAACCGUGGAGAUAUGUGGUCGGGCUGCCGUGGCAAAGUUGUCUCAAAUCAGCCCUAAAACCUCCGUAUAUAUAGGAGGAAGAGGGGGAGCCUUCCCUUGGGGUCCAAGGACCACCAAGGGGUUCGGCCGAGCCAAGGGGGGGGAGUCCUCCCCUUCCAAACCGAAUCCAACUAGGUUUGGAAGGAGGAGUCCUUCCCCUUUUUCCCACCUCCCUUUUUUUUCUCUUUGAUUUUCUUCCUAUGGCGCAUAGGGACUUCUUUGGCUGUCCCACCAGCCCACUAAGGGCUGGUGCGCCACCCCCAAGGCCUAUGGGCUUCCCCGGGGUGGGUUGCCCCCCCCGGUGAACAUCCGGAACCCAUUCGUCAUUCCCGGUACAUUCCCGGUAACUCCGAAAACCUUCCGGUAAUCAAAUGAGGUCAUCCUAUAUAUCAAUCUUUGUUUCCGGACUAUUCCGGAAACCCUCGUGACGUCCGUGAUCUCAUCUGGGACUCCGGACAACAUUCGGUAACCAACCAUAUAACUCAAAUACGCAUAAAAUAACGUCGAAUCUUAAGUGUGCAGACCCUGCGGGUUCGAGAACUAUGUAGACAUGACCCGAGAGACUCCUCGGUCAAUAUCCAAUAGCGGGACCUGGAUGCCCAUAUUGGANNNNNNNNNNCGUUUCCGGACCAUUCCGGAAACCCUCGUGACGUCCGUGAUCUCAUCCGGGACUCCGAACAACAUUCGGUAACCAACCAUAUAACUCAAAUACGCAUAAAACAACGUCGAACCUUAAGUGUGCAGACCCUGCGGGUUCGAGAACCAAGUAGACAUGAACCGAGUGACUCCUCGGUCAAUAUCCAAUAGCGGGACCUGGAUGCCCAUAUUGGAUCCUACAUAUUCUACGAAGAUCUUAUCGUUUGAACCUUAGUGCCAAGGAUUCAUAUAAUCCCGUAUGUCAUUCCCUUUGUCCUUCGGUAUGUUACUUGCCCGAGAUUCGAUCGUCAGUAUCCGCAUACCUAUUUCAAUCUCGUUUACUGGCAAGUCUCUUUACUCGUUCCGUAAUACAAGAUCNNNNNNNNNNCGUCAUUCCCUUUGUCCUUCGGUAUGUUACUUGCCCGAGAUUCGAUCAUCAGUAUCCGUAUACCUAUUUCAAUCUCAUUUACCGGUAAGUCUCUUUACUCGUUCCGUAAUACAAGAUCCCGCAACUUACACUAAGUUACAUUGCUUGCAAGGCUUGUGUGUGAUGUUGUAUUACCGAGUGGGCCCCGAGAUACCUCUCCGUCACACGGAGUGACAAAUCCCAGUCUUGAUCCAUACUAACUCAACUAACAACUUCGGAGAUACCUGUAGAGCAUCUUUAUAGUCACCCAGUUAUGUUGCGACGUUUGAUACACACAAAGCAUUCCUCCGGUGUCAGUGAGUUAUAUGAUCUCAUGGUCAUAGGAAUAAAUACUUGACACGCAGAAAACAGUAGCAACAAAAAUGACACGAUCAACAUGCUACAUCUAUUAGUUUGGGUCUAGUCCAUCACGUGAUUCUCCUAAUGACGUGAUCCAGUUAUCAAGCAACAACACCUUGUUCAUAAUCUGAAGACACUGACUAUCUUUGAUCAACUGGCUAGCCAACUAGAGGCUUGCUAGGGANNNNNNNNNNGGUGUUUUGUCUAUGUAUGCACACAUGUAGAUGAGUCUUCAUUCAAUACAAUUAUAGCAUGGACAAUAAACGAUUAUCUUGAUACAGGAAUUAUAAUAAUAACUAUAUUUAUUAUUGCCUCUAGGGCAUAAUUCCAACAUACUCGAGGACGAGCAGAAAUUAAGCUUGGGGAUGCUGAUACGUCUCCGUCGUAUCUAUAAUUUUUGAUUGUUUCAUGCCAAUAUUCUACAACUUACAUAUACUUUUGGCAACUUUUUAUACUAUUUUUGGGACUAAAAUAUUGAUCCAGUUCCCAGUGCCAGUUCCUGUUUGUUGCAUGUUUUUUGUUUCGUAUAAUAUCCAUACCAAACGAAGUCCAAACACAAUAAAAAACCUAUGGUGAUUUUUUAUGGAAUAUUUAUGAUUUUUGGGAAGAAGAAUCAACGCAAAACGAUGCCCGAGGGGGUCACAAGCCUAGGAGGUGCCCCCUAGGGCACGGCAGGCAGGCUUGUGACCAAUCCCUAAGGCGGUUGGGGCCCUUCUUUCGCCGCAAGAAAGCUAAUAUCCGGAAGAAAAUCGUGUUAAAAUCAGCCCACUUGGAGUUAUGGAUCUCCGGGAAUUUUAAGAAACGGUGAAAGGCAGAAUCUGGGAGCGCACAAACAGAAGGACACACAGAGAGAGAUCCAAUCUCGGAGGGGCUCUCGCCCCUCCGCCGCCAUGGAGACCAUGGACCAGAGGGGAAACCCUUCUCCCAUCUAGGGAGGAGGUCAAGGAAGAAGAAGAAGAAGGGGGGCUCCCUCCCCCUCUCUCCCGGCGGUGCCGGAACGCCGCCCGGGACAUCAUCGUGUGACAGCGAUCUACACCAACACGUCCGUCAUCUUCACCAACACCUCCUUCUCCUUCCCCCAUCUAUAUUCAGCGGUCCACUCUCCCGCAACCCGCUGUACCCUCUACUUGAACAUGGUGCUUUGUGCUUCAUAUUAUUAUCCGAUGAUGUGUUGCCAUCCUAUGAUGUCUGAGUAGAUUUUUGUUGUCCUAUCGGUUAUUGAUGAAUUGGUGUGAUUGGUUUGAUUUGCUUGUGGUUAUGUUGCUGUCCUUUGGUGCCCAUCAUAUGAGCGCGCGCGUGGAUCACACGAUAGGGUUAGUAUUAUGUUGAUAGGACUAUGUAUUGGAGGGGAAGGGUGAUAGAAGCUUCAGCCUAGCAUAGAAACUGAUGCAUGCGGGAUUGAAGGGGGCCCAAUAUAUCUUAUUGCUAUGGUUGGGUUUUAACUUAUUGAACGUUAGUAGUUGCGGAUGCUUGCUAAUAGAUCCAAUCAUAAGUGCAUAGAAUUUCAAGUAAGGGAUGACAUGCUAGCAGUGGCCUCUCCCACAUAAAACUUGNNNNNNNNNNNNNNNNNNNNNNNNNNNNNNNNNNNNNNNNNNNNNNNNNNNNNNNNNNNNNNNNNNNNNNNNNNNNNNNNNNNNNNNNNNNNNNNNNNNNGAGGUGGCAAACUUUGUGACAGCACACUACGAAGCCAAAAAUCAUCAUUUGCAUAAUCCGAAGCCUCGGCACAAUGAUGGAGACCCUAAAAAAGGUGGGUCCAACGUCAGCCUAUUCAAAGGGAAGCUCGCACUAGCCGGUGCUUCGAAACCAAUAACGUUGGAUAUCAAAGAAUGGCGGAACAUGUCGUUGUAUAUCUUCAACAACCUAACAGGAGUGCGGCCGUACAUCGAGUGAGUUCUCGACACAUUUUCCCGUAACUUCUAAUUCAUUUGAACGGUUCUUAUUCCCGGAUAUUUCAAACAGCCGUUACGUCGUCAAAUUCUCGGAUGGAGCGGUGAUCGAAAAUGAUUCCGUGGAAGAAUAUGAGCUUCUGACUAAGACAGGAGGCGGCUAUCCCGGUUUCAUCUCUUGGUUCAAACAAACGGUAAUUAUCAAUAAUGGACCAUUUCAUUCUUGGUCUAACUUGCGGCUAAUGCAACAACCUUUUCGUAUUAAACUUGUAGGCUAAUUCAGAGUCUAUGGACGCCGAAUUGAGACAAGUCGCUAAUGGUUUUCACUAUAAGGUCCGUUCAUUUGAGAAAUACAACAUCAACGGGUAUCUCUUUCGUACCUUUGGCAAAGAGCUAUCUAUGCCCGACUGGAAAUCUACAAAUUGUGGUGUCUCUGCUAUCGGCGAAGGUGUUAUCGAGUACUAUGGAAGAGUUGAAGCAAUUUAUGAACUUCAAUUCUAUGGUGAGAACCCACCGAACGUCGUAGGCUUCAAAUGUUAUUGGUUCCGGCCGAAAAAGACUAGAAGGAGUCAUGAACAUAUAGGACUAGUCGAAAUCAAUCCAAACACCCAUUUAGAUAUUCCCGAUGUCUAUAUUACGGCUCAACAGGCGACCCAAGUUUUCUAUAUACCGUGGGCAUGCCAAACGGAUAAGAAUAUGGAAGGUUGGUAUGUUGUUUAUGAAGUGCCGCCACAUGUCAGACCACCUCUCCCAAAUGAACAGGAUUAUGAACCUCACAUUAACCCAGACACAUAUGAUGGAGAAUUCUUCCAAGAAACACGUCUUUCCAAGAAACGUUUCAAGAACCGUCGUGCUUCAUCCAAGAACAUGGAAGUAGACAGCGACAAUGAAUCCGACUCUAGCCCUAAGCCGGAACCAGAAGACCUGGAACUCGUAGAGGUUACUGAUGCGGAUGACCUGUCAAUGCUUCAACGAUUAAAGGAAGGCCUUUCACAACUUCACGCCGUUGAACCCGAUGAGCACGUCAUUCAUGAAGACAUGCGUGAUAGUGAUGAUGAUGAUGCAUUUAUUGAUGAUGAUUAUUAGUUUGUAAGAUUCACAACUUAAAUUAUAUAUAUUUUAAUCUUUAUUAUUCAUGUACAUAUUAUUAUUCAUGUCAGUCAUUCAAUUUUUUUAUGUUGUACUAAUUUCUUUUAAUCUUUAUCAUGGCAGGUGUUGAAAGAUGGUGGGCGCGGGUCGAGAUCGCUCGACGGGUUCUUCCGAGGCGCCCCGCACGAGGGGUGGUACUUCCCUUCCACCCCUAUCUCUCUGUAGAGCCUUGGCAGACAGUCUUUCGACACCAGCCGUGGGUUCUUCUUUGUCGGCGGCAUUGCCCACUGGGAGAGGUGCUGGUCGGGUAGGGAAGGAGGGGAAGGGUACAGGGAGAGGUGGUGGCCGCGGAAGAUCCAGGAGGACUGUUGAGCCGUCCUCGCCACCACCACUAGCUCAUUCACCCGAGCAUAGGACUAGUACGGUCGACCCGUUUGCGGAGGAGGCUACGGGGACUCCGGUCCAGGAGCCUGCUGUUCACGGGCAUUCGUCCCAUGAGACUCCGGUCCAGGAGCAGCCUCGGGUCGAGGUGCAUUCGGCCCAGGAGCAGCCGGAGGAGACUAGGGUUCCGGAGGCUUCACCCGACGUGGAGAGGGCCGGAUGGGAGAUCUGGCCGGAUCGUACCGAGUUGCCGGAUUGGACCGAGGGUCCGGGUGGCUCAGGGGGCGGGGAUGGCGGGGAUGAGCUUACGGAUAGUGAGGGCGAUGUGCAGGUGGACGGGGCCACCGUGUACAAGCGUGGUAGUACACGUCUCCCGGUCGCCCCGGCUACCCGCGAGCAGAGGCCGGUGAUUAAACCUGAAGGAGAUAGGUAAGUACAUUUACCCUUUUUUAGCUUUUGCCUUCAAGUUUAUUCAAAUAUCUAAUGCGCUGACCUUAUCAUACUGCAGGGGAUGGGUACACCCUCUUGGAGUCCGCAGGCCGAACUCCGUCCAUUGUGUGCUUUGCCAGACAAAUUUCCCCGGGGUUUUUCACGUUGCGUGGUGAGGGUCAGGUUCCUACACUAGGAUUUACCUGGGAGCACUACCAGGCUGCGCAGGCCCCGCCGGAGGAGAUUAUAGAUGGUGUCUUGUGCCACACGAGGGCCGAGAUGGUGAUCAAGAGCUUUUGGGUAAAUUAUCCUUUUACAGGAUCUAAAAUUAACAAUAUAGCUAAUUAUUGUACUAAUCGGUGUUUUCACGUUUGAUUGCAGACCUUCUAUAGGUGUGAGGAUGGAUAUGAGGAGGAGGCGGCCAGGGUUCUCGAGGUCGAGUGUAGGCGGUUACUACAGAACUUGCGCCACGAGGCUCGGCCGCAGGCUAUUCGAGAUUACUACGCCACGCGUGGUAUUAAGAAGACGAAGAAGGAUUGAUUUGGAAAGUUUCUGAAGAAGGAGCAAUACAUGAAGGUAAUUACCUAUUCUUAAGUCCUUCUACGUAGUUUUCUUGAUUUCAUUCAUAGGCGUAGCGCUGAAAAUUCUUUCUAAUAACUUACAGGUGCCCCCGAGAUGGUGUGCGGAUAAGAUGGAUUGUUGGGGGGCGUUUGUUGAUGAGUGGUGCACACGCAGCUGGCGAGCCAUCCACGAGAAUGCGAAGGAUCGGCGUAGCCAAAUAGUUGGUGUGCCACACCAUCAAGGCAGCGCCAACUUACUUCAGUUUGGACGAAACUGGGUAUGUGAUUUGCUUCAUGAUUCAUGCAAUUCAUUCUUGAUGCUAAUAUUGUGUUCCUCUCUUUUAGGCGCAUCACAAUAAGACUGAGAUGCCACACUUGUACGACCUUUAUGGCAUGGCCCAUACUGCCUCGUACAAGAAGGCGAAGGCAUUCUCUGAGUCUGACCUGGAUGAUCCCAAUAACUUUACCAACAUAUCAUCCCACCAGAAGCUCGUGGCAUACAGGGACGCGGGGAAGGCUACGAAAGGGGAUGACUUUAACCCUAGCCAGGAACCUUUGGAUCCAGAGCUGGUGAUGAUAUCUGGUGGCGGGAGGCCCCAUGGCUCGAUAGCCAUUGGAGAUGGGAUAAUACGUUGUCCACUCACUCUUCCGGAGAUCAAGGCGCGCCAGUCGAGCAACUGUCCUGAGAUAACGCGUCGUCCACGGCCAGUCGAACUUGCCAUCAAGGUUAGUUGUAUGGACUAAGAACACUUUCAUCCAUUUCAUUAUCUGUGUCACCAUAGAUCAUUACUGUGGUAACGAGGAAUGGUGUUUCAGGCUGCUCUUCAGAAAGAGAGAGCGGCAAACCACGCUGCUCUUGAGAAAGAGAGAUUGGCAAGCCAGGCUGCUCUUCAGGCUGCUCUUGAUGAGAGGGACCAGACCAGAGCACGAUUGCUUGAGGAGGAGAGGGCUCGGAAUGAGGCGGGUCAACGGGCCCUGUACGAGCUUUCUGUGGUAUGUUUUAUUCACAUUAGCCAAAUCAUGUGUGUAAUGUAUGUUUCAAUACCAACUAAUACGACCCACUCUUCAGGGUCUGUGCGAGAAGAGCGGUCAAGUCCCUCCGCCGAUGCCCGUCUUCUCUUCGAUUGGCACGGUGAGUUUCAUUAUAAACUAGUAUUAAUAAUUGAGUGUCAUCAUGCAAACUAAGACAUUGCAAAAUAUCUUCUCUGCAGAAUAACUCCCAAGCGGCAUCGCACGACCCUUCUCCAGGGCAACCGUCUCCAAACGAAGCCGCCGCGAGCAACCGUGGUGUUUCUCCUCGUUGAUGACCACUACGGUAAGUUUCUCCUCCAAAUUUAGCUUGUUUUCCUCUAAAAUGAGAUAAUUAGCCCAUUUAGAUCCAAGAAGACAUAAUUAGGUAAUUUAGCUCCAACAAGAGGAGGAGAAAUAGGAAAAAUUAAAAUAAAGAAGAAGAAGAAGAAGAGAAGAAGGAGAAGGAGGAGGAGGAGGAGGAGGAGGAGGAGAAGGAGGAGAAGGCCAAGGACCUUCUAGUCCUUCUCCUCCUCCUCCUUCUCCUCCUUCUCCUCCUUGAUUUCUUCUUCUUAUCCUCCUCCUCCUGUUUGUUCUCCCCUUUCAUAUUAUCCUUGCUUUAAUUUCCCCAACAAUGACAUAAUUAGUCCAUUUAGCUCCAAAAUACCAUAAUAAGCUCAAAAUGGCAUAAGAACCNNNNNNNNNNNNNNNNNNNNNNNNNNNNNNNNNNNNNNNNNNNNNNNNNNNNNNNNNNNNNNNNNNNNNNNNNNNNNNNNNNNNNNNNNNNNNNNNNNNNCGAGUGGGCCCCGAGAUACCUCUCCGUCACACGGAGUGACAAAUCCCACUCUCGAUCCAUACUAACUCGACGAACACCUUCGGAGAUACCUGUAGAGCAUCUUUAUAGUCACCCAGUUACGUUGCGACAUUUGAUACACACAAAGCAUUCCUCCGGUGUCAGUGAGUUAUAUGAUCUCAUGGUCAUAGGAACAAAUACUUGACACGCAGAAAACAGUAGCACUAAAAUGACACGAUCAAUAUGCUACGUCUAUUAGUUUGGGCUAGUCCAUCACGUGAUUCUCCUAAUGACAUGAUCCAGUUAUCAAGCAACAACGCUUUGUUCAUAAUCAGAAGACCCUGACUAUCUUUGAUCAACUGGCUAGCCAACUAGAGGCUUGCUAGGGACAGUGUUUUGUCUAUGUAUCCACACAUGUAUAUAAGUCUUCAUUCAAUACAAUUAUAGCAUGGAUAAUAAACGAUUAUCUUGAUACAGGAAUUAUAAUAAUAACUAUAUUUAUUAUGGCCUCUAGGGCAUAAUUCCAACAGUACAUGUACUCUAUGCAUGACUUGCCAGCGUAUGCACUAUUCUCUCGAUGGUGUGUGCAUGGAAGGUUCCCGUGCCCCAAAUGCAAGGCAGCUCUUCAGUUUCAUUGGUUGCAGGAGGGUCGGAAGUAUUCUUGCUUUGACUUGCAUAGACAGUUCCUGGAUCCUGACCAUCAGUUCAGAAAAGACAAGAAGAACUUUACCAAAGGUAAAGUUGUCAAAAACUUGGCACCACCUGCGUUCACAGGCCAACAGAUCCUGGAUUAGUUAAACGCCCUCGAGCCUGAUCCAGAGCGUCCAGGGUAUUUCAAGGGGUAUAAUUCAAAACACGCCUGUACUCAGAAGCCAUGCUUCUGGGAUCUGCCUUACUUCAAAGACCUCCUUCUUCCANNNNNNNNNNAUAAAGGUAAAGUUGUCAAGAACUUGGCACCACCUGCGUUCACAGGCCAACAGAUCUUGGAUGAGUUAAACGCCCUCGAGCCUGAUCCAGAGCGUCCAUGGUAUUUCAAGGGUUAUAAUUCAAAACACGCCUGGACUCACAAGCCAUGCUUCUGGGAUCUGCCUUACUUCAAAGACCUCCUUCUUCCACACAAUAUCGACAUGAUGCACACUGAAAAGAAUAUGGGAGAGGCUAUUUUUGGUACAUUGUUUGACAUAGAUGGGAAGACAAAGGAUAAUAUUAAGGCUAGAGUCGAUCAAGAGACACUAUGUCAUAGACCAUUACAAAACAUGCGAGAAGGCAAAGGAAAGCAGAAGUGGUCGAAGCCAAAGGCCUGGUUCAUUCAUGGAAGGCCAGCUAUGAGGGAAAUUAUCUUGUGGGUCAAAAUGCACUUGAUGUUCCCCGAUGGGUAUGCAGCGAAUCUAAAGAGGGGAGCGAGUCUUGAAAAAUUAAAAAUCUUUGGUCUCAAGAGUCAUGAUUGGCACAUAUGGCUAGAGCGGGUAAUACCGGUGAUGUUAUGUGGCUUUAUUCCCGAGGAUGAAUGGCUAGUACUGGCGGAGCUGAGCUAUUUCUUUCAUGUUCUUUGUGCGAAAGAAUUGUCGCCUGGCGUGGUAGAAGACAUGGAGGAGUUUGCACUGGAGUUGUUGUGCAAGUUAGAGAAGAUCUUUCCACCGGGCUUCUUUAAUCCAAUGCAGCAUUUGAUUUUACAUCUACUGACCGAGGCAAGAUUGGGUGGGCCCGUGCAAGAUCGUUGGUGCUAUGCAACUGAGAGGAUGCAGAAGACCCUUCGAGCUAAAUGUAAGAAUAAGCGUUGAAUUGAAGCAUCGAUGGCUGAGUCAUUCAUUACUGAGGAGGUGGCAAACUUUGUGACAGCACACUACGAAGCCAAAAAUCAUCAUCUGCAUAAUCCGAAGCCUCGGCACAAUGAUGCAGACCAUAAAAAAGGUGGGUCCAACCUCAGCCUAUUCAAAGGGAAGCUCGCACCAGUCGGUGCUUCGAAACCAAUAACGUUGGAUGUCGAAGAAUGGCGGAACAUUUCGUUGUAUAUCUUCAACAACCUACCAGAAGUGCGGCCGUACAUCGAGUGAGUUCUCGACACAUUUUCCCGUAACUUCUAAUUCAUUUGAACUGCUCUUAUUCCCGGAUAUUUCAAACAGCCCUUACAUCGUCAAAUUCUCGGAUGGAGCGGUGAUCGAAAAUGAUUCCGUCGAAGAUUAUGCGCUUCUGUCAAAGACAGGAGGCGGCUAUCCCGGUUUCAUCUCUUGGUUCAAACAAACGGUAAUUAUCAAUAAUGGACCAUUUCAUUCUUGGUCAACCUUGGUUAGCUCAUGAAUAUUAUAUACUUAGCUUGUUUUCCUCUAAAGUGGGAUAAUUAGCCCAUUUAGCUCAAAAAAAACAUAAUUACGUAAUUUAGCUCCAAGAAGAGGAGAAGAAAUAGGAAAAAUAAAAAUAAAGAAGAAGAAGAAGAAGAGAAGAAGGAGAAGGAGGAGGAGGAGGAGGAGGAGGAGAAGGAGGAGAAGGCAAAGGACCUUCUAGUCCUUCUCCUCCUCCUCCUUCUCCUCCUUCUCCUCNNNNNNNNNNNNNNNNNNNNNNNNNNNNNNNNNNNNNNNNNNNNNNNNNNNNNNNNNNNNNNNNNNNNNNNNNNNNNNNNNNNNNNNNNNNNNNNNNNNNCUUUCAUAUUAUCCUUGAUUAAUUUCCCCAACAAUGACAUAAUUAGCCCAUUUAGCUCCAAAAUGCCAUAAUAAGCUCAAAAUGGCAUCAGAACCUUGGUUAGCUCAUGAAUAUUAUAUACUUAGCUUGUUUUCCUCNNNNNNNNNNACCUCCUCCUCCUUCUCCUCCUUCUCCUCCUUCUCUUCUUCUUCUUCUCCUCCUCCUCCUCUUUCUUCUCCUCUUUCAUAUUAUCCUUGCUUUAAUUUCCCCAAAAAGACAUAAUUAGCCCAUUUAGCUCCAAAAUGCCAAAAUAACCUCAAAAUGGCAUAAGAACAUUGGUUAGGUCAUGAAUAUUAUAUACAUAGCUUGUUUUCCUCUAAAAUGAGAUAAUUAGCCCAUUUAGCUCCAAAAAGACAUAAUUAGGUAAUUUAGCUCCAACAAGAGGAGAAGAGGAGAAGAAAUAGGCAAAAUGAAAAGAAAGAAGAAGAAGAAGAGAAGAAGGAGAAGGAGGAGGAGGAGAAGGAGGAGAAGGCCAAGGACCUUCUAGUCCUUCNNNNNNNNNNAAUAGGAAAAAUGAAAAUAAAGAAGAAGAAGAAGAAGAGAAGAAUGAGAAGGAGGAGGAGUAGGAGGAGAAGGAGGAGAAGGCCAAGGACCUUCUAGUCCUUAUCCUCCUCCUCCUUCUCCUUUUUCUCCUCCUUCUUCUUGAUUUCUUCUUCUUCUCCUCCUCCUCCUCUUUCUUCUCCUCUUUCAUAUUAUCCUUGCUUUAAUUUCCCCAAAAAGACAUAAUUAGCUCAUUUAGCUCCAAAAUGCCAUAAUAACCUCAAAAUGGCAUAAGAACCUUGGUUAGAUCAUGAAUAUUAUAUACUUAGCUUGUUUUCCUAUAAAAUGAGAUAAUUAGCCCAUUUAGCUCCAAAAAGACAUAAUUAGGUNNNNNNNNNNNNNNNNNNNNNNNNNNNNNNNNNNNNNNNNNNNNNNNNNNNNNNNNNNNNNNNNNNNNNNNNNNNNNNNNNNNNNNNNNNNNNNNNNNNNNNNNNNNNNNNNNNNNNNNNNNNNNNNNNNCUUAUCCUCCCUCUUCUUGAUUUCUUCUUCUUCUCCUCCUCCUCCUCUUUCUUCUCCCCUUUCAUAUUAUCCUUGCUUUAAUUUCCCCAAAAAGACAUAAUUAGCCCAUUUAGCUCCAAAAUGCCAUAAUAAGGUCAAAAUGGCAUAAGAACCUUGGUUAGCUCAUGAAUAUUAUAUACUUANNNNNNNNNNNNNNNNNNNNNNNNNNNNNNNNNNNNNNNNNNNNNNNNNNNNNNNNNNNNNNNNNNNNNNNNNNNNNNNNNNNNNNNNNNNNNNNNNNNNCUUCUAGUCCUUCUCCUCCUCCUCCUUCUCCUCCUUCUCCUCCUUCUUGAUUUCUUCUUCUUCUCCUCCGCCUCCUAUUUCUUCUCCUAUUUCAUAUUAUCCUUGCUUUAAUUUCCCCAACAAUGACAUAAUUAGCCCAUUUAGCUCCAAAAUACCGUAAUAAGCUCAAAAUAGCAUAAGAACCUUGGUUAGCUCAUGAAUAUUAUAUACUUAGCUUGUUUNNNNNNNNNNACCCAUUUAGCUCCAAAAAGACAUAAUUAGGUAAUUUAGCUCCAACAAUAAAUAGGAAAAAUGAAAAGAAAGAAAGAAGAAGAAGAAGAGAGGAAGGAGAAGGAGGAGGAGGAGGAGAAGGCCAAGGACCUUCUAGUCCUUCUCCUCCUCCUUGUCCUCCUUCUUGAUUUCUUUUUCUUCUCCUCCUCCUCCUCUUUCCUCUCCUAUUUCAUAUUAUCCUUGCUUUAAUUUCCCCAACAAUGACAUAAUUAACCCAUUUAGCUCCAAAAUGCCAUAAUAAGCUAAAAAUGGCAUAAGAACCUUGGUUAGCUCAUGAAUAUUAUAUUCUUAGCUUGUUUUCCGCUAGAAAUGACAUAAUUACCUCAAAACAUCAUAUUUUGUUCUUUUUCUGACUUUCUUAUUCACAUUUUUGCAGAUUGGAUAUACUACAUGCAUGAAAGCUGGCAUUCAUGGAGUUGAACAAUGUCGAUGGAUGAACUUUAUAUGUAUAUCAUCUAGUUUUCAUUUGAGUUGAUGAACAAUGUUGAACUAUAUGUAUAUAUAUAUGGAUAAACAGUGCAAUACUUUGUAUGUUGGUUCUUUUGAUAUAUGGGGAUGUACAUUGAUUUAUAUGUAUAUCAUAUAUGUGUGGUGAAUUAUAUAUAUGUGUUGGCAAGUAUAUGUGNNNNNNNNNNNNNNNNNNNNNNNNNNNNNNNNNNNNNNNNNNNNNNNNNNNNNNNNNNNNNNNNNNNNNNNNNNNNNNNNNNNNNNNNNNNNNNNNNNNNCGCGAUGAUGACACUAUUUGGACGUUUCCUACCCAAAGGCCAUGUCAUGCCUGCAAACCUGUACCAGUCGGAAAAAAUAUUUCGUUUACUUAAGAUGCACUAUGAGAAGAUACAUGCAUGUGAGAAAGGAUGUGUCUUAUUUAGGAAGGAGUAUCUACACUUGGACUAUUGUCCCAAUUGCGAGUCUUGCAGGUAUCUUGUGGUAGACAAACGGUAUGGGUGAGAAGAGGCAGACCAAAAUCGCAGUUAGUGUUCUUCGGUAUAUCACAAUCGUACCAAUACUUCAACGUCUUUUCAUGGUCGAAGAGACAGCCAGACAGAUGACAAGGCACAAAUUGGGCAAAAGAACCGAACUAGAUGCGGAUGGGAAUAAGAUGAUGGUACACACAUCGGAUGGGGAAGCGUGGAAACAUUUCGAUGGAUUGCAUCAAGAUAAAGCGACAGAUCCAAGGAAUCCUCGAGUCUGUGCCGCCACGGUCGGUUUUAAUCCCUUCGGCAUGACGACAACCCAAUACAGUUGUUGGCCUGUAUUUGUCAUUCCACUCAAUCUCCNNNNNNNNNNCCUAGGCAGAUUAUGCAAAGAAAGAUCAUAUUUCUGACGUUGAUAAUUCCAGGGCCCAAUUAUCCGGGGAAGAAUAUGAAUGUGUAUCUGCAACCGCUUAAGGAUGAAUUGGAAGAAGCUUGGGAUAAUGGGGUCAAGACAUACGAUGCCGCUAGAAAAAAAAACUUCAAAAUGCAUGUGUGGUACAUGUUGGGGAACGUCGCAUGGGAAACAAAAAAUUUCCUACGCGCACGAAGACAUAUCAUGGUGAUGUCCAUCUACGAGAGGGCAUAUUCGAUCUACGUACCCUUGUAUGAUUUCCAACAAGUCACUAGCACGCUCAAUUGUUCCGGAGAACGGAGUUUUAGUCAUCUUGCCCAUGAGGCAUGGUUCGCACGUGUCAAGUGAAUCAAAGUCAAGUGACUCCAAAAGUCCAUCGGCAUGGAGUUUCUUCAUGCGCUUUACACCAAUAUGACCUAAGCGGUAGUGCCACAAAAAUAUGGCGCUAUCAUUGUUAACUUUAACUCUUUUGGUCUCAAUGUUAUGUAUGUGUGUAUCACUAUCAAGAUUCAAUAUGAACAAUCCUCUCACAUUGGGUGCAUGACCAUAAAAGAUGUUACUCAUAGAAAUAGAACAACUAUUAUUCUCUGAAUUAAAAGAGUAACCGUCUCGCAAUAAACAAGAUCCAGAUAUAAUGUUCAUGCUCAACGCAGGCACUAAAUAACCAUGAUUCAAGUUCAUAACUAAUCCUGAUGGUAACUGAAGUGAAACUGUGCCGACGGCGAUUGCAUCAAACUUGGAACCAUUUCCUACGCGCAUCGUCACUUCAUCUUUCGCCAGCCUUCGUCUAUUCCGCAGUUCCUGUUUCGAGUUGCAAAUAUGAGCAACAGAACCGGUAUCGAAUACCCAGGCACUACUACGAGUGCCGGUUAAGUACACAUCAAUAACAUGUAUAUCAAAUAUACCUGAUUUUUCUUUGGCCGCCUUCUUAUCAGCCAGAUACUUGGGGCAGUUGCGCUUCUAGUGACCCAUACCCUUGCAAUAGUAACACUCUGUUUCAGGCUUAGGUCCAGCUUUGGGUUUCUUCAUCGGAUUGGCAACAGGCUUGCCGCUCUUCUUUGAAUUACCCGUCUUGCCUUUGCCGUUUCUCUUGAAACUAGUGGUCUUAUUCACCAUCAACACUUGAUGCUCNNNNNNNNNNCCCGCCUUCUUAUCUGCCAGAUACUUGGGGCAAUUGCGCUUCCAAUGACCCAUACCCUUGCAAUAGUAACACUCCGUUUCCGGCUUAGGUCCAGCUUUGGGUUUCUUCGUCGGAUUGGCAACAGGCUUGCCGCUCUUCUUCGAAUUUCCCUUCUUGCCUUUGCUGUUUCUCUUGAAACUAGUGGUCUUAUUCACCAUCAACACUUGAUGCUCUUUAUGGAGUUCAGACUCUGCGACUUUCAGCAUCGCAAACAACUCGCCGGGUGACUUGUUCAUCCCUUGCAUGUUGUAGUUCAACACAAAGCCUUUAUAGCUUGGUGGCAGUGAUUGAAGGAUUCUGUCAGUGAUAGCUUCUUGCGGGAGUUCAAUCCCCAGCUCAGCUAGACGGUUUGAGUACCCACACAUUUUGAGCACAUGUUCACUGACAGACGAGUUUUCCUCCAUCUUGCAAGCAUAGAAUUUAUCANNNNNNNNNNGUUUGAGUACCCAGACAUUUUGAGCACAUGUUCACUGACAGAUGAGUUUUCCUCCAUCUUGCAAGCAUAGAAUUUAUCGGAGGUCUCAUACCUCUCGAUCCGGGCGUUCUUCUGAAAGAUAAAUUCCAACUCCUGGAACAUCUCAAAUGCUCCAUGACGCUCAAAGCGACGUUGAAGUCCCGGUUCUAAGCCAUACAAGACUGCACAUUGAACUANNNNNNNNNNNNNNNNNNNNNNNNNNNNNNNNNNNNNNNNNNNNNNNNNNNNNNNNNNNNNNNNNNNNNNNNNNNNNNNNNNNNNNNNNNNNNNNNNNNNCAUGCUAGGCUCGUCAAGCUUAACCCGAGUAUUCCGCGUGCGCAACUGUUUUGCACCCGUUGUAUGUGAACGUUGAGUCUAUCACACCCGAUCAUCACGUGGUGUCUCGAAACGACGAACUGUAGCAACGGUGCACAGCCGGGGAGAACACAAUUUCGUAUUGAAAUUUUAGUGAGAGAUCACCUCAUAAUGCUACCGACGUUUUAAGCAAAAUAAGGUGCAUAAAAGGAUUAACAUCACAUGCAAUUCAUAAGUGACAUGAUAUGGCCAUCAUCACGUGCUCCUUGAUCUCCAUCAGCAAAGCACCGGCACGAUCUUCUUGUCACCGGCGCCACACCAUGAUCUCCAUCAACGUGUCACCAUCAGGGUUGUCGUGCUGCUCAUGCUAUUACUACUAAUGCUACAUCCUAGCAAAAUAGUAAACGCAUCUGCAAGCACAAACGUUAGUUUAAAGACAACCCUAUGGCUCCUGCCGGUUGCCGUACCAUCGACGUGCAAGUCGAUAUUUCUAUUACAACAUGAUCAUCUCAUACAUCCAAUAUAUCACAUCACAUCAUUGGCCAUACCACAUCACAAGCAUACCCUGCAAAAACAAGUUAGACGUCCUCUAAUUUUGUUGUUGCAUGUUUUACGUGGUGACCAUGGGUAUCUAGUAGGAUCGCAUCUUACUUACGCAAACACCACAACGGAGAUAUAUGAGUUGCUAUUUAACCUCAUCCAAGGACCUCCUCGGUCAAAUCCGAUUCAACUAAAGUUGGAGAAACCGACACUUGCCAGUCAUCUUUGAGCAACGGAGUUACUCGUAACGAUGAAACCAGUCUGUCGUAAGCGUACGAGUAAUGUCGGUCCAAGCCGCUUCAAUCCAACAAUACCGCGGAAUCAAGAAAAGACUANNNNNNNNNNNNNNNNNNNNNNNNNNNNNNNNNNNNNNNNNNCUCGUAAGCGUACGAGUAAUGUCGGUCCAAGCCGCUUCGAUCCAACAAUACCGCGGAAUCAAGAAAAGACUAAGGAGGGCAGCAAAACGCACAUCACCGCCCACAAAAACUUUUGUGUUAUACUCGAGAAGACAUCUACGCAUGAACCUAGCUCAUGAUGCCACUGUUGGGUAACGUCGCAUGGGAAACAAAAAAUUUACUACGCGCACGAAGACCUAUCAUGGUGAUGUCCAUCUACGAGAGGGGAUAUUCGAUCUACGUACCCUUGUAGAUCGCACAGCUGAAGUGUUAGUGAACACGGUUGAUGUAGUGGAACGUCCUCAGGUCCCUCGAUCCGCCCCGCGAACCGCCCCGCGAUCAGUCCCACGAUCUAGUGCCGAACGGACCACCUCCGCGUUCAGCACACGUACAGCUCGACGAUGAUCUCGGCCUUCNNNNNNNNNNNNNNNNNNNNNNNNNNNNNNNNNNNNNNNNNNNNNNNNNNNNNNNNNNNNNNNNNNNNNNNNNNNNNNNNNNNNNNNNNNNNNNNNNNNNCGCCCCUGCUGCACCCCCAGCCCCACCACCGGCGCCGCCGGCCCAGCCACUGCCCCGCAGGCCCCGGCGCCGCCCCCGCAGCCCCAACACUGCCGGUAAGCCCCCACACCCCACCCCCUUGUUAUUUAGUUUUUUGGAGGAAGAAGAAGAAUAAGAAGAGAGGAGGAGAAGAGGAGAAGAAGAGGAGGAGUAGGAGGAGGAGGAGUAGGAGGAGGAUGAGGAAGAGAAGAAAAAGAAGAAGAAGAACAAGAAGAACAAGAAGAAGAGAAGAAAAAAUUAAGAAGGAGAAGAAGAAGAAGAGAAGAAAAAAAAAGAAGGAGAAGAAGUAAAGAAGAAGAGAAGAAGAGAAUAAGAAAAAAAUAAGAAGGAGAAGAAGAGAAAAAAGAAGAAGAAGUUGAUUUUUUAUUGUCUGGUAUUUAGUUUUUUGGAAUUAAUUAGUAGUUUUAGUGGUAGAUUCUGUUAGUUAAUUAGUAGAUUUAGUGGUAGAUUCUGUUAGUUUAUUCGCCCAUCAUUAUUGCUUAGGUUCAAGACUACUUCAAAGAAGAUCACAUGUUCUUUUGUGGAAAUCAAGUCUGUCAAAAUAAUGUAUCGUCUAUAUUUAUUGGUAGUGGAGCAAAACAGGACAACUUAAAUAAUAUUGCCAUCCUCAAACGUAGAAAAUAUUGAAAAGUUUUAUAUAACCUGAAAAGUAGUAUAGGUAACGUGGAAAGUCCUCUGGACCAAAAGGGCAACUUCUGGACCUGCGAACUUUGCGUGGUAGGUGCAUGUCCAUGCACCAGGGUAAUUAACCCAACAAUGACAUAAUUAGCCCAUUUAGCUCCAAAAUACUAUAAUAAGCUCAAAAUGGCAUAAGAACCUUGGUUAGCUCAUUAAUAUUNNNNNNNNNNNNNNNNNNNNNNNNNNNNNNNNNNNNNNNNNNNNNNNNNNNNNNNNNNNNNNNNNNNNNNNNNNNNNNNNNNNNNNNNNNNNNNNNNNNNACACACAUAUACAUAUAUAUAUAUAUAUAUAUAUAUAUAUAUUUGAUAGCACAUUUAUAUAAUUCACCACACAUAUAUGAUAUAUAGUUCACGACAGAUAUACUUGCCAACACAUAUAUAUAAUUCACCACACAUAUAUGAUUCACCAAUGUACAUCCCCAUAUAUCCAAAGAACCAACAUACCAAGUAUUGCACUGUUUAUCCAUAUAUACAUAUACAUAUAGUUCAACAUUGUUCAUCAACUCAAAUGAAAACUAGAUGAUAUACAUAUAAAGUUCAUCCAUCGACAUUGUUCAACUCCAUGAAUGCCAGCUCCCAUGCAUGUAGUAUAUCCAAUCUGCAAAAAUGUGAAUAAGAAAGUUAGAAGAAGAACAAAAUAUGAUGUUUUUAAGCUAAUUAUGUCAUUUUUAGCGGAAAACAAGCUAAGUAUAUGUGUGGUGAACUAUAUAUCAUUUGUUGGAGCUAAAUUACCUAAUUAUGUCUUUUUUGAGCUAAAUGGGCUAAUUAUACCAUUUUAGAGGAAAACAAGCUAAGUAUAUAAUAUUAAUGAGCUAACCAAGGUUCUUAUGCCAUUUUGAGCUUAUUAUGGUAUUUUCGAGGUAAAUAGGCUAAUUAUGUCAUUGUUGGGUUAAUUAAAACAAGGAUAAUAUGAAAGAGGAGAAGAAAGAGGAGGAGGAGGAGAAGAAGAAGAAAUCAAGAAGAAGGAGGAGAAGGAGGAGAAGGAGGAGGAGGAGAAGAAGAAGAAAUCAAGAAGAAGGAGGAGAAGGAGGAGAAGGAGGAGGAGGAGAAGGACUAGAAGGUCCUUGGCCUUCUCCUCCUCCUCCUCCUCCUCCUCCUCCUUCUCCUUCUUCUCUUCUUCUUCUUCUGUUCUUCUUCUUCUUCUUUCUUUUCAUUUUGCCUAUUUCUUCUCCGCUUCUCCUCAUGUUGGAGCUAAAUUACCUAAUUAUGUAUUUUUUGAGCUAAAUGGGCUAAUUAUCCCAUUUUAGAGGAAAACAAGCUAAGUAUAUAAUAUUAAUGAGCUAACCAAGGUUCUUAUCCAUUUUGAGCUUAUUAUGGUAUUUCGGAGCUAAAUGGGCUAAUUAAGUCAUUGUUGGGUUAAUUAAAGCAAGGAUAAUAUGAAAGAGGAGAAGAAAGAGGAGGAGGAGGAGAAGAAAAAGAAAUCAGGAAGAAGGAGGAGGAGAGGAGAAGGAGGAGGAGGAGAAGGAUAGAAGGUCCUUGGCCUUCUCCUCCUCCUCCUCCUCCUUCUCCUUCUUCUCUUCUUCUUCUUCUUCNNNNNNNNNNNNNNNNNNNNNNNNNNNNNNNNNNNNNNNNNNNNNNNNNNNNNNNNNNNNNNNNNNNNNNNNNNNNNNNNNNNNNNNNNNNNNNNNNNNNCAGGGUUUCGAACGAGAACUCAUCUCUUACAAAGGGAUUUCAUUUUUUAAAACUUAUUUGAACUCCAUACUUUUUGUGUGUUCAAACUGCACCAUUCAAAGGCACAUCACAAAAUUUCAACAAUUUCUGACUUCANNNNNNNNNNACUGGAUGCAGUUCGUGUUCAAAACUGACAAUCUCUCUCGAAGUAGCAGGGUUUCGAACGAGAACUCAUCUCUUACAAAAGGAUUUCAUUUUUUUAAACUUAUUUGAACUCCAUACUUUUUGUGUGUUCAAAAUGCACCAUUCAAAGGCACAUCAGAAAAUUUCAACAAUUUCUGACUUCAUUUGGUAUAUUUCGUGCAUUUACUUAUUUUUUUGAGCUAGUUGACCCUGAAAUUGAAAAGCACUACAAAUGAACUCUGAAAAAUGUUGAAAGUUGGCAUGCUAUCAUCAUUUAACCCACAUAGCAUGUGUUAGAAAGUUGAGAGGGCUACGACAAAAGCUGGAUGCAGUUCGUGUACAACACUGACAAUCUCUCUCGAAGUAGCAGGGUUUCGAACGAGAACUCAUCUNNNNNNNNNNNNNNNNNNNNNNNNNNNNNNNNNNNNNNNNNNNNNNNNNNNNNNNNNNNNNNNNNNNNNNNNNNNNNNNNNNNNNNNNNNNNNNNNNNNNUUCAUGAUUACCUUGCUAGUUUGCUUGAAGUAUUAUUGUCUCCACGUCAAUAGAAAACUAUUGUUUUGAAUCUAAUGGAUCUGAACAUUCACGUCACAUAAGAGGAGUUACAAAGGACAUCUAUGCUAGCUAGCAUGAAAGCAUAAAAAUUCAUUCUUUAUCACUUCCCUACUCGAGGACGAACAGGAGUUAAGCUUGGGGAUGCUUGAAACGUCUCAAACGUAUCUAUAAUUUUUGAUGGUUUCAUGCCGUUAUCUUGUCAACUCUCGAUGUUUUAUAUUCCUUUUAUAUGUUUUUUGGGACUAACUUAUUAAUUCAGUGCCAAGUGCCAGUUCCUGUUUUUCUGUGUUUUUGACUCUUUUCAGAUCUGAUUUUGGAACGGAGUCCAAACGGAAUAAAAUCCCCAAAAUAAAAUUUUCCAGAACAGAAGAAGAUCGGUGGACUUGAGGGCCAAGGCAGGAGGCCCACAGGGAGCCCACAAGCCCUAACGCCACGGCCAGGGGGGCCCGCGGCGACUAGGCUUGUGGGCUCCUUGGCGCUCCUCUGCCCUAGCUCUUUCGCCUAUAUAUUCCCUAAAAUCCCAGAAAAAAUCAGGGCANNNNNNNNNNCCGCCGCCACAAGCUUCCGUUUCCGCGAGAUCUCAUCUCGAGACCCUUCCUGGUGCCCUGCCGGAGGGGACUUUGGAGUUGGAGGGCUUCUACAUCAACAUCAUCGCCUCUCCAAUGACUCGUGAGUAGUCCACUUCAGACCUAUGGGUCCGUAGUUAGUAGCUAGAUGGCUUCUUGUCUCUCUUGGAUCUUCAAUACAAAGUUCUCCAUGAUCUUCAUGGAGAUCUAUCCGAUGUAAUCCUCUUUGGCGGUGUGUUUGUCUAGAUCCGAUGAAUUGUGGAUUUGUAAUCAGAUUAUCUACGAAUUAUACUUGAGUCUUUGAUGAUUUCUUAUAUGCAUGAUUUUAUAUCCUUGUAAGUCGCUCCGAGUCUUGGGUUUUGUUUGGACAACUAGAUCUAUGAUUCUUGCAAUGGGAGAAGUGCUUGGUUUUGGGUUCAUACCGUGAGGUGACCUUUCCCAGUGAUAGAAGGGGCAGCAAGGCACGCAUCGUGUUGUUGCCAUCAAGGGUAACAAGAUGGGAUUUUAGCAUAGAUUUGAGAUUGUUCAUCUACAUCAUGUCAUCUUGCUUAGAUGCAUGCUGGAUAGCGGUCGACGUGUGGAGUAAUAGUAGUAGAUAAAGAAAGUAUCGGUCUACUUGUUUUGGACGUGAUGCCUAUAGAUAUGAUCAUUGCCAUANNNNNNNNNNCGCUUUCAUCAUAGAUUUGAGAUUGUUCAUCUACAUCGUGUCAUCUUGCUUAAGGCGUUACUGUGUUCUUAUGAAAUCAAUACACUAGAUGCAUGCUGGAUAGCAGUGGACAUGUGGAGUAAUAGUAGUAGAUGCAGAAAGUAUUGGUCUACUUGUUUUGGACGUGAUGCCUAUAGAUAUGAUCAUUGCCAUAGAUAACGUCAUGACUUUGCACGGUUCUAUCAAUUGCUUGACAGUAAUUCGUUGACCCACCGUCUACUUGCUUUCAUGAGAGAAGCCACUGGUGAACACUACGGCCCCCGGGUCUAUUCACAACUAUCGCUUCCACUUUUACUUUUACUUUGCUUUGUUUACUUUUUGCUUUCAGUUCUCACUUUGCAAACAAUCUAUAAGGGAUUGACAACCCCUUCAUAGCAUUGGGUGCAAGCUCUUUGUGUUUGUGCAGGUACUUGUGACUUGACGCGAUCCUCCUACUGGAUUGAUACCUUGGUUCUGAAACUGAGGGAACUACUUACCGCCGCUGUGCUACAUCACCCUUUCCUCUUCAAGGGAACAACAACGCAAGGCUCCAAGGCCGCGGGGGAAUCCUUUGCAUAUUUGCCAANNNNNNNNNNAGAUUGAUACCUUGGUUCUCAAACUGAGGGAAAUACUUACCGUCGCUGUGCUACAUCACCCUUUCCUCUUCAAGGGAACACCAACGCAAGGCUCCAAGGCCGCGGGGGAAUCCUUUGCAUAUUUGCCAAGGAAGUUCCUAUAGGCAUAGCCCGUAGCAGAAGGAUUCCUGGCGCUGUUGCCAGGGAGGGUCUUUUGUUGCCGUAGCAGAAGUAUUUCUGGAGCCGUUGACGGGGAGGAUCGCUUGCCAAGGAGUAUCAAGACAGGAAUAAUCUCCCAUCAACACACCUAUUUCUGGCGCCGUUGCCGGGGAGAGAUCAAGUCAAGAUCUAUCCNNNNNNNNNNAUCCCUAGAGGCGUAGCCCGUAGUAGAAGGAUUCCUGGCGCCGUUGCCAGGGAAGGUCUAUUGUUGCCGUAGGAGAAGUAUUUCUGGCGCCGUUGCCGGGGAGGAUCGCUUGCCGAGGAGUAUCAAGACAAGAAUAAUCUCCCGUCAACACGCCUAUUUCUGGCGCCGUUGCCGGGGAGAGAUCAAGUCAAGAUCUAUCCAAGUAGGUGUCACAAACUCAUCUCUUGCAUUUACCUUUUUUCCCAGUUGCCUCUCGUUUUCCUCUCCCCCACUUCACAUUUGCCGUUUUCAUUCGCCUUUUUCGUUUGCCUUUUUGGUUCACCCUUUUCUCUCGCUUGCUUUCUGUUCGCUUGUGUGCCAUGUGCCUUCNNNNNNNNNNUCCUUUUUUUGUUUGCCUUUUUGGUUCGCCCUUUUCUCUCGCUUGCUUUCUGUUCGCUUGUGUGCCAUGUGCCUUCAAUAUGUUUGCAUCUUCGCUUGCUGAAAAUCUAGUGAUAUGGAUCCUCAUCCACUUGCUAAUCUCUUUAAGAGAUCCAAUUAUGUUGAUCCAAUUGCUAGUGAGUUGAGUGCACUUAUGUAUCUUUAUGGAGUUUUGCUUGAGAUGCGUGAAUCUGAAAAUUGUGAGGAAGAAAUUUAUGAAGUGAUUGACGAGGGCUCCUUGGAUGAAAAGCAUGAUUGCAAUGGUUUCACUAUAAAUUCUAUUAGUGACAAUCAUGCUAAGAAUAUGGAAAACCCUAAGCUUGCAGAUGCUAGUUUUGCUAUGUCCCCUACUUGUUGCAAUGAUCAUGAGUGGGGCGAUGAUUUUUCUUAUGAUCUUGAAAAUUUGUUUAAGCCUCAUGAUGAAUANNNNNNNNNNGAAUGGUUUCACUAUAAAUUCUAUUAGUGACAAUCAUGCUAAGAAUAUGCAAAACCCUAAGCUUGCAGAUGCUAGUUUAGCUAUGUCCCCUACUUGUUGCAAUGAUCAUGAGUGGGGCGGUGAUUUUUCUUAUGAUCUUGAAAAUUUGUUUAAGCCUCAUGAUGAAUAUGAUAUUUGCAAUAUCAUUGAAAGUGGGUUUGGAGAAAUCAUGACUUUAGUUGAUGAUAAUCCGACUAUUUUUGAAGAGCGUCAACUUUGCAUGCAUGUGGAUCAUGAAAAGAAUAUCCUAUGUGAUAGUUACAUUGUUUAAUUCGAAUANNNNNNNNNNUAUUGAAAGUGGGUUUGGAGAAAUCAUGACAUUGGUUGAUGAUAAUCCCACUAUUUUUUAAGAGCGUGAACUUUGCAUGCAUGUGGGUCAUGAAAAGAAUAUCCUAUGUGAUAGUUACAUUGUUUAAUUCGAAUAUGAUCCCACAUGUAAUUACUAUGAGAGAGGAAAAUAUUGUGGUAGAAACUUUCAUGUUACCAAAUUACCUCUUGUUAUGUGGAGAUUGCUAUUGUCUCUUUCUUCUUCCUUGCAUAUGGUAACUAUUGGUUGUCUUGACAAUCUGUUUUCCUAUAAAAUGCCUAUGCAUAGGAAGUAUGUUAGACUUAGAUGUGAUUUUCCCAUGCUUUAUGAUGCUCUCGUUGUGCUUCAAUUCUUGUCUUUUGUGUGAGCAUCAUUGAAUUAUCAAUGCCUAGCUAAGGGCGUUAAGCAAUAGCUCUUGUUGGGAGGCAACCCAAUGAAUUUAUCUUUUUCUUUCUGUUUUGUGUUUUCCACACUUUCAUAAUUCUGUUAUGAUUGUGUUUUUUGUGUUUCUUUUGCGUUUGUGCCAAGUAAAACUGUUAUGAUUAGUCUUGGGGAUGAUCGUUUGGUCAUGCUGGAAAAGACAGAAACUUUCUGCUCACGAAAAGAAUUUUCAUUUUGUUUCUGUAAGAGCUUUUGAGUUGAUUCUUUUUGCUUCUGAUUUCUAUGCAAAUUCUUCAGACUGUCGUAAUUGGUCGGAAUUUUUGAAGUACCAGAAGUAUACGAAGUAUACAUAUUACUACAGACUGGUCUGCUGUUAAUAGAUUCUGUUUUUGUUGAGUUGGUCGAUUAUUUUGAUGAAACUAUGGAUAGUAUCGGGGGGGGGGGGGNNNNNNNNNNNNNNNNNNNNNNNNNNNNNNNNNNNNNNNNNNNNNNNNNNNNNNNNNNNNNNNNNNNNNNNNNNNNNNNNNNNNNNNNNNNNNNNNNNNNAAUUUAUUUUGCUCUAUGUGUUUCACUUCUAUCAUUUAGAGCACGGAAGCGCGUGGCGUGGUAGUUGAUCUAUGCUAUGAAAGUAGUCUCAAAAGGGGUAUUUAUCCAAAGGGAUAUGAAAACUUCCACCUUCAUGUGCAUUGAGUAGUUAGAGAAGUUUGAUUCAUCUCAAUCAGUUUUGAGUUGUGGUUGUGGUAAUAUUAAAGUUAUAUUAGUAAGGUGUAGUGGAUCUAGAAAUACUUGUGUUGAAGUUAGUGAUUCCGGUAGCAUGCACGUAUGGUGAACCGCUAUGUGAUGAAGUCUGAGCAUGAUUAGUAUAUUGAUUGUCAUCCUUUGUGUGGUGGUCGGGAUCACGCGAUGGUUUAUACCUACCAACCCUUCCCCUAGGAGUAUGCGUUGAAUGCUUUGUUUCGAUUACUAGUAGAACUUUUGCAACAAGUAUAUGAGUUCUUCAUGACUAAUGUUGCGUCCAUGGUCUAGAUGCACUUUCAGCUUCCGCCAUCACUAUCUUCUUUAGUGCCGUGCAACUUUCGCCUGUGCAUAAAACCCACCAUUAGCCUCCCUCAAAACAACCACCAUACCUACCUACUAUGGCUUUUUCAAAGCCAUUCCGAGAUAUAUUGCCAUGCAACUACCACCAUGACAUGUGCCACCACUUCUACAUUUCCAUUGCAUGAUCAUAAGAUAGCUAGCAUGAUGUUUCCAUUGAUGUCUNNNNNNNNNNUUUUUUCAAAGCCAUUCCGAGAUAUAUUGCCAUGAAACUACCACCAUGACAUGUGCCACCACUUCUACAUUGCCAUUGCAUGAUCAUAAGAUAGCUAGCAUGAUGUUUCCAUUGAUGUCUAUGCCAUGCUAGAUCAUUGUCACGGUACACUACCGAAUGCAUUCCAUAUAGAGUCAUCAUUGCUCUAAGUUUUGAGUUGUAAGUGUGAUGAUCAUCAUUGAUGGAGCAUUGUCCCCUGUGAGGACAUAAAAGAGGCCAAAGAUGCCCACCAAAAAAAAGAGGCCAAAGAGCCCACCAAAAAAAUGAGAGAAAAAGAGAGAAUGGACAAUGCUACUAUCUUUCCACACUUGUGCUUAUUAAGCACCAUGAUUUUCAUGAUUGAGAGUCUCUCGUUUUGUCACCACCGUAUAGCUAGUGGGAAAUUUUUAUUAUAUAACUUGGCUUGUAUAUUCCAAUGAUAGGCUUCCUCAAAAUUGCCUUAGGUCUUCGUGAGCAAGCAAGUUGGAUGAACACCCGCUAGUUUUCUUUAAGAGCUUUAACAUACUCUUAGCUCUAGUGCAUCAUUUGUAUGGCAAUCCCUACACAUUCACAUUGAUAUCUACCGAUGAGCAUUUCCAUAGCUCAUUCAUAUGCCUAGUCAAUGUGAACAUCUUCUCCUUGUUUGCCUUGCAACCUCCACCACACUCCACUCCACUNNNNNNNNNNAUUGGCUUUAUAUAUACAUGCAGUAGGAUUUUAUCCUACUGUCUUACACUCAAAAGAAAGCAAGCAAGUUGGAUGCACACCCACUAGUUUUCUUUAAGAGCUUUCACAUAGUCUUAGCUCUAGUGCAUCAUUUGUAUGGCAAUCCCUACUCAUUCACAUUGAUAUCUAUUGAUGAGCAUUUCCAUAGCUCAUUGAUAUGCCUAGUCAAUGUGACCAUCUUCUCCUUGUUUGCCUUGCAACCUCCACCACACUCCACUCCACUUAUAGUGCUAAAACCAAGGCUCACGGUCAUGUAUUGCGUGAGAGUUGAAAAAGUUUGAGAAAGUAAAGGUGUGAAAACAAUUACUUGGCCAAUACCAAGGUUGUGCAUGAUUUAAAUUCGUUUUGCAAUGAUGAUAGAGCAUAGCCAGACUAUAUGAUUUUGUAGGGAUAACUUUCUUUUGUCCUUGUUAUUUUGAAACUUCAUGAUUACCUUGCUAGUUUGCUUGAAGUAUUAUUGUCUCCACGUCNNNNNNNNNNGAGGUUGUGCAUGAUUUAAAUUCGUUGUGCAAGGAUGAUAAAGCAUAGCCAGACUAUAUGAUUUUGUAGGGAUAACUUUCUUUUGGCCUUGUUAUUUCGAAAGUUCAUGAUUACCUUGCUAGUUUGCUUGAAGUAUUAUUGUCUCCACGUCAAUAGAAAACUAUUGUUUUGAAUCUAAUGGAUCUGAACAUUCACGUCACAUAAGAGGAGUUACAAAGGACAUCUAUGCUAGGUAGCAUGAAAGCAUCAAAAAUUCAUUCUUUAUCACACUUCCCUACUCGAAGACGAGCAGGAGUUAAGCUUGGGGAUGUUUGAUACGUCUCAAACGUAUCUAUAAUUUUUGAUGGUUUCAUGCUGUUAUCUUGUCAACUUUGGAUGUUUUAUAUACCUUUUAUAUCUUUUUUGGGACUAACUUAUUAAUUCAGUGCCAAGUGCCAGUUCCUGUUNNNNNNNNNNUUGUGUGUUUUUGACUCUUUUCAGAUAUGAUUUUGGAACGGAGUCCAAACGGAAUAAAAUCCCCGAAAUAAUUUUUCCAGAACAAAAGAAGAUCGGGGGACUUUAGGGCCAAGGCAGGAGGCCCACAAGCCCUGACGCCGCGGCCAGGGGGGCCCGCGGCGACUAGGCUUGUGGCCUCCCUGGCUCUCCCCUGCCCUAUCUCUUUCGCCUAUAUAUUCCCUAAAAUCCCAGAAAAAAUCAGGGCAUCCACGAAAACACUUUUCUGCCGCCGCAAGCUUCCGUUUCCGCGAGAUCCCAUCUGGAGACCCUUCCCGGUGCCCUGCCGGAGGGGAGUUUGGAGUUGGAGGGUUUCUACAUCAAGAUCAUCGCCUCUCUAAUGACUCGUGAGUAGUCCACUUCAGACCUACGGGUCCAUAGUUAGUAGCUAGAUGGCUUCUUCUCUCUCUUGGAUCUUCAAUACAAUGUUCUCCAUGAUCUUCAUGGAGAUCUAUCCGAUGUAAUCCUCUUUGGCGGUGUGUUUGUCGAGAUCCGAUGAAUUGUGGAUUUGUGAUUAGAUUAUCUAUGAAUUAUAUUUGAGUCUUUCCUGAUUUCUUAUAUGCAUGAUUUGAUAUCCUUGUAAGUCUUUCCGAGUCUUGGGUUUUGUUUGGCCAACUAGAUAUAUGAUUCUUGCAAUGGGAGAAGUGCUUGGUUUUGGGUUCAUACCGUGAGGUGACCUUUCCCAGUGACAAAAGGGGCAGCAAGGCACACAUCAUGUUGUUUCCAUCAAGGGUAACAAGAUGGGCUUUCAUCAUAGAUUUGAGAUUGUUCAUAUACAUCAUGUCAUCUUGCUUAAGGCGUUACUCUGUUCUUAUGAACUCAAUACACUAGAUGCAUGCUGGAUAGCGGUCGACGUGUGGAGUAAUAGUAGUAUGCAUAAAGUAUCGGUCUACUUGUUUUGGACAUGAUGCCUAUAGAUAUGAUCAUUGCCAUAGAUAACGUCAUGACUUUGCGCGGUUCUAUAAAUUGCUCGACAGUAAUUCGUUCACCCACCGUCUACUUGCUUUCAUGAGAGAAGCCACUAGUGAACACUACAGCCCCCGGGUCUAUUCACAACUAUCGUUUCCACUUUUACUUUUACUUUGGUUUGUUUACUUUUUGCUUUCAGUUCUCACUUUGCAAACAAUCUAUAAGNNNNNNNNNNNNNNNNNNNNNNNNNNNNNNNNNNNNNNNNNNNNNNNNNNNNNNNNNNNNNNNNNNNNNNNNNNNNNNNNNNNNNNNNNNNNNNNNNNNNGACGCCCCCUGCGGCGAGCCCCCAGCCGCGCGCCCCCUGCCGCCGCCGCCCCCUGCCGGUGAGUUUUUCCUGUUUUUCUUUUUAAAAAAGUUAAUUACUUUAGUUAGUUUAUUAGGUUAGUUUUUUAUUAUAUAUAGGGUAAUUUAGUUAGUUUAUUUGGUUAGAUUAUUAGGCUAAUUAGGUUAGUUAGUUAGGUUAGAAGAAGAAAAAGCAGAAGGAAAAAAAGCAGGAGAAGAAGAAGAAGAAGAAGAAGAAGAAGAGGAGGAGGAGGAGGAGAAAGAAGAAGAAGAAGAAGAAGAAGAAGAGGAGAGGAGGAGGAGGAGAAAGAGGAGGAGAAAGAAGAAGAAGAAGAAGAAGAAGAAGAAAAAGAAUAGAAGGAGAAAAAGAGGAGGGGGAGUAGGAGGAGAAAGAAGAAGAAGAAGAAGAAGAAGAAGAAGAAGAAGAAGAAGAAAAAGAGGAGAGAGGAGAAAAAGAAAGAAGAGGAAAAGGGAACCCCGGCACCCCGAAACUGACCCUCGACCCCCGACCCCUGACGCCCGACGCCACUGACCCCCGACCAUCGACCUCCGACGCCACUGACCCCCGACCCNNNNNNNNNNNNNNNNNNNNNNNNNNNNNNNNNNNNNNNNNNNNNNNNNNNNNNNNNNNNNNNNNNNNNNNNNNNNNNNNNNNNNNNNNNNNNNNNNNNNCUCCCCCCCUUUGCCAUGUGGGGGCAGACGGCAAAGAGGGGAGAGAGAAGGGGCAGAUUCUCUCUUUGCCGUCUGCCUCCCCCCUUUGCCAUGUGGGGGCAGACGGCAAAGAGGGGAGAGAGAGGGGGCAGAUUCUCUCUUUGCCGUCUGCCUCCCCCCCUUUGCCAUGUGGGGGCAGACGGCAAAAAGGGGAGAGAGAGGGGGCAGAUUCCCCCUUUGCCGUCUGCCUCCACCCCUUUGCCAUGUGUUGGCAGACGGCAAAGAGGGGAACCAUCCCCUUUUUUAUUUAUUUUUUGUUAUAUCCAGCAUUUUUAACAAUAAUCAGGAUAUAUAUAUAUAUUUGACAUAAAUAAAUUUCUUUUCGUACCCAUAACCAUAUUAAAAUAACUCUCAUCCAUAGUGCAUACAUAUUAUGGAAGUUACAUUCGUACCAAACCUAAUAUUACACCAGUUUCAUCCACGUGCAUACAAAGUUUCAUAUAUUCAUAUACUACAACAGUUUCAAUACAACCCAUGGUACAAGAAAUCAUCUUCAAGCAUUCCAUCAACCAAGCUUCCCGUGAAGUGAAGGUAAUCUGCAAAAUGACAAAUAAGAAAGUUAGAAAAAUAAUACUAGAUGAAGUAGUGUAUAUAUAGGUUAUUUCGGAGAGAAAUUAGCUAAUUAUAGACCAUUUAGGAGCUAACUAAGCUAAUUAUGUCAUUUAGGUGGAACCCUAGCUAACUAUAGGAGAAGAGAAAGAGAAGAAGAAGUAAAAGAAGAAGGAGGAGGAGGAGAAGGAGAAGGAAGAGGAGAAGAAGAAGAAAAAGGAGGAGGAGGAGGAGGAGGAGAAGGAGAAGGAAGAGGAGAAGAAGAAGAAGGAGAAGAAGGAGAAGAAGAAGGAGAAGAAGGAGAAGAAGAAGGAGAAGGAGCUCCCGCUCCUUCUCCUUCUUCUUCUCCUUCUUCUCCUUCUUCUUCUCCUUCUUCUUCUUAUCCUUUUGUCCCCUUCUUCUUAUCCUCCUCCCUCUCCUCCUUCUUCUUCUCCUUUUUCCUCUUCCUUCCUNNNNNNNNNNNNNNNNNNNNNNNNNNNNNNNNNNNNNNNNNNNNNNNNNNNNNNNNNNNNNNNNNNNNNNNNNNNNNNNNNNNNNNNNNNNNNNNNNNNNUGUUAUUUCAAAUCUUGCAUUUGAAUGUCCGUUUCAUUAAUAAAUAAAAAGUUUGACUUGUCGAAACCAAAUGUACAGUCUAUGUGCGAGAAGAACGGCCAAGUCCCUCCGCCGAUGCCAGUCAUUAACGUGGCGGGGACGGUGAGUUUCAUUUCAGUGGAGUGAUCUUAAGAGUGUCCUCAUGCUAACUACACAUUGCAAACGAUGUUUGGUGCAGAAUAUGUCCCGAAACGCAUCGCAUGACCCUUCUACAGUCGAGCCUUCUCCAGGGCAGCCUUCUCCAGGUGAAACAAGCCAGAGCCACCGUGCUUCACCCUAACUUAGGUAUGUUAUUUCUAGUGUUUUAAUAAAAAAUAGCUAGACUUCCAUCUAAUGACAUAAUUAGCUUAGUUAGCCCCAAAAUAGCUAGACUUCCAUCUAAUAACAUAAUUGGCUUAGUUAACUCCAAAAUGGCCUAUUUAAUAAAAAAUGACCUAUACUUAGCUAAUUAUCCUCGAAAUGACAUAAUUAGCUCCAAAAAGGCAUUCUUAGCCAAUUUAGCCCGAAGAAGGGGACAAGAAGAGAAAAAGAGGAAAAAUGAAAGGAGGGAAGAGGAAAAAUAAGGAGAAGAAGGAGGACAGGGAGGAGGAGAAGAAGAAGGAGAAGAAGGAGAAGAAGGAGGAGAAGGAGAAGGAGCUCCUCCUACUCCUUCUUCUUCCUCCUUCUCCUUCUCCUUCUUCUUCUCCUUCUCCUUCUUCUUUUCUUCUUCUUCUCCUCUUCCUUCUUCUCCUCCUCCUCCUCCUCCUCCUCCUCCUCCUUAUUUUACUUCUUCCUCUCUAUCUCUUCUUCUACGUAGCUUAGACUCAUCCAAGAAAGGCUAAAUUAGCCAAUUGUCCUACGAAAUGACAUAAUUAGCUUAGUUAGCUCCAAAAUGUCCUAUUUAAUAAAAAAUGUCCUAUACUUAGCUAAUUAUCCUCGAAAUGACAUAAUUAGCUCCAAAAANNNNNNNNNNAUUUUCUUCUUCUUCUCCUUCUUCUUCUCCUCCUCCUCCUCCUCCUCCUCCUUAUUUUACUUCUUCUUNNNNNNNNNNNNNNNNNNNNNNNNNNNNNNNNNNNNNNNNNNNNNNNNNNNNNNNNNNNNNNNNNNNNNNNNNNNNNNNNNNNNNNNNNNNNNNNNNNNNCGGGGUAUGAAAGUAUAUGGGCAGAGCCUUAGCUACGGCGAGGAUAUAUGAGUUCAGGCCCCUCUACGGUGGAGGUAAAAGCCCUACGUCUCAGUGCUCUUGGGAGCUUUGUGUCGAGUGUAUUAAGGGAUUACAGCAAGUGCCAACCCUUUUAGCAGUGGUGAAGGGCGGCUUAUAUAGAGUGCGCUGCCCUUCAUAAUGGUCCGGUGGACAGGGGUGGAGUAGUGGAGAGUAAAGGCUAGCGUUACUGGUAACGUAAGCCUUAAAUGCUAGUUAUGGUGUAUGAAAACGUAUGACCGUUGCCCUCCUGGGAGGUUAUGCCGAACANGUGAAGUUGAGUCUAUCACACCCGAUUAUCACCUGUUGUCUCAAAACGACGAACUGCCGCAACGGCGCACAGUCGGGGAGAACACAACUUUAUCUUGAAAUUUUAGUAAGAGAUCACCUUAUAAUGGUACCGUCGUUUUAAGAAAAAUAAGGUGCAUAAAAGGAUUAACAUCACAUGCAAAUCAUAAGUGACAUGAUAUGGCCAUAAACUUGUGCUUCUUGAUCUCCAUCAGCAAAGCACCGGCAUGAUCUCCAUCGUCACCGGCGCCACACCAUGAUCUCCAUCAUCGUACUGCCAUCGAGGUUGUCGCGCUAACUAUGCUUUUACUAAUAAAGCUACUACUAGCGAUAAAGCAAAGCAUCACCAAGGGCAAAAAUAAUUAAAGACAACCCUAUGGCUCCUGCCGGUUGCCGUAGCAUCGACGUGCAAGUCGAUAUUUAACUACUACAACAUGAUCAUCUCAUACAUCCAAUAUAUCAUAUCAUGUAUUUGGCCAUAUCAUAUCACAUGCAUACCGUGUAAAAACGAGUUAGACGUCCUCUAAUUUGUUGUUGCAAAUUUUACGUGGUUGCUAUGGGUAUCUAUUAUGAUCGCAUCUUACUUACGCAAAGCCACAACGCUGAUAUGCAAAUUGCUAUUUAAUCUUCUCCAAGGAACACCUUGGUCAAAUCCGAUUCAACUAAAGUUGAAGAAACAAACACCCUCCAGUCAACUUUAUGCAACAAGUUGCAUGUUAGUCGAUGAAGCCGGUCUCUCGUAAGCGUACGAGUAAUGUUGGUCCGGUCGCUUCGAUCCAACAAUACCGCUGAAUCAAGAAAAGACUAAGGAGGGCAGCAAAUUGAACAUCAACGCCCACAAACUCUUUUAUGUUCUACUCGAGAUAUCAUCUACGCAUGAACCUAGCUCAUGAUGCCACUUUUGGGGAACGUUUCAUGGGAAACAAAAAAUUUCCUACACAUACGAAAGACCUAUCAUGGUGAUUAUCAUCUACGAGAGGGGAGAUCGGAUCCACAUACCCUUGUAGAUCGCUAAGUGGGAAGCGUUAAGAAACGUGGUUGAUGUAGUCGAACAUCUUCGCUAUCCAAUCACGAUCCAUCCCACGAACUGCGUCCCGAUCUAGUACUGAACGGACGACACCUCCGCGUUCAGCACACGUACAACUUGAUGACAAUCUGCGCCUUCUUGAUCCAACAAGAGAGACAAAGAAGUAGCUGAAUUCUCUGACAACACGAUGGCACGGCAGUGAUGGUGGUGGAGCUACUCCGGUAGGGCUUCACCGUGUCGUACUUAACUAGCUACGGGGUGUCACGAAGUAGUGGAGGGAGAGAGGGCUGCACAAAGACUUGGGGUGCAAAAACCCUCUCAAACCUCCACUAUAUAUAGGAGGAACAAGUGAGAGGGUGGCUUGCCUCCUACUCCAAGUAGGAGGGUUUGGACGAGCCCAAGAGGGAGGAGUCCUCCACCAAUUCGGUUUGGUGGAGGACUCCUUCCCAUCUUGUCCACCUCCUUCCUUUUAUUUUCUUUUUUACUUCUUAUUAUUGCUUUUAGCCAUUAUAGGCUUAUUGGGCUGGCCUCAACAGCCCACUAAAGGCUGGGGCGCCACCCAUGGGCCUAUUAGGUCCUAUCCCGAGUGGGUGGCCCCUCCCGGUAAAACCCCAGAACCAGUUCGUCUCUCUCGGUACUUUAGCGGUAAUGCCCGAAAUCUUUCCGAAAGCCUAUAUAUCAAUUGUUGUUUCCGGACCAUUCCGGAGACCCUCGUGACGUCCGAGAUCUCAUCUGGGACUCCAAACAACAAUCGGUUACCAACAUCAAUAAUUCAACAAUACCAAAACGUCACCGAACCUUAAGUUUGCACACCCUGCGGGUUCGAGAACUGUGUAGACUUGAUCGAGACACUCUCCAGCCAAUAUCCAAUAGCGGGACCUGGAUGCCCAUAUUUGAUCCUACAUAUUCUACGAAGAUCUUAUCGGUCCAACCUCUAUGUCAAUGAUUCAGUUAAUCCCGUGUAAUGUUCCCUUUGUCCUUCGGUAUGUUACUUGCCCGGGAAUCGAUCGUCGGUAUCUCUAUACCUAGUUCAAUCCCAUUAAUGGCAAAUCUCUUUACUCGUUCCGUAAUACAGUAUCCCGUGGCUAACUCUUUAUUCACAUUUCUUGCAAGGCUUAUUGUGAUGUUGUAGUACUAAGUGGGCCCCGAGAUACCUCUGCAUCAGAAGGAGUGAUAAAUCCCAGUCUUGAUGCACGCCAACCCAACAUACACUUUCGGAGAUACCUGUAGAGCACCUUUAUAGUCAUCCAGUUACGUUGCGACAUUUAAUACACACAAGAUAUUCCUCCGUUGUUCGGGAGUUGCAUGAUCUCAUAGUCAUAGGAAUAGAUACUUGACACACAGAAAACAAUAGCAACAAAAUGACACAAUCACAUGCUAUGUUUAUAGUUUGGGUCUUGUCCAUCACAUCAUUCCCCCAAUGAUGUGAUCUCGUUAUCCAUUGACAACACUUGUCUAUGGCUAGGAAACCUUAACCAUCUUUGAUCAAUGAGCUAGUCAACUAGAGGUUUACUAGGGACAAUAUUUCGUCUAUGUAUCUACACAUGUAUCUGUGUUUCCAUUCAAUACAAUUCUAGCACUGGAAACAGGAAAUAUAAUAAUAACUAAUUUAUAAUUGCCUCUAGGUCAUAUUUCCAAGAGAGGAAGCUCCACCAUCCAACAAGAAGAAGCUCUCAUGAGUUCGAGAAAAGAGUGGACAAGGAUUAUCCGCUGAAUCAAAUCUUCGUUGACAUACAAACUGGGAGAAUUACUCACUCUAAAACUUGUUUAGGUAACUUUUGGAGCAUUACUCAUUAUCUCUGGCAUAGAGCCUAUGAAGGUACAAGAAUCCCUUCAAGACCCAUAUUGGGUGAAUGCGAUGCAUGGAGUGUUACACAGAUUCACGAGGAAUGACGUUUUUACACUUGUGGAAAAGCCCAAGGACGAGAAAAGCGUCAUUGGUACAAAAUGGGUAUUUGGCAACAAGCAAGAUGAACAUGGUCAAUUUGUACGCAACAAGGCGUGUCUCAUAGCCCAAGGAUACACGCAAGUUGAUACGUCUCAAACGUAUCUAUAAUUUUUGAUGGUUUCAUGUUGUUAUCUUGUCAACUUUGGAUGUUUUAUAUACCUUUUAGAUCUUUUUUGGGACUAACUUAUUAAUUCAGUGCCAAGUGCGAGUUCCUGUUUUUUCUGUGUUUUUGACUCUUUUCAGAUCUGAUUUUGGAACGGAGUCCAAACGAAAUAAAAUCCCCGAAAUAAAUUUUGAGGGCCAAGGCAGGAGCCCCAUAGGGAGCCCACAAGCCGUGACGCUGCGGCCAGGGGGGCCGCGGCGACCAGGCUUCUGGCCUCCCUGGCGCUCCCCUGCCCGAGCUCUUUCGCCUAUAUAUUCCCUAAAAUCCCAGAAAAAAUCAGGGCAUCCACGAAAACACUUUUCCGCCGCCGCAAGCUUCCGUUUCCGCGAGAUCUCAUCUGGAGACCCUUCCCAGUGCCCUGCCGGAGGGGACUUUGGAGUUGGAGGGCUUCUACAUCAACAUCAUCGCCUCUCCAAUGACUCGUGAGUAGUCCACUUCAGACCUACGGGUCCGUAGUUAGUAGCUAGAUGGCUUCUUCUCUCUCUUGGAUCUACAAUACAAUGUUUUCCAUGAUCUUCAUGGAGAUCUAUCCGAUGUAAUCCUCUUUGGCGGUGUGUUUGUCGAGAUCCGAUAAAUUGUGGAUUUGUGGUCAGAUUAUCUAUGAAUUAUAUUUGAGUCUUUGCUGAUUUCUUAUAUGCAUGAUUUGAUAUCCUUGUAAGUCUCUCCGAGUCUUGGGUUUUGUUUGGCCAACUAGAUCUAUGAUUCUUGCAAUGGGAGAAGUGCUUGGUUUUGGGUUCAUACCGUGAGGUGACCUUUCCCAGUGAUAGAAGGGGCAGCAAGGCACGCAUCGUGUUGUUGCCAUCAAGGGUAACAAGAUGGGAUUUUAGCAUAGAUUUGAGAUUGUUCAUCUACAUCAUGUCAUCUUGCUUAGAUGCAUGCUGGAUAGCGGUCGACGUGUGGAGUAAUAGUAGUAGAUAAAGAAAGUAUCGGUCUACUUGUUUUGGACGUGAUGCCUAUAGAUAUGAUCAUUGCCAUAGAUAACGUCAUGACUUUGCACGGUUCUAUCAAUUGCUUGACAGUAAUUCGUUGACCCACCGUCUACUUGCUUUCAUGAGAGAAGCCACUGGUGAACACUACGGCCCCCGGGUCUAUUCACAACUAUCGCUUCCACUUUUACUUUUACUUUGCUUUGUUUACUUUUUGCUUUCAGUUCUCACUUUGCAAACAAUCUAUAAGGGAUUGACAACCCCUUCAUAGCAUUGGGUGCAAGCUCUUUGUGUUUGUGCAGGUACUUGUGACUUGACGCGAUCCUCCUACUAGAUUGAUACCUUGGUUCUCAAACUGAGGGAAAUACUUACCGUCGCUGUGCUACAUCACCCUUUCCUCUUCAAGGGAACACCAACGCAAGGCUCCAAGGCCGCGGGGGAAUCCUUUGCAUAUUUGCCAAGGAAGUUCCUAUAGGCAUAGCCCGUAGCAGAAGGAUUCCUGGCGCUGUUGCCAGGGAGGGUCUUUUGUUGCCGUAGCAGAAGUAUUUCUGGAGCCGUUGACGGGGAGGAUCGCUUGCCAAGGAGUAUCAAGACAGGAAUAAUCUCCCAUCAACACACCUAUUUCUGGCGCCGUUGCCGGGGAGAGAUCAAGUCAAGAUCUAUCCAAGUAGGUGUCACAAACUCAUCUCUUGCAUUUACCUUUUUUCCCAGUUGCCUCUCGUUUUCCUCUCCCCCACUUCACAUUUGCCGUUUUCAUUCGCCUUUUUCGUUUGCCUUUUUGGUUCACCCUUUUCUCUCGCUUGCUUUCUGUUCGCUUGUGUGCCAUGUGCCUUCAAUAUGUUUGCAUCUUCGCUUGCUGAAAAUCUAGUGAUAUGGAUCCUCAUCCACUUGCUAAUCUCUUUAAGAGAUCCAAUUAUGUUGAUCCAAUUGCUAGUGAGUUGAGUGCACUUAUGUAUCUUUAUGGAGUUUUGCUUGAGAUGCGUGAAUCUGAAAAUUGUGAGGAAGAAAUUUAUGAAGUGAUUGACGAGGGCUCCUUGGAUGAAAAGCAUGAUUGCAAUGGUUUCACUAUAAAUUCUAUUAGUGACAAUCAUGCUAAGAAUAUGGAAAACCCUAAGCUUGCAGAUGCUAGUUUUGCUAUGUCCCCUACUUGUUGCAAUGAUCAUGAGUGGGGCGAUGAUUUUUCUUAUGAUCUUGAAAAUUUGUUUAAGCCUCAUGAUGAAUAUGAUAUUUGCAAUAUCAUUGAAAGUGGGUUUGGAGAAAUCAUGACUUUAGUUGAUGAUAAUCCGACUAUUUUUGAAGAGCGUCAACUUUGCAUGCAUGUGGAUCAUGAAAAGAAUAUCCUAUGUGAUAGUUACAUUGUUUAAUUCGAAUAUGAUCCCACAUGUAAUUACUAUGAGAGAGGAAAAUAUUGUGGUAGAAACUUUCAUGUUACCAAAUUACCUCUCGUUAUGUGGAGAUUGCUAUUGUCUCUUUCUUCUUCCUUGCAUACGGUAACUAUUGGUUGUCUUGACAAUCUGUUUUCCUAUAAAAUGCCUAUGCAUAGGAAGUAUGUUAGACUUACAUGUGAUUUUCACAUGCUUUAUGAUGCUCUCGUUGUGCUUCAAUUCUUGUCUUUUGUGUGAGCAUCAUUGAAUUAUCAAUGCCUAGCUAAGGGCGUUAAACAAUAGCGCUUGUUGGGAGGCAACCCAAUGAAUUUAUCUUUUUCUUUCUGUUUAGUGUUUUCCAUACUUUCAUAAUUCUGUUAUGAUUGUGUUUUUUGUGUUUCUUUUUCCUUUGUGCCAAGUGAAACCGUUAUGAUUAGUCUUGGGGAUGAUCGUUUGGUCAUGCUGGAAAAGACAGAAACUUUCUGCUCACGAAAAGAAUUUUCAUUUUUUCUGUAAGAGCUUUUGAGUUGACUAUUUUUUCUUCUGAUUGUUACGCAAAUUCUAUAGAUUGUCGUAAUUAUUCAAAAAAUUUCAAGUACCAGAAGUAUACGAAGUAUAUAGAUUACUAUAGACUGGUCUGUUGUUAACAGAUUCUGUUUUUGUUGAGUUGGUUGCUUAUUUUGAUGAAACUAUGGAUAGUAUGGGGGGUAUUAGCCAUGGAAGAUUGAAAAUACAGUAACCCAACAUCAAGAUAAGUAGAAUUUAAGUUUUCUACAGUACCUAAGGAAGUGGUGGUUUGCUUUCUUAUACUAAUGAUAUCACGAGUUUCUGUUUAAGUUUUGUGUUGUGAAGUUUUGAAGUUUUGGGUGAACUUCUUAUGGACAAAGAGAUAAAGAGUGGCAAGAGAUCAAGCUUGGGGAUGCCCAAGGCACCCCAAGUUAAUUCAAGGAUGCCGAAAAAGUUUAAUCUUGGGAUGCCCCGGGAAGGCAUCCCCUCUUUCGUCUUCAAUCCAUCGGUAACCACUACAGGAAUCAGCUUCUUUGCCGUCUGCCAUCACAGACGGCAAAGGCAAUAUCCCGGACGGCAAAGACAAUAUCACAAACGACAAAGAUUCUCACGGGUGGCAAAAUUUCUGCGUCAGCCUACGACGGCAUAGGACCUUCUUUGCCGUCUGCCCCCCCAAAGCGGACGGCAAAGCUCUUUGCCGUCAGCUUUCCUUAGGAGCAGUCGGCAAAGUGUUCGAGACGGCAGCCGACAGGAGUUGCCUCCGUUAGGGGUUAACGGAGGCUUUGCCGUCUACCUCCCCCUCCAGCUUUGCCGUCUGCCUCCCCAUCCAUCUUUUCCAUCUGCCUUCUCUUCCCCUCCCCUCUCCUUUACCUCCAUCUUUGUCGUCUGCCUCCCCGUCCAUCUUUGCCGUCUGCCUGCUCCUCCCCUCCCCCCUCUCUCCACUCUUUGUCGUCUGCCUCCUCCUCCCCCCCUCCUCUGUUCCCUCGUCUUUGCCGUCUGCCCACCCUGGAGGCUGACGGCAAAGAGACUACAUAGACUCCCCAGGAUGCACAGCUGGGUGCCAUGUGGCACCUUUGCCGUCUGCCAGCUGAUGGCACAGGUCGUUGCCAUCAGCUGGCAGACGGCAAAGAGCCCAUAUAGUUCCUGUUUUUUUGUUUUAUAUUGUUUCACAACACACACACACNNNNNNNNNNNNNNNNNNNNNNNNNNNNNNNNNNNNNNNNNNNNNNNNNNNNNNNNNNNNNNNNNNNNNNNNNNNNNNNNNNNNNNNNNNNNNNNNNNNNAAGGUUCUUAUGCCAUUUUGAGCUUAUUAUGGUAUUUUCGAGGUAAAUGGGCUCAUUAUGUCAUUGUUGGGUUAAUUAAAGCAAGGAUAAUAUGAAAGAGGAGAAGAAAGAGGAGNNNNNNNNNNNNNNNNNNNNNNNNNNNNNNNNNNNNNNNNNNNNNNNNNNNNNNNNNNNNNNNNNNNNNNNNNNNNNNUUCUCCUCUUCUCCUCUUGUUGGAGCUAAAUUACCUAAUUAUGUCUUUUUUGAGCUAAAUGGGCUAAUUAUCCCAUUUUAGAGGAAAACAAGCUAAGUAUAUAAUAUUAAUGAGCUAACCAAGGUUCUUAUGCCAUUUUGAGCUUAUUAUAGUAUUUUGGAGCUAAAUGGGCUAAUUAUGUCAUUGUUGGGUUAAUUACCCUGGUGCAUGGACAUGCACCUACCACGCAAAGUUCGCAGGUCCAGAAGUUGCCCUUUUGGUCCAGAGGACUUUCCACGUUACCUAUACUACUUUUCAGGUUAUAUAAAACUUUUCAAUAUUUUCUACGUUUGAGGAUGGCAAUAUUAUUUAAGUUGUCCUGUUUUGCUCCACUACCAAUAAAUAUAGACGAUACAUUAUUUUGACAGACUUGAUUUCCACAAAAGAACAUGUGAUCUUCUUUGAAGUAGUCUUGAACCUAAGCAAUAAUGAUGGGCGAAUAAACUAACAGAAUCUACCACUAAAUCUACUAAUUAACUAACAGAAUCUACCACUAAANNNNNNNNNNNNNNNNNNNNNNNNNNNNNNNNNNNNNNNNNNNNNNNNNNNNNNNNNNNUUUUUUUUUCAAGCAGAAGACGGCAUACGAGAUGAGUCGUUGCGGUCUGCCUUGCCAGCCCGCUCAGAGAUGUGUAUAAGAGACAGCGGCACCAGUGGUGCCGGAGGGUUGUGGGGAACCGGGGGCGCCGGGGGUGGCCGGGCGACGGUGGCGGCGUUGGGUGUCGGGGGAGGAGAGAGAGAGAGUGGCCGUUUGAGAGAGAGAGAGGGCCGGGGUGGGGGCGGGACGGCCGUUUGAGUAGAUUCAGGACCUUUGUCGUCUGCUGGCGGACGGCAAAGGGGUCUAUACUCUUUGACGUCUGCCUCUGGCAUCUUUGCCGUCCGCCAGCAGACGACAAAGAAGGGCGUUGGUUGACCUAAGGUUCCCCGGGCCGAAUGAGCUUCUUUGCCGUCUCCUGUCCCCUUCUUUGUCGUUUGCGGCAGACAACAAAGGAUUGACUGUUGGCAAAGACCUUCUUUGCCAUCAUCCAGUUCUUUGCCAUCUGCUUUCUGAGAGCUGACGGCAAAGACACUCUUUGCCAUCAGCUAGCUGACAGCAAAGAUUAGGCACACGGCAAAAAACUGAUUUCCAGUAAUGAACGUUACUUGGGGGCUAUAUUUUAUUCACCACAUGUUAUGUGUUUUGCUUGGAGCGUCUUGUAUCGUAGGAGUCUUUUAUUUUUGUUGUGCCACAAUCUUCCUUGUUGCACACCUAGAGAGAGAGAAAUGCACUCACCGUGAUUUUGUCGAGCUUCACUUAUAUCCUUUGGUUAGACAAUUCAGCUCACAUGUGUUUCACUUAUAUCCUUUGGUUAGACAAUUCAGCUCACAUGUGUUUCACUUAUAUCUUUUGAGCUAAUUUAUUUUGCUCUAUGUGUUUCACUUCUAUCAUUUAGAGCACGGAAGCGCGUGGCGUGGUAGUUGAUCUAUGCUAUGAAAGUAGUCUCAAAAGGGGUAUUUAUCCAAAGGGAUAUGAAAACUUCCACCUUCAUGUGCAUUGAGUAGUUAGAGAAGUUUGAUUCAUCUCAAUCAGUUUUGAGUUGUGGUUGUGGUAAUAUUAAAGUUAUAUUAGUAAGGUGUUGUGGAUCUAGACAUACUUGAGUUGAAGUUAGUGAUUCCCGUAGCAUCCACGUAUGGUGAACCUCUAUGUGAUGAAGUCUGAGCAUGAUUAGUAUAUUGAUUGUCAUCCUUUGUGUGGCGGUCGGGAUCGCGCGAUGGUUUAUACCUACCAACCCUUCCCCUAGGAGUAUGCGUUGAAUGCUUUGUUUCGAUUACUACUAAAUUUUUUGCAACAAGUAUAUGAGUUCUUCAUGACUAAUGUUGAGUCCAUGGUUUAGAUGCACUUUCACCUUCCACCAUCACUAUCUUCUUUAGUGCCGUGCAACUUUCGUCGGUGCAUAAAACCCACCAUUAGCCUCCCUCAAAACAACCACCAUACCUACCUACUAUGGCUUUUUCAAAGCCAUUCCGAGAUAUAUUGCCAUGCAACUACCACCAUGACAUGUGCCACCACUUCUACAUUUCCAUUGCAUGAUCAUAAGAUAGCUAGCAUGAUGUUUCCAUUGAUGUCUAUGAUGUUUCCAUUGAUGUCUAUGCCAUGCUAGAUCAUUGUCACGGUACACUACCGAAUGCAUUCCAUAUAGAGUCAUCAUUGCUCUAAGUUUUGAGUUGUAAGUGUGAUGAUCAUCAUUGAUGGAGCAUUGUCCCCUGUGAGGACAUAAAAGAGGCCAAAGAUGCCCACCAAAAAAAAGAGGCCAAAGAGCCCACCAAAAAAAUGAGAGAAAAAGAGAGAAUGGACAAUGCUACUAUCUUUCCACACUUGUGCUUAUUAAGCACCAUGAUUUUCAUGAUUGAGAGUCUCUCGUUUUGUCACCACCGUAUAGCUAGUGGGAAAUUUUUAUUAUAUAACUUGGCUUGUAUAUUCCAAUGAUAGGCUUCCUCAAAAUUGCCUUAGGUCUUCGUGAGCAAGCAAGUUGGAUGAACACCCGCUAGUUUUCUUUAAGAGCUUUAACAUACUCUUAGCUCUAGUGCAUCAUUUGUAUGGCAAUCCCUACACAUUCACAUUGAUAUCUACCGAUGAGCAUUUCCAUAGCUCAUUCAUAUGCCUAGUCAAUGUGAACAUCUUCUCCUUGUUUGCCUUGCAACCUCCACCACACUCCACUCCACUUAUAGUGCUAAAACCAAGGCUCACGGUCAUGUAUUGCGUGAGAGUUGAAAAAGUUUGAGAAAGUAAAGGUGUGAAAACAAUUACUUGGCCAAUACCGAGGUUGUGCAUGAUUUAAAUUCGUUGUGCAAGGAUGAUAAAGCAUAGCCAGACUAUAUGAUUUUGUAGGGAUAACUUUCUUUUGGCCUUGUUAUUUCGAAAGUUCAUGAUUACCUUGCUAGUUUGCUUGAAGUAUUAUUGUCUCCACGUCAAUAGCAAACUAUUAUUUUGAAUAUAAUGGAUCUGAACAUUCACGUCACAUAAGAGGAGUUACAAAGGACAUCUAUGCUAGGUAGCAUGAAAGCAUCAAAAAUUCAUUCUUUAUCACACUUCCCUACUCGAAGACGAGCAGGAGUUAAGCUUGGGGAUGUUUGAUACGUCUCAAACGUAUCUAUAAUUUUUGAUGGUUUCAUGCUGUUAUCUUGUCAACUUUGGAUGUUUUAUAUACCUUUUAUAUCUUUUUUGGGACUAACUUAUUAAUUCAGUGCCAAGUGCCAGUUCCUGUUUUUUUGUGUGUUUUUGACUCUUUUCAGAUAUGAUUUUGGAACGGAGUCCAAACGGAAUAAAAUCCCCGAAAUAAUUUUUCCAGAACAAAAGAAGAUCGGGGGACUUUAGGGCCAAGGCAGGAGGCCCACAAGCCCUGACGCCGCGGCCAGGGGGGCCCGCGGCGACUAGGCUUGUGGCCUCCCUGGCUCUCCCCUGCCCUAUCUCUUUCGCCUAUAUAUUCCCUAAAAUCCCAGAAAAAAUCAGGGCAUCCACGAAAACACUUUUCUGCCGCCGCAAGCUUCCGUUUCCGCGAGAUCCCAUCUGGAGACCCUUCCCGGUGCCCUGCCGGAGGGGAGUUUGGAGUUGGAGGGUUUCUACAUCAAGAUCAUCGCCUCUCUAAUGACUCGUGAGUAGUCCACUUCAGACCUACGGGUCCAUAGUUAGUAGCUAGAUGGCUUCUUCUCUCUCUUGGAUCUUCAAUACAAUGUUCUCCAUGAUCUUCAUGGAGAUCUAUCCGAUGUAAUCCUCUUUGGCGGUGUGUUUGUCGAGAUCCGAUGAAUUGUGGAUUUGUGAUUAGAUUAUCUAUGAAUUAUAUUUGAGUCUUUCCUGAUUUCUUAUAUGCAUGAUUUGAUAUCCUUGUAAGUCUUUCCGAGUCUUGGGUUUUGUUUGGCCAACUAGAUAUAUGAUUCUUGCAAUGGGAGAAGUGCUUGGUUUUGGGUUCAUACCGUGCGGUGACCUUUCCCAGUGACAAAAGGGGCAGCAAGGCACACAUCAUGUUGUUUCCAUCAAGGGUAACAAGAUGGGCUUUCAUCAUAGAUUUGAGAUUGUUCAUAUACAUCAUGUCAUCUUGCUUAAGGCGUUACUCUGUUCUUAUGAACUCAAUACACUAGAUGCAUGCUGGAUAGCGGUCGACGUGUGGAGUAAUAGUAGUAUGCAUAAAGUAUCGGUCUACUUGUUUUGGACAUGAUGCCUAUAGAUAUGAUCAUUGCCAUAGAUAACGUCAUGACUUUGCGCGGUUCUAUAAAUUGCUCGACAGUAAUUCGUUCACCCACCGUCUACUUGCUUUCAUGAGAGAAGCCACUAGUGAACACUACAGCCCCCGGGUCUAUUCACAACUAUCGUUUCCACUUUUACUUUUACUUUGGUUUGUUUACUUUUUGCUUUCAGUUCUCACUUUGCAAACAAUCUAUAAGGGAUUGACAACCCCUUCAUAGCAUUGGGUGCAAGCUCUUUGUGUUUGUGCAGGUACUUGUGACUUGACGCGAUCCUCCUACUGGAUUGAUACCUUGGUUCUGAAACUGAGGGAACUACUUACCGCCGCUGUGCUACAUCACCCUUUCCUCUUCAAGGGAACAACAACGCAAGGCUCCAAGGCCGCGGGGGAAUCCUUUGCAUAUUUGCCAAGGAAAUCCCUAGAGGCGUAGCCCGUAGUAGAAGGAUUCCUGGCGCCGUUGCCAGGGAAGGUCUAUUGUUGCCGUAGGAGAAGUAUUUCUGGCGCCGUUGCCGGGGAGGAUCGCUUGCCGAGGAGUAUCAAGACAAGAAUAAUCUCCCGUCAACACGCCUAUUUCUGGCGCCGUUGCCGGGGAGAGAUCAAGUCAAGAUCUAUCCAAGUAGGUGUCACAAACUCAUCUCUUGCAUUUACCUUUUUGCCAGUUGCCUCUCGUUUUCCUCUCCCCCACUUCACAUUUGCCGUUUUCAUUCGCCUUUUUCGUUUUCCUUUUUUUGUUUGCCUUUUUGGUUCGCCCUUUUCUCUCGCUUGCUUUCUGUUCGCUUGUGUGCCAUGUGCCUUCAAUAUGUUUGCAUCUUCGCUUGCUGAAAAUCUAGUGAUAUGGAUCCUCAUCCACUUGCUAAUCUCUUUAAGAGAUCCAAUUAUGUUGAUCCAAUUGCUAGUGAGUUGAGUGCACUUGAGUAUCUUUAUGGAGUUUUGCUUGAGAUGCGUGAAUCUGAAAAUUGUGAGGAAGAAAUUUAUGAAGUGAUUGACGAGGGCUCCUUGGAUGAAAAGCAUGAUUGGAAUGGUUUCACUAUAAAUUCUAUUAGUGACAAUCAUGCUAAGAAUAUGCAAAACCCUAAGCUUGCAGAUGCUAGUUUAGCUAUGUCCCCUACUUGUUGCAAUGAUCAUGAGUGGGGCGGUGAUUUUUCUUAUGAUCUUGAAAAUUUGUUUAAGCCUCAUGAUGAAUAUGAUAUUUGCAAUAUUAUUGAAAGUGGGUUUGGAGAAAUCAUGACAUUGGUUGAUGAUAAUCCCACUAUUUUUUAAGAGCGUGAACUUUGCAUGCAUGUGGGUCAUGAAAAGAAUAUCCUAUGUGAUAGUUACAUUGUUUAAUUCGAAUAUGAUCCCACAUGUAAUUACUAUGAGAGAGGAAAAUAUUGUGGUAGAAACUUUCAUGUUACCAAAUUACCUCUUGUUAUGUGGAGAUUGCUAUUGUCUCUUUCUUCUUCCUUGCAUAUGGUAACUAUUGGUUGUCUUGACAAUCUGUUUUCCUAUAAAAUGCCUAUGCAUAGGAAGUAUGUUAGACUUAGAUGUGAUUUUCCCAUGCUUUAUGAUGCUCUCGUUGUGCUUCAAUUCUUGUCUUUUGUGUGAGCAUCAUUGAAUUAUCAAUGCCUAGCUAAGGGCGUUAAGCAAUAGCUCUUGUUGGGAGGCAACCCAAUGAAUUUAUCUUUUUCUUUCUGUUUUGUGUUUCCCACACUUUCAUAAUUCUGUUAUGAUUGUGUUUUUUUUGUUUCUUUUUGCGUUUGUGCCAAGCAAAACCGUUAUGAUUAGUCUUGGGGAUGAUCGUUUGGCCAUGCUGGAAAAGACAGAAACUUUCUGCUCACGAAAAGAAUUUUCAUUUUUUGUCUGUAAGAGAUUUUGAGUUGAUUCUUUUUGCUGCUGAUUGCUACAGAAGUUCUUCAGACUGUCUUAAGUUUUCAGAAUUUUUGAAGUAACAGAGUUAUACGGAAUAUACAGAUUGCUACAGACUGGUCUGCUGUUAACAGAUUCUGUUUUUGUUGUGUUGGUUGCUUAUUUUGAUGAAACUAUGGAUAGUAUCGGGGGGUAUUAGCCAUGGAAGAUUGAAAAUACAGUAACCCAACAUCAACAUAACUAGAAUUUAAUUUUCCUAUAGUACCUAAGGAAGUGGUGGUUUGCUUUCUUAUACUAAUGAUAUCACGAGUUUCUGUUUAAGAUUCGUGUUGUGAAGUUUUCAAGUUUUGUGUGAAGUUCUUAUGGACAAAGAGAUAAAGAGUGGCAAGAGCUCAAGGUUGGCGAUGCCCAAGGCACCCCAAGUGGAUUCAAGGAUGCCAAAAAAGCCUAAGCUUGGGGAUGCCCCGGGAAGGCAUCCCCUCUUUCGUCUUCAAUCCAUCGGUAAUGUUACUUGGGGCUAUAUUUUUAUUCACCACAUGUUAUGUGUUUUGGUUGGAGCGUCUUGUACCGUAGGAGUCUUUUAUUUAUUUUGUUCCACAAUAUUCCUUGCUGCACACUUAGAGAGAGAGACAUGCGCUCACUGUGAUUUUGUCGAGCUUCACUUAUAUCCUUUGGUUAGACAAUUCAGCUCACAUGUGUUUCACUUAUAUCUUUUGAGCUUGUUGAUUUUUCUCUAUGUGUUUCACUUCUAUCUUUUAGAGCACGGAACCGCUUGGCGUGGUAGUUGAUCUAUGCUAUGAAAGUAGUCUCAAAAGGGGUAGUUAUACAAAGGAAUAUGAAAACUUCCACCUUCAUGUGCAUUGAGUAGUUAGAGAAGUUUGAUUCAUCUCAAUCAGUUUUGAGUUGUGGUUGUGGUAAUAUUAAAGUUAUAUUAGUAAGGUGUAGUGGAUCUAGAAAUACUUGUGUUGAAGUUAGUGAUUCCGGUAGCAUGCACGUAUGGUGAACCGCUAUGUGAUGAAGUCUGAGCAUGAUUAGUAUAUUGAUUGUCAUCCUUUGUGUGGUGGUCGGGAUCACGCGAUGGUUUAUACCUACCAACCCUUCCCCUAGGAGUAUGCGUUGAAUGCUUUGUUUCGAUUACUAGUAGAACUUUUGCAACAAGUAUAUGAGUUCUUCAUGACUAAUGUUGCGUCCAUGGUCUAGAUGCACUUUCAGCUUCCGCCAUCACUAUCUUCUUUAGUGCCGUGCAACUUUCGCCUGUGCAUAAAACCCACCAUUAGCCUCCCUCAAAACAACCACCAUACCUACCUACUAUGGUUUUUUCAAAGCCAUUCCGAGAUAUAUUGCCAUGAAACUACCACCAUGACAUGUGCCACCACUUCUACAUUGCCAUUGCAUGAUCAUAAGAUAGCUAGCAUGAUGUUUCCAUUGAUGUCUAUGCCAUGCUAGAUCAUUGUCACGGUACACUACCGAAGUCAUUCCAUAUAGAGUCAUCAUUGCUCUAAGUUUUGAGUUGUAAGUGUGAUGAUCAUCAUUGAUGGAUCAUUGUCCCAUGUGAGGAAAUAAAAGAGGCCAAAGAUGCCCACCAAAAAAAAGAGGCCAAAGAGCCCACCAAAAAAAUGAGAGAAAAAGAGAGAAGGGACAAUGCUACUAUCUUUCCACAAUUGUGAUUAUUAAGUACCAUGAUUUUCAUGAUUGAGAGUCUCUCGUUUUGUCACCACCAUAAAGCUAGUGGGAAAUUUUUAUUAUAUAACUUGGCUUGCAUAUUCAAAUGAUAGGCUUCCUCAAAAUUGCCUUAGGUCUUCGUGAGCAAGAAAGUUGGAUGAAGAUGGGGAGGAACCACCUCCUCCUAAUGGCAACCCACACCCUCAGUUUGGCCCUGAGCUCACUGGUGAGCAAUUGUACCAACAGCAAGUGCAUAACUGGCUAGUUCAAAAUGCAGCUCAACCUUAGGGGGCUCCUCCUGCUCAUGAAGCCCCAUAGCAACAGGAUCAGCACAAUGGAUGGGGAGUGUGGCCAGCCUCACCACCAUAGGCACCACAAUUACCUCCUUAUGUCUACAACUUUCAAGCUUGGCUUGCUGCCCAGGGACUACAAGUGCAAGAUGGCCUGCUUCCUGAAGAUAACAUCUCAGAUAGUGCUUCCCAAGCUUGGAAUGAUGCUAUAUCCAACUCCAACAACUCUGCUAGCACCAACCUAUCUGCUGGAUCUCUGAAUCCCCUGGUGAUACACUCUCAAACACAUCAGCUGCAACACUCUGAGGGUCUUUUGAGAAUCUCCCUGGAAGUUCACAAUAGUGGAAUUCGCUUUGGCUUAUCUGAACAUGGAGAAUCAGUGCUCACCCUGCUACUAACUGAUCCAGCUCCAAGACAGCAGCUAAAUGACUUCAUCUUUAGAGCCAUCAAACCUCUAAUGGCUUAUAGAGGCCCUUGGAAUGCUGAUUAUGGUUUCAAGCAUGAAUGCAUGCAGGUGGAAGUUGCAGUUGCUCUGCGUGAUGAUGGCAUAAUAUUUAGCAACACCUAUCCUACUCUCCCCAUGAGCACUACAUCAUCUACUGUUAUCAUAGAAGCACUAUCCCCUGAGCAGGCACUGGCUCCAACUAUUGAUCCUACGGAUCCAUUGGAAAUAGAAUGCAGCAUGGAUCAGGAACUACAAGUCAGCAAGAUUCCUCUGAAGCAGAAAGGCAAAAUGAAACUGCAAGUAGAUACUUCCAACCUUCGCCGCAGCCUGAGAUCAAACAAGUAUGAUGGUUUCAAGAUCCCAUCCAUGGCAGAGGGCAAGAUCACUAAAUCCAAAGUUAAGCCCAGGAUGAUUCCCAAUAUUGCUCUUCAGGAAGUUGAUCGUGCUCUGACACUUGAGGUUCCCCCUCCUACUGCCAUCAACACCAUGCAAGCCAUUGGGACGCAGCUGUGUGCCAUACCUGAAACAGAGCUUGCAGACUCGGAGCUUCUUCGAGAAGAUCCAGGCCCGACAGAUGGCCAAGUUUGAUAUUGUGCCUGACCCACCUCCUCUUUGAAUCUCUAUGGUACUUUUGCGUAGUUGGAACGUCUUAUGUUGGAAUAUUCGUGGACUUAAUUCGCCCAAAAAACAUCUAGCUCUAUCGAAUGCUAUUCGUGACAGCAGUUGCUCCAUCAUUUGCUUACAAGAAUCGAAAAUGACCUCAUUUGAUGAACAUGCUUUACGUACAUUGUGUCCUAAACGAUUUGACAAAUUUGCAUAUAUUCCCUCCCGAGGGGCUUCUGGUGGGAUAGUCACGAUUUGGAACAGCUCUAUAUUUAUAGGAACUACAUUUGUAGAAGAGGAUUUCGUGUUAGGGGUCCAGUUCUCAUCAACACAAACUUUGCAUACCUGGAAGCUAUUGAACAUAUAUGGCCCCUGCCAAGGGGAUCAAAGGGUUUGUUUCACAUCUUGGCUCUUUGAUCUUGACAUUGUGGCAACUGAGGAUUGGUUGAUCCUAGGGGAUUUCAACUUCAUUAGGGCACCAACGAACUGCAAUCUACCCGGAGGUAACAUUCAAGACAUGUUUACGUUUAAUGAAUUCAUCAGUGAGCAGAUGUUAACGGAGAUCCCAAUCAAAGGCCGACCAUAUACAUGGUCGAACAUGCAGCUAAACCCUUUGCUCGAACAACUCNNNNNNNNNNNNNNNNNNNNNNNNNNNNNNNNNNNNNNNNNNNNNNNNNNNNNNNNNNNNNNNNNNNNNNNNNNNNNNNNNNNNNNNNNNNNNNNNNNNNGUUGGUCUUUAUUCACUUUUCUCUUGAACUUCAAAAAUUUCAGCAAAAAUAAAUUAUGUUCAGGAGGAAGUUUCAUGGUGGUUCCUCAAGUAAGAAGGGUCCCCGUCUUUCUAUUCGGGAGCCCGAUCCUUAUCAACUAAGAUAAGCACCGGUACAACCAUGUGAAUGGCCUUCCGAUGAGUUCAUGAUCGAAGCAGGCUUCAAGGAUGAGUUUGAUACACUUGUCUGCAAUGUCGGGUUAGAAGAAUUCCUCUCAAAUAAAUGUGAACAGUAUGCUUUGCUCACUGCCUCUUUCGUGUGUAGAUUUAAAUUUUUAGUUGGGCGUGACUCAUCCAUACCGUUUGACCUGUAUGAUAAAUCCUACGCCAUGGAUUUGGAGGAUUUCAAUAGGAUUUGCAAGAUACCCGAUGGGGGAAAUCUUAAAGAUCCUGCUAAGUCUUCGGUUAGAGAUUUUGUCUCUAGUAUAACUGUUGGAGAAACUAGAGACAUCACGCAAGCUACCAUAGGAAGCAUUCAUUUCCCUGGCUUGCACUACUUUUCCCUCUUCAUAGGUAAUGCAUUAACGGCAAGGUUGAACAUUGUCACCUAUGCGCAUCCGACCUUAGUAUCCUUAAGAGCGCAGUGACGGGUGACAAAAGCUUCAACAUGGGAGCUAUUAUAGCAAGGAGGAUGAAUAAGAAUGCUAUUGAUGGGGAUUUCUUUGGCGGCAUCUAUGCCACUUGCAUAGCAAAUUUUCUUGGAGUACCCAUCCGCGCAGGAGAUCCCCCGCUCCAUACAGCUUUCCUUGACCACGUCGCUAUGACACGCUACCAGUUCCUUGAGAGGGAUGAUGAAUCCCUCCUAUACCGAUUGAUAUUUAACCGGCAACGUGUUUUCCAUAUUACCCUUCCUGCUCCUGCUUUGUUUGACUUUCAGGUAAAACGGAGAUACUACAUAACCAUAGGAGAGGCAUAGGAGUAUGAGAGGGAGGCGACGGCUGCUCGUCUCUGUGAGGCAACUAUUUAGGCAGUGGCUGCAGCGCUCCCGUAUAACCCCGAUUAUGAUUUUGGGUUUUGCCAGGACCGUCCUUGGGAGUAGACCAAGCGAGGCCAAAAGCCUAAGCUUGGGGGAGUACGUGUUUGCACCAACUUUACAUUCAAGCUUAUGCUUUCACUUUGUUAGUCAGUGUUUACACUUUGCCACUGUAUUAUCCAUGCUAGUUUAUUUUCGUUUUCUUGNNNNNNNNNNNNNNNNNNNNNNNNNNNNNNNNNNNNNNNNNNNNNNNNNNNNNNNNNNNNNNNNNNNNNNNNNNNNNNNNNNNNNNNNNNNNNNNNNNNNGACCGGAGUCUGCAAACGCAGAAGAAUUUUGAAUCGGCAAGAAAUUCAUCCGCUUUGUAUUACUUCGAUGACAUUUGUUCUUUACAUUGUCUCUGUCGGCGGUUAUGUGUAGAAGUGCUUCAGUAGAUCUCCAUUCCAUGCCCGCGGCUCGUCCGUCUCCCUGUCGAGGUUGUAGAGUCGAUACGCUCCAUUGUUCCGUACCUUAGAAAUGAUGAACGGUCCUUCAUAGGCGGGAGCCAACUUGUGUGGUCUCUGUUGAUCCACUCGGAGCACCAGGUCUCCUGCUUGGAACGUGCGGCUCCUGACGUGCCGCUCAUGAAAUCGCCGCAGAUCUUGUUGAUAAAUUGUUGAACGGAUCAAUGCCAUCUCGCGCUCCUCUUCCAAAAGGUCUACUCCGUCUUGCCUGGCUUGCUCUUCUUCGGCUUCGGAGAAGAGUUCGACUCGUGGAGAGUUGUGAAGCAAGUCACUUGGAAGGACUGCCUCUGCUCCAUAAACGAGGAAAAAUGGGGAUCGUCCUGUCGAUCUAUUCGGGGUUGUUCGGAGGCCCCACAGCACCGAAGGCAGCUCGGUGACCCAUGCGCCGGCGGCAUGCCCAACUUCCCGCAGGAGUCGAGGCUUCAACCCUUAAAGAAUGAGUCCAUUCGCCCGCUCCGCUUGUCCAUUUGUUUGGGGGUGCGCAAAGGAUGCAAAAUACACUCGGAUACCUUGGCCUACGCAAAAACCUUUGAACUCGUCCGAGUUAAAGUUUGGGCCAUUGUCGGUGAUUAUGCUGUGUGGAACCCCGUAUCUGGCAAUGAUGUCUCUGAUAAAUUUGAUGGCCGUAAGGGCAUCAAGCUUCUUGAUUGGCUUGGCUUCAAUCCACUUGGUAAACUUGUCGACUGCUACCAGCAGAUGGGUGAAUCCUCCUUGGCUUGUUCUGAAUGGUCCGACUGUAUCUAAUCCCCACACGGCCAAUGGCCAAGAAAGGGGAAUUGUCUUCAGCGCGGACGUUGGCUUGUGGGACUUGUUUGAAUAGAACUCACAACCUUCGCAAUGGUCGACUAUAUCUUUUGCCAUUUCAUUCGCCUGCAACCAGAAGAAACCAGCUCUGAAUGCUUUGGCAACGAUCGCCCUUGAGGAGGCAUGAUGACCACAGGUUCCUGAGUGAAUUUCUUCCAAAAUUAACCGACCCUCCUCAGGAGAGAUACACCCCUGAAGGACGCCUGAAACACUUUCUCUGUAUAACUGGUCAUCAAUGACGGUGAAGGACUUCGACCUGCGAAUGAUCUGCCUAGCUUGGACCUCAUCUUCCGGUAACUCUUGCCUCAGGAUGUACGCAAUGAGUGGCACAGUCCAUUCGGGAAUGACAGCUAGAAUCUCCAUGACCAGGUCAACCACAGCGGGAAACUCGACUUCGAUCUGAUCUAUUGAGCUCUUCGGUUGCACAAGUUCCUCUAUAAAAGGAUCUUCUUUUACCGAGGGGAGGUGUAAGUGCUCGAGGCAGACAUCACUCGGGACAGGUCUCCGUGUGGAUCCAAGUUUUGCCAAUUCAUCUGCUGCUUGGUUUUUCAGUCGGGGAACAUGGUGAAGUUCCAUACCUUCGAACUUCUUUUCGAGCUUUCUUAUUGUGUUGCAGUAUGCAGUCAUGGUGGGGUUCCUUACAUCCCACUCCUUCAUUACUUGAUUAACCACUAGAUCUGAGUCGCCAUAGACCAUCAGGCGACGGACGCCGAGUGUGAUGGCCAUGCACAACCCGUAAAGGAGAGCUUCGUACUCUGCUUCGUUGUUGGAAAAAUCAAAAUGGAUCUGCAACACAUACUUGAGUUUAUCACCUUUCAGGGAUAUGAGCAGUACGCCGGCGCUGGAGCCAUUCAACAUCUUGGACCCAUCGAAGAACAUGGUCCAAUGAGCCGAGUAGAUGUGAGUCGGUUGCUGUUGCUCUACCCAUUCUGCCAUGAAGUCGGCAAGAGCUUAAGACUUUAUAGCUUUCUUGGCUUCGAACUUGAUGUCGCAGUAUAGCAUAUCCAUUGCUCACUUUGCCACUCGGCCUGAUGCGUCCCGAUUGUGGAGAAUUUCCGACAACGGAGCAUCAGAUAUGACAGAUACCGAGUGGUCUUGGAAAUAAUGAGCCACGUGCUUUGCAGUCAUGUAGAUCCCAUAAAUAAGCUUCUGAUAAUGGGGACACCUCUGCUUGGAAGGAGUCAGGACUUCAGAAACAUAAUAUACUGGCCGCUGAACCUUGUACGCUUUGCCUUCUUCUUCGCGUUCGACUGUCAGAAUAGUGUUGACGACUUCGUUUGUAGCCGCGAUGUACAAAAGAAGGGGUUCUUUACUGAGUGGGGCAGUAAGAACCGGCUGGGUGGAAAGCAGGGCUUUGAGGUCGUCGAAUGUGGUUUGGGCUUCGUUUGUCCACUCGAAGGUAUCCGACUUCUUCAUGAGUCGGUACAGAGGUAACGCCUUCUCGCCGAGUCGAGCGAUAAACCUGCUCAAAGCCGCUAGAAAACCUAUGAGCUUUUGUACGUCAUGUACUCUUACCGACCGCUCCAUUCGAACAAUGGUCCCGAUGUUUUCGGGGUUGACAUCGAUCCCUCGUUCGGAAACAAAGAAACCGAGUAACUUCCCGCUGGGAACGCCAAAUGAACACUUGGCUGGGUUUAGCUUGAUAUUGUACCUACGUAGGUUGGCGAAUGUUUCUGCCAAGUCAGUCAGUAGGUCGGAACCUUUGCGUGACUUGACUACGAUAUCGUCCAUAUAUGCCUCCACAUUUCGACCAAUCUGGUCUAGGAGGCAUUUUUGGAUCAUUCGCAUAAAAGUUGCUCUUGCAUUUUUCAAACCGAAUGGCAUAUUGAUGUAACAGAAGCACCCGAAUGGGGUGAUGAAAGAUGUUUUUAAUUCAUCCGGACCAUAUAGACGGAUCUGAUGGUAGCCCGAAUAGGCUUCAAGGAAGGAUAAGCGCUCGCAACCCGCAGUCGAAUCAACGAUUUGAUCUAUGCGGGGGAGCGGGAAGUGGUCUUUCGGACAGACCUUAUUAAGGUCCUUGAAAUCGAUGCACAUACGAAGAGACUUGUCCUUCUUGGGCACCAUGACAACAUUAGCGAGCCACUCGGAGUGGUGUACCUUGCGAAUGAAGUUGGCUGCCAGAAGUUUAGCUACCUCCUCUCCGAUUGCUUUUCUCUUGUGCGCGGCAGACCGACACAGUCGUUCUCGGACGGGCCGAGCGGCAGGAUCCACAUGCAGUCGGUGCUCAGCCAACUCCCUGGGUACACCUGGCAUGUCAGCAGGCUUCCAUGCAAAAAUGUCCCAGUUCUCAUGAAGGAAUUGGAUGAGCUCGGUUUCCUAUUUUGGAUCAAGGGUGGUGGAGAUGUUUGUUGGGGCGGUGGUGGCAUCCGUCGGGUGGACUCUUACUUUUUUCGUGUCUCCCGCCGACUGGAAUGCGGACUCGGAAGCUGGCUUCUUUGAACGCAUCAGGUCGGCAGGGUCGGCAAUCUUCUUGUACUCAUCCAACUCGAGUACAGCCAUCUGAUGGUCUGCAAUUCUCAACCCCUGCUGCAGACACUCCUCGGCUCGUUGCCGAUUGCGUGUGACAGUAAUCACGCCUUUGGGACCAGGCAUCUUCAGCUUCAAAUAUACGUAACAUGGACGGGCCAUGAAACGUACAUAUGCCGGACGGCCCAGAAUGGCAUGGUAUGCACUCUGGAAGUCUACCACCUCGAAUGUUAACUUCUAUUUGCGGAAGUUCUUGUCAGAGCCGAAGACGACGUCCAACGCAAUCUGGCUGAGAGAUUUUGCCUUUCUUCCUAGGACGACUCCAUGGAAUUGCAUACUGCUUUCGCUAAGUCUGGACAUCACAAUGCCCAUUCCCUUGAGAGUAUCGGUGUACAUGAUAUUCAAGCCGCUGCCGCCGUCCAUGAGGACUUUGCGCAGCCUAACUCCUUCCACCACCGGGUCGACGACCAGAGCUUGCCUCCAUGGGGUGGGUACGUGUGCUGGGUGGUCUGCCUGAUCAAAAGUGAUUGCAGUCUGUGACCACUUGAGGAACGUGGGAGUGGAUGGGGUUGCCAUGUUUACCUCCCUGCUGACCAGCUUCAGUCGACUUUUGCUUUCUACAUCAGCAAAAAUCAUUAAUUUUGCAUGGACUUGAGGGAACGGAUCCUCCUUGUCCUCAUCAUCUUUCUCGGUGUCUUUCUCACUCGGCUGUCCUUCACCGAAUCCUUGGAUCAGGAGGCGACACUACCGAGUGGUAUGUUUCGGCAAUAUGACAUUGCCUUCUUCAUCCAUCUUCGUGUGGAUUGGACACGGCUGAUCUAGGAUGGAAUUUCCUGACUGUUUCUUCUUGGGGGUGUACUGUGGUUUCCCCUUGCCUUUGAACUUAGCGUUUGUAACGACUGCCGCCUCUGCUUGCGGAGUGGAUUGGGCUUUCUAUUUCUGCUUCCGACUGCUGCUCCCAUCUCCGUCGGCGACUGACUUAUGCUUGCCGCUACGUAUGCGGUCCUCCUCUUCGCCAUUUGCAUAGCACGCAGCUAUCUCCAUCAUCUUGCUCAUGGAGAUGUCGCCUGUCCGACCAAACUUCAGGUAUAGAUCUUUGUACCGAACGCCUGCCUUGAAGGCGCAGACUGCUUGGUGUUCUGUAACAUUCUCCACCGUGUGGUAGAGGGUUGUCCAGCGUUGGGUAAAAUCGCGCAGGGGCUCGUUUUGCUUCUGGACACAGUGCUGAAGCUUUGUGAGACCAGCGGGGCAUUUGCACGUACCCUUGAAGGUCCUGAUGAAGACUCGGGACAGAUCUGCCCAACUCGAAAUGGUUGAUGGAGCUAACUGGUUUAGCCAAGCUCGAGCCGAACCGUCGAGCAUCAAUGGGAGAUGUUUCAGGGCGACAUGGUCAUCUCCGCCACCGAUGUGGACCACCACUCUGUAGUCGUCUAACCAAGUUUCUGGUUUGGACUCUCCUGUGAAUUUGCUGAAUCCCGUCGCCAAUCGGAAGUUGGGAGGGAUGUCAGCCGAGCGAAUGGCCCGACUGAAACACUCGGGACCAGAAACAACGGUCCUGCUUCCACUCGGAUGAUCUCUAUCGUGACCACCACGGUGGGCUCGGCUUCUAUCAACCUUCUUUUGAGUGAUAUACCCUCUUGCAUCAGGCCUUUGAUCAUGCGCGUCACCGCCCGAACGACAAUCAUCGUAAUGCGGGGGUCCGUAAGGCCCACUCCGCCGAGGAGUACGCGAACGGCGAUGAUCUUCGGGAUGAGACCGAAUGGAAGGUGGAUUCCGACUCUGGUCCCUGGAAUGAUCGUUCCAGAGGCUGCCCCCUCUGCGACGCUGGUGAGAGCUGGGACUGAAAACCGACCGAUGUGUGUUCGCUUGAACGGAACUGUUGUGGAUCUUGUUGUGCGACUGGGAGACCGCCGAGUUUUGCUGCUGCACCGUAUGUAACAAGGCACGGAUCUGCUCAAUUCCUCUACCAGCCUCUGAAUCAGUCGGCUGGAGAGAAUCAGUGAUCUUGGCGGCUGCAGCCAAGUUGAGGAUGGGUGUGCGGAACACCUCGACGUGGCUCUGGCGAACGCGUCGACUGGAAGAACGAGGGUGCUGACGACGAGCGCCGGAUGAUUCUCCGAUCUCACGCUCGUUCCGACCAGUCCCGGGCGACUUUUGUGGGAAUCGGCCAUGAGCACUUCGGCCGUAGGCCCGUGACCCUGAUACUCGGAAGGUAGUUCAGUCGGAAAUGAGUCCAAGCACUGGGAUGACCGCGGGACCACAACCGAUUCAAGCACCACCACUUGAGAGGACAUGUUUUGUCGCGCUAGGGCGUGUCGCACCCAACGCUGGAGCCCCGAACGACCGGAUAGCUUGUUGCGGUGCGUGACGGGGGCGAAGAUCGAAACCGGGGUCGAUGGCUGGACAAGAAGAACACCGCAGGAACUGGCACGGAAGUGCGUAGCCCCGCGACUCGGAAGCGUCUUGACAUCGAGGGGCGCAUCCUGAUGCCAUGCCGAAUCAUCAGCGAUGAAGGAGAGCGCACCGAAGAGGAUCUCACGACCCAUGCACAGAUCUCCGCCGGAUGACAUGACGAAGAGAUGAAAUCACAAACUCGCCGGAAGUCGCUUAUACGCCAGCCCCACGGUGGGCACCAACUGUCGUGGGUAUAAGUCUGGCAGUAGAAGUACGGGGUAUGAAAGUAUAUGGGCAGAGCCUUAGCUACGGCGAGGAUAUAUGAGUUCAGGCCCCUCUACNNNNNNNNNNNNNNNNNNNNNNNNNNNNNNNNNNNNNNNNNNNNNNNNNNNNNNNNNNNNNNNNNNNNNNNNNNNNNNNNNNNNNNNNNNNNNNNNNNNNGCCUUUGGCGGCGAGCUCCCUCUCUCUCUCGAUCAAUUUUCUCCCCCGUCGCGUUUGUAGCGGCGCUUGGCAAAGCCUCGCUGAGGUUGUACCACCACCACCGUCACUAGUAGAAAACAGGGCAUUGAGCCAACCACAUUGGACCCGGAUUGGAUAUAAACCGGUUCUAAAGGGUCUAUCCGCUGGGCCCCCUCCCUGCAGCGAAUGGCCGCAAGGCCUUUAGGACCGGUUUGUAACACAAACCGGUCCUAAAGGGUUUUGGACCGUUUGCUGCAGGGCGGGGACCCAGUGGACAGACCCUUUAGAACCGGUUUGUAUCACAAACUGGUGCUAAAGUUUUUCUCAUUUUUGCAGCAACUGCGGGGCCCCGUUGUCAGACCCUUUAGCACCGGUUUUUAACACAAACCGGUCCUAAAGCCCUCCCCUAUAUUCCACUCCGAGCUCAGCUCCAUUUUUUCCAGCGCGAGCUCAACUCCAUUUUUGCUCUCUCCUUCCUCUUGGGAGCUCUAAUCCAUCCCCAUUUUUCUCCACCAUUUGUCAAGAUUGUUGGCACCCAUCGGUCCUACGGUUAACAUCAACAUUCCCUCUUCCGGCAUUGCAAGUUUUGCUCGUUUUCUUGCUCAUUUCAUUUUUGUUGUGCUAGCUAGGUGUUUGAUGAAAUGCCUAAGCUAGAGAGAGUUCAUCAUUUGUUAUGUAUACAUAUGCAAUUUGAGCUCAAAUUUAAUUAUGAUUUAUGGUUUUUUUUAGUGUCGCGCGCCUUGUCCCCUUCCUCACCGCCGUCGAUCGCCCCGUCACCGACACAACCUUGGUGAGCCUAGUGUUUUUAUUUACCAAAACAAAUUAUGAUUUGUAUGAUUUACAUAUUUACUUGUAUAUAAUUUUCUUAUUGUGUAAGAUUUUUUUUAUAUGUAUAGCGCCAUGGUUUUGAUAUCCGUCCCCGUUGGCCCUCGUCCAGUCUAUGAUUCGGAUGUGGUAUAUUAUCUUUUAUAACUACAUAUUUUCAUUUCCUGAUUAUAUGACAAUUAAUUACGCCGACCAACUUGACAUAGAUAUUUUUAUCUAGGAGGUAGUGGAACCGGAAAUGCCAAUCGACCCUAUUGUUGAGAAGUUACACUUAGUUGAACAAGAAAAUGUUGGCCUGAAAGAAAGAUUGAAAAAAACUGAAGAAAGGUUGGAAAAAACUGAAAGAGAGAAGAUGACCUUGGAAAAGGUUCUUGCCGGUGUCGUCGAUGGUCACAAGAGCGAGAUGGACGCAAUGCGCCUGAAGAUUAGAAAGAUUAGAAAAUAUGCAAUUAGUAAAGAGGCUUCGUAUCAUUAGGCCGUCGGGUCAAUUGUUACCUUUGUUGCGAUUUUGAUCGCAUUUGUUGUUGUUUUUAAAUGCAUUAGUUAGAGAGAGUUUUUAUGGUUGGUUUCAGUGUGUAUUUUUAUGAGAACUAUAUAUGUAUGGUCACUACGCUACUUUGGUUUUAACGUGUGAUGAACUUUUUGUAUUAAUUAAUUAAUUUAGUCAUGAUGAUUUAGCAUAAUGGUUUUUGAUAAAUUUAUAUAAUGCAGAUGAACCGGCAAUGGAUGUACAGUGAUCGACGUCGUCCCGAAUUCCUUAAUGGCAUGCAUAGUUUUCUCAAUGUGGCUGAGAAAAACAGGCAGAAUGGAUUUAUUUUUUGUCCAUGUAAAAAAUGCCAGAAUAAGAGGAAUUUCCCUAACUCAAGAACCAUACACACCCACCUGUUGCAAGAAGGCUUCAUGCCCAGUUAUUUUUGUUGGACCAAGCACGGAGAAAGAGGGGUUGUAAUGGAAGACAAUGAAGAAGAAGAGGAUAAUGAUAACUAUCCUAUGUUCGGUGAACACGGUGAUACUGAAAUGGGGGAAGACGAGCCUGAACUUGAGGACAUUGUUGAUGAGUCUGAUGAUGAUCUUCGUCAGGUCAUUCGUGAAGAACAGAUAAACUGCGGAAGUGAAAACGAGAGGUUGAAGUUGGAGCGCAUGUUAGAAGAUCACAAAAAAUUGUUGUACCCAAAUUGCGAAGAUGGCCAGAAAAAGUUGGGCACCACCCUGGAAUUGCUGCAAUGGAAGGCAGAGAAUGGAAUAUCUGACAAGGGAUUUGAA